AGAGGAGAAGUCAACGUAGAUCUUUUUGCUAGUGACCUUUUAGUGCUCCUUAUCCAGUCUUAUCAAAACAGAUGUGGCCUUGUAAGGUUGACGUUUCUGGAACUUCGUGUUCUGGCAUUGCAAUAUUACAUGUGACAAAUUUAGUAUAUAUUAACAUCCAAGUCAAAAAAGCUCUUCUGUUGCAGACUCUUAAUAACAUUUCUCCUGGACCAAAUUAAGUGCAGACUCAAUUUUUUUGUCGUAGUAACUUUAUUUUCUCUUAUUUAAUUUAGGUCCAUUACUACGUGCAAUCACAUAUUCAGAUCAAUGAGUACCGAGAUCGUGUGGUUUUGGUAAGUAACCUCUGCAUAUAUAAAUUACUUACUAUCUUGCACUGGCUCUCUCAUAGACCUGUAAUCUUUUGAUGUCUUUUUACUUCCUAGCCCAAUGCGACAAAGAAGUAUGGGCGGCACAUAGGCACUUGUUUCAAAAUUUUGGAUAUGACUGGUCUAAAGCUCUCAGCUAUGAGCCAAAUAAAGGUAUAUCUCUCAACCAUCUUUUUUUUUUUUUUUCCAUAACACUUGUGUUGGUUAAUGUAUUAGUUAAUAUGAAAAAUAUGUUUUUCCUUCCUCUUAUGGUUGAAAGUUUUAUCUGAAAGUAAUAAUAACUCCUAUAUUUUCAUAUACUUGUACACUGCUUUGGGCAUAUUAGACUCUUUUUUCUGCGUCAGUUAUGUCAGGCCAUAUUAGACUAUUUAUCCAGAUGAUAUCCGGGGUUUUUUGUAAUCCCAACUUGGUCGGUAGUAGAGUACAUUUCUAUUACUUAUCUUUCCUUCACCAGUGAUACUUACCUCCUUCUCAUACUAAAAUCCAAACCUUGGAAAAAUGUCAGAAUUAUUCUUUAGGUAGCCUAAAUUUGUUUAAUCUACAGUAUGGGAAGAUCUCUUCUUGAUCAAGUAUAAUUUUAAUAAACUGUUCUUUUUCAUAAAUAUUGUAUAAAAAGAGGCUUUUUUUUAUUAUCCUUUUCUUAUUUGAUUUCAGCUUCUUCAAACCCAUAAGCUACUUCAAAUUGAAGUCUUUAAAGAACUAAAACAAUGGUUCAGGAGCUCUUUGGUCUAAAUGAAAUAAUUUAGAAUAUUCUGAUGGGAUUGUAUCAACUUUUGUGUGUGUUAUUUUUCCACAUUCAAAUACAGUGCAACUGUUGCUGUUCUCGUGCUUUUCUUUUUCUCCUUUUUUUCUUCAAGAUUUGCUAAUUUAGAAUUUGUCAAAUUGUAUGUGCUACAUUUUUCCUUGUCUCUGGUUGUAAUUUGCUGAUCGACUAAUCACCAUGAUCAUAUACAAUUGAAACAACAUUGUUGCUUACAUUGCUUAUAUCGAAUGGAUUGAACUUUUUGUUUAUUAUGCUUUCGUGCAAUGCAGUUAUUGACCGCAAUAUCCACUGUUGAUGACCUGAAUUAUCCGGAGAAGACGGACACUUAUUACAUAGUUAAUGUACCUUAUAUAUUUUCAGCGUGUUGGAAGGUACACACACGUUUAUAGUAAAGUUGGUUUACGUGCUCUGUUGGGUAACAUUUUUACAAGUAUUUCCCUGCAAAAUCCAAAUCUUCAUGUUAUGUCCUUAAGAUACUUAAAUUUCGUACAUAUAUACAAUUACUUUUACAAAAUGCUGCUCUUUGAAAAAGUUAUUGUAAUGUAAAGUUUCUCCCAUGGAUUGGAUUUCUCUUCGAUGCAAGAUAGGGUAUUUUUCGUAAGAAACUGCAGCUUUCGAGGGUAUAUAUGAAAAUUCAGUAUGGGGGCCCUAUAUAUUAUAAAUUGAUGAUUCCAAGGGAAGAACCAGCCCCCUUUUUAUUAUUUUAUGAUCCUUUGCUUUGUCUCUUCAAUUAUUUCUCCUGGACUAACUUUUUUUUUUUUUUUUCUUUGUUUUCUUUUUUUAAAUAAUUGGUUCGGCAGGUUGUGAAGCCUCUUUUGCAAGAAAGGACAAGAAGGAAAGUAAAAGUUUUGCAAGGAUGUGGCAGGGAUGAGUUGUUGAAGGUAAACGCUUUUCCCCCCCUAACCAUUGCUAAAUUCUGAUAUUCAGAAGAAAAUGAUGAAUUAGAUUUGUUUGUGGAUGUUCUAUAAAUACUUCCACACUCGAAAGAGAAGAAAACAUGUGAGAGGAAUGAGCACAAUUGAGUGAAAAUGACAGAUAACGUAGUUCAAGUCAAUUAAAUAAAACAAAAUAAUGAAAGAAAAAAAAUAAAACACCUCCAAGUGAGGAGGCGAUGAAUAAGACAAAACAACAAAUCUUCAAGUAUUUUCUAGGCUUCAGACCCCCUUCGCCUUGUAAAUAUAUGAGUCCGGCUAGAAUACUUUUGCAAGCACGGAGGCUUCUAUGUUUCCAAGUUGUUUUCGAUGAUGGGACAUUUGAAUCGAUGAUUGGAUCCAUUAAACAUGAUCUAUACUAUUGAAAUAUCUAAAAAAAUUCUAUCGAUAAGUUUCAAAAUUGUGAAUUUUAAUAGCGAUGUGACACAUUUAUAGUUUAGCGGCAUAUAAUGAUCCAAAUUAGGCGGAAAUUUGAUAGAUUUUUGUUUUUUUUUAUUUUUUGCACUAUAUAGAGCAUGAUCAUUACCCCAAUGUGAAAUUUGAAUAUUCUAUCAUUAUUUUUUUUGGAGAUUUUUUUUUUCUACCGAUUAUUUUGAGACUGUUUGUUUUACUAGGCAAAUGAUGUAGGAAAACCAUGAAAUUUGGUUUCUAGAUGCGGCCAAUUGUGCAGAUCAAAUCUAACGGAAUCGAUCGUCAAAUCAAAUGUCCCACCGUCGAAAACAAUUUGAAAGCACGCAAGUCUUUGUGCUUUCAAAAUUAUUCUAACCGGAUGCUAUAUGUUGGAUGAAUUCCAUCUUUUAUAUUAUAAAGAUGCGUUCAUCUUGAAGCUAAAAAACUGACACAAUUAUGUACUCCUUAAAACAGUUUAGCUCAUACUUACUGUGACACAAAUCCCCAAUAACAAAAAAAAAAAAAAAAAAAUCUUUAGGUUAUCGACAACGAAUCCCUUCCCCAUUUCUGUAGAAGAGAAGGUUCCGGAUCGUCGCGCUAUUCAUCAGACAAAGCCAACGACUGCUUCUCGUUGGACCACCCAUUCCACCAGCAACUGUACAGCUACAUGAAGCAGCAAGCGAUGGGGCCGGACUCGGUCGCACCGAUAAAACAAGGAUCCUUUCAUGUCGACGUGCCCGAGCCCGCCCUAGAAGACGCAAAAAUUGUUAAAAGGAUCGAGUCCGAGCUCCACAAAAUAAGCGGGGAGUGCAACGGGCUCACGCACACCCUCAGUGACGUGAAAAUAGAUGCUGCAUAAAGAGAGGGGGGGGGAAAAAAUAUGCUAACUAGGAAUACUAUUUGAAUGGUUCUCUUUUGCAUAUAUACCCCUACGAAUAUACGGAUUUUCAUAAAUAACCCUGCAAAGUUGGUAUUUAUGUGUUCGCGCCCUUGCAAACCUUGUUUAUCUGCAUGUGUGGCCUUUUAUUGCAAACACAAAUAAACAUGGGCUUUGUUGGGAGACGUAUGCGAGAUAUCGACUUUGCGACGGUACUUAGCAAGUUUGCAUAUCUGCAGUGGUAUGUAUGCGAAAAGUGCCGAAUCAAAAAGUAUGGUAGCUAAUUUCUUCAUACACCAAGGUGGUUCUAUCAUUAAACCAAACCAAUGAUGUUCUUCUUUCUUUGAAUGUUUUGGCCCCAGAAGGUGUAUUGGGCAUAUAGUAGCAGUAAUAGUAGUGGUAAGUUCUCGCAAUUCCCCAAUUCGGGGCUUUUUACUUUGGAGAAAAAGAAAAGAAAAGAAAAAGAAGCAGCUUGAAGAAGAAAUGAAAACUUGUAAUAGAUUAAGCAGGUAAGCAGAAACUUGGGAAUUUCUUGUAUUUUAUUAUGUGAUCUUCAGAUGAUAUGGUGAUUAUUUGGUUACUUCCAUGUUUACCUUGAAUUUAUCAUGUAAAUUUGACAUAAGGCUUCUCUACUUGGAGCUUCUCUUUAGUUUAAACACAGUGAAAUAAGAUAAUAGGAUUCCUUCGAAUUUUUUUUUUUGUAAAAGAAACAUAAUGCUGCGGAGAUUGCAAUGAUGAUUCUAUUAAGAUAUAUUUCUUAUGGUACUAAAAAAAUAAAACGGGUGUAAAAUACUAAAAAAGAAAAAUAGUUAGUAGUUCUUCAAAGCUGCCGUAAUAGGUCCAUAAUUAGGGAUGACAAUCCAGCUCGCUAUUCGCUAGUUAGUUCAUGUUCGGCUUGAAAUGAGCUUGAAAUUGAAUUGCUCGUUUUGUAAAUGAGCAGAACACGAGCUGAAAUUUUUAGCUCGUUUGAUAAAUAAGCUGAACACGGGUCGGAGUCAGCUCGCUCGUGUUUAGCUCGAUUACAGUUCGAAUACAUAUAUUUUAUAUUUAUAUAAUUUAUUUAAUUUAUAUUUAUAUAUAUUUAUAUACUAGUUGAGUGUACGUGCAAAUGAGCGUAACAAUUAUUUUAAUUUAUUUUAAAUCAAUAAAAAUUUGUAAAUUACAUUUAUUCAAAAAUUUGGAAUAAAAUAUUUUGUAAAUUUAUAUGUUAUAUUUUAGAAAAUAUCUACAAUAUCCUAUAUUAUUCUUUUUUUAUAUACAUUAAAUAUUUUUAUAUAUUUUUCGAUUUCUAAUAAAUCUUAAAUUUAAGUAAGUAUUUUAAACUAAAAGUAUCAAAAUUUAAUUGACAUUUAUUUUAAAAUUUAAAAUUUAAUUUUGACCCAUUCUAUAAUUAAAAUUUUUUAAUUGUUAAUUCAAUUUUGACAUCAAAAAUCAAAAAUUUAAUUUAAUUUAUGAUUUAAACUCAACUUUAAAUUUUAGUAUAAAAUAGAUGGAUAGAUUUGAUAUCAAAAAUCAAAAAUUUAAUUUAAAUUCAUGGUUUAAACUCAAAUUUAAAUUUUAAAAAUAGAUGGAUAGAAGUGCUAUUUUUUAAUAGAUUAAUUAUAACUUUCAAAUUUAUUUCAAAUAUUUUUAACCAGUUGAUCAUAACCGUUCGUAGAAUUGAAUUUAUAGAUGGGCAUAAUAAUUUUUUUAAUAAAUUAAUUAUAACCGUUCAUUCUUAUUUGAGAUAAUUUUUUAUAAAUUGAUCAUAAAUUUGUAUAUCAUAUUAAUUCAAAAAUAUGAUUUACAAACUUAUCAACCAAUCUAUCUUUCAAAUUAUUUCCGUUGUAAUAUGUUGAUAGUCCCAAAAUUUAAAAUUUAAAAUUAAUUUUAAAUUUUGAAUUGAAAUAUAGAUUUAUAAUAGAUAUUUAGGUAAAAAUUUAGAUAAAUAUGAAUUUUUUUUUAUUUUAGAGAUAAAAAAAUCAAACAAAUUUCAAAUUAAAAUAUAGAUUCACAGUAGAUAUCUUUCUGUUGGUAAAAAUUUGGAUAAAUAUAUUUUUUUUUCUAUUUUAGAGAUAAAAAGAAAUUUAAAGUUUGUUUCAUUACGUUAUUUAUUUUACGUAAGGAAAGAGGGAUCAAAAUUUUCUUCUGCAAAAAAAUGGGUCGGUAUUUAGUAUAGAAGACAUUAUAGAAAGAGAUAAAGAAGAAUUAAAUAAAUUUUGAAUUAAAAUAUAGAUUCACAAUAGAUAAUUUUCGGUUGGCAAAAAUUUGGAUAAGCAUAAAUUUUUUCUGUUGUAAAAAUAAAGAAGAAUUAAAAGUUUGUUUAAUUCUUUCAUUUAUUUUACGUAAGGAAAGAGGAAUCAAUUUUUUUUCCCGCAAAAAGAUGGUCAGUCGACAGACCAAAAUUUGAAAUACGUGAUUAUAUAUAUAUAUAUAGAAUUAGGCUGGAAUACUAUAAAUAGUAAAACGCUCUUUUUGCUAUCAAAUUUUUAACCCUUAGAUAAAAAAUUGUAAGGUCAGGAUGAUAUUAGUCGGUUAGAGUUGAGUGGUCCCCCUAGGGUUGAGUGGUUCCCACUAGGUUAUAGUAUUUAAUCCAAUGGUUAGAAAUAAUGAAAAGAGUUGAUUCAAAGGCUAUAAAACUGGUAGCAACAAUGAAAUUUUGCUACUAAUAGUAGCCCAGUCCAACUCUAUAUAUAUAUAUAUAUAUAUAUAUAUAUAUAGCAGGGUUGUUGUGCUCUUAGGAGCACGGAGGCCUCCGUGCUCCUAAGCCGUUUUCGAUGAUGGAAUUUUCGAAUCGACGAUCAGCUCCGUUAGACUUGAUCUAGCGUAUUUGAAGUUUCUAGAAAAUAAUUUUGCGAUUUUUUGAUAUCAUAUAUCUAGCGAUCGAAAGGAUUCAAAAUGCAUAAUUUUUAAUGGUUGAUAUUUGCUGUUUUCAAGUUUAACGGUGUAAAAGUAUUCAAAUCAGAUGAAAUUUUGAUAGAAAAUUCUUUAUACUAUCUACGACAAGAUCAAUAUUUCUGAUCGAAAAUUUUAGUGCUAUAUCACCACUUUUUAUAGGAUUUUUAUUUUCAGCCGUUAAAAAUUAUUGAUUUUGAAUCCUUUCGAUUGCUAGGUAAAUGAUAUUGAAAAAUCGCAAAAAUUAUUUUCUAGAAACUUCAAAUACGCUAGAUCAGGUUUAACGGAGCCGAUCGUCAAUUCGAAAAUUCCAUCAUCGAAAACGGCUCAGGAGCACGGAGGCCUCUGUGCUCCUGGAGCACAGCAGCCCUGCUUUAUAUAUAUAUAUAUAUAUAUAUAUAUAUAUAUAUAUAUAUAUAUAUAUAUAUAUAUAUAUAUAUAUUGUCCGUGGGCUAUUAAAUAAAGGAACUACCAAAGUAUUUAACACUAGAACAAUAAAAUAUAUUAAAUAUAACUAAACUUCAAUACACAAGAACUUAUUAAUACAACUUGACUUGCACUUAUUCACAACAUGCAAGUAAUAUGCUCCCUAUUUAUAGAGCACGAAUCGAUGCAAUAUAUCACGAAAACAAGCAUCCUUUUACUAAAGGACACAAUCCAAACAAGAAGACGCAACUUUAGAACAAAGAGAUACAACCUUAUGAAUAGACAAAACGUCUCAUAAGAUACACAAUCUUUCAUAAUAAACUAAUAAACAAACUAUAAUCUAACAUCCCCUUUUAAGUUUGUUUAUGUACAACUAUCAUUAUCUUCUUCGAUCGGAUCUUCAUAAUCUUAGGGUCUUUUCUAUAACGUUAUAUUAUCUAAAAUCAAACUUCUAAUUUUGGAGGCAUGCUCGUUGAUUGCGUUCUUCAGGAAUUUGUUCACUAUAUUCAGCGCCAUAUUUUCCUUCUUUAAGCAAAUAUUUGCUUUCUCCAAAUUUUUCGCAAGAUUUUCUAAAUAAAUAUCUCUUUAAUCAAGAGAAACCGCACCUGUAGUACUCAUAAAAGCAAAAUGAGCCACAUCUGGUUCCGCUUCCUUCUUUGACUUUUUCAUAUCACCCAUAUAAGCUGAAUUUCCGAAUUCAUCAAAACAAUAAAAUUCCGGAACAUGAAUAGAUCCUUCUUGAUAAAUGUGAUAUUGUGGUAGCGGCCUUUUCAUCUUUUGACAGUAUUCUUGAAGUAAAUUUUUGUAGGACACCCUCACUAUCACUUAACUCUCCAUAUUUCUCUUUUUCUUCUUUAUAUAAAAGUCAACUCGUUUAAAAGAAAUCAACUCUUCAUUUAAUAUUUAUAGGCAUGAUGAGACUUCCAAAACCAACCAAGUGACACACCCUUUCAAACUUAAAGUGUCCCAAUUCAAAAGACACAUUCUUUUAAUUUAAAGUGUCUUUUUAACCAAGCGACACGUCUUUUCAAACUUCAAAGUGUCCUCUCUUUUGUACCCAAGAGACAUAAGUAACUAUUUUUCAAAAAUAUGCAUUUGUCAACUACUUCAUGUAUUGGUCAACACUGCAAAUGCACCGGUCAACAUGUAUUGGUCAACACCUAUUUUUACCCAUUGGUUAAUACAACUAUUACUGCACCUCUCAAUACCACCGUUUUUAAAAAAAUCACUUGCACUCGUAACAUCCAACCAUCAACAUUGUAGGUUUUUUUUUUUUUCUUUUUUCUAUUUGAUGAACAACGUUCUUGAGCUGGCCAGUAUUUAUGGUGUGGACCCACAAAUUCAACGGUUUCUUGGCUAUACCAACGAGCUCAAGUGGUUUUAGUUUGUCUUUUUCGAUUUUUUUUUUUUUUGGAAAAAAGUUUUGCGCUUUGGAACGAAAACUAACCUUUGGACCGUUCCCUGGCAAAUCUCAUCGGGUUGGCCAAUCUAGUCUGGUCCACUCUAGUUCGCAAAACCUUAGUUAUGUUAAUAAUCGAUUUCUGACCUAAUCAGCAUAUAAUAGUUGUGGCAUUUAUAAGAAUUUGAUAAUACUUAUUGUAAUGACCCGAACUGCUAGCAAAAUGCUUAAGCCCAAUUAUUAUUGCUAACUUGUGAGGUCCUUGUCAGGUCUAAAUCAAGAUCAUAGACACGGUAGCUCCUACAAGUUCAAGAGGUGGCUCCCACUAAAUUCGUUGGUGUAGCAUUUUAUCCCGGAUAGCACUUAGUUCUCACAGUUUCGGUUGGUAUUUGAUUGUGAUACCAGUUAUAACGAUUCGAUUUGCUAGCAAUAAUAACUCGUCGGGCCCAAACCACCGGCUCAUAAUAUUUAAACCCAGUUAUUAUUAUUAGUAUGUGAGGCCUCAUAUAUUUUAAUCAACAUUAUUUUUCAACCCGAUGCGGGACUAUUGGGGCUUUACACUUAUAAUUUAUACUAUCUCCGUAGAGUCUUAGCUGUAGGUACUCCUGUGGCAACAAUUUGGGCUUCUGUAAUAGCGAUAAUUGUUGCUAUACAUUGAGUUUUACUAGUCUUUACUUAUUGAGGCCAUGGGUCUUGCUAAAGGUAUUGAAGUUGCUACUACUCAUUUUUUUGAGAUUUAGAAGCAAUCAGACGAAUUAGAAAUACCAAAUUUUAGUACACCAAAUUUUGAAAGCAAUCAGACUAGUACUAGAAAUACCAAAAAUUAGUGACAUUACAAAAUUUGCAACUGUUAACAUCCACUAACAGAAUUUCUAUUCAAUUUAUUUUUGCUUGUGAUUCCGCAAUCGGGUUCUGGUUGACCAAACUGUUGCAGAAAUGCUGCCGUCUCACAACGAGACUAAGGUACUCACCAGCAUUGUCAUCUCACAUGCUAGUUAGGAUUGAAAUGGCCAUCUAUGGAAAAUAGGCUAUGUUUAAGACUACAAUGUAUGACCGAUCGAACUUAGCACAGUUGAUUAAAAACUUGACGAUUGGUAUUCAAAAUUUUAAGUUCGAAGUUUAAUUGCUUCACAUUUGUAGCUGAUUUUAUUUACAGUAUAUAAACAAAGCAGACAAUAUAUUUCCUUUCUCUCUUUUUCUCUCUCUCUCUCUCUAAAAAAGAAGAUUAUAAUGAAAGAAACAACUAUUUGUCUCUAAAAGUUUAAACUAAUAAGAAACGGUACUUCUAAAACUCUUAAACUAAUAAGAAACGGUACUUCUAAAACUCUUUGAGACAAAAGUUGUAUUUUUUAAAACUAUUUGAGAUUAAGUUGUACCAUAUAAAAUGGAAGUUGCAUUCUUUUAGGCAAAUGUUGCACCAUUUAAAAUAGAAGUUAGAAGUUACUCUCUGUCUCUCUAAAAAAAAAGAAUAAAUUUUCUCUUUUGUUGAGGGUAUUUCCUGUAUAGCAAUUGUGCGAGACCCUAGAUAGUCCUAUAUAUAAGAUAUUAUAGGACUAAACUCUUAACGCGGCUUAAGCAUUUUGGGUGGUGGCUAGAGCUAAGAGGCUAAGAGAGUUACGCGUGCUAAGACGGGAAUGGUCCUAGGAUAGGUGACCUCCUGGGAAGUUGGGGCGUCACAGUUGGUAUUAGAGCCAAUUACCAGCCAGAAGUGUGAGAUGAUUUCGACUGAGUCAGGAUUGUAUAACAGGGAGAGUGAGACUCUCAUACUAUUGACUGUUGUGGAUAGAACGCAACUUACCACAAGGUCGGUUUAGGCUAGCAAGACGAGUCUCACAUCGCUUGAUACUUAUGAGCCUGAGCUUGAGCCUGACGAUGACAUCAGGACUUAAAGAGGAGAAAUUGUGAGACCCCAGGGUUAAACUCUUAAUCCGGCUUAAGCGUUUUGGGCUUAACCUUUUGGGCCUAAGCACCUUCCAAAAUGCUUAAGCCAGAUUAAGAGUUUUAAGCGUGCUAGGAUGGGAGUAGUCCUAAGAUGGGUGACCCCCUGGAAAGUUAGGGCAUUGCAGUUGGUAUCAGAGCCAAUUGUGAGCCGUAAGUGUGAGAUGAGUUUCGGCUGAGCCGAGAUUGUAUAGCAGGGAAAGUGAGACUCUCAUACUGUUGACUGUUAUAAGUGGAGCGCAGUUUACCACAAGGUUGGUUUAGGCUAGCGAGGCGAGUCUCACAUCGCCUGAUACUUGUGAGUCUGAACCUGACGAGAAUGUCAGUACUUAAAAAAGGGAGAUUGUAAGACCACAGGUAGUCCUAUAUAUAAGAUAUAAUAUGGCUAAACUCUUAACCCGCCUUAAGCAUUUUAGGUGGUGACUAGGCCCAAGAGGUUAAGAGAGUUAAGCCUGUUAGGCCGGGAGUAGUCCUUAGGAUAGUGACCUCCUGGAAAGUUGGGGUGUCAUAAUAAAUUGCAGCUAUAGUUUUUGCAGCAUUACUAGCAACAGUGGCAGUGGUGAAUGUGGGCCCCAACUUCCCAAUGUGUCACACAUCCUAGGACUACUCCAGUUUUAGCACGCUUAACUCUCUUAACCUCUUAGGCCUAACCGUCACUCAAAAUGCUUAAAUCGAAUUAAGAGUUUUAGAUUAUAUCUUAUAUAAAUGACUAUUCAGGGUCUUACAUUCUCUCCCUCUUAAGCCUUGACGUUCUUGUCAGGCUCAGUCUCACAAGUAUCAAACGAUAUGAGACUCAUCUCGGUAGUCUAAACCGACCUUAUUGUGAACUGCAUUCCACCCACAACAAUCAAUAGCACCCACUGUAUACUUCUGGCACAGCCGAGACUCAUCUUAUAUUUUCGGCUGGUAAUUGGCUCUGAUACCAACUGUAACGCCCAAACUUCCCAAGGGGUCACCCAUGCAAGAACUACUUCCGUCCUAGCACGCUUAACUCUCUUAACCUCUUAAGCCUAUCCAUCAUCCAAAAUACUUAAGCCGAGUUAAGAGUUUAGCCCUAUUAUAUCUUAUAUAUAGGACUAUGUAGAGUCUCACAAACUGUCUAUUGUUCAUUAACAUUUUUUUAUUUUCUAUGGGCAAAACUGUUAGUUAGAGACUGAAUUGACACAUGGUAGCGAAUUUGAGGCUCUUUAAUAAGGUAUUGUUGGGGAGCUCCACACUAAUCCCUUUUUUUUUCCCCAUUUUUUUAUCUACAUACUAUUUGCAUGUCUUGAUCAUUUAAAAAGCGUUAUUAUAUUCUCUUUAGAUCUCAUUCCAUGCAGUGGCCGGUCGACGGAUCUAUAUCCUUUCUCAUUCUCUCUAAGCACUACAACAAAAACGGUCUAUAGCGACACUUUUAAAUGUCGGUAUAGGUCAAACAAAGUACUGCUGGCUAAAUCACCGACACUUUUAAAAAGUGUUGCUAUAUGUGGGGUCGCUAGGUAUAUAGCGACAGUUAAAGAGUGUCGCUAUAACCUAAAAAAGUGCUGCUAAUUUAGCAACACUUAUUUAAGAAUCUAGCAACCGUCGGAACUCUACCUCGUUGGCUACGGUGGCGGAGGAAGACGAGAUGGAAGGGCCCUUCGUUUAGGAUUUUAGUGGAUUGAGUGAGGGGAGAAGGAAAGAUGGUAAUCGAUUUUUCUUUUUUCUUUUCUUUCUGUUUGGAAUCGGGCCAAAUGGGCUGGAUUGGGUAGGUUGAGUAUAGUAAUCUUUAUUUUUUGUUGGAUUCGGCUUUAUAUUUAGGCAUUAGUAUAUGUUUUUUUAAAUUUUAACAUAAAUUGGACACUUAGACAAAAGUGUCCCAAACAUGUGUCCGUAUAACCUAAUUCUGUUGUAGUGAAGUAUCUAACUUAGUUGUUUCACAGUCAGAAAUCAUCUCAAGCACACAUUGGAAUAUAACUAUUGCAUUGGCAAAUGAGCGAGUCGGUUCGUGUUCAGCUCGCAUUCGGCCCGGUAUUAACUGUUCGAGUUCGACUCGAAAUUAAUGAUGAAGCGAGCCGAUGAAACAAAAAAAAAAAAAAAACUUGAAAUUUAUUUCAAGUUCAAGUAGUUGAGUAUUAUUGGGCUCGCUUCUACGAAUUAGGAUACCGGCUCGAAAACUCGAAUAUGUAUGAUAAUGAUACCAAUAUUAAUACAUAUAUAUAUAUAUACAUAUAUAUAUAUAUAUGUAUAUAUACAUUAUACAUAUAUAUAUAUAUAUAAUAUAUAUAUGUACAUAUAUAUGUAUAUAUAUAGUAUAUAUACAGUAUUAAUUAUAUUACAUAUAUUAUUAAUUAUACAUAUAUAUAUAUGAUAUAUAUAUAUACUAUAUAUAUAUAUGAUAUAUAUGUAUAUUACUAUAUAUUAUAAUAUAUUUAUAUUAUAUCUAUAUAUACAUAUAUAUGUAUAUUAUUUGAUAUAUAAUAUAUAUAUAAUAUAUAUAUAUACUAUAUAUAUUAUAUACAUAUAUAUGUAUAUAUAUAUAAAUUAUAUAUAUGUUAUAUAUAUAUGUAUAUACAUAUAUAUACAUAUAUAUAUUAUAAUAUUAUAUAUGUAUAAUGUUUAUAGUAUAUAAUAUAUAUAUAUAUAUAUAUAUUAUAUUACUAUAUAUGUAUAUAUAUAUAUAUAAAUAUACAUAUAUAUAUAUAUAUAUAUUAAAAAUAUUUAUAAUAUGUAAUAUAAUUAAAAAUAUAUAUAUGUUGAUUAUAUAUAAUAAAUAUAUUAUGUGUUUUAAUUAUAUGUAUAUAGAGUUUAGGUUAUUAAAAAUAUUUGCUGCACAACAAAAACAAACUAGCAAAUUUCUACUCUAAUUACGCUCGUUUUCUUUCUUUUACUUACUCGGAGAGUCGUUUUUCCUAAAUUAUUUUUCUUAAUCUUAUAAUACCGUAUUUUAUGCAUUUAUUUUAUAUGUUGAACUAUUAGUCGUUAUUUUAUAUCAAAUUUUAGGUAAUAUUUUAUAAAAAUUAAAUUAUAGAUUGCAUAAUAUUAAAAAUUUCAAGCGGCUCGUUUAGGGCUCGUACUUGUUCGACUAGAAGUUAGGCUCAUUCGAACUCGGCUCGAAUUAAUUUCAAGUAGGGUUUGAGCCUAAAUUUAGAUUCGAAAUUAAUUUUAAGUCAAACUUGAGCUGAGAAAGGCUUGCUCAAUCUCGGCUCGUUUCCGCCCCUCAUCGUCAUGGAUUUGUACGUUGAGCGUAAAAAGCGAUGAACAAUGCUUGUAAAUUCUUUUGAAAUGGCCAUUUCUUCGGAUUCUAUGUCACGCCCCGGGGCCGAUUUUAAAAGUCUUUUUAAAACAGAGUUGCGAAAAACGUGCCAUUUUUUUUUUUUUUUCAACCUGGCUAACGUGACGUACAGACCCGCCACAAAUACAAAGUUCCUCUGUCCACUUGGACAGAGUCUCCUUUGUAUUUGCACGGCGUACCAGCUAUACAACAGGAUCUCAACCACAACCUACAUUUACCAAUCAACAACCAAAGCAUGAUAUGCAUUUUCAUACAGUUAACAAUCCUUAGAAUGAUGCAUGCCUCUAAGCACUCCUUAGGCGCUGGAUGAUGCAAUGCACAAUACAACAAACAUCCUAUUUAAAAGUGCUCCCCACACGGAAGCUUUUGUUUUUAAACUCUAAUUCAUUCAUUCAUAAAAACCAUUCGAAAACCUUUUUAAAACUGUUUCCCACACGGAAACUCUAUUUUGAAAACCGACUACCUCGAGGGGUAGAAAACCACGAUGCAUAACUACAAGAAAACCAAAUCUCCACAGAACCAAAACCACAGAUCGAAAACUCCAAUCUCAUGUAUAAAAGAAACCAACACCACAAUUCACAUACAUUCAAGCAUACAUAAGAUCAGCUAACUGAACCAUUAUUAAGAAAACUACUAAGUGCGGAAAAGAGAUAACCAGGGUGACGGUCACUACUGCCGUCUAGCUAGAUCGUCCUCUCAUCGAGCCCAAAAUCCAACUCCUCGUCUCUGUCACCUGUGGGGGGAAAUGGGGGGUGAGAAACCGCAACCAUGGUUUUCUCAGUGGGUACGACAGAGCCACGAAGGCAAGUCGUAAUCACCGGAAACCAAAGGAGAUAGAUAAACAAGUAUAUAUCUGUAAGCUGAUAUGAAAUAGAACUACAGUAGCUACAACAGAUAAAUAGGAAGCAAUAAAUAAACCUGCUACUGUAUAGAAAACAAUGCAAAGAAUGCCUCAAUGUACUGAACCAGAAACUGUACCCAAUCUGUGCCUGCUGUAUCGGUCCGCAGACCUCAAGCGCUACCUGUCACUAACUGCACCGACCUGAUCCAUCCGCCCCGCAGGACGACCUAUCCGGAUAAGUACACCUCCGAUCGGUGGCCAAACCGAUCCGGUGUCAUGAAUACCCCCAAGUGCCGUGACUAAGUCAUGCUGGUAUGCUCAAACAAAAACAAACCCGGCUAAAGCCGGUGCCUAGGCCGAAGCCAACAACGAGGGCGUACAAUGCCAAACUGAAAUAGAAGCUAGGGCGUACAACGCCGAACCUCGAUCAACCAGAUCGAAACACACGACAAGAGAGUCGAUGUGUUGCCUGGACCCAAGGUCCACAGAGAUACUGAAAUACAAAUGCAACCUGCUCUACAUGUCUAUCAACCACUAACCAAUGCAGUCAACGAAAUACGAUAACCAAACGAUAAUCAAACAACUGACAUGUAGAGCUAAUAUACUGGAAUAGAAAAACAGGAGAAGGAAGUGAAACGCUCUCACCGACUACCAGCUCGAAGCACCCACCUGUCACUGUCGCGUCGGAACACUGGGUACGCACAAGUCUACCGGACCUAAGAAGAUCCACCAAGUCAGUAUCCAAACCACUAACCCAAAGCACGAGACUCACAAACCCCCACACAGGAUCCCCGUAAUCGGUUUCCCAAAACCGAUUACCGUAACUCACCGGAAGUCCCGAAAACCACACCGGGACGCCGUCGGGACCCACUAAGUGUCCCGAACUCACCGACUCGUACCACGAAUCACCUGCUGCCCCAAAACAUUCCAAUUUGGAUGCCUUGGCAGCGAACACAAGGUCACACAACAAUACGAUCAUCGCCGGAUAAUCGUACGGAUACGGGUUCCCGAAAGUGUCUAUUUCGACACCGGAACCCUCCGUCGCUCACCUAUCGUCAUCGAACCCACAAAAUGACGAUGGUGACCAGCCAACAAGGCUCAGCGACAAAACACGAAGCAACCAAACACCGUCGGAAAGGAUCCGAACCGAAACCGCGUUCUUUCGGCGAAUUUCGCCGAAAAACGCACUGAAAUCGACCUACCGAUUUUCGCGGAAGCUAACGGACCAUGGACAAUCAGUCCAGCGGUCAAUACAAACUCUUACACACUACCCACAGUAGCCACGCAAAGCACAAUUGCAUAAAAGACCCUCUAAUUACAUAAAAUAUCAUCAUUUUAUGUAAUUUGAGCGAUCAAGCGGCUCGUUCACGCAAACCGAGGACUUUCAAAGUCCACAGAGACACGUACUGACAGGUCUCGACGUACCGGAGUCCGUGCUCACGAUCCGGAGCACAGCGGCUCGCUGUGGGAAGCGCGGGAGCAACCCGAAGGUUCAGCGAACAGCGCGCAGUCAGGGAAGAUCGCGCCGUACAGAACUAACCGGACAUUUCUGAUCCAAGGGAAGGUGAGCAUUGUGAUCAGCACUGACCAACGAUCACCGUGCUCACCUCCGGAGUCAUCAGGACAGCCUCGGAUCGCCGGAUAAGCGUGCGCAAGUCCAAAACAGCAGCCAAAAAGGCUGAACGGAGCGACAUCGCCAAAACAGCGGAACGGGGCCUUCCCGACAGAAACCAAGGUGAGCACGAUGAUCAGCAACUUGCCAGGAUCAUCGUGCUUCCUUCCGUGGAGAUUGGGGAAGCUCGGGAAGCCCAGAACAGUAGGCCAUCCCACAAAAGCCCCAUUUCGGGCUUGGCCGGAGCAAGCUUGCUCCGGCCGGCUUUCGGCGGCACGGCGGCGCGCGCGGAGGCCAGGGAUGGGUGCGGGGGAGGAGAGGAGUGAGGUGCUCACCUCAGACAGCGGCUGGAAGCGGCGGCGGCGACGGCGGGGCAAGAUGAGCCCGCACGGGCUAGGGCACGGGUUCCAGGAGUUGCUGCGGCCACGGCGGCGGCAGGGGAGCUCCGGGACGGCGGAGGCGGGCUGCAAGAGGUCGGGGAAGGGCGGCACAGGUGGCUCAGGGCGGCGGCGGCGCGAGGAAGAGGCCACACACGGCUCUCGGCCUGGGCUCGGGCUGGACGGCUGCAGCCGGCCGAGGCGGCGGCGGCGGCGCGCUGGGGCGGCGGCGACCGGCGGGAAGGGGUGCCCGGGCACGGGGGAUGUCGGCGGGAGGGAUCUCGGGAGGUGGCGGCGCACGGGCAGCGGCUGCAACCCAGCUCGGCUUGAGCUCGGCCUGGGCUGCUGCAGGCGGCCGGAGCGGCUGCGGCGGCGCAGGCGACGACGGCGGUCGGCGGGGAAAGUUGCCGGAGCACGGUGAAGUCCAGGGGGAGGGUCUGCAGGAGGCGUAGCCCCGGGCCUUCACACAACCCGAGAGGAGAGAGAGAGAGAGAGAAAGAGAGGGAUGGAAGAUGGGUGAUGGCUCGGCGGCGGCCGGGGCUGGUGCAGCAAGGGCAGGGGGAAGGGUGAAGGUGGCUGGGGCGACUAGGGUAGCUGGGGGCUGGCUAGGGUUAGGGUUAGGGGGUCAAAACCCUAGGAACCACUAUAUAAACAAGGUACAACUCGCAAGAAAGCCCCUCAAACAUCAGAAUUUCAAUCCGAGAUCCUCACAGUACGACUAAAACGCAUGAACGCCCCUCCACGUGCGAUCCCUCGCGAAACGAUACAUAAAAUAUCGCGACUUUUGCGAAAAUACCGUUUUGCUAACACCGACCUCUCCUCGAUCAACGCGCGAUCUCCGCAGAUCCGUCCGUCAGAUUUGCGAACGGAUUGCACCAGUGCGAUCAGCACGACGGAGACAACAAAGCUGCGAUUUCGUUUCGUCUUGAUCGACCACGGAUUCACGACAAAAUCCAACCUUCUUCGAAUAGAAGGAAACACACACAUAAAUACAUAUAAAACAUGUAUUUUUGGAUUUUCUCGAAAUCCGUGCGUCAAACUCAAAAUCCGUCAGCGUCAUUAGUUCCAGAACAGCUGACCCGGUCGAAACGAGCUAUUGGACUGCUAUGAACAGAGUCCGGUACGAGCCAGAAGCCAACUUCUCACCGCGGCUUCUCCGGAAAAUCGAGUUACUAUUCACCUUAAGUGAAACUUGAAAAUCGCGUAGAAUUUCCGUUUUAACUCGUUUUCGCCUGAAACUUGACGAGUGCUUUUGUAAUUAAAUUACACACAAAAAACAUCGUCAACUGAGAGUUUAACUACACUGCAAAAAUCUCAGUCCUUACAUUCUACAACUUGGAGCAUCUUCUUCUUUAAACAUGUUAGUGUUCUAUUAUUCCCCCGUAUUUUUAAAAGAUGAGAAUAUUAAUAAAAUAAAGGAAAAAGGGUCAUAAAUGUAGAAUCACAGCAAAAUUCUUAUUUUUAGACGGCCCGUCUCCGCCUCUGCCUCUGCCUCCACGGCAAAAUUCUCAUUUUUAGGGUCAUAAAUGUAGAGGCAGGCCGUUUUCGCCUCCGCCUCUGUCUUCGCUGCCUUCUUCGGCGAGAGAAAAAAAAAAUGAAUGAAAGAAAGAAAAAAAGAGAAGAGAAAAAGAUGAGAGAGAAAAAGUAAUGAGGGUAUUUUGAUCAAUUUGCUAAAAAUUCGGACCGAAUCUGCAAAAUUAAAAAAGACCACCCAGUUUUUCCAAAAACUCAAAAUUUGUGAAUUUUUUAUGCAAAUUGGCCUUUAUAUUUUUACCUCUUUAUAUAUAAUUUAAUAAUCAAUUUUAAUUUUUUGUUUUAUAGCCAACAAAACAAUCGAACUAAAAAAUUACAUUUGUAAAAGUGAUUUUUUUAACUUCACUCACUUUCGAGUAACCAAAUCGUCAUUGACUUCGGCCAAUGAUAAGCUGAAAUUAAUUAAGUAGUUGUUUCAAAUAACUGAAAUUUCAAGUGUAUCUGUUGGGCCAAUCCGGCGCGGACAGCUAGCACACCGAGUUCACAUCCAUGUUCCAUUCGAAAUGCUGGGCCGGGAGUAUAUAAGAGGCGCUAGAAAAUAUGAACCGCAUGAGUUCAAAAAAUUGAAGCAACCGCAAGCGGUUAGGAGCGGUUCCAAUCGGUCGAAGGUGGCCCUCCAAAUCCGGAGAAGAUGACCGAUCGUGCAAUAACAACAACUCAACGCAAGGGCAAAUCUAUAAAUAGGCCUGUAAUACCCUGAAAAUGGGUCUUCGCCCCUGCGCACAAAAGACCACCUUUAUUUCCCUACAUUUUUAUUUCCAGCAUUUACUGCUUUCCCUAGGAGUAGUUCUUGUAACUUAGCACCCUGGAGUCUAUCUGCCCCGUGGGCAUCACUCCGUUGUAGACUUCAAACCCUUUUCUCUGUAAUCUCCCAUCCUCUAUUUUAAUAGAAGGAUAUUUUCGGCUCUUCGGGCCGGCUAGUUUCUUGAAGUAUUUAGCCAUUCGGCUCACUUGCAAGUCGAAUCCUGGGCUUCUCCUCUCCAUUCAGCUCAUCCCUGCCGAACCGAGUUCACUAUAAAGGUCUCAGAACCAAGCUGAUCCGAUCCCUCAUCGGCCGAAUCGCUUGAGUCGUCGCGGGCGCACAUUUCGAGGGUCACUAGCUGCAGCCGUCUCACAUCCCGGCGCACAUCCCGAGGAGGAUAUUUGACUGGGUCAAGGGUCGGGACAUUUCGGCACCAACAGUAUCUUUAUUAAUUACGACGGACCAAAUAGUAAAAAUGAUCAUUAACAGCCGAAAACGACUUUACCCCUCUCUACGUUCACCCAAACAAACAAGCCCUCGAUUGCUCAUCUUCUCCUAUCUCGCUCCUCAGCUACACCCGAUCCUCUCACCCACUUCCCCAAUCUAGCUCUUCUCUCUCUCUCUCUUUCUCUCUCUCUCUCCCCUCUUUGUUCCUCCUCCUCUAUAUUCGCUACAACAGAAUUAAAUUAUAGAGACACAUGUUUGGAAUAUUUUUGUGUAACUGUCUCAUUUAUACCAAAAUGUUUUAAAAAAUACACUAAUGUGUAAAUAUAAAGUCCAAUCCAAUCAAAAAUAAAAUGUUACUCUACUCGACCGACCUCACCCAACCUAUUCGGCCCGGCUACAAAAAGAAAAGGAAAAAAAAAAGCAAAAUCGAUUAUCAUCUCUCCUUCUCCCCUCACUCAAUUCACUGAAAUCUUAGACGAAAAGCCCUUCCCUCUCGUCCUCCUCCGCUACCGCAGCUAACAAGGCAGAAUUCCGGCAGUUGCUAAAUGCUUAAAUAAAUAUUAGUAAAUUAGCAACACUCUUUUAGGUUAUAGCGACACUCUUUAACUGUCACUAUAUACCUAGCGACCCCAUAUAUAGCAACACUUUUUAAAAGCGUCGGUAAUUUAGCGAGCAAUAUUUUUUUUGAUCUUUACCGAUAUUUAAAAGUAUCGUUAUAGAUCAUUUUUGUUGCAGUGAGUUCACGACAAUUUAAUUUGUGUACGAGUCACGUAUUGAAAUCAUUUACUGUAGUAUCACAAACUACGUGCAGAACCAAACAAGUCCUCAUUCUGAUUAGAUUGAGUUAAAAAGUUGUUUGGGUCAAUGGACAACUUUGAAGUAGUUAACAAGUAGUUAACUUGAAUCGCAANAUUACCAUCUCUCCUUCUCCCCUCACUCAAUUCAUUGAAAUUCUAAACGAAAAGACCUUCCCUCUCCUCCCCCGCCACCGCAGCAAGGAGGUAGAGUUCUGACGAUUGCUAAAUGCUUAAAUAAGUGUUAGUAAAUUAACAACACUCUUCUUAGGUUAUAGCGACACACUUUAACUGUCACUAUAUACCUAGCGACCCCACACAUAGCAAAAUUUUUUAAAAGUAUCGGUAAUUUAGUUGGCAGCACUUUUUUUUACCUAUACCGAUAUUUAAAAGUGUCGCUAUAGACCGUUUUUGUUGUAGUACUCCUCAUCGCAUUCCGUUAAUAGAGAGUAAGAUUUGUGAAAUCGAUACAAGCAAUGAAGUCGAUGAUAACAAUAUAACAUACAUUGGGGCAUCCAAGUAGGCUUGGAAUGCAUUUAGGAAUCAGUUGGCUCAAAAUAUGUUCAAUCAGUGGAGAAGUGGAAUAAAAAACUAGAAUUCAUGGAAUGUAAGAAAAUUUAUAUUCAUUUGUGGCCGAUGUAUAGUGCGCGUUUUCUUCCGUAUACUUCAAGUUGAAUUUUCUUUCGUGAUGAAAAGUUUUGUUGAACUUUAUAUGAGGCACUUUUAUUAUAUAUGUUAUGUCAUUCUUUCAUAUCAAAAUUAUAAGAUACUAGCGAUGUAUCCGCGGUAUAUUCUUAACUAUAUUUAUAAAAUAUAAUAUAUAUAUUUUUAUUAAAUAUAUAUUUGUAUCAACAUCUGAUUCUAAAAUGUAACGUUUUGUUAUAGGUCUUGUCUCUAGGUAUUUAAUAAUUUCUAUUUAGAUUCUUGAGGUUUAGUUUCAUAAACUUUCAAAAUUUUCUGAAGCAAAAAAGAAAAAGCUUGUAGUAUACUUAUUUUUACACCAGUUUGUCUAAAAAUAUAUAUCCUCUUUUUGUGUUUUUCUUUAAAUUCUUAUUUUUCUUAUUCUAUUGAGAUCAUUAUUUUUGUCGAUCCAUGCAAGCAAUAUCGAGAAUUAAAAAUAUUAUGAUAAAAUAAAAAGUAAUUACUUGAUUCGUAGGUUUUUAAUUGCUUGACUUUAUAAUUUUUUUGAAUUUAUGAACAUAUAUUUAAUUUUGUAAGAAAUUUAUAAAUUUAGCAUAUUUAAGCACCAACGUGAAAAAAUUAGAUAUAAUUUAUUUUAGAAUUUGAACUAACAAUAGAUAAAUGACAAAAAAUGGAGGAGUACUCUAAUUGGUUUAAUAGUUGGUAGAUAACAAAUCAAAAUAAUUUAGAAAAAUAGCUCAAAUCCUAUAAUAUCGAUUUAUUAUGUGUAUUAUUAAUAAACUAAAUUAAUUAUAUUACAUGUACAAUUAAUUAUUAAUAAAAAUAAUUAAUUAAUUUUAGAAAGUUUAGGAAUUUAAAAUUUCAAAUUUUGAAGUUGAAAAUUUGAGAAUAAAUAUUAUACAUUUUAUAAUGGCCAAUUUGCAUAAAAAAUCCACUUAUUUUGGGCUUUUGCAAAACCGGACCAUCUUUUUCGUUUUUGCAGAUUCGGUCCGCUUUUUCAGCAAACUGACCAAAAUACCCUUAUUACUUUUUCUCUUUUCUCUUUCUCUCUCCUCUUCGUUUCUCUCGUUCUUUUUUUUUUUUUCUUGCCGAAAAAAGUAGCGAAGGCGGAGGCGGAGGCGGAGGCGGAGGCGGAAACGGUCCGCUUCGCCUCUCACCAUGCUCUCACUCUCGCUUUUGCCCUCGCCCAUGCACCUCCCAUCUUCCUCGCAUCCAACCCCGCCAAGGCCACGCCGCGACUUGUUUUUUUUUUUUUUUCUUCUCCAACUCUUCUCCACCGUCUCCGACGACGAUGCCUCUCUCGCCCUUCCCUGCCCUUCUCGUCUCCCUCUCCUUCCUUCUUUGCCGCCUCCGACGACGAUGCAUAUUCGCCGGCGCCGACGCCGACACCGUGAAGGUUACUGCGGCGCUGCAGCCUCGGAGCGGGGGGUCCUUAGCGGCGUCGUCGCCGGCGCCUUGGCGGUUGACAGAGAGAGGGUUUCCCCACCUUCCUCGCCUCAGACCCUGACAAGGCCGCGCCGCCACUGUUUUCUUCUCCAACUCUUCUCCACCGUCUCCGACGACGAUGCCUCUCUCACCCUUCCCCGCCCUUCUCGUCUCUCCCUCUCCUUCGUUCUUUGCCGUCUCCGACGACAAUGUAUAUUCGCUGGCGCCAACGCCGACACCGUGGAGGUCACUGCGACGCUGCAGCCUCGGAGCGGGGGGUCUUUAGCGGCGUCAUCUCCGGCGCCGUGGCGGUUGAUAGAGAGGGUGACAAAAAAUAAUUAUUAAAAAAACAGAAAAAAAUAAAAAUAAAAAAUUAUAUAAAAAGAAGGAUGAAGAUGAAAUUAUAUCGUUAACUGAAAAGAAAUUUAUAAGUUACACUAGUUAAGAUGUAAACUGCGGCUUUAAGAUAAAAAUUACACUCUUUAAACGAAAAUUACACUCUUUGGGAGAUAUUUACACUGUUUCUCUUCUUAUUGCACUCUUUCAGAUUUAACUGCAUUCAUUAAGAUGAAAGUUACACUCUUUAAACGAAAGUUGCACUGUUUCUCCUCUUAUUGCACCAUUUCUUCUCUUUUUACACUAUUUUUUAUUUUAAAUUGCAUCUCUUUAAUAGAUAUUUAUACUGUUUCUCCUCUUGUUGCACUAUUUUUUCUCUUUUAAAAAUGAGAAAUAGUGCAACAAGAGGAGAAACAGUGCAACAAGAGGAGAAACAAUAUAAAUAUCUAUUAAAUGGGUACAGUUUAAGAUAAAAAAUAGUGUAACAAGAGAAGAAAUGAUGCAACAAGAGAAAAAAUUGCACCAAUUUAUCUUAAACUGCACUCAUUUAAGAGAUAUUUAUACUGUUUCUUCUCUUGUUGCACUGUUUCUCCUCUUGUUGCACUAUUUCUCCUUUUAUUACACUAUUUUUUCUCUUAAAGGGUGCAGUUUAAGAUAAAAACAGUGUAACAAGAGGAGAAAUAGUGCAACAAGAUAAAAAAAUAAUAUAAAUAUCUCUUAAAGGGGUGUAGUUUAAGAUAAAAAUAGUGUAACAUGAGGAAAAAUGGUGCAACAAGAGGAGAAACAGUGCAACUUUCAUCUUAAUGCAUACAGUUUAUAUCUGAAAGAGUGUAAUAAGAGGAGAGACAAUGUAAAUAUCUUUCAAAGAAUGUAAAUUUUGUUUUAAAAGUGUAAUUUUCAUCUUAAAACUGCAGUUUACAUCUUAAGUAGUGCAACUUAUAAUUUUUUUUUACAGUUAACGAUGCAAUUUCAUCUUCAUCCUUCUUUUUCUAUAAUUUUUUAUCUUUAUUUUUUUUUUUUUUUUUUUUUUUUUUUUUUUUGUCGCCCCUCUCUGCCAACGGCAACGACGUCGGCGACGACGCCACUAAGAACCCCUGGCUCCGAGACUGCAGUGUCGCAGAGACCUCCACGUUGUCGACGUCGGUGUCGGCGAAGAUGCAUCGUUGUCGGAUGCGGGAUGAGGGAAAGGGAGGGACAAUAAGGGUGGGGAAGGGCGAGAGAGACGUUGUCGUCGGAGAGGGUGGAGAAGAGCCGGAGAAGAAAAGAAAAGAAAAAAGCAAAAAAAAAAAAAAAAAAGUCGGCGGCUCGACCUCGGCGAGUUGUAGGCAAGGAAGGUGGGGUGCGUGGGCGAGGGCAAGGGCGCGAGCGAGAGCAUGAGGGUGAGAGGCGAGGCGGACCGUUUCCGCCUCUGCCUCCGCCUUCGCUACUUUUUUGGCGAGAAAAAAAAAGAACUAGAGAAACGAAGAGAGAGAGAAAAAGGAAAGAAAAAAGUAAUAAGGAUAUUUUGGUCAGUUUGCUGAAAAAGUGGACCAAAUCUGCAAAAACGAAAAAGAUGGCCCAAUUUUGUAAAAGCCCAAAAUAAGUGGAUUUUUAUGCAAAUUGGCCUUUUAUAAUUGUAAAAUUUCAAAUUUAGAAUCGUAUACAAUUUAAAAACCUUCACACNNNNNNNNNNNNNNNNNNNNNNNNNGGGAAGGGACACACUCAAAAGGGUGGGAAGGGCGAGGAGACGACGUUGUGUCGGAGAGGGUGGAGAAGAGCCAGAAGAAAAGAAAGAAAAAGCAAAAAAAAAAAAAAAAAGUCGCGCCGACCUCCGCGAGUUGUAGGCCAAGGAAGGUGGGGGUGCGUGGGCGAGGGCAAGGGCGCGAGCGAGAGCAUGAGGGUGAGAGGCGAGGCGGACCGUUUCCGCCUCUGCCUCCGCCUUCGCUACUUUUUUCGGCGAGAAAAAAAAAGAACUAGAGAAACGAAGAGGAGAGAGAAAAAGGAAAGAGAAAAAGUAAUAAGGAUAUUUUGGUCAGUUUGCUGAAAAAGUGGACCAAAUCUGCAAAAACGAAAAAGAUGGCCCAAUUUUGUAAAAGCCCAAAAUAAGUGGAUUUUUUAUGCAAAUUGGCCUUUUAUAAUUGUAAAAUUUCAAAUUUAGAAUCGUAUACAAUUUUAAAACCCUCUACAUAUAGAUAAGGUGGGGGGGGGUUGUUGGGAAUGUGUCACUUUAUGACUCCCAAACCCUCCUUUAAUAGCGAAAAAUAUAUAUAGAACAAAUGCAUCCAAAAUCCUCGUGGACCAUACAUAUGUUGACAAUCAACGGUCUAUGAUGCACCAAGAGCACAGAAAGCAGUCCCAGUACACGUUCCCCAAUUCAGAUCAAUGGAGGGCCGACAGCGGAUUAAAUUUAUCGAGUAGGAGGCCGAUUUUUCAAAUUGUGAGCUGAAGGGGCGGGAUAUAUUGACUUGCGGCAAAACUUUGGAAAAAGGCAAUAUAAUGUUAUAGCAGAAAUGCUUAGGUUUAGUGUUACGCCCCGAAACCCGUCUAUUUGGUUGGACUCGGGCACGCCAACAGACCGCCGAAGGGACAAAACUUUCCCUGUACGUCCAAGAUGUCACAAUCAAUACAAUUUGCGAGGUUCUAGCCAGAAACAGCAUUCAUACAUGAUUGCAUAAGGAAGAUAUCAAUAACAUAAAACAAUUAAGUUAUUACAAGUAUUCACAUCACAUGCUUUUUACAUAUUACAUUUUCGUUUUCUUCCGAAUACAAUCAACUUUACUACAACUCUUUCUGCUUUCUUUUCUACACCCUAGCUAGGCUCACUUGGGGUACUGUUAUCUCUGGUCUCAGUAGUAGGGCGAUAUUGUCCUGCCUCGAGAUAGCCAAUUUGGUCGGUUCAGGCACGUCGAACAAACGCCGAACGGAUAGCACAUUCCCUGUCCGCCCAAGGCUCAACAACCAGAUCAUGUGCAAGAAUUUGUCCAGGAACAACUCAAACACAUACAUGAUCCAUGCAAGCGAUGAUACAGGCACCACAAAUGCUAAACAAGUAAGAGCAAGAAUCACAAGUACAUUCAAGUGAAUAAAAAAGAGUUCUACUAGCUAGUACAUCACACUAAACCAUUUACACCAUUUGAUUUACAUUCACAACUUCCAAAAUAUGGAUACAAGUUCAUCUCAUCAUAAUAUAAGUGUGCAUACAACUCUCCAAAAGCAUCUCACAACCUAUACAUUAUCUACACUAAUGCAAAAGGGAAGUCACUACUACUAGGGCGCUAAGCCCUUACCGCUAUCCUCGCCCGGAGUGCUCGAACUCGGCCCUACAACCAGAGUGGGGGUGAGAACUAUAAAAAUAUAGUUCCUAGUGGGUUCGGCCGCUGAUUCCGCCGAUCUUCCCGCUAAGUCUAAGCAGGCAUAAGCAGAUAGAUAGAUAGAUAGGUAGAUAUGAGCAGCUACUAGCAUAGUAAAUAAUCUACAGUACACUACUAUGCCUCAAUCAAUUGAAAUGAAUGUAUGAACUAUAACGUAAUGAGCUCACUAUCAUGAUACUAUGUUCAAUAAACAAUGACAUUCAUUUGUUCACCCAAUCACUUGGCUAACCCUAAGGUUCGCCCUUGACCCACUAUGCCAUCUCGUAAGGUAAGGAGACGCACUUCGCUCACAAACCCGAGACCGUCUGCGAGACAUCAACUUUGCCUCUCGUGUAACAAACUCCGAAGUGCACGGCUUGUGUGGAGCGACCACCCCAAGCUCAACAGACUAUGAGUAUGAUCCAAUUCUCUCAACUUAAGGAUACCCUACCAACUAGGGCUAACGAUCACUCGGGAAUCCACCUAUCCCAAUGUUCAUAUUCAAGUGUUUCAACUACACUAAGUUCUCAUGCAAUAACUCAUAACUAGGGAAUCCACCUAUCCCUAAGUUGACAAUGUCAUAAGUGUUUUCUUUACACUAAGUUCUAUGCCACUCGUCAUGUAUCAUUCACUAUUUACAUGCCACUCGUUAUGUCGCUACAUAACUAUCAAGUUCAUCUCUCAUUUUGGCACCAUAGGAUUUCCAACUUGUCAAGACCCAAUUCCUUACAUAUCCACCAUAUCAUGUAUUCACCUCACACAAUGAUAUCAACUAGGAAAGCAUAAGGGAAUGGAAAUGCACAUCGACAAUCCUACAAUGCAUGCAACAUAAGAUGUCACGCCCCGAUACCUAGCAUAGGCCCUCAAGAACUAUUCAAAUACUUGAGGAUAUGCUUCGAGCGUAUGUACUUGACUAUAAAGGUGGAUGACACGAUUACUUGCCGAUGACGGAAUUCACAUACAACAAUAGCUAUCAAGAAAGUAUUGCGAUGGCGCCAUUCGAGGCCCUCUAUGAAAGGAAGUGUCCACUACAAAAAUUUGUACUGUUAAUGACCAAGUUUUAACGAAAGGGGUUAAAUUUGGUUGUUAAAAAUGUAUAGAUAGGAUUCCCACGCAGUUAACCCGACUUUUAACGAUCAAUAUUAUUUUGGCCGUCUUUUCUGAGAUUUAUCCCGUCGUUAAUUAUGUUGCUUUGGCGCGUUUAUUUUUGCUCACUGCCGAAUUUUUUGCAAGCUUCACACGCAACCCCUCUCUUAAUUAAUUUACAGAGCCCUCCUCUCCCUUUUUUUUCUCUUCUUUCUCUCCCAAUCCCCUGUGACUCUUCGUCUUCUUCUUUUUCCCGCUUUCUCUACCCCACAAGAAAUCCCACCCACCGGAAGCCACACCCUACAGCCCGGCAGUUCAUCGACGCGCGUGAGCCCUCAGUCGGCCUGAAGCGAAUGUUGCAAGUUGUAGCCCUUCUCACGAGUUCCUCGACGGCGAGCUCUCCAACAAUCUGAAGCAAUCGUACCCUGUCGCCCUUUCUCAUGGUUCCUGUACCUUGCAUCCCGUCGCCCCGUCAACCCUCCGACAGCCGCACCCAGUUUUCUAUAAGUCGCGCCUUUUGUUAGCCCCCAGCCGAUUCCGCCCGCACCCACAGCCUGUCGCGCCCAGCACUUUGCAAGUUCCUUCACACCGCCUCCCUUCUUCUCCUAUCUUCCCUAUCCUCUGAUAGUACAAAUCUAACCCCAUAUCUUGCAGAUCCCAUCUUACUGGUUCGGGCCUCGUCAUCCCUUGGUCGCCAUUGUCCGCGCCCGUCGCCAUACCCACUGCAAUUUUCUAAGUAUUUUCUAUUUCUUUACUAAUUAAUUGUCAAGUUGUUUCUCAAUAUUUUUUCCUCUUUAAGCUUUUAGUGUUUUAAUUUUGUAGUAUUUUUUUGCAUUAACAGCUUAACAAUGUGUUUUUUUUUUUGUGUAUACUUUUUAGAUUUCAAUCUUGGUUUCUCUAGUGUUUUAAUUACCUAAUUUUUUGCAGGUUGAUUUUUGUCAGUUUGUUAAAUCUAUCUUCAAACUUGAGGCUCUUCAGUUGGAAUGUCGUUAAAAUUUUUAGAAGUGUAGAUAUCAUAGUUGUCAAUAUUUGAAUAUUGAAACUUUAAACUAUGCAAGAUGCAGACCUUGUUAGUUGAAAAUCUUCUUUAUUGUGUUUGUAUUGUUUUUUUUUUUCUCCCCUCUGUAGUUAUGGAUGGCAAACUAUGGUUCUUAAUUUUAGUUGCUCUUAAAUUUGUCUUAAUGUUCAUGAGGUCAUAAGAUUCUCUAUGCAACCAUUUAGAAACGAUUCUUGAACUGUUUUCAUUAGGUUCUUUAGAAAAUAUUCAGGAAUGCAACCAUUUAGAAAGGAUUCUUAUUAAAGUAUGGAAUCUAAGGAACAAGAAGAUCAGGAAAGGGAUGGGCUCCAAGAAUCUCGGCCUAUUCAUGUAGAAUCCUUCACAAAAACAAGAUUGGCCCAUCAAAUCUUGGGCCCAAAAUUGAUCCUCUUUGGGCCAAUGAUUUAGGCCUUCACUUAGCUUGGCCCAUCAGAUCAAGAUUUACACACCAAGGCCUACAUCCAAUCCAUAAUUACUGGUGCAGUAGUGGUAUUUGCAAUGAAGUAAACUAUUUAUGUUUUAUGAAGAUCCUUUGAGUAUAUCUGUUGACAUAUUUUUGUGGUAGUAUUGUUUAGCAAAAGACCUUUAUUAAUCUUUUAUAUGUCAUGGAUUGAUACAUUAAUUUUUUUCAUAUUGGAUAUUUAGCCAUUUUAAUGUUAUGUUUUGCUCAAAUCUGACAACUUUAGAUUGCUACUUUGGACUAGGGGUUAACAAAUAACAUUUGAUGCCUCAUUGGUACAUGAUAUCAGCAAUUUAGGUGUUGCAAAAGUAAAGUGGACUUCAUUAUAUUUUAGGUAAAUCAAAACUUUAGUAUGCUUGUCUAGAUACUGAAAGUACUUUGUCCCUUCCAAAAUAGCAAUGUUUCUAUUGUUAGAUCAUCCAUCAGAUGAUUAGACUCUCUGUCACUCCCCGUGCCCCGCCUAUUUGGUCUGGUUCGGGCACGUGAACAGACCGCCGGAUGGACAGAGUCUCCCCUGUACGUCCAAGGUGUCGCAAUCAAUACAAUACGAGAGGUUCAAACCAGGAACAGUGUUCAUUCAUAGAUUGUAUAAGGAAGUAUCAAAAACAUAAACUACUAAGUUAUUACAACAUUCAACUUAGAUGCAUUUUACAACAUAAUUUUUUCUUUUACAAUCAACUUCCAAAUAUAAUCCCAAUUAUUACAAUUUGGUACAACUUAAAAAAAGUUUGUUCUGUGUCUUUAAACCUCCCAAGCUAGACCACCAACUCGGGUACUGCUACCUCAGUCUCUGGGUAGGGCGCUAUCUACUGAGCUACGCCCUUGCCUUGCGCUGCCGCGCCGCUCACGUGUGUACCUGUAACACCCCAAAACAACGUGGGGUGAGAACCAACUCCAUGGUUCCCAGUGGGUACGGCCACCCAAGGGAAAAGCUCGACCAAUAGGUCUAAUGAGGCCCUGCAACAUGUUAGUGCAAUAAUAUAUAUCACCAUAUUUAUACGAUAUUGAACUAAAUGUCAUGCCUCCCGAAAUGCAACAAGAAAUGUUUGCAACUAUACAAGUAGAUUAAUUAAUUCUACUUCAUAUUCUUAAUCAUUCUUUACUUGUAACCUUUCUUUACUUUAUCAGCUAUUCUUAUUCAUUAGCCUUUCUUUACUUUAAUUCCUUGCCGCACUAUGCUCAUUGGCGAUUCUUUCAUAAGGUUACCUUUACCUUGGUCAUCUAUGCCACCCGACUCGGUCUUGAGUUAAUCAUUCGCGGAUAGUUCGCGCACUAUUAAGCUCGAGGUGAAGGAACACUCACAUGCACCUCAGCUAACCACAGCCUACCGUACUCCUGUCCUAGCCGUCUGGUGGCGAACGCAUCGCACCUCACCCAACAACGGCCUAGGUCAUGACUUAGCUACCCGGCGGCGAAAUCGUCGCACACGCCACGAACAAUGGUUCAGUCAACAGGCGGUAUGAUCCUCUAACCGGCUAAUCAUCCGGCGGCGAAAUCGUCGCACAUACGCCACGUCGAUGGCUCUUUAGCCCUUGGGCGGCGAAAUCGUCGCACACACCCGACACCACUUUGGGUGUAUCCAAGUCUUGGGAUUCCGGAAUCCAUUUCCACAUAGCUCAAGGGUUGGUCUUAAAACCCUAUACUGAUGACCUAUCUAGGUCCAAUGUCCUUUACAUAACCUAAGUUAAUACUUUAGGUUCGUUGCCUCUAUACUCAUAGCCUAGGUUUAUUAACUCUAGGUUCAUUACUUUUGCCCACCUAGGUUCAUGUGACUCUAGGUUCAUUAUCUUUGUCUCACAACCUAUGUUUCUACAUUAGGUUUAAUGCCAUUCUUAUUUAACUUAUGUUCAUCAACACUAGGUUCAUUAUUUCUCUUGUCCAACCUAUGUUUACUAACAUUAGGUUCAUGUCACAUUCGUUCAACCUAUGUCCUUGACACUAGGUUCAAUGCCACUCGAUCUAUAUGUGUACAUAUGUCCUUUACUUAGCAUUCUGAUAUUGUGUCCAUAUACAAAACGUGGUAGCUUAACAUAACAUUCAUUUUAUGCAUUCAUGUGUCAACUAACAUUAUGUCCAUUUACCUUAUGCUUUCCACUAGCAUCAUUCUUACAUUAGCAUUUCUAUUCAUGCAAUAGGACUAACAUAUGCCAUUUUCUUUAUGUUUACCACUUUGCUUUAUUUACCCUAUGCCUUUAUGCUCUAUUUGGUAGCCUACAUAGUAAUCAUUUCAUACUUGUAUACAUUCUAUCACUAGCUACCGUUACAUGCAUCAAUAUGAAACCAUUUAUCUUAGACAUACAGGCGACUUAGUCGCUUCGGUAAACACAACCCACCUUAACUCGCGUUCCGAUUGCUUGUCGACACUUGCAAUCGGCCUCACGCGGCGCCCGGCACCCGUUUGGGCCCGAUCUCACAAUUGCACUCCAAAAGCGCUCCGCUUCGCCGUUUCAAGUGCAGAAGCUCUUCGCCACGCUAACACGAUGCCCCAGAUCCGUUUUCAUGAUUUUUGGAUGCUUAUUCCGCGUGCUACGGUCAUCUGUACGGAAAAUAACGUUUUUGUCAAUAACUUCGCGUACACUCGUCGGAUUGUCGAACCGAGCGUUUCAACGCGUUCGCUUGGUCCCCAAUUAGAUUUCUAUAAGGCCAAUUUGCCCUAGAAACAACCGGUGGCAAAAGCCCCAAAUUUGGUGCCCUAAUAAUGUCAUAACCGUAAUCUUAGGUUUUGAUCUCUAGAACAAGCAAAAGAGAGCUUGUUCAACUUCUUAGAGCUCAUUUAAAAUCAUUCGAACCGUUCUUAUCGUGUUUAGAGCAAACCCUCGAUUUUCACCAUUAGAGCACCUUGAAGGAACCCAUGGAUUUCAUGUGUUCAAGGUCUCAAGAGGCUUCUAAAUGUGUAAGAAGCUCCAAAACUCUAAGUAUUAUGGUAGAAAUCCAAGCCCUAAAGCUACUCUUGCAAGAAACCAUUAAAGGGUUCAAAGCUUACCUCAACCAAGCUUGUUCUCUUUCACAAGGAGAAGAGGAUGAAGAUGGUUUUCCUUCUCAUUGAUCUCCUUCACCUUUCUUUUCUUCUCUUUUUCCUUCUCCUCCCUUCCUUCUCUUUUCUUUUUCUUUUCUUUCCCCUUUCCUUUGCACGGUUGAGAAAGGGAGAGCAGUGAGGGAGUGAGAGUGAGAGAGAGAGAGAGAGAAAGAGAGAGAGAGAGAGAGAAAGACCCUCUCUUAAUCCUCUCUCAUGUUGUAACAAUAUGCCAACAAGCCCCUCACCUAUUUCUAUUUGCAGUAGACCCAUUUCAUGCUGUUCUGCCAAAGUGUACCGGUACACUUUCCCGUGUCACCGGUUCCAUAGCCUUUUUCUCCCAAACCUGAGAGCAAUAUCUCAUUUUCGUAGCAUUUGUACCGGUACAAAACAGGGGUGUCACCGGUUUCACAUGCUGAAACCGGUUACACGUCGCUUGCUGUACCGGAACACUUGCUCCAGAUUUGAUUUUUUGCUCCGUUUUCUAUUUCGCACCGAAUAACGCUAAAACCAUUCCAACUCUUUUAGAACUCAUUUUUAGCUCUUCCAAGCUCAUGUACACCGCAACUCCAUAACUUUAGAAGUUCGGUAUGUUACACUCUCUUGGAUCCAUCAAGAGGGGUGUCACUAGUUAGCAUGUUGAACUACUUGUAGAUGUGUAUGCCUAACUGGUUGUUAAUGGAUCAGCUGAUUCUACCAGUAUGAAUGGGGUUCCUAGCAUAUCAUGGAUAAUUUGGCAAGUCUAUUUUACCUCAGUGUAAACUUUGGGUUACUUGGAACAAAUUCAUUACGGAUCUAAUUGAGGCAUGCUUAUGCAUGUUCAAUGCUUUAUGUUUGAUUGAUUUAUUAUGGAUAUAUUGUCUGUUGAUAUUCCGAAUAUUUAUAUGUCAAGUAGCUAGAUUCUGUUUUACCUUUAUACGUGGAUAGUGAAUGCAAAAUCAACCUAGGGGAAUUGACUAUUUCAUCUGCAUCCAGUUACGAAUAUUGACUGUUUUGUUCUUUGGGUUGAAAAAUAUGUCCAACAAAUUAAAGACAUUCUCCUAUUUAACCUUCUAAUUUCCCUUUCAUUUGUUCAUAUACUUGACAAAUUUUCAGCAUAGAAAUGUACUACAUCUUGGAAAACAUAGCAAUUGUAGCUUUUCCCUUGUUUGGAUGAUUAUGGCGAAAAUAUAAGACAGCAUAUUGCUUCUACUCUUAUAUAUCUUAAUGUUUUUAUUUAGUCUUUGUUGUUAUUAGCUCUUCAUGCUGAGCUUUGUUGUUUAGUUAUGCUGACUAAUGUUUACAAACUAAAACUUCAGUCUAUGGGCUAAGAAAGUCAUUUCCCCAUAUAGUAGAUUUUCUUGAAUUCUUUUGUGAAGUGAUGAUGUUCUUUCUUCCUUUUCAUUUGUAUUGCGACAAAUGAAGCCAGGGAGAGCUGGUAAUAGCGAAAUGCUCUUAUUAAAUUUUGUUGCACUUAAACUUUGAUUUCAUAACCUGAUAUGCUUGCAAUUUAAUUUUACUUAAACUUUGAUUUCAUAACCUCUUAUUCUUUGUUUUUUACAGCCACUCACUCUUUCCAAAGCCAAAUUACAGAUUGAAGCUACUUUCUCCUCUUCAUCUUUUUCAAGGUUUGUGUUUUUUAUCGAAUUUCAAUUAGUUGUUACUUUCAGUGCCCACUACCUGCUUAUCGUUGUUGAAAUAUUGUGAGGAUAUGUACUUCUCCUCUUUAUCUUUUUCAAGGUUUGUGAUUUUUAUCGAAUUUCAAUUAGUUGUUACUUUCAGUGCCUACUACCUACUUAUCGUUGUUGAAAUAUUGGGAGGAUAUGUAAUUAUGAUUUGCCCUUUUGAUAUUGAUGUUAAACAAUGUAAUUCUUUAUAUCUUUUAUUUUUAGUUUUUUUCGCAAAAAGUUUAGUCAUUUUGUAACUACUAAUAUUUAAACUUUGAAAUAUUUUAGUCUUUAAGUUGUAUGCAAUCGACCUCAAGACAUUAUGCUUCAUUCUUUGUUUUUUCGCUUUUACCUUCUUAUUGUUUCUAUUUAGUAGAAUUUUAAAUUUUGCUUAUUCAUUAGAAACUUCUUAUGAUGAUUUUGAUGUGAAUGAAUUCUUAAUAAUCAUUUUGAUGUGAAUGAAUUCUAAUAGUAAUUUUUCUUCUACAUUCUUCGCAAAUUAUUGAAUAAACCCUGCUCAUUAUGCUAUCUCUAUGUUUAGGUAAUUUUUUUGGAUUACCUCCAUACAAUUCUGAAAAAAUGGCACCUAGUAAAAGUUGGAUGGAUCUAGUUGAUGAUCGAUUAAGUGAAGCAUAUGAAAAAGGAGUUCAAAAUUUUUUGAAUUAUGCUUUUAAACGUACAGGACAAAAUAACAAAAUUCGCUGCCCUUGUGUUAAAUGUAACAAUAUAUAUUCAGGAACUCGUGAGCUGAUUGAGACACAUUUUAAAGUCUAUGGAAUAGUUCAAAGUUAUACUUUUUGGUAUCAUCAUGGUGAAAGGUUUGGUGAGUCUCAAUCAGAGUAAGAUUCGGAUGAUGAUAAUGAGGAAAUAGAAGAAGAUGAAAGCGUUGAUGAGAUGAAUGAAAUCAUAAGGGAUUUAUAUCCUGAAUUGAAUAGAAAUUUUGAGAACAAUACUACUACAGUUGAUGAAGAUUUUGAAGGCGAACCAAAUGAUGAAGCAAAGUCUUUCUAUAGGUUACUCAAAGAGUCUAAUCAACCAUUAUAUGAUGGUUCGAAAUGCUCAAAAUUGUCUUUACUAAUUAAAUUGUUUCAUAUUAAGAGCCUCGGAGGAUGGAGUAAUACAUCAUUUACUAUGCUACUUCAAUUAUUAAAAAAAGAUAUUCUACCAAGUGGAACAACUUUUCCAGAUUCAUAUUAUGAGGCAAAGAAAUUUAUUGAUGAUCUUGGACUAUCUUAUCAAAAAAUUGAUGCAUGCAUUAACAAUUGUAUGCUAUAUCGAAAGGAGGAUGAAGAAUCUGAUUUAUGCAAAAUUUGUGGUGCUUCUAGAUAGAAACAUGACAAAUAUAGUAGGGAAAUUAAACGUAAAGCAAAUGGUAAACGAAUACCAUUGAAGUCAUUACGUUAUUUUUCAUUAAAAUCUAGACUUCAAAGGUUAUUUAUGUCAAUAAAAACAGCUUCUUUUAUGAGGUGGCAUUUUGAUAAAAGAGUAGAUGACGGAGUGAUGCGGCACCCAGCUGAUUCAAUGGUAUGGAAGUCUUGUGAUGAAUUGCAUGAAUCAUUUGCAUUAGAGCCUCGUAAUGUGAGACUCGGUCUUGCUAGCGAUGGCUUUCAGCCAUUUGGAGAUUCGAGAAAACCAUAUAGUAUAUGGCCAGUAAUACUAAUUCCCUACAAUCUACCUCCAUGGAUGUGUAUGAAGCAAUCUAAUUUUAUUUUAUCAAUGCUUAUUCCAGGACCUGAGAGUCCUGGUGAUGCAAUUGAUAUCUAUCUCCAACCGUUGAUAGAAGAGUUGAAGGAACUAUGGGAAGUAGGGGUUGAAACAUUUGAUGCAUCAACACAAUAAAAUUUCAAUUACAUGCAGCUUUGUUGUGGACAAUUAAUGAUUUUUCUGCUUAUGAAAAUUUAUCUUGAUGGAGUACAAAGGGAAAACUAGCAUGUCCUUGUUGCAAUAAGAAUACUUUUUCUAUUAGGUUAACUAAUGGUAGCAAGCAAUGUUAUAUGGGCCAUCGACGAUAUUUGCCUAGCCAGCACAAAUAGAGGAAUGAUGAAUAUUCUUUUGAUGGCACGAAGGAGCGAGGUUGUGCACCAAAGCUAUUUAACGGGGAUGAAAUCUUGGAACAAGUGCAGGAUCUUGAAGGGAUCAUCUUAACAAAAGCUGCUAAUAAAAGAGUAAAAAUAUCUCAUAGCAAUCGGGAUGAUAAUUGGAACAAGAAAAGUAUAUUCUUUGAACUUCCUUAUUGGAGAACUCUUUUGUUGCGACAUAAUUUGGAUUUAAUGCACAUUGAGAAGAAUAUAUUUGAUAAUAUAAAUGGCACAAUUAUGAAUAUCAAGAAAAAAACUAAGGACACAAUAAAAUCCCGUCUCGAUUUGCAAGCAAUGAAUAUAAGACCAGAAUUACAUCCAAUCCGAAAAAGGGAUAAGUUUGUUUUUCCUGCUGCCUCUUACACAUUAUCGCCAAAUAAGAAGCAUACAUUUUGCCUUUUUCUUAAGCAAUUAAGAGUUCCAGAUGGCUUCUCCUCAAAUAUAUCUCAUUGUGUAAAUCUUAAAGAACAUAAAAUUUCUAGAUUGAAAAGUCAUGAUUGUCAUAUUAUGCUGCAACGCCUACUUCCUCUUGCUUUAUGUGGUCUUGUUCCUAAAGAAGUUUAUGAACCACUUAUUGAAUUAUCUUUAUUUUUCACUGUGGUUGGCUCUAAGACACUCAAGGCAGAUGAUUUGGAUCAGAUAGAAGCUCAUAUUCCAAUAACUCUUUGUAAAUUAGAGAGAAUUUUUCCCCCUUCAUUUUUCGAUAUUAUGUUGCAUUUGCCAAUUCAUCUAGCAAACGAAGCUAGGAUUGGAGGACAGAGCCAAUAUAGGUCAAUGUACUUUAUUGAGCGUCACUUGUAUACUCUAAAAGGGUUUUUACGCAAUAGAGCUUGUCUAGAGGGUUCAAUCGCGGAAGGCCACAUUGCAAAGAAAUGUAUGACCUUUUGCUUAAGAUAUCUUCAUGGUAUUGAGACAAAAUUUAAUUGUCAUGAGCGAAAUUAUGAUGAUAGAGAUAGCACAUCUGAUGAAGGUUUAUCUAUUUUUUCUCAACUUGGUAAAGCACUAGGAGCCGGUACUAUAUAUGAUCUUGAUGGAAAUGAGUUCGAGCAAGCACAACUUUAUAUUUUAAAGAAUUGUCAUGAAGUUCAACAAUUUCUCGAGUAUGAUUUCAUUGUUCAUGAACACUACUUUUUUCUUUUAUUUCAAUUUCUUAUGUAUAUAAUAAGUUCAUUUAUGCUGUUAUGCAGAGAAUACUCACAAACUCAUUGUAAUAGAGGAUUAGAAUUGUGUGAUAAGAACUUUAUUGAAUGGUUUAAGAUUAAGGUAAGCUCACUUUUAAUUAGAAAUUUUUGUCGAUCAAUAUUUGCAAUAUAUGUAGAACGCAAUAUGUUUAAUUUAUUAUUCGCCUUGUAGGUAGCGCAUUUAUAUAAGCAAGACAAAAGCUUGAUCAUGGAACACAUGCUUUCUUUGUCACGUGGCCCUACUAAAUAUGUCACAUGCUAUAAUGGUUAUCUAAUAAAUGGAUAUAGGUUUCGGAUAGAAGAUCGUGACAAAAGCUUAAAGAUACAAAAUUGUGGGGUGGUUGUUGUUGGUGAUACUGGUGCAGAAACUGGAAAACGAGAUUACUAUGGGCUCUUGACGAAGGUCAUUGAAUUACAAUAUGUUGGAGGUCAUCGAGUAGCAUUGUUUCGAUAUAAUUGGUAUGAUGUAUAUGAUAGAGAAAAAGGAAUUAAAAUAGAUGAAUAUGGAAUUGUUAGCAUUAAUUGCCACAGAUUAUUGAAAACAAAUGAGCCUUUGUGUUAGCUAAUCAAGCAUCAAAAGUGUUUUAUGCUAUCGAUAACAGAAAUAAAGGAUGGCAUGUUAUGCAGAAGACUCAGCCUCGUGACUUAUAUGAAAUGCCACUACAAAAGGAUGCAGAUUCUGAAGAUGUUCAAGAUGGAAUUGAUGCAUAUCAAGAAUAUGAAUCAUUCACUCCUAUCAAUAAUUUAUCCACUUUACUAUAGAGCCAGUGAUGAUUGAUGCAGUUUCCACACAAAAGAAGAGAAAACGAAGAUCAUAAAAGAAUGAAUGCAUAUUUGUUUGUCUUUGAAGACAUAAUGGUUUUGUAUAUGGUAUUUUCUUUUACUUGUAUGCAAAUAUAUUCAUUUCUGUUUAUGAGUUUAAUUUAAUUUUGGAUGAAUUGUUCACUAUUAUAUUUUAAUAAUGAACUAAAAUUUCUAAUUAUCUUUAUAGGAUGCAGCCGCCAAAAUCACGAAACGGGAAUGAUUCCACUUUUAGAGGAGAUAAGCUUAUGUUUAUACCACCGGGUGCAUUGGGCAAAGGGUGCGCACAAAUUGAUUUAAGAUCUUUCUAUUCCUUACGACCGUCGACGUCACAAAGUGAAAGUGUAGGGGCUAAUACUACACCAUCGCUUCAUACUCCUAUUGUGCAAUCAAAUUAUAUCUCCCUUCCUCAAGAUUUUGAGCUUAUGGAAGAAGCGCAUAUUGGAGAAGAAUCAAGGGAAACUGGUAUAACUUCUCUCCUUUUGUUUUACAUAUAUGUUCGUCUUUAUGCGUUUAUUUAAUCUUUAUGUGCUAUUAGUAAUGCAUAUUAGUAAUCUUUAUUUAAUCAAAUGACUAUUAGUAAUGCAUAUUUUUACUUUUCUUUUUCUAUUCCAAAGAAGAGGAAUGUGCGAGGUAAAAACAAGUGUAAGGAAGUCGCAAAGUUGAAAAGUGGAAAAAAAUUGGGCGUGAAAUUCUACAAUAAGCGCGUUGUUGGAAAGAAUCAUAGGGUAUUUUCGAGACACUUAGGAAGAAUCGUGCGCGAUCGCAAUAUUUGUCCACUUCGUGUGCACUCAUGGAAGGAGAUUGGAGAUGAAGAAAAGGAAUAUAUGUGGGUUACGGUGACGGUAAAAUUAUUUAAUUUAAUAUCAAUUUGAGUUANUUGUUUUAUAGGCUCAACAUCUAAACCACUUCUUUAGAAGUGAACAGAAAACGCAGAUUGAAGCUUCACAGCUAUAUGGAUGUUUUACCUCAAAUAUAAAUUCAAUUAAUAAAUAAACUAGCUUAUGUAAUGCCUGAACGUUAUUUAACUAAAACGCUAUCAUAAAUUUAUAAUAUCAAUGAACUCUCGAGAAAAAGAUGACAAUUAAACAAAACAACAUGCAUAGAGGCCUGGUCUAACUCCUGAAGUACACUUCUAUUACGUUUUUUUAUCUACCCCUGGUCUAACACUUAUAGUAUACUUUUUUUUUUUUAUCUUUAUUAUGAGAUGUUUAUUUUAAAAUAAUCUCUUCAAUAGAAUACGACAAAGCUAAUGAAACGAAACCUCUACAAAUAAUAUCUCAGUAAUACCCAUAGAAUGUUUUAUUAUGCUGUGAAUAUUACCUAAUAGUAUUAGAUUGUCCUAAUAUGUGUACUAAAUGCACUCUAUUUGUUGUGCUUAUAUUUGCACCGUAUGAAUCUUCUGUCGUGUUUUAUACUGUUGCAGUAUUUGUAUGAAAUGAACUCUUUUGGUUGUGCUUAUAUUUUUGUUGUAUAAAUCUUCUGUUCUAUUUCAUUAUAUUAAUAAUAUUGUCUCGAAUUUUGUCUUCUCAACUGUGUAUGCUUCAAUCACUUGCUGCCAUUACUCAACAAUUUCAGCAAUGAUUUUAUUGAACGUCAUAUUUAUUUUCAGCAGUAAUUUUAUUGAUCUUCAUUCUUCACCUGCACAGAUAACCCGCCGCAACGCGCGGGUAUUGCACUAGUUUGCAACAUUAAUUUUAGCCUAUGGAUGCACUUGUUACAACUUGAUUUGCAGAAAAAAGCGCAUUGCUUUUAGCGUCUAGCCCAAAUUAUUGAUCUUUUGUGUGCCAUCAAGCCUCCUCAAUCGCCAUCAAGCCUCCUCAAUCGCUAUCCGUUGCCUAUGACUUUUCCUAUAGCUCUUUUUUCCCCUCUUUUUAUUUUUAACUAGGUAAGAGCCCGUGCGAUGCCGCGGAAAGAAAAUAUCUGAAUUAUUUUUCAGAUUCAGAAUAUAUAUUUUUUAGACACGUUUAAUUUUAGGAACAUAUGAAAACGUACAAUACACGUAAUAAAAAAUAUACUCACAACGGGUGGAAAAUAAACAUAAUAUGAUGGUCAGAAGAUUUUUCAUAGUUAAUAAAUCGAUAAAUCAAUUUGCAUACGAUAUAGUGGAGUAAGAACGUAGCAUCAAUAUUAACAAUAAAAGUAAAUAUAGCCAAAUUGUUUUCACAAUAAUUAAAAACUAAAUAUGAACCCAUAUCUAUUAAUUUAUAGAUAAUUAAUAAAUCCAAGGUAGCACAAAAGCGACAUUCAUCAAAGUAUAGGAGAAUAAUGAGAUAGCAAAAAUCAAAAAAGGGCCAAAACUGAAUACAACACUUGUUAAUCUCCCAGACUUCAAAAAAUAAACAUAAAAAGGCAUGCAAAUGAUAGAAUACUAACACGCACACUACAACAAAAAUGGUCUAUAGCGACACUUUUAAAUGUAGGUACAUUGUAAAAAAGUGCUGCUAGCUAAAAUUACCGACACUUUUAAAAAGUGUUGCUAUAUGUGGGGUCGCUAGGUAUAUAGUGACAGUUAAAGAGUGUCGCUAUAACCUAAAAUAGUGCUGCUAAUUUACCAACAUUUAUUUAAACAUUUAGCAACCGCCGAAACUCUAUCGCGUUGGCUGCGGUAGCAGAGGAGGACGAUAGGAAAGGCACUUCGUCUAGAAUUUCAGUGGAUUGAGUGAAGAGAGAAGAAAAGAUGGUAAUUGAUUUUUCUUUUUUUCCUCUUUUCUGUUUGUAAUCGGGCCAAAUGGACUGGGUGUGGUGGGUUGAGUAGAAUAAUCUUUUAUUUUUGGUUGGAUUGGGCUUUAUAUUUAGGCCUUAGUAGAUAUUUUUUUAAGUUUUAGUAUAAAUGGGACACUUAUUCAAAAGUGUCCCAAACAUGUGUCCCUAUAACCUAAUUCUGUUGUAGUGGCAAGAGGCAUGCAAAUGAGUUUAUUUGAUAAUAAUUAGUCUUAUAACUAUCUAGUAUAAUCCAUCUAUUGGAAGAGAUAUAAACCACUAUGCAAGGCUUAUAAGCUCGCAAUUCCUUGUUAUGUAAUUUGUUGCUUCAGCUGACUGCCUUGCACUCACUUCGCUGCUUACACAUAAAAAAAAACAUCACAUGCAAGGUGUGGGAGAAAACAUACAAUACGUUAUUUGGGGCACAAAAGAGCAAAAGAGAAUGAAUGCUUAUUCUGAUUGUUUUGAACAAUUAGAAUCCGGGGGAACAAUUUGGGUCAAUGUAAUACAAAACAACCAGAAUAAGCCAGGAGCAUGUUUUAAGAUUAAAGAGCUAGGAAUUGAGCAAUACAGGAAUACCUUAGUGCAUGAAAGUAAAGAAUUGAGCAGGAAACAAUGCAGUCCACAUUUCUUGUUCCCAACACAUUAACUGCUUAAGAAAUGAAAGCAAUCAGAAUAAUUUUGUGAUGAAGUUUUGGCACCUGUACAUACAAACACACCUGUAGUCAGGACAAAGAGAGAGGACACAAAGGAAAAUGCAAGUAACUCGAAGAAUCAGAAUUAGAUCUCAAAGAACUCGAGCGCCACCACCUAUUCCAGCGUAUACCAAACCCCCGCAUCCAUCGCCUCCUUGUUCAAUACCCCACCACUAGCGUCCGGAGCGACCGCCGCUGCGGCGAUCGCUCACGUUCCUACACCUACUCCUUCCCAUCUUCAGGCGUGAUUCUCACAGAGGUGGUGCCGGCAGCGGCGCCGGAGGAGGAGGAAAGGACAGCAGCGGCGCCGGAGGAGGAGAACGGUGUGCCAGGCGGCUGCAGGGGCGAGGAGAAAGGGGCAGGGAGGAGGGUGAAGAUGGAGAGUGCAAGAGAGAGGGAGAUGGGAGAGGGUAAGGGCUUUUCUGAGGAGAGGAAUGGGGGUAUGUACGGCCGCAAAGAAGAAGAGGAAUGGGGGGGGGAGGGAUGGGCGGACGUGAGGGGAACGCGGAGAACUCCUUAAAAAAAAAAACAAAGAAAAAAACAAGCGCGCCGCGGCGCCGGCUGGCGUCCGCAGCCAGCCGCGCUCGUCGCCUGCGCGCUCGCCCGCCCACAACGCAUCGCCGCCGCGCCACGCGCGCUCUCCCAGCCACCGUCCGCCGCCCGCCCACCUGCCCGCGCCGCGCGCCGCGCGCCCGCGCGCCGCUCGGCGCCGAAAGGAGGGCCCCGCCGUACACGCUUUAGGAUCCCCGAUUCAAAACAGAGAGAGUGGAGUGGGUCUGACAGGACAAAAGAAAGAAAAAGGGAAAAAAAAAAAACUGCAAGCCGGGCUUGCCCCGCGCCGGCUGGCAUCCGCGCCGCUCGCCCGCGGCCAGGCCGGCCGCGCUCGCGCCGCUCGCGGCUCGCCCGCGCCAGCGCCCGCACGCCGCCGCCCGCGCCCGCGCCCUUGCCCGCCCGCUCGGCUCGCCCGCCCGCGGCUCGCGCCCGCGCGCCGCGCGCGCACCCCCGCCUGCGCAAAACGCGGAGGCCUCCUCGUACCCUCCUAGGAUCUCGACCCGGCUCGUGCCGAUCGCGCCGAUCGCGGAGAGGCCCGCUCGCCCACCUGCCCCUGCUCCCGCCCGCUCGCCCGCACCAGGCCCGCGCCGAGGCCUGCCGCCCGCCCGCUCACGCCAAUCGCGCCGAUCGCGGACCGCUCGCGUUGACCUCGCGCCGAUCGAGCCGAUCGCGGACAGCUCGUGCCGACCACGCCGAUCGCGCGGAGGGCAGCCGUACGCGGCGAGCGCUGGGAGGAUUGCCGUACAAUCUUUGGUUUCUCAAUUCAAAGAUAGAUAUAGAUUCUAUUAUAGAAUCAAUAAUUUUAAGGCAGCAUUUGGGUAUUGAAAUAAGUUAUUCUCUCUCGCAUGUAUUCUUAUGAAAUUUUCUUGUGUAAUUGAAAGUAAGGGGAUUGAUAUUUACACCUUAAAAGAUUCCGUAUAUAUAAUUUGAUAGGAUAACAUAUCUCACCUAUAAUGUGAUUGAUCUCAUUACGAAAAACAUAGGGGUGGAAAUGAGCCGAGCUCGAGCGAGUUUACCUCGGCUCAAAUUCGGCUUGAAAUUAAUUUCGAGCAUAAAUUUAAGCUCAAGCUUGGAUUGAAAUUAAAUUGAGCCGAGCUCGAACGAGCCUAAUUUUGAGUCGAGCGAGCUCGAGCCCUAAACGAGCCGCUUGAAAUUCUCAACAUCAUACGAUCAAUAGUUUAAUUUGUAUAGAAUAUUAUCUAUAAUUUGAUACAAAAAUAUGUCUAAUAAUUCAAAAUACAAAAUAAUUAUAUGAAAUAUAGUAUUAUAAUAUAAAGAAAAAUAAUUUAUGAGUUGACUAUCUAAUAUUUUCAGUCUCACAUGUCUUCUCUUCUGCCUUCAUUCUCUAUACUAUUCAUUUUUUAUUUAUGCGGUCAAAAAUAAAUAAAUUAUAUAGAUAAAUAUUGGAUUAAACUAUCCAACCAUAUAUAACUAAAAUUAAAAUUUUAUAUAAAUAAUAAUUUUUUACUUUAAAAAUAUUCAGUAUAUUUUCUCAAACAUACAAUUAAUAGCAAGGUAGGCAAUGACGGGCAUAUGCUGUUACUUGGUAACUUGGAGGGCUUUCGACUUGGCAGCUUAGGGUGAGAGACAGAAAAAGAGAAAGAGAGAAACAUAUUGAAAAUUUAGAGCUCUGCGAAAGAAAGAAAGAAAGAAAGAAAGAAAAAAUAUAUAAAUUUAGUAAAAUUUUGCUUUUUUAUUUGUCUAUUGGGUUUGUUUUUAUUGGUCAACAACAUUGGCCCAAUUUUAACUAAACUCGAAUUAUUCAUUCAGCCUAUAUAUAAUUAAAAUAUUAUAUAUAUAUAUAUAUAUAUAUAUAUAUAUAAUAGUACCCACCUACCGUCAUAUAUACACCGAAGUAAGGCCGGCCCUAACCUAAUCCAGCUCUUAUGAAGUAAGUCGGACCCUUACUCAUUCAUAAGUUUGUUUUCCGAUGACUGGCAGCUUCCCGAACCCGAUCCACUCCCCCAUUAAAUAUGAUCUACGAGUCAUUGAAACUUUCUAGAAAAAAAUUUCGUAAUUUUUAAGAAAUCAUCAAUAAAGCCAUCAGCGGGCGCGCAUAAAUCGACAACCAGAUAUACAAAAUCGAACGACUGUCCUAUAAAAUGGAUCGGAUCGGUAUCCCCAAUCAUUCUAAGUAUCGGAGUCUACUUGAUCGUCUUAAUUACUGGUACCGUGAACUACGAAUGAUAUCUAUUCACCAUUAUUCCGAUUUCUAUUAUUCACACCGUAUAUAUAUAUUACGCGAUUUUACCAAUAUACGGAACACUAGGAAAUUGUACAUCAUUACGUGAAGAUUUCACUUAUAAAGAGAGGAUAUAUAACAAAAGGAGAGCUAGUCAGAAACUAUCAAGUUUCAAAUGAAGCUCUGAUCAUUUUAACGAGUGGAUCGUCGUCUCCGGAAGCCACUCAUCGAAAACACUUUAAUGCAGUGUAAGGGUACCACUACUCAUAAGAGUAUUAAAUACCCUACUAUAUAAUACUACUAUACCACUAUACUACCCCCCCCCCGAUACUACCUAUAUAUAUAAUAUACCUAUAUAUCACUACCUACUACUACAGCGCCUAUAAAGAAUUCCGACAAUGAGCAGACGGAAUCGCAACAAAGGAAUAAAAUAACUAUUCCCCCUACUGAAUGGUUACGAUGAUCUAAUCCGAUUUAAAAACUAUUUUACAAUAAAUGAACCGGUUUAUCGAAUCAAUCUAAUUAAUCAUUCUAAUUAUCGCUAUUAACAAAAAUCCUAUUCUUUAAAAAAUCAUCACAAUAAAAACAGUUAUAUUUAAUCAUUUAGAAAUAUAGCAUUUCUACCUAUCUAUGAAAGUUCAAUUUCUACCGACGAAGUUAUAAUCAAUUGUUAAAAAAUUCUCAAAUAACAAACAAAGAUCAAUUUGUUAAAAAUACGCAAUUCCUAUUCAAGCUAUUUUACCAUUAAAAUUAAAUCUUUGAGUUUUAAAUUAUGAACAUAAAUUUAAUUGGUACCUCAACAUGUUGAAUUAAAAUUAUUUUUUUAAGUUACAGUGAAUCAGAAAAUCAAUUUUAAAUUUAAAGUUAAAUGAAUAUUAAUUCUUGAUGGGCUUUUAGUUUUUAAAACACAUAUUAAAUUUUAAUUCAUCAAAAAUCUAAAAGUAAUACCAAAAAAAAAGAACGCGGUAAGAUAUUGCGCAAAUAAUUUCCUUAAUAAAUAUAACAUUUUAAUUUAUAAAUAUAAUUUUAUUUUAAAUUUUGGAUAUAUAAUAAUGUACACAUUUAUAUUGAUUUGAAAUAAAUUAUAAUAAUUGUUAUUUGCAGGUACACUCAACUAGUAUCAUACACUCACUACGUACUACGAGUCGAGCUACUGAUACCUUCUACAAGUACUCACCAUCUACUCGGUGCUAUAGGGUUUUACAGCAUUGGAAUCUACUUUUCGAUCCUAUUAAAUAGCCCUUGGAUAAACACUAUUCACUACCCCCACCCAAACCACCCACCUAACCACCCAUCAUCUCAACCUCAACCCAUCCUCUCCAUCCGAGGGCUAAAAACACCACAAGUAUUACCCCCCAUUAUAUUUCUACAAGUAUUCUACGGCCCUAUCUCUUAUAUACCUAUAGCUUAAUAUAUAUAUAUACUACUUUUAAACCAAGUAGGGCUAGCUAUACUCCUUAAUGAUGUAGUGGACCCUUAACUCUCCAUCAGCUCGUUUUGCGAGAUGGACGCCUUUUCGACAUCGCAUGAUCCAACCUCCCAUUAACAUAUGAUCUGAGUAUACUUGGAAACUUCAGAAAAAAUAAAUUCUCGUAAUUUUUCGAAUCAUGAAUAAAUCCAUCAAGCGGGCAUGCAAAAUGAACGCGGUCCAAAAUCGCGACACGACAUCCAAAAUAAAAAAUGGAUGAUCCGGAUCCCUCCAAUUUUUUUUUUAAAAGAUCGCGGAAGUUAUCUGAAUCUUUAUUUUAGGUACGUGAAUAGACAUUUUCAUCCCAAAAACUCAACCUAUUCCGAUUCUUUUCCACCGUUAAACUAGCAAGUAUCCCAUACCGGCCGUUAAAAAUUGUCAAUUUUGUGAGCUUUUGAUCAUAAGGUAAAUGAUGUCGAAAAAUUAUGAAAUUUAAUUUCUAGAAAUUUUAAAUGCUCUAGAUCAUAUUUAACGGAGUGGAUCGUCGAUUCGGAAGCCCCAUCAUCGAAAACAACUUAUGAGUAGUAAGGGUCCACUACUCAUAAGAGUAUAGUAGCCCUACUAUAUAUAUAUAUAUAUAUAUAUAUAUAUAUAAAAGCAUAUAAGAAUUCCGACAAUGACAGACGAAAUCCAAAAAGGAAUAAAAUAAUAUUCCCUAUGAAUGGUUAUGAUUAAUUUGUUAAAAAUAUCUCAAAUAAAAAUGAACGGUUAUGAUCAAUCUAUUAAAUCUCUACUAUGUAUAAAAAUCUAUUCUUUAAAAAAUAUCUCAAAUAAAAACAGUUAUAUUUAAUCUAUUAAAAAAUAGCAUUUCUACCUAUCUAUAAAUUCAAUUCUACGAACGAUUAUAAUCAAUUUGUUAAAAAAUAUCUCAAAUAAAAACAAAGAUCAAUUUGUUAAAAAAUAGCAUUCCUAUUCAUCUAUUUUACAUUAAAAUUAAAUUUUGAGUUUAAAUUAUGAAAUAAAUUUAAUUUGUAUCAAAUUUGAAUUAACAAUUAAUUUUUUUAUUACAGUGAAUCAAAAUUAAAUUUUAAAUUUUAAAGUAAAUAUGAAUUAAAUUUUGAUGCUUUUAGUUUAAAACANNNNGAGAAGGAACUCCAAGCAAAGGAGGCAGAACUAAGCAAGAGGGAAAAGGUAUUUUGCCAUUGAAGUUCUGCCAGAGGCUAGUCCUGUGUGAUUUUGAAACUUCGACAGUUCCAGCAUUACUUCUUUUGCAGAUUAUAGUAUAUCAUUAUGGAUUGUAAUCAAGUCGGUAGAUUGGAUGACACAUCAUUCCCUAUAUAUAUAUAUAUAUAUAUAUAUAUACUUUAGAACCGUUAUACUAUCAAAAAUAUAGAGGAUUUGAUAUUUUCGAAUUUUUGACACUUUGAUUAAAAAUUGUAUGAUUGGGAUGAUAGCCGUCCCCCCUAGGAUUAAAUAAUACCUCUAAAAUUGAGUGGUCCUUACAAGGUAAUAAUAGUAUUAAUCUAAAGAUAAGAAAUGAUUAAAAAGGUUGAUCUAAGAAUCAAAAAAUCGAAAGCACCGAUCCUCUAUACUUUCGAUAAUAUAGUAGCUCUACUAUAUAUAUAUAUAGAGCUUUUCGAGCCUAAUUCGAACGAGCUGAGUAAUACUCAAGCUCGGCUCAUUUAAUUUCGAGUCGAGCUCGAGCGCGCCAAAUAUCGAGUCGAACGCGAGCCGGCUCGCUCAUUUGCCUGCCCUAGAAAAACAUGAUAUGUUUUUCCAUUCCAUAUGUUUGAUCAUCCUCUUCAUCUACCAAAUACAAAGGAGAUAUGCCGGAUAAAAUAUUCAUGCAUUCAAAUAGAACCGCCUGCAAGCAUAAGGUACCAUUAUACUUAGUACCUGGAUGCAAUAACGUUAGCUCCACUUCUAAAACCACUUGCAGCAUGAAAAAAAACGUAGUAGCUGAAGGGCUAGUCAUGCAAACAACCACUCAUCGGGAGCCAAAGAGAACUUAGAAGCCCCAGAAGACAGCUGGACUUGCAGCACAUGCUACCUAGUAAAGUAUACUACACCAUCCCAACGAUAAGCAUUGUAAUUAAGGAUUCAUGAAUGGAAUAGAUAAAAAAGUAUAAAUCUUACAUUUUUAAACUUCACUCCAUUUUGAUUCUGAACUAUUCAACCUUCCGAAAUUAUAUAUAAUUCUACCUUCCAAUACAUUAAUUUUGUUCGACCUACGUGAUUAGAUGACUCUCCAGCCGCAAAAUUUAAGCUAAUUGUUUACUUCAAUAAAUUUAUAGUUGCAUGAAUCGCACAAACCAUGCUAUCCAAAUCCAAACACGAACAGCGCAUUGUAGAGUUAAAAGAGCUGCUAACAGGAUAUCAUUGAAUACAUUUAAAAGAUAAAAUAGCAAAAUCAAAAUUUUUAGGGAGGUAAUUUCUAUACAGUUUUACCAAUGGUAGGAAUACAACACCAAAACCUUCCCCACUUCUCUCCUCUCUCCCAUCAAUCCAUGUGACUAACCCAAAUUCAGCAACGAUAUCAUCAUCCCCCGACUCUCUAGUAUCAUCAGCUCGGAUUCAUCAUCCCCUGACUCUCUAGUAUCAUUAGCUGGGAUUCAUCCUCGGCUGAGGAAAGGGUCAGGGAACAUUACACAGUAAUAAAUAAAUAAAUAAAUAAAUAAACAAAGCACUGGUAAGAUCUCUCUCCAAACAAUGUACUGCAAAAGCACGUGUAUAACAAUUGCAAGAAUAAAAUUUCUGUUACUCGCAAAAGCUUGCAAAUUAAUCUCUCUCUGAAACUCAAUAAAACAGGAAAAGGAAAGAAGAAAAUUGCACAAGUCAAAAGUAAUCAAUCACGAGAAUCUAUAAGCAAAAGAUUUAUAUAUAGCCGUUUCUCCCUGUCACGGUGUCCUGAGCAAAAGGCAAAAGCUUCGAGAAGGAAGAAAUGCAAGACGACUAGCUACAUAAAUAGAGACUAUAAUUAAACAAGCAAAAAGGACGAUAAAUUUAGGAACGGGAUUUCCGAAAAAGGCGCUGAAGGUAUGCACGUGCCAGCUUCUCCCUGUCCAGCCUCUCCUCCAGUUCCAGCAAACCAUCCACCGUCCUCUUCCUGAGCUCCUGCUCUGCUACCACGGCGUCCUUCAUCGUGCGAAGGGAAUCAUGUGACUCACGCAGCUUCUUCCGAUGUUCCUCGACCGCGUCCUCGAGGCGCUUGGUCCGUGCCUCCAUCUCCUCCAGGCGCUUCACAAGACCAUCCACGUCCUUCGGGCUCGUCGAGGCAGCGGCAGGGGCGCCGCCCUUCUCCAUCGCUCGCUGCGGCUGCGGAGGGAAGCAGUGCUAGGGUUAGGGUUAGGCUUAGAAGAGAUGGUAAGCCGACACGAUUUAGGGCUGGUGAGAGGGGAAUUUGGGCAGUAUAUAUAUAGACUUUCCGGGCGUGGCGGAUCGGGUGGUCCCGCUCCGAGAGAGAGAACCCGACCCGCUAAAUGCCGCCCAGAGCGGAGGCCCACUUUCUCGCCCAAGACGGAACCCAACCUCUUAUUUAUAACCGUUUUCUCUCGAGUUUUUUUUGCAAAUAGCCCCUUCACAAAAUUUUACUUUAAAAUUGGCUCUGUCAAAAAUUUAUUUCCAAAAAUGAUUCCGUUCCUGCCACGCAAACGCCACGUCAGCACCACACGGGCAGGGCAGGAGUUUAAGCUGAACACGGUGAAUGGUUCACCGUGUCCAAUACAAAUAUCAUAUUGGACACGGUGAACCAUUCACCAUAUUCAAUACUGAUACAGUUUUAGCCAAAAAAUGACCAAGUUCUAGAUAGUUGUAUUGGACACGGUGAAUCAUUCACCGUGUCCACUAAAACUAACUCGGCUUAGCCAACUUUUGGCUAAGUGAGAAUAUUUGUAUUGGACACGGUGAACCAUUCACCGUGUUCAACUUAAACUCCUGCCCCGCCCGCGUGGCGCUUGCGUGGCAGGGACAGGGCCAUUUUUACAAAUAAAUUUUUGACUGGGCCAAUUUUAAAAUAAAAUUUUAUCAGGGAGCUAUUUGCAAAAAAAGCUCGUUUUCUCUCAGUUUAGUCCUUUUGUUCUUGCAAUUUACAAAACAGCACAUUAUGAAGAAGUGCAGUGUAAGGACUGAGAUUUUGACAGUCCAACUAAACUUUCUGUUGACGAUGUUUAUGUGUAUAAUUUAAUUACAUAAACACUCGUCAAAUUUCAGGAGAAAAUGAGCUAGAAUGGAGAAAUUACGCGAUCAGAACCGAUGACUUAAAGUGAAUAGUAACUCCGGUUUUUCGGAGAAGCUACGGAGUAGAGUUGGCUUCUGGCGUGUAUCGGACUCCUUUCAUAGCAAUCCAAUAGCUCGUUUCGAUCGGUUCAGUUGUUCUGGAACCUUUGGCGCUGACGGAUUUUGGGUUUGAUGCACGGAUUUCGAGAAAAUCGAAAAAUACAUGUUUUAUAUGUAUUUGUGUGUCACUUGUCUGUUGGAGAGAGUGAACGGGUUUCGUCGCGAAUUCGUGACCGAUCGUGGCAAAACGAAGUGGUAGGUUUAUUGUCUCCGUUGUGCUGAUCGCACCGGUGUGAUCCGUUCGCAAAUCCGACGGACGGAUCGCUAGAUGUCACACGUUGAUCGAGGAGGGGUUUUUAGUGGCAAAACGGUAUUUUUGCGAAAACCUCGAUAUUUUAUGUACCGAAUCGUGCGAGAUCAGACGUGGAGGUGCGUACACGCGAUUUACUCGCGCUGUGAUGGACUAGGUUGCAAAUAACCAGUUCUGGAGGACUUUGGUGCAAAGUGGCAUAUGGUAUAUAAUAUGUCUCUAGGGUUUCUAUGCAGGAAACCCUAGAUCCGGCCGACCUAGUCCCCCAGCUAUGCCCUAGGUAGCAUCAGCAGGUCUCAGCCCUAGCCAUGCGCAUGCCCCGGCCGCCGGCAGCUGCUCCGGCCGCCGGAAAACCACCCUCUCCACCUUCAUCUCCACUAUUCUUCAUCCUUCCUGGCCGUGGAUUACCCAGAGGUCAUCCACUCGCGUCGUGACCCCUCCCUUGGUCGUGGCCCAACCUCUGGCAGCUUCCCCGUCGGACCCCGCCGCCGCCGCGCGCCGCUAUCGCUGCCCUGGCAGGCUGCGGCCAGAUCUGGCUAAACCUGAUCGUGGAGCUUCAGCUCCGUCCUAGUGCUGUCGCUGCCACCAUGGGACGUCCAAGCCGCCCUCCCCGGAGCCCCGGCAACCUCCGCCGGAGGCCCAUACCGUCCGCGCGCCGUCGGCGCCGACCAUGCUCUCGGCAGCCAACCCGGUCCUACCUUGGCCGAUCUCAGCCCAACUCGAGGCUCGCGAGCUGCCGCCAGCUGGAUUGGGCCGCGCCGCCCCCUCCGACCUCCGACGAUGCCUCGCCGUCCCCCGGAGCUCCCCCAUCCGUCGCCGUGGCCGCCGCUGCCAUCCAAGCCCGAGCUAGGCUCGUGUGGGCAUGGGAUGCUCCAGCAUCUCCGCCACCGCCCUCUGCCGCCGGAAGGCGUGAGCGCCGGGCCUCCCUGGCCGGCCGCACUCACCCGCCACCGCCGCCCCGCCGCCGGAGCUCCUUGUUGGCCGGACCGAGCCCAAGCUCUCCUCGGGUUGUGCGGCUAGGGUAUCAAUGCCCGCCGCCUCCGCAGCCUCUCGUGGCCGACGGACGCGCGCCCUGGCCUCCCUACACUGGCAGCACCCUCCUCUGGCCGGCUAUCCGGCCGUCCGGCCGCCGCCGGCCGCCCCGUGCCUCACCUUGCUCCGGUGAGUUAUUUAUUAGCUUUCUGCACCUUGUCUUGGGGUUCCGAUCACUGUUUUGGUGAACUGAAGCCACUUCGGGUCUUCUGGAGGUGAGCACGAUGAUCCUUGUUCAGUGCCGAUUAUCGUGGCCACCUCCGUUUGGGUCUAAGAUGCCCCGAUUUGCGUGUUAGACACGAUUUAGGUGCUGUGCGCGCUGUUCCGUUGAAGUUCGCGUCGCUCGUGCGCGUGCCACAGUGGCCGGCAGUGCUCCGAAAGGUGAGAACAGCCUCCAGUAUGCCGAGACCUGUCAGUGGGUGUCUCAUCUUGGCUGAUUGACUUCUGGUUUGGGUUGGCGGACCAUAAAAGCGUCGAAAUCGCAUGAAAUAAUGCGAUUUUGGGAAAACGGAAGGGACUUUUAUGCAAUUUUGUUCUUCGUGGCUACUGUGGGCAGCGCGUUGGUGUGUGUGGUGACGUUUGGACUGGUUGUCCAUGAUCCAUUGGUUUUUGCGGAAAUCAGAGAGUCGAUUUCAAUGCGUUUUUCGGCAAAAUUCGCCGAAAGAACGCGGUUUCAGGUCGGAUUUCUUCCGACGUGGUUUGGUUUUCCUGUGAGUUGUUGCGAAGCCUUGUUGAUUAGUCACCAUCAUCAUUUUGUGAGUUCGGUGAUGAUAGGUGAGCGACGGUGGGUUCCGACGUCGAAAUCGACACUCUCGGGAACCCAGAUCGGAACGAUUAGCCGACGAUAAUCGUUUCGAUGAGAGGCCUUGUGUUUGCUGCCAAGUUCCAUGGAUAUUAGUGUUUCUUAGCUGUGGAUUAUAUAUUAACUCAGUGGACCCUCCGUAGGUCCGGUUGACAUUCUUUUGCAGCCAGGAGACAGACGCGACAUCCUUACAGGUGGGUACUUCGAUCCGACGUCGGUACAGUAGUGCACGCUCGGUGAUGGUUUCUUACCCUUACUUCCUUAUUAUUAUCCAUGCUUAUACUAUAUGUUGAGCCUAGCACCCACGUUGUUUGGUUAUACUCUACUUAGAUGUUUUCAUCCUUAUUAUCAUGUGUAGGAGUAUAGUAGUUUAUCUGUUUGUGAUACCCUGUUUUCUUAUUGCUCUACUUGCCUGUUCUACAUAUCCUGUAUCAUGUCUAGAGUAGAGCGGUUUCGUGACUAUCUGGGAGAUGGUGACUUGGUCGGUCAGUGCAUUGUAUCUGUUUCUGUGACUUGAUUGGUCGGUUGUUAUAUCUCGUGUCGGUUCCUUGACUUCUGUCGUCAAUGACCGUUGAGGUCGGUGUACCCUGAGGGGUUUGAUUGUCGGCUAGUGGCUGACUGUAGUUCCAGAUUUUAGUGAUACAUGAUGUGACAUUGUAUGACCUAUUGGUCAGUUCUUGAGUAUACAGUUAGUUGACCUUGAGUAGCCAGUACUUGCGUAUGUUUGAGAGGAUGUUGAGUGGUUCCAUCCUAGUUGACCUGAGCGAUCGGUACUUGUGUUUCUUACAGUUCAAUGACCUAUUGGUCGGUGUGCCCUGAGGGGCAGGAUUGUCGGCUGAUUGCCGACGGCUUACUAUUGAGCAUUCAGCAUUGAUCGCCACUGCUUGUAUGCAUUUCACGAACACCAGCGGUUUGGCCACCGCAAGAGGAUGUUCUUUUCCGAAAAAGUAGUUGGGAGUGCCAACCCGUGAGCCCGAGUGCUUUAUGCGAGGGUUAUAUGCUUUCUGACCCGAGUGCUUUAUGCGAGGGUCAGAUACCUUUCGGAUCCGGGUGCUUUAUGCGAGGAUCACGUAUAGGUUGAGCAGUUGUGGCACAGGCCUGAGGUCUACGGACCAUUAGGGCAGUUUUCAAAUUGGGUAUAUUUGGACUUAUCGUCUGGUUGACGCAUAUAGCUAUAGUAGCGGUUGUUGCUUGUAUACAUUUAGUUCUUUCGUUACAUUAUCUUGCUACUAUAGUUUUGUUAUAUGUAUACAUUCAGUUGUUCAUUACAGUAGCAGUAGUUGUACUUUCAUUUAUAUAUAUAUCUCUGUCGUUUAUUAUUAUUGCUACUGUAUUCCCACUGAUCCGUACUGUUGUUUAGCUCUUCCUGAUCUGGUGAGUACUCCUCGCCUUCUUCGGCUUGCGGUACCCACUGGGAGGGGAGACAUGUUUACAUGUUCUCACCUUUUCCACCAUUUUUCAGGUAUUGUGGGCGGUGAGGGUUGAGACGAGACGUGAGACACGUUCGUAGCGGUUGAUAGAGCUUCCGACCCGGUUUGUUGGUUUAGUUCCUACCCUAUUUACUUUUGUUAGUAAUAGCUUUGAUAUUUCAAUGGUUCAAUUGGUUUAAGUUAUUCGAAUUCAUGUGGUUUUGAAUGAAAUAAAGAACUUAUGGAUUUUGUGUAAUGAAAAUAGUUUUCUACCCCUCGUGGUAGCGCAUUUUAAAAGAAAAGAGUUUCCGUGUGGGAAACAGCUUUUAAAAAGGUUUUUCGUGGUUUUCGGUACUUAGUAUUUCAAAAUGAGUUUUCGGAUUGAAAACGUUUUAACUAAUAGUUGUGAUUUUAUGUUUAAACAAUGAAUGAUAAAUAUCUGGUGAAUUGUGAACGAAUGUUGAGAUUUGUCUAUUCAUUUAUUGUGGUUGUAUCCUAGUUAUACUCUGUUGGACAUCUUGUACUUGCGCGACGCCGUGCAAAUACAGGGGAGACUCUGUCCGCGUGAACAGUGGAUUCCCUGUAUUUGUGGCGAAUCUGGCAUACCUUGGGGUCAGGUUUUCAAAAAAAAAAUUCCGCUGUGUUUUCACCUAUAAAGGGACCCUAGGGCGUGACAUGCAGCGUACGAAAUGGUGUUAAUUAAUUAUAGAAAAGAUUACCAAACAAGUGAAUUAGCUAAAGGAAAAAUUCUAGAAUGCAACGAGUAUAUUGGUGAUGCGGCGUAAUAAAUCAAUCAAAAAAUUCUCUUUAGAGAUAUAUGUUCCAUCAUGACUAUAAAAAAGUAUUUUUAUUGUACUUUUGUUAGAAAAGAAAAAAGGCGAUUGUCUUGUUAUUGAUGACGUGGUGCAAGUGUGAUAGUGUAGAAUACCUCUCGCUCAAGACUUGUUUGUUUUACUGAUACUGAACUUGUUUGUUUUACUGAUACUGAACUUUAGGUUGAACUGAAUUUUAUAUGAAAAAUAUUUCUCCCCCUAUGUUUGUUUCCAUAGUUGUGAAAAUAAAUUUUUUUCAGCUUUUACUGAUUGUUUGUUUGGUAUGAAAUAAAAAAAUAUAAAACUAUAAUUUAUGUACAAUAAUAAAUAACCUAAUAUGUAAUAAGUUAUAAUAUAAUAAAUAAAAAUAAUAUAAUAUAAUGAUAUUUCUAUAUAAUUAAAGAUUUUAAUCUAAAACAACUAAAUUAUUCUUUUAACAGUAACACAUUAAUUUUAUUAAAUUAAUACAACAAUAAAAUUGUAAAAUAUAAAGAUAUUAAAAUCAAUUUCUACCAUAUUUUAAAUAAAUGUACAAACUAAAUUAAAAAAAAAAAUACUAGAACUUAACUAAUCAAUUUUUAUCAUAUUUUAAAUAUGCAAAUUAAGUAAAAAAAAUAAUUAGCACCAUAAUUAAAUAUAUUUAAAUAUAAUAGCAUUACUCAUGUUUUUUUUUUCCUUCACCUCCUUUUACUGUAAUUUCUUUUCUGAGAGAUAGGUAGCACGCUACCCGCUUCGUUUAUUUCAUUUAGAAAUAAACUUGGAAAUGUGAAUCAACUAGGAUUUGAACUUGGAACCUCGGGUACCAACCACCAAGCCAUUUACCGUAAUUGAUUUCGGUCCAGGGAAGGCCGAAAUCAAUUAUUUAUUUCAAAUAACUCAAGUUUCGAGCGUAUCUUUAUUACUGCGAACCAAAUAGUAAAACUAAUUAUUUACAGCAAAAAAAAAGACUUAUGUUUGAUUCGCCGAAAGUGAAGUUUUGAAAGUAAUACUUUUAGAAAGUCACGUCUUAUCAAUUGAUUGGUUUACGAAAGUAAAUAUGAAAGUCAAUUUACGAAAGUGGGCUGACAAAGUGAGUUACAAUUAAAUCUCACUUUUUCGACUUGGGCUCAAAUAAUUUGGAAAUCACUGCAAGUAGAAAUCUUAGCUAAUAGGUUAUAUUUGAUCUCAACUUUAAUAUUUAAAUUUAUUUUUAAAGUUCAAUUUCACUUUAAAUUUGAAUUAAAAUUAUGAUCACAUUUUGAAUUUUAUUUGUAAAUUAAAAUUCAACAUAAAAUUUUAAAUUCAAAUUUGUGACUUUAUAUUUAAAUUUAAAUUUUAAAAUUUUAUUCAUUUAAAUUUGAAUUCUAAAAUUUUAAUUUUAAUUUUAAAAUUUUAAUUUUAAAAUUUAAAUUUUGAUCAAAUUAUUUUAGUUAAGAACUUCAAUUUGAAAAUUGAAUUCAAACUGUUCCAACUAUAAAUUUAAAUUAUUGACUGAAAUUUGAAUUUAAAAUUUAAAUUUUCAAGUUCAAUUAAGAUUUAAAUUUGUUAUUUACAUUUAAUUUCAAUAGUAAGUUUCAGUUUGAAUUUGAAUUCAAAUUAUGAAUUUGAAUGUUCGAUUCAAUUAAUUGUGAUUUAAACUCAAAUUUUAAUUUUCAUUAAAUAUUAGUUUAAAUUUUUGAAUUCAUAUUUGAAUUCCGAAUUUAAGAUCGAGGAGUAAAUUAAUAUAUGAUUCAAAUUAUAAAUUAAAAUUAUGAAUUCAAAUUUGAAUAAAUAUUCUAAUUUUUGUGUUGAACUUUUAUUUUAAAAUUUAAUUUCGAUUAUAAGUUAUAACUUAAAUUUUAAAUUCAAAUUGUAAAUUAAAAUCAUGUCUUAGAUUUUAAUUAUAAAUUCAACUCUGAUUAGGCUUGGAAUGCAUUUAGUAAUCAGUUGGCCCAAAAUAUAUUCAAUCAGUGGAGAAGUGGAAGAAAAAACUGGAAUUCAUGUAAGAAAAUUUAUAUUCACAUGUGGCUAAUGUAUAGUGCAUUCGUUUUCUUUUGCAUACUUCAUGAUGAAAAGUUUUGUUGAACUUUAUAUGACGCACUUUUAUUAUGUUCUGUAAUUUGAACUUAUUAUUCUUCAUAUCAAAAUUAUAAUUAAGAUGUAGCUUGAUUUAACAAUUAUGUGUGAGAGAUAUGUUUGAGAUAACUUGGUGAAGGUAUGUUGCAUGUAUUUUCUUAUUUUAUUCUAAAUUUAUUAUGGCAUAUUUUACUGUUGGUUGUUUAACUUAUGUUACUUUGUAAACACAAUCAAAAUUAAAGUCAUCAACAUGCAGUUGAUCUAAGAGGAAAAUUGCUUUUGUUAGAACAAGUAGGCAAAAAAAAUAUAUCCAAAAGAAAAUUAAUGUAGGAAAAGAUGGUUUGGUCAGAACAUGAGCUUAUAUUAAUAUCGAAGGUAAAGUACAAAAAUACCUUUCAAAGAAGAAAUCAGAGGCUAGCACAACUGUACCUACUAGUCAAAUGCCCCUCCAGUAGGAAAAAUUUUAGAAUACAACGGAUAUAUUAGUGACGUAGCGUAACAAACCAAUCAAAAUAAUUCUUUUAAAAAUAUGUCCCAUCAUAAUUAUAAAAAAAUAUUUUUAUUGUACUUUUUGUUUGAAAAGUAGGAAUGUGAUUGGCUUAUUAUUAAUGACGUGGUGCAAGUGUGAUAGUGUAGAAUUCCUUCUCCAGUAGAGACUACUAUAGUUACACCGACAGUCAUCACAAAUACAUCGGUUGCUGCCCAGGGGAUAUCAGAGUCAGAGCAGGAUCGAAUACGAGCACUCUCCGGCCUCGACAUGGCCGCCCUCGACACCACCGCCGCCUCCUCAAAUAAGAAGAUAGGACGGAGAGUGAUGCCGGUCGAAGAUGCUCUGCAACAUCCUUGUGAUGAUGAUUACGGUUAUAAUGAUGAUGAAUAUUGCUUCUAUAGUACUACUACGGUAUCUGCCUCGAAUUCUGCAUUUAACAAUUAUGAUCAGAUGAUGGCCUCAAAAAGGAAAAGUUCUGGCACUCCGAGUGCAACAUCUCAGUGUUUUAGGAGGAUGUUGAGCACCAUUUUGGAGGAUGCAGAGUGAAAAAUAAAAAAUAAAAAAGAGAAUUUUGCGUAAUUUAGCUCGGAUUGUAUUUGAUUUUUUUUUUUAUUUCAUUGUUCCAUUUAGAUUAUUUCUUAUUCCAAAUUUCUUGAAUGUAUAUAAAAAGCAGCAAAUUUUUGUUUAUUUAUGGCAAUUAACUGAGAGCAGCAUAAGUUUUUAAAUUAGUGCCUGCGAAUCAAUUCCCUAACUUACAUUCAAUUCUAAUCUCCUUCCUAACUUAUAUAUAUACAAGUGUAAGAUCAAACGACUCGGAACUUAAAUGAAUCAGCAGAGUGCAUGCGUGACCAAAAAGUGUGUGCUUGAUAUUAUCGUUUGUCCCGCACCAGAAAGAGAACUACUGCACAUUGAAAGGCAUCUAGGAAUUAAAAAGAAGGACAGCUCAAAAUGUAGACUUCAUACCUUUCUCGGCCUUUUGGCUAAGAUCAAGUGUAGUAUCUAUUCUCAUCAGUUUAAUAUCUGAUAGGCGUAAAUUCAUUUUUCUGUGGGGGAGGGGCCCGCCCCACAGCAGCUUGCUGCUGGGGCCCUCGCGCGUCACCCAAGCGUUGCACUACCGCACGGGCCUGGCGUUGCACCGCUACCAAUACGAACUUACGAAGUCUCCAAAAUUGUUUAGAAAAACCUAGUUAGAUCUACUAAACCCGUGCAUGUUUGGGAAAUUCUGAGAAUAGGUUUCUCUGACAAGAUUUCUAGCAUAAGCAGCAGCAGCAGCAGCAGCAGCAGCAGCUGCAGGAGAAACCAAGUUUUCGAUCAUCAGAUGAACAUAGCAAGUUUCAUAGCGAGCAGAAUCCAGACUGCAUGCACUACACGGACAGGUCAAGCACAUCUAAUUUUAUCCAUAAGAGAAACUAACGGUCGGAAAUGUUUGAUCACUCCAGGAAAAGAGGAUUUAUUAUUUAGUCGACUGACAGCAUUGCUAGUUUUCUUUUUCAGUCAGCAAAUUCAUCAUGAGGCUCUCAAUCAUCUUCGUAUCUCGAAACUGCAAUUCUCUUUUGUUGGGAGUAGUAGGUAGAUUCGUAGAAGAUUUCUCUACAUUAAGAGCAUAGAGAAAAUUUCAUACGCACCCGACACACAGCUAGGAAAGCGCUCAUUUUCGCGACGAUUUCAUUGACUCGCGAUCUUGAAGAGGAACGAACACCUACACUAGUUUCUAUUAUCCUGCCAAAAGAGGAUUUAGUUCCACAAAGGAGGACUUUGUUAGAAUGGUUCUUUCCUUGUUCUGCUACAGCACCGGAGAACUAAGUUAAACUUUCGAAGCGUCCAUCCGAACGUCUUACCAUCACGCUGCUCUCGUGCAUUCAGAUCCCUGAAAUUGCGUGUGGAUCUAAAACCAAGGUGAAUAAUCUUAGCUUCUAGAACAGGUGAGAAGUAGAUAUUGCAUUUGAGAAACUGGGAACCAAGGAAACAAAUCGUGACCAAAAUCUACGACUAAUGACAAAAUAUAUCCCGACACUCGCUCGACGGAAACGUAGAAGAAGAACAAGAUAAAGUCCAAGUAAGCAUAACCUAGUGGGAGAACGAAGGCAACAGCAAUACGAAAUUUGACGAAGCAUCUCUUCAGGGCAUGUGCAAAUUCUGAAUGAAAAAAAAAAAAAAAAAAGACGAAGAAAGAAUCAUAGAAAGCAGGAAGAGAGACGAACUACCAAAUACAAAUGGUUCUUCUCUUCAAUUCCCAUCAACUGGUAAAAUAGAAUAGGUCUAUGCUGCUCAUUCUUUUCCUUUGAAUUGUAUUUCAUAUCCAAGUAAUCUAGCAGUAUAAGAAGUUUGCACCGAUCUAGUAUAGACUGUUUUGGACAUCUUAAACUACACCCCUAAAUCCUAGAUCUAGCUAGAACGACUUUAUUUACGCAAAAGCAAAAGCUAGUCGUAAGAGGACUGAAGAGAGCUCUCACUCACGGCGUCCGCGCUGCAGAAUCCACGCCAGCCCGCAGUAGGCCGCAACGCCGAUCGCUGUGCUGGCGAGAACCGUCCCCAUCGUCGCGUUCGGGAUCUCGACGCCGAGUGCGACUGUCGGCUUUCCAUCCUCCGUGAUGCCGACCUUCGACCUGACCUCCACCUCAUUCUCGGGCUCCUCCGAAAAGCGUUGCAGCUCCUCCUCCAGAGCGCGUUUCAGCUCCUCUGAAGAGAAGGUCCGCUCCGCCAUCGUCGACUCGGGUAGGAGGAGGCCGGCGCGAGUAGGGAGGUGAGAGUGGCGUGCGACUGGCAAUUAAGGAACCCUAGAGCGAUUCGGGGAGUGGGGGAGUGGGGGAGUGGGGAGUGUGCGCCGAGUAGAGAUGUAAACGGGUCGGAUUUGCGGCGGAUUUUUGAAAAUCCGAACCCGAACCCGACAGAUUUUAAAAAUCUAUAACCAAAUCCGAAUCCGACUAAAAAUUCGAAACCCGAACCCGAACCCGAACCCGAAACAAUUAUUUUCUUUUUCAAUAUUUCAAAAUAUAUUAUAUUAAAUCUAAAUUUUUAAAAUACAAAUUCAAAUAUAACAUCAAAUAUUUAUAUAUAUAUUAUAUAUAAUACAAAAUAAAUUCGGGUUCGGGUCGGAUUCGGGUUCGGGUUGGGUACAAUCAAAAUCCAUAUCCAAAUUCAUAUCCGUCGGAUUUCUAUUUUUGAUAUCCAUAUCCGAAUCCAUAUUCAUAUCCAUCGGAUAUAUCCGUUUCAUUCGGGUUCGGGUUCGGAUAAAAUUUCGGGUAUCCAUACCCAUUGACAUCCCUAGCGCGGAGGAGGAAAAAUUCUAGAAUGCAACGGGUAUCUUGGUGACGCGGCGUAACAAGCCAAUCAAAAAAAAAAUUUUAAAGAUAUAUAUCCCUUCAUGAUUGUAAAAAAGUAUUUUUAUUGUACUUUUGUAUGAAAAGAAGAAAGAUGAUUGGCUUGUUAUUGAUGACGUGGUGUAAGUGUGAUAGUGUAGAAUUUCUCACGGCGGAGACUGAGAGGAAAGAGCCGAGAGGAACCCUAGUAGAGAAAAAAUUCUAAAAAGCAACGGCUAUACUGGCGACGUGGCAUGACAAACCAAUCAAAAAAAUUUUUUUAGAGAUAUAUGUCCCAUUAUGAUUGUAAAACAAUAUUUUUAUUAUAGUUUUGUAAAAAAAAAAAAAAAAAUGAUUGGCUUGUUACUGAUGACAUGGUGCAAGUAUGAUAGUAUAGAAUUCCUUCUAAUAGAGAGGGACAGUCACGCAUGACACACCUAAGUAAACAAAAAAAAGUUUGGCUCAAUAAAAAAAUUUUGGCAAAUUUUUCAGAAUUAAUUUUCUUAUUAGGGGAACCCAAACCAAAAGUAAUUAAAACCUACUUUUUUUUUUUUUGAAAUCUGAUUCUAAUUUUAAAUUUAAAUUUUAAAUCUUUUAUUUUUAUUUUAGAUUCAAGCUUUAAAUUCUAUAUUUAAAUUUUUAGACCUCGUAUUUUUUAAUUUUUAUAUUGAAAAUUUCAAAAUUUUAAAUUCUCAAUUUAAAUAUUAAAUCUAAAAUUUUAGAUUUCAAAAUUCAAAUUUUAUAAAUUUUAAUUUAAAAUUUAAGAUAAAAUUUAUAUUUAAAAAUUUUAGAAUCAAAUUUAAAAUCUAAUAUGUAAAACUUAAAAUUAUAAGUUUUAAAUUUCUAAUUACAUAUUUCAAAAUUUUAAAUUUUCAAAUAAUUUUCAAAUAUUCAAAUUUUAAAUUGUAAAUUUCAAGUUUAGAUUUUAAAUCUGAAAUUGAAAUUUUAAAUUUAAGAGUCCAUGUAAAGGGAUGGAAUUAGAUUUUAAUCUUAAAUUUAAUUAGAAAUUCAAACUUGAAGUAAAAUAUUCAACUUUAAAUUCAUGUUGAAAUUCAAAUUCUUAUUUCAAUUUGAAAAUUUAGAUUUGAAUUCAAUAUUUGAGUAUAUAUUGUUGAUUUAUAUUUAAUUCAAAUCAUUUGUUGAUUUAAAUUUGAAUUCAAUUCAAAUUUAAUUUAAUUUUAAAUUUUGAUUUUAGUUGUUAGUUUCAACCUGAUGUUCGAAUUCACAUUGUUAAGUCCAAUUGUACAUUAUGAAUUUUAUUAUAAAAUUUUAAUCUAAUAUAACUUUCAAACUUUAUGUUUUAAGUCAUAAAUUCAAAUUUAGAUUCAUAAACUGUAAAUCAAUAUGCGUAUUUAAAUUUUAUAUUCAAAGUCUAAUUCAUAUUUGAACUCUAAUUAGAAGUUUUAGGUCUUAAAUCAAAAUUAGAUUUAACUUUGGUUUCUAAAUUUGAUUUUUUUUUAUGAGUCUACUUUAUCUUCGAAUUCAAAUUAAUAAUCCAAUCUUACAUUUUGAAUCUGAUUUAUACAUUUAAAAUUCAAUCUUUCUCUCAUCUCUUCUAGUUGGAUGAGAUUUUGCAAACCCUAAUAAAAGUUUUUGGUGUUUUUGUUAAAGGAAAAGAUAUCCAACAAUAAGAACAACAGAGAAAUUCAUCCUUAAAUUAACAAUUAUUAAAUUAGAGCAAUAUCCGCAUUUACCGAUUUUUAAAAAUAAAAAUUCAAGUAUCAGACACCUGGAACCAUAUAAAAUGCAGUUACUUAGCAGAGAAUUCUACAAACACAUGCUCUUACCACUAUCACAGUUCAGAUAACUAUGAAAAUAUAUAUGUAUAUUCAUCAAAAAACGAAAACUGAAAGGUUUAAGUCUCAGUUCCUGCUCAUGUCCUUGUUUUUGCUAACAACAUUAUUCCACCCAUACAUCUUCAAAAAUCAAAAAAACGUAAUACAACAUACAUUCUCAAGAAAACCGAUCGAAAGAAUGCUGAGAACGAACCCGAAAGGGAGAAUCUCAUCGAUGUUUCGGCGAUAACGUGGCCAUAUAGUGUUUUCCAUUUGAAUGGCAGUUACUAUGCUUGUAUAACGUACCGUAUGUAUAUACUCCUAUAAAAUGAGUUCUCAUUAUUUUUGCCCUAAAAGAAAGAGGAGGAAAUUUAAACCUCGUUGUUGAACACACAGAUGUUUCAUUUCAUCUGCUUAUAGCAGCUAUAGGCAACAGCGAUGGAAGCAACGGCCGCAACGACAGCGAGAGCCGCGUAGGUAUCCUGGCGCUCCCACCUCUCAAACCAUGAGCAAGUUUUACGAGCGCCGGAGGUCCCUUUAGGCUUUCUGACCUCGCCUAUAUUUUCGCUCUUCUCGUUAACCUUAUCAUCAUUGUUUUCUUCUACUUGUUUCCCAUUUGACGGCAUGGCUUGGCAACAAUUUGAGGCUUUGCUUCCCCCGCAGCAACCAGUUUGACGCGCUGCAUCAUUGUUAGGCUGAAGUCGGAGGUUGUGAGCAGUUUUCUGUUCCUCUUGGGAUAAACCCAUCUGUCCCCUGUAGUUUUACUCAACACGGUAAAUAUCGAGCUUUAAAUGUGUCCUUUCUGACCUGUUUGGUCCGGAUAGAGCUUCCAUGGAACUGUUGUUUUAAGCAGAACAGUUCAAACAAAAAUUGACAGCUUUUCCUAUUGAGAUCUGGAAGCAGCUUCUUGCUGCAGUUGAAGCAGAAGCGCUCAACUUGGAGUUCUGCUUUUGGUGCCCAAGAGCUCAUUUCAGCUUCCACCAUAGCAAAAGCUCUUGAAUAAAAUUAUUGUUAGCCAAAUGCCCGGCUACUACUUCUCGGACCACAAAAGCCAUUCUAAAAGCUCAGCCAAACAAGCCCUAAUUUACUUGAACUGUAUGAUUGUUACAUACAACUACCAGAUAACAGCUGGUACCAUUUUCACUAAAGGGGCGGUUGGAUUGUGAAGUUGCAAUUAGGCCGUAAAUCAAGGUUUUAAGAACAGAAUCGUUAGUCCUAUCAACCAUCAUAAAACACUCAGAAGAUAUGGUAAAUAGAAAUGACAUAAAUUCUUAAAAACAAAUUUCUUUUGGAAUAGUAUAAAGCUAUAUUUUGUAGAAAGAUACCAAAUUCUUGCCUAUGACUAAACGGUGAAGUUAUUAGGCAUAUGCUAGUUGAUGGCAAAAUCAAUAUUCUUAUACUCACGAAAUUUGAUUUUCAGCCGAAUUACAAUUAUGUCAAUCCAAACGUCCCCUAAAGGAUGUAGGGUGAGAUAUCAUAUUCAUCUUUUUGCUUUUUCAAUAAGGCCCUUUUUGGAUGUCAAAAUAAGAUAUAUCCAAUGAUAACUAAUUCGGCAAGACGAUUUUUCUUAUGUGAUUGGAAGCAAGAAAUUUCAUUUUGUCCCCUUGAAAGGUCUUGGCAUCUAUAAUUUAGUAGGAUAACAUAUUUUAUUUACAAUGUGAUUUAUCUUAUUCCAAAAAAAAAAAAAAUCUUGAAGGCCGAAUAUGAUAUCGAUUUUGGACAUUUGAUCACACUUCUUAUCUAACAAAUACUAUAUGCUUCUUCAGAAAAUCGAAGGGAUAUACUGAAAAAGAUGUUCAGGCAUCCAAACAGGGCAUUAGCAUACCCAAAAAAAAAGAAAAAAUCAACAUGAAAAUUUAACAAAAUUUCUAAAAUUAAAGAGUAAGAAUACCUCCAAAGAUGGUCUAUAAUCUGUCCUUUCCCAAUAUGCUGCUCAAGCAGGACGAUCACAUCCUCUGGAGCUACAUAUCCAUACCUUACCAACAUAAAAAUACAACACCAAUUAGCACCUAUUAAAUGAGAAGCAAUCAAGCCUUUAUCAAACUAAUUUCUUGAGAGAAAUUGAAUCAAAAUAAAAGAAAUGCGGGCCAAAAAAUAAUAGGCUCUAACUUCAUGAUGCAGAAACUUCGGCACUUACCAAUGCCCAGUAACUUCACCAUUGAUGCUCGGACUAAAUAUAAUGACGUUUCCAGCAUAUUUGUGACCACCAAUGUGGGAGCAAGGGCUAACAAACACUUUGUCCUGUAGACCACGGGCAUUUAUCUCCUCUUGGAAUUUUUUGAUGAGAACAGGGCCACAAAACCCACAUCUCUUAUCACGACUUCCAUGAGCACAUACAUAGAUGUAUGAGCCCUUCAGCGUCUCAGCUUUUUUUGGAAGCCACUGGGUUUCCUUCACAAGCACUUCUUCAAUGAAAUCAUUGACAUCAGACUGAGUUAGGCCCCUGGACCAAAAUUACAAUCAGUUCAGCUUGUGCAUAUACCAUCCCUACAAAAAUCAACCAUCUUUAUAUAUACCCUUUAAAAUCUGAAUUUUAAUAAAUAAUUCUUGAAACUGUGGUUUCUUAUGACAACUAAUAUUGUAGAGGAGUCAUCUAAUUAUGGGGAAUAGUGAUUCUCUAUUGAAAACAGUUUUUAACAAAGGGUUAUUUUCGUAAGUUAAGAGAUAAUUUUGCAAGGCGUAACACACGUCCGGAUCUUGAUUUUGUUUUAUCCAUAACACUACGAAUCUCAAUUUCAUGAAAAGUCUCUACCGUAAUACCUGUAUUUGAUCAUAUCCGGAAAGAUCAAAACAUCCCCAUUUGAUGAUUCAGUACCUUCCUGUCCAUUGAUUAUGGUCAAACGAGUCUGCAAGCAAAAGAUAACAAGGAAAUGAUCAAAUAUAUAGAAUUAACAAUCACUCUAUGCCUAGUUGAUUAAUCUUAUGGCGCUUCAAAAAGAAUGUAAAGCAGGCAAUGUUGGGAUUAAUUUCACUGCGGACUCCUCAAUGACUAAGAGUUUGUAAUAUCACCAAUGCCCCUGUAAAUUUCACAAUGUCCUUGCGGAAGGUGUGUUAUGAUAUUCUGCCAACAUGUAUACAGAGCAUGCACGAUACCUUUUUGUUGGUCACAAGCGAAUUUAUGAUAUUUCAACUUUAGGAGGUCCCGCCAACAAUUUUCUGCAACCUUUUAUAAGCUUAACAUCAAUCUUCGAAAAGUUGCCUAAGUUUUAAUACAACUUCAACACUCAACAAUAUAUGAAAGAAGAGGAUUUAAAAUCAUCUUAUCCUUCUGAAUACCAUAAAGGAAGAUGCAUUUUGAGACAAACAAAUCAAUAUCAGUUGACAAUGACAUGAGUGGUAAAAAUCUGAUACAAAUUUAUGCCAGCUGCUAAAUUGACAUCAAAAUUCAUGGAAAAUAUACAAAACUCUGGUCCACAAUUAAGGUUACUUUUAGCACACCUGGUAGUUAAGCGUAAUUUUUUCUUCGUGAACAGUAUUUUACAUGAAAUGUAGAAAGUAGGUAGUAAAUUUAAAAUGAGUUUGCAGAGCCGAAAGUUUAAAACCAUUAUUUAGAAAUAUUCAUGCAAAUUAAUAUUUUAUCCAUGUUGCAUGAUGGGGGCUCAAACAAUGAGGAAUCCUAACCAAUGCAAUUAAGAAGGAAGGCUACUGUUAGGUAUUCUAAUUUUAGUACGAAACUGACAGUUCAAUUAGAAGUUAUGGAAUAUUUCUAGAAAUUCUUCAAUCUAAAUCCUGAUUUACUCACAUAACAGAUGACAAGAGAUUUCUAUUUUAUGAAUGAACAUAGAAUAGAUGUUCCUCUUUUCUUCCAUGAAUUGGGAUCACCAAAGUUGAGGACACUUCUGCAAUGAAAAUAUGGAAUAUGCAUUGCAAUGAUAAGAGUUAUUGUUUGAUCGGAAAAUCAUGCAUAGACUAUUUUUUCAUCCGUAUGAGUAGCUCUCUAGCUCUCGACAAGUAAAUGUCAAAAAACUUGACUCGAAACAAUGUGUUUCUGCUAAAACAUAGAUAAGUACAUAUAAUUUCACACCACACAUUAAUUAUUUUGCCAAUUCUUACCCUACCAUCAAAGGACUUCACUGUAACGUAAUCACGAAAUGAAAUGUGCAAGGUCUACACUUGUUACAGCUAGCUCUGGACCUUACAAUAGCUGUCUGUACCUUUGUUGUCACACAACGAGAACAAAAAUUUGGGUGAAUCUCGAGCACAGAAUAAUCUAAGCAAUUUCCGCAUAGAAGCGCUACUACAAUAGCUGUCUGUAGUAGCUCAAUUGCACUCAACGGAGUUUAAGUACUAAACAAUUGAGGUUCGGGCUCGGGUUCGGGUUCGGGUUCGGGUUCAUUUAACUUCACGACCCGUUACAAUAGCUGUCUGUACCUUUGUUGUCAAACAACUCAACUGCACGUAAUGCAUGAGAGAAGCGCUACUACAUGAGAAAUAAGCCUUUCCAACGGAGUUUAAGUACUAAAGAGUUUAAAAUAUGCAUAAUUCAAAUUGACAUCGAUAGAGUCCUAUUACACUAGUAGAAUUGUUUGGAAAUGUCUUAAAUGAUUUAGGAAUUCCUUUUAGGUUCAAUUUGAUGCUCUCAUACAUGGCAAAGGAGAUAGCAAAAACAGAUAUAUUUAAAAAUGGAAGCUUGUUAUUUAAAGUUUUUAUUUAGGGCUUGAGCUUUCUACAGCUUCUCCUAUAUCUCUUCUACUACUACUCCCUAUCUUCCUCAUAAAUCAUUUUUCUUCCCUCUCACCCUCCUUUCCUCUCUACUUCUUAACAUCUGGUCAACCUCAAAGUUAUUUGAAGUUCUCCUAUGAUAAGAUCACUAUCCAAACAAGGAAAAUGCACCACCUUUGACAUUGGUGGUCUCAGUUGAUCUGAUUGAACCUUCAAUAGACCAAACCAUUGAGUAAUCCCAAAAUAAAAACAAAAUCUCAAUCAUUCCUAAAUAUUGUUUCCUGAUAGUAUUUUACAUCUCAUAUUUGACGCCGUUUCUCUCGUAGGGAAGAAGGAACUUCUUUGUUUUCACGAACAACGUCUUCUUAUUCCUCACAAAAGAAGCCCUAUUCUACUCCGCCGACCCCUAAUUCAGCUUUCCAUCUAUUCUCUGUACUUGUAACAAAACUGUCCCUUGCACAUAGUUUAUAGAUCUCCAAUACCUCCAACUACAACAAUAUGAUAAAUUGAUAAAUUGAUAAUGAUAACAGAUAGAAUUCUGCUCCAAGAAAUGCCAAUAAAUAAAUUUUCCAUUUGGAUCCAGGAUAAUCAUAACAGUUCAACCCUCUUGCUAAAGUAAAAUUAAACUACACCCAACAUUCUAAUAUUAAAAGUUCUCGCAUAAUCCAAACUACUUUUCAAGUGUAUAAGGGUGUGAAACGCAUGAACAAAAACUAGAAAUUACCACAUGGACAGAUCUCAACACUUGAAAGUUCUAAAGAGAAACAUCUGGCACCUGAUUUAUAAUUACAAAAUCAACACCCUACGACAACUUUUCCCAACAAUCUAAUCAGCAAUUUUAGAGGCUUCUUACCAUCUCUAAAAGCAUAUGAAUCAUUAAAAGGUCAACUAUAAGCCCUAAUUUAUACGUUACCAAUCGAUCGAUUCAUGCACAAAGAGAUUCUCACAAGAGAUUAAACCCUACAUCCUCAUGAACGAGAAACCCUAGCACCGAUCGAGCUCACCUUCUUCUUCAUCUCCCCCUUCCGCGCCUUCAGCGCCGCCGCGAGCACCGCCGGGAGGCGGCCACCGGACUCCUCCGCCUCCGCCGCCGCCGCCGCCUCGACGUUCGGCGCCCACUCCUCCGGCGACCUGUGGCGGAGGAACACGUGGCGGUCGUAGCCCUGUACGGUCCCCGCGAGAUCCUCGCGGCCGAACUCCUGCCGCCGGAACCCUACCUCGUCGCCGUCGGCGGCGGCGGCGGCGGCGGAGGAGGAGGAGAGCGAGGGGGAGCCCAUGGGAGAGAGAGGGGAGAUGGAAGAGAUGGGGGAGAGGAGGAGGCGAGGGAGAGGGAGAGGGAGAGGGAAAUGGUGUGAGGUGCGGGGUAGAGAGGAGAAGGAGAGGAGGGGGCGAGGUGGGGAAACGAGGUGGGGAUACGACGUGCGAAACGCGAGGGAAACCCCCUUCUUCAUUUUUUUUUCUUUUUUUUAAUUUUUUUUUUAUUAUGCGGUUUCUACCUUUUAUUAUUUUCCAAAAGAGUGGGUUGUUGGGGGAAGUUUUUUUUUUUUUUCGGACAAUGAUAUGUUGACUUUUUCUUUGUACGAGUUUUUCAUUUUUUAUAUUUAUUUUAGGUUUUAGAUUGACAAAGGCUUUUUGCUUGAUGUGACACAUAAUAAUAAAUUUAUAAAAUUAGUCAUUCGAAUAUUGAGAGGAAUAACAGUAUGAUUAGAGCAAAAAUAUAUCACUACAGACACUCUCAAAAAUUCUUUUAAGGCAGUGUUUGGUUAGGAAAUAGCGAUAGAAACAGACCCUUAUCCCCCUAAUUUUUUAUUCUAGAAUAGUAGUUCUCAGUUACCUAUAAUAACCGGUUAUAACUAUCCCCACCAACACCUCCAUUUUCUAUAUAAAACUAGGCCAAUUUGCAUAAAAAAUUCAUUUAUUUUGGGCUUUUGUAAAACUGGGCCACCUUUUUCGUUUUUGCAGAUUCGGUCCGCUUUUUCAGCAAAAUGACCAAAAUACCCUUAUACCUUUUUCUCUCUCCUUUUUUUUUCUCGUUUUUUUUUUUCUUUCGCUUCCCAGAGAGCGGCAAAGGCGAAGGAGGCGGCUUGUCCGGCGCAUCCUUACCCUCGCCCGCACACCCCCGCACCUUCCUCGUCUCCGACCCUGCCGAGGCCGCACCGCGACUUUUUUUUUUUUUCCUCUCCGACUCUCCUCCACCGUUUCUAACGACGACGCCUCUCUCGCCCUUCCCCGUAAUUCUCGUCCUCUCCCUUUCCUUUCUUCUCUGCCGCCUCCGACGACGACGCAUCUUCGCCGGCGCCGACAAUAUGCCGGCGCAUCCUUAUCCUCGCCUGCACACCCCUGCACCUUCCUCGCCUCCGACCCUGCCGAGGCCUCCUGACUCUUUUUUUUUCCUCUUCGACUCUCCUCCACUGUUUCCGACGACGACGCCUCUCUUGCCCUCCUCCGCCCUUCUCGUCCUCUCCCUCUCCCUCCCCCUCUGCCGCCUCCGACGACGAUGCAUCUCGGCGCCGGUGCCGACACUAUAGAGGUCACUACGGCGUUGCAGCCUCGGAACGGGGGGUUCUUAGCGGCAUUGUCGCUGGCGCCGUGGCCGUUGGUAGAGAGGGGUGACCAAAAAAAUUAUAAAAGAAGCAAGAAAAAAAAAUAAAGAUAAAAAAUUAUAGAAAAAGAAGGAUGGAGAUGAAAUUGCAUCGUUAACUGAAAAAAAAAUUAUAAGUUGUAUUACUUAAAAUGUAAACUGCAGAUUUAAGAUGAAAAUUACAAUUUUUAAACAACAAUUACAUUCUUUGGGAGAUAUUUACACUGUUUCUCUUCUUAUUGCACUUUUUCAGAUGUAAAUUACAUCCAUUAAGAUGAAAGUUACACUUUUUAAACGAAAAUUGUACUGUUUCUUCUCUUGUUACACUAUUUUUUCUCUUGUUACACUAUUUUUUAUCUUAAACUGCAUCCCUUUAAGAGAUAUUUAUAUUGUUUCUCCUCUUGUUGCACUAUUUCUUCUCUUGUUGCACUAUUUCUCCUCUUGUUACACUAUUUUUAUCUUAAACUGCACCCUUUAAGAGGAGAAACAGUGUAACAAGAAGAGAAAUAGUGAAACAAGAGAAAAAACGGUGCAACAAGAGGAGAAACAGUAUAAAUAUCUUUUAAAUGAGUACAGUUUAAGAUAAAAAAUAGUGUAAGGUAUAGACAAGAGAAAAAAAUAGUGUAACAAGAGGAGAAACAGUACAACUUUCGUUUAAAGAGUGUAAUUUUUAUCUUAAUGAGUGCAGUUUACAUUUGAAAGAGUGCAAUAAGAGGAGAAACAGUGUAAAUAUCUUCCAGACAGUGUAAUUUUUGUUUAAAGAGUGUAAUUUUUAUCUUAAAGCUGUAUUUUACAUCUUAAGUAGUACAACUUAUAGUUUUUUUUGCAAUUAACGAUGCAAUUUCAUCUUCAUCCUUCUUUUUCUAUAUUUUUUUAUCUUUAUUUUUUUUCUUACUUCUUUUAUAAUUUUUUUUUGUCACCCCUCUCUAUGGCGCCGACGACGAUGCCGCUAAGAACCCCCCACUCCGAGGCUGCAGGGCCGCAGUGACCUCCACGGUGUCAGUGCCGGCGUUGGCGCCGGCGAAGAUGCAUCGUCGUCAGAGGCGGCAGAGGAGGAUGGAGAUGGAGAGGACGAGAAGGGCGGAGAAGGGCAAAAGAAGUGUCGUUGUCGGAAACAGUGGAGGAGAGUCGAAAAGGAAAAAAAAAAAGAGUCGCGACGCGGCCUCAACAGGGUUGGAGGCGAGGAAGGUGCAGGGGUGUGCAGGCGAGGGUAAGGAUGCGCCGGCAUAUUGUCGGCGCCGGCGAAAAUGCGUCGUCGUAGGAAACGGCAGAGAAGGAAGGAGAGGGAGAGGACGAGAAGGACGGGGAAGGGCGAGAGAGGCGUCGUCGUCGGAAACGGUGGAGGAGAGUCGGAGAGGAAAAAAAAAAUCGCGGUGCGGCCUCGGCAGGGUCGGAGGCGAGUAAGGUGCGUGGGUGUGCGUGCGAGGCCGCUCUCUGGGAAGAAAAAAGAGGAGAGAGAAAAAGGUAUAAGGGUAUUUGGUCAGUUUGCUGAAAAAGCGGACCGAAUCUGCAAAAACGAAAAAGGUGGCCUGGUUUUGCAAAAGCCCAAAAUAAGUGAAUUUUUUAUGCAAAACUACCUAAUAUUUUUUCUUAUUCCAUAUUAUCUAUCCAAACGUUAUUUUUCUUAUCCCCGGGAACAAUCCAAUUUUCAUCCAAACGCUAUUUUUCUUAUCCACAUACUUGUAUCUAUUCUUGUAAUAGCUAGUUCUUACUUAUACCUGAACCAAAUGGUAAAAAAAUUACUGAUGUAGUAAUAAUCACGAAUCAAAUAUAAAACGUAUUGAUUGGUUUACUUAUUCAUUUGAAGGUCCAAUUAAUUUAUGAGCAACACUUUGAGGGCCACGUAAUGGGUAUCAAAAGCAUAACGAUCAGAGGUCAUUCAUUUAAACAUUUUCAAACAAAUUAAGUACAUAUGAAAUGAAAUAUCUCUCAAAAGACUUUUCCAAAUCAAAUAUUUAGGAAAUAAGAAGAGAGAAAAAAAAAAUUAUCUUCAAAAAUUUUAUAGCAAUAAAAACUUUAAUUAGAAAAGAAUAUUAAUAAACUAAUACAUACGUAAUAGUGAAGCGGAGCUCAUGCGAUACAACAGAUAUAAAAAAUUUAUAGCAAUACAUUUUAGUUAUUAUUUCUAUACAUUAUUAGAAUUCAAUUGGGUUAGUUUUUAAUUUGAUUAAUAUAAAUGAGUAUGUGUAAAAACAAAAGAUUUGAGAUUUGUUAAUAAUUAACUAAUUAAUAAUGGUGUACUUGUAAGUAAAUAGCUAAUGUACUUGGGUAUUACUAUUAAGUAAUGAAAAUAAUUAAAUUUUUUUAUGUGUACAUAAGGAAAUGGAAAUUUUGGAAGAAUAUUUAGGUAAGUAAUUUUAUCAUUGCACAUGCAGAGAGAAAAAAAAAUUAUAGAUAGUUAUUAAAAAUUAGAUAAUUUUAUAGGACCAUAAGUGUUUUAAAAAAAUAAAGUAAUUAAAAUAUCUUCAAUAAAGUUGACUAAAAAAAUGUAGGAAGAGAAAGAGUGUAAGAAAGGGUUAUGAGUCAUUCGCAAUUUAGAAGAGUUAGAGAUAAAAAAAAUUAAUAAAAAAUUAAUAAAAUAAUAAAAAAAUAAAAAAUUGGGGAUAAAGGCUUGGUAACCCUUUUAUUAGUGCUGUACGGAUCUUGAUGCGAUCCAACGUUUAAAAAUUCAGAAGCACGUUGAGCUCAUAUACUUUUAAAGGUACAUGAGCUCAAUUCAUAUAAUAUUUUUGUAAUCUUUUAGAUUUUCUAUUCAAAAUGUUCAAAUCAUUACCAUUCAACUCACGUUGCAAAGUUGUAAAAUGUGUUAAUAAAAUAGCAGUAUCAUUAAUUGUAGAUUUUUAUGUGAUAAGAAUAUUAAAUUAUCAUGAGUUUGGAGGUAUUUUCGAAAGCCAUUAGUAGUCCACUAAUAAAAAUACAUCGAUUCUUAAUAAUCUCUCACUCAAAGGGCCUGCAUGAUAAGUUAGUAACAUAUUUGCUAUUUCUUAUAUAAAAUUUAUAAUAUUUUUGAAAUAUAUUACAAUACUAGAAAUAGGAGGACAUGUGUCACCAUGUGACUCCCCUAACCCUUCUUUAAUUUAAUAGAAUAGAAUAAAUAUAAAUAAUAAAUAUACUUGGUCUCACUAUGUAUGAAUACCUCUAACAAGCAACAAGGACUUAGUUUAAAAAGUCAAGGAUAAACAAGACAACUAAUGACUUUUUGGUCACAACAGAACAACAUUCAACCCCACCACAUUAUUUUUUUAAAAGUAAAAAAACUAUAAAGAGCCCCCCUCAAUUUUAAAUUUUUUGUGAACCUGCAUUUGAACUUUUACUUUGCCAACUAGACUCCUACACUUUGUGAAAUAGUUAAAUAGACCUCUCUCUUCAAUUAAACUUACUAAUUAUACAGUCGUUUCAGUAGUACGUCUUGCAUAUAGUUAUUAUAUAAAUCUUCAAAAUACAAAAAUAAUUUGUUUUGAAUAUUCUGACACACAAAGAAAAGGAUCAAAAAUUGAUGUUAUUUUCGUCCGAUUCCUCAAUACUCCUAUUUAGUUAUCAAAAUUAGAAGAAAAAAUAUAUAUUUUUUUGAAAUCUUACAAAAUUAUGUGAACAACACGGGAUCAAAAUAGUUGUAUAAUUUAUAAGUUAGAUUGAGUAAAAUAGUAUACUGAAUAAUUGAAUAAAGUCUAGGAAAACUAAUUACCAAAAUUAAAAGUUUCAGAGUCUGUGUUUGUUAAAGAGUUAAAAUUUAGGGAUUCUCUAUACAUUUUUUUCUCCCCUCUUUUAAAUUAAAAGAAUGAUACUUCUAAGAGAAAUUUUAGGAAUACCCUAUUAUAUUGUUGAUGAGUUGUCGUACAUAUACGAAUGGGUGAGGGCUUAGGGCUUAGAGUUUAAUAAUAGUAUUUGAGGUUUAGUAAUUAAUAAUUAAGCUGUAAAAUGAUAUUGUCACAUCAUCAACAGUAUUGUAGGAUACACUUGGAGGUAUAUGUAGCAGGGGCUACUUUUCUAAAUGGGGCAAUUAUUUAUAAACUCUUGAAAAGUUUUCGACUUUUUGAUUUAUUCCUCUUAGAAGUCUAAUAUUGAAAAUAUCCUUUUUAUGUUCCAACCCAUUUCAAAUAUACCCCUAGAGUUAAAUAAUGAACUAUUAAAAUAGCUGUUAUUUUUAUGAAAUUACUAUUUUGCCUUUUCAAAUAUACCUUCGACUAUCACCAACUUUUUUUAUUUGUUCUUAAGUUAGAGGUACAGAAAGUAUUUUGAUUUUUGGUUUUUUCAAAUAUACUCUUCUACCAUUACCAAUAUUUCUUAUUUGCCCUUAAGUUAAGGGCAAAAGAGGUAUUUUUAAUUUUUUUUUUUAAUUCUAGUAGAUAUUUAACUCACAUUUAACCCAAGUUAACUUAACAUAUGGUAACUGUAGAUGUAUUUUGAAAUAAUGGAGAAACAUAUAAGGAAUAUAUUAGAAAAAAAAAUAUAAAAAAAUAAAAUAUUUUUCAAAUUUUGAGGAAUAUAUAGGUAAAUCAACACAACUAGCCAUAUGAUCCUCAUUUGUUGAAAUUUUUUGUAGUAGGUAGAGGAUCCCAGGGAUAUUCAUGCAUGCAUUGUCCAUUCACUAAUAAUAAAAAGCCAAAACAAACUUUGCCUUUUACCAACUAACCCUAACUACUAGACCUUUUGAAAGGGAAUAACAACAUUUCAUCUCCUUUUUGGGAUAAAUAUCAAAUAUACCCUUUAAAACUUCAAAAUAUUGAAUGUAUCCUUGAUUGACCGUCCUUAUUGAUUUUCAAAAGUUUCUUCAAAAAAAUUAGGGUGGUUUAGAAGGGUAUUUUGAUAAUUUUAGAACAAAUUUAAAAAUUUUGAAUAGUAAUCUGCAGUAAAUAAGCAAAAGUUCUUUUUUUAUUGGCAGUUUAUCUUUUUGCACUCAGGGCCUAUUUGAUUCUUUAGAAUUUUUAUAAAUAUCUUUUUCAGAGUACCAGAACAAAACAAAAGUACCUCAAAAUACUGUAAAUUAAAUUGCCAUAUAACUAAAAAGAAGUCAGAGUCAUGUAUAUUUAUUAUUUCUUCUAAUAAUCUAAUAUUUGAAUCUGUAGGCCAUAAACAAUUACUUCACAUUUCUAGCUGAAUUUAUUUUUUUUUAAAUAAUAAAUAGAACAUUAGCAUGCCACCAUUCUAUACCAUUCUUUAAGCACUAGAUAUAUAGCAAGAUACGGGCUUUUUUUGCAAUUAGCCCUCUGAAAAAAUUUAUUUUAAAAAUAGUCCCAGCAAAUUUAAAUUUGCAAAAAUGGUCCUGACCGUGCCACGUAGGCGCUACGUCAGCGCCAUGCGGGCCGGGCUAGGCCAGUGAACCAUUCACUGUGUCUAAACACGGUGAAUGGUUCACCGUGUCUGGGGAAAGAAAAGGGAAAGGAAAAAUUUACGAAAAAGAUAAGUAUGGAACACGAUGAAUCAUUCAUUGUAUUUGAACACGGUGAAUGGUUCACCGUGUUCAACUUAACACCCCAACCCGUCCACGUGGCGCUGAUGUGGCGUCUGCGUGGCAAGGUCAGAAUUAUUUUUGCAAAUUUAAAUUUGUUGGGGCUAUUUUUAAAAUAAAUUUUUUUCAGGGGGCUAAUUGCAAAAAAUGCCCCAAGAUACUAAUCCAAAUAGAUUUUUGAAUAUGAUUUAACUCAAAAUAUAUAAUAUAACGGUUAUGAAGAUAGAGACAAAGUUGGGAUUAUUUUCACAUUAUCUAUGUUCAAAGACAUUGUACAAAUAGAGUUUUUUAUUUUUAAUUACGUAGGUUUGUAGUAAAUUUGUAUUUUUUUGGAGAAGAGUUGUUCACUUGUUUGGAUACUCUUUCUAGAAAUAUAGAAUGCAAUAAAAUGGUCGUCCAUCUACAUGUUUUGGGGUAAAAUGCAAAAANAAUAGAGUUUUUUAUUUUUAAUUACGUAGGUUUGUAGUAAAUUUGUAUUUUUUUGGAGAAGAGUUGUUCACUUGUUUGGAUACUCUUUCUAGAAAAAAAAAAAAAAAAAAAAAGCUCAAAUUUUUAUAAUUUUUGAGGGAGCUUACACCUCAGAAUCUCAUAUCAAAUGUUUGGGAAUUCUGAAAUUUUUUUGUAAUAAAGUUUAAAAAAUAGUGAAUUAUUUACCGUCUUUUUUGAGAAAGAAAGUAAUAAACAAUUUAUAGUUUCUUUCUAUUUUCUAUACGAAAUUCUAACAAGUAUAUAAAAAUUUUAGUAAAUUACAUAUAAUUUUAACAAAUUAAAAAAUUCUAACAAACUAUUUAUACAAUUUUAAUAAUUAAACAAAAAUUUCAAUAAUCCACGUACAAUCCUAUUAAUUUCGUAAAAAUUCUCACAACUCAUAAAAAAGGAAAGGCUAAAUUAUAAAAAAUCUCCCUGCCAAAAUACGCCUUUUUAUUUUCCCCCCGUCAUUUAAAAACAUACACUUUGCUUCCCUAAAAAAUAAGAAAUAUUCACUUCGGACCCUGCCAUCAGUGUUCUAUUAGGGUUCCCUUUAUAUCCCAUUAUUAUAUAUAUUUUUUUUAUAUCGAAAAUAUUCUUUCUAUAAAUGAAGGAGGGUUAGAGAGGAGAGGAAGAGGAAGAGGGUAUUUUGGUCAUUUUGUCAAUAUAGUUAACAUCAUAUUCCCUGUGAAUAUUUUUUUAUUUUUUAGUGGUGCAAAGUGUAGGUUUAUAAAUGACGGAGAGACAAAGUGAAAAAUCAGAUUUUGAUAGAAGUUUUUUUGUAAUUUAGAAAAUCAAUAAAAUGAUUCACUAUUUUCUAAAAAUGGUAAAUAAUUCACUAUCUUUCUCAUUUUUGUCUAUCAUAACCCUGAGUUAGUAAGAAAUAGGUUAGUUGGCUAAAUAAAAUUCGUAAAGAUUAUUUGACAAAUUAAAAAAUUUUAAGAAUUAUUUUAAAAUAAGUCCUCACUAUAGAGAAGCAUUAAAUUUAGUCUUUUUCUGAGUUUCGAUGACUCUAGUGAAUGCACAUUAAUUUUAUAGAGGUUUCUUAUUUAGAAAGUUUCCAACAAUGACCCCCCCAACUUUCUAUAUGUUUAUAUUAGUUCUUGAGUUUUUUAGUUUUUCUUUCAUAAAAGUCUCUGGUGAGGGUCCAAACCACUGGUCCAAAUCAACGCAAUAACUUCGAUUCUUUUUUCACAAAUUUAUCAUUGUAAACAUUGGAACAAAUUAUCUUUGGGUCCAAACCAUUGGUCCAAAUCACCGCAAUAAUUUCGAUUCUUUUUUCACAAAUUUAUCUUUGUAAAUAUUAUAGCAAGCUUUAAAGUGUCGCUCUGUGCCAUACGGCAUGUGACGUCAGGUAUCGUGCUCUGGGUACGGAACAGGGGGGAUCUCAGACCCCCCGCUGUGCCUCGGCAUACACUUGCAGGUGGGUGCCACAGCACUGUACCAUGCCGGUACUUUUCUUUUUACUUUUUAUUUUUUUCUUUUUAUUUUAUUCUUUGGGGUACCCGAAACAUUCUGGAUACCACACACCCCCAAAAGAUAUUGCAAUCGAAAAUCUACAUUUUAGAUAAGUCAAAAAAAUUAUAAUUUAAUUUUUUAUUUAUCAAUAUAUGGGCAAAUUUUUAAUUUAUAUAUUUGAUCCACUACAGACAUUUAUUUUUUUCAUAAAUUAUUUUAUCAAAAUUUGUCUCACCGCGAAACUUUUAGCGAAUUAAAGGAAUAAAAUCAAACUCAAUAAAUAAAAUUUGAGACAAAUCAAACAUAAAAUUUAUUUUUGUGUUAGAAAAUUAAAAAUACUGAUAAAAUUAAAAGCUAAAUUAAAUUAUUGAUACUUAAAUUUAUUUAAUUUAUUUGUCAAAUAAUUUAUUACUUAAAUUUUUUGAUAGAUCUAAUAAUUUUUGAAAAUAUUAAUUAAUUUUUUUUCAAAUACUUCUUAAAAUAAAAUUUUUAAAUAAUUUUAAAAAUUAGUUUUUUAUUUUAUAAAAGAAAGACUGUAGUAUGGUUAAAAGAAAGAAAUAAAGAAAUAUAUCUUUACAUUUUAAAAUUCUAAUUUAUAAAAAUUUCUAUUUUGUAUGAGAUAUAGUUAUACUUUACAUACCAAAAAAAUUUAUAGGUAUGUUAAUUGAUGAGUAUAGUAAGUUAUAUAUAACAAAUAUUUAUAAUUAUUUAAUUAAAUCUUUCAAAAUAAUAUUAUAAAAAUUUAUUAGAAUAAAAAAUUAAAAUAAGUCCAUAACAAAACGUACCAGUAGGAGAUCAUACGUAUCCAUCGACAUGUAAGCGUAUCAUAUAUCAGCACGGAAGCGUGUUGGUGCCGUAUCGUGCCAAGCAAAUAGCAGCACGCCCCCGUACUACGGUACUUGAAACCUUGCACUAUAGACACAUCUCUCCAUGACUGCAAAUGCAAAUUCAUCUUUUAUCACAAACUGUUUUGAUCGUUAAUGAUAGCAUAUAGUCUGUUACGAGAAUAAACGGACAAUUAUAUGAGUUAUAUCUAUCAAAAAUAAAAUUGGCGUGCCCAUAAUAUUGCUACUUAUGUAUUAAGAGCUAGAUGUCCUGAACAAUAAUUGUUGCAACCUAAUAAUCUCACGUCAGAUGAAAAUGUGGUUUUGAUUCAGAAUAUAUGAGACAUCGCGCCUAAAUAAUAAUAACUUAGCUUAAGUAUUUUAGGCUAGUGAUUUGGGCCUAAUAAGUUAUAAUUACUAGUGAAUCGGACUGUUAUAUUUAGUAUCAGAACCAAAUACCAGCCGAAAGUGUGAGAAUUAAAUGCUACACGUGACAAAGUGCUCUUGAACCCAUAGGAGGUACCCCUAAAAUCUCACAUCACCUAAUAAUAUAUCUAUAAUCGGAUUUGAACAUAACGAGAACAUCAGGGUCUAAAACAUCAGGGUCUAAACAGAAAGAGUCUUUAACACUCCAAUAGUCUUUUGCACUUCAAUAGCUCCACAUUAGAUGGAAAAAGAGUUCUGAUUUAGAAUAUAUGAGAUAUUGCACUCUAAUAAUAAUAACUAGACUUAAGAAGUUUGAAUUAGUAGUUUAAACCUAACGAGUUAUUAUUGAUAGCGGGUCGGAUUGUUACGAUAAUUAUGGUCUUUUAAUUUUAUCUUGUAUGUUGAUACUAUGGGCUUCUCUCCAAAAAAAAAAAAAAAAAAAUUUGCUAAGUAAAUUCAGAACAUUUUUAAUAAUAAAUAUUGUUAUUAUUUUCGCAUUAUUUAAGAUGAUAGAACCUCCAAAUUGACGAUUAGUAACACGAUUUUAAGGUAUUCGAGUUUCACCGUAACCAAGUUUUAUGAUUUUACAAUAUCAUUUAUUUGGUGAGUUAGUAAUUGCAAAUUCACCUCACAUUACUUGGUAAAAAUUCUCAAAUUUGGAACCACAAGCAAACUAAAUAAUGAUAUAUAUUGAAAAGGUAAAAAUAUACAAAACUUACAUAAACUAUAGAUUAUUUUGAUUUUGUUACCUUUCCAUUCAAAUUUUUUUUUUUACUAUUUAACCAUUCAAUUUGUUUGAUUUGAGUCAAUCAUAAUACUUUGACUUCAAAAUUUAAGCUACUUACUUUAAUGAAUUUAUAGUUGCAAAAUUUGAAUAAAGUAUAAUAAAUAAUCCUGUAAAAUUACAUAUAAAAGACAAUUAGUUAGUUACUUUAAUAAAUUUAUAAUUACAAAAAUUAUAUAAAGUAUACUAAAUAUGUGAAACUCCAGAUAGUCCUAUAUAUAAAAUAUAAUAGGGCUCAAACUCUUAACCCGGCUUAAGCACUUUGCGCGGUGGUUAGGUCCAAGAGGUUAAGAAAGUUAAGCGUACUAGGACGGGAUAGUCCUAGGAUGGGUGACCCCUUGGGAAGUCGAAGCAUCAUAGUUGGUAUCAAAGCUAAUUAUCAGCCGGAAAUAUGAGAUGAGUCUUGACUGAGCCAUGUUAUAUAGCAGAAAGAGCGAGGCUCUGAUAUUGUUGACUGUUGUGGGUGGAGCGUAACUCAUCAUAAGAUCAAUUUAGGCUAGCGAGACGAAUCUCACAUCGUCUGGUAUUUGUAAGUCUGAGCCUGACGAGGACGUCACGGCUAAAACUCUUAACCCGCCUUAAACACUUUGGGCAGUGGCUAGGUCCAAGAGGUUAAGAAAGUUAAGCGUGCUAGGACGGGAGUAAUCCUAAAAUAGGUGACCCUCUAAGAAGUUGGCGUGUCACAAAAUAAGCCUGUAAGAUAAACGACUAAUUUAAAUUUUGAAGUCGCAGUAUCGUUGACUGACUGAAAUCAAACAAAUUAAAAGCUUAAAUAUUAAAAUCAAAAUUUUAAAAGAUUGGAUGGUCAAAUUAAAAUGGUCAAUGGCUCAAGCAAGUUCUACAAAUUUUAUCUAUUGAAAAAUCAUAAAAUCUGAUUCAUAAAAAGCUCGUAUCUUAGAUUGUAUUUAAUGGUGCCAAUUCUCAAUUGAAGUGCCUUAUUACUUAAAUGACAUGGAAGUAAACAUCCUUAUUUACUUAAAAAUUAUUCUUGAUUUAUUCUAACUACUCAACCAUGGAUCCAUUGUUGUAAAUUCCACAUACAUGUAAAACCUAAUGAAUUAAACUAUCCUAAAAAAAUAUAAAAGGAGACGAAUAAUGCAAUAUCCUAAUUUCUACUCAAAGUUACACUACAAAGGCUGUUAAGAAUAUGCCUUCUUUUGAACCUGGGUUGAGUCAAAUUAAUUAACCCAUUAAGUUGGUUCAUAAAAUAUAUCAAUUGGUUUUGAAAUUGAUUCUCAUUGGUGAAAGAUACGUGCUUAUCUAUAUAAGAUUGAACUAUAUCUUUACCUCGGAAGGAUAAAGAUACAUUAGGAUUGCACAAAUUAGAAGCAGAGUCGGUUUAUGCUUCUCAAGCCGAGUCCAAUUGAUACCUGUUGACUUAUUGACCGGGCUAAUGCAUUAUAUAUAUAUAUAUAUACAUGCAUUGUGAGCCGGAUUGUGGAGUGGCCUAAAUUAAUUAAGUCUUGAAGCCGUACGGGAGUGCUUCAAGGUUUCCGCAUGCAUGUGCCGAAGUCGGCGGAGGAGCGGCGGUUCUCAACCAAUUGCCUGAGCGGUUCGUAUUCUUCGAAGCAACGGCAUAAAGGAAUUUGGUUAGAAUUUCUAUACUUCUCAAAUUUAGUCUUCUCGGUUUUACGAAAAGCUUUUUUUGGUAUUUUCUUGGAGUUUUCGUUGGAACAAGAAAGGUGGGAUUCACCAUAAGGUUCUUGGUUUUUUAUCCGGAGAAGACAUAAGGUGUAAGCUUGUACUUCUAUUUCUUCAUAUAGUGGAAUACAUCUCUCUCGCUCUCCCCGUGGACGUAGGCAAUUGCCGAACCACGUAAAUCUUGGUUUCUUCUUUNAUCUCUCUUGCUCUCUCCGUGGACGUAAGCAAUUGCCGAACCACGUAAAUCUUGGUUUCUUCUUUCUGCAUUUAUUUCUUUUACCGUUCGUUCGGUGUUUUCUUUAUUUUUCGUGCAUCUUUGUUGGUAGCACAUGACGGACGAUCCAUCCGGUUCCCAACAAAGGCUUGCACUCUGUUUAGGAUUGUGAGAAGAUUGAGUUAAGCACGAUAAAAAAAUACAAUAGAAAAAAAUAUAUUAUAUUUAGUUUUGUACAUAAUGUAGCAUAUGGGAACAAGUCAGUUAAAUAUAAUUUUCGUGAUCUCAUAGAAAAAGCGAAAAAAUAUAUUAUUAUAUAUUUUUGCCACAACUCUUGUCCAAUAAUAGUAAAUAAAUGACCCUCAAUACUAAACAAUCCAUCCUUACAAACAUGACUUUAACUUUUUCGAGUUUUGGCUGGUGAGCAUGUAUACCUUUUAUUUUGGUGACGAAACCACUUGAACUUUAUUAAAUAUUUAAGCUAUGAUGUUGCAAAACUGUAGAAUACAUUAAAAUAUGCCUUUCCUUUUCCAACGCUUGAAAAGAGCUAUAAAAAUUGAAGAUCUAUUCAGUUUAUUCUUCAAUUGUCACACUUAUUUCUAUCUAUAAAAAGAGAAAAAAAAAAGUCAAUUAUUAUUAUUACUAUAUAUAUUUUUGAAGCUUUAUAAGAUUACGUAUAAGAUAUGCUAUCAAAAAGACCGCGUACUUAGAAAAUUCACUUAAGUAAAAAGAUCAGUUGAACUAUUUAGUAAAGUUUAGAAAGUUUAGUGGGUCGUUUGGUAAAUAUCUAAAAUUUAGCAGGUGAUUGUACAUUUAUCCUUUUGAAAAUAAAUAUAAAAAAUGCAAAAACUUAAUGAAAAGAUGGACAAGUUUGGUUGGGCUAAUGAAACUAUUUGGUAAAGUUUAAGAAGCUUAGUUAGCACAAAUUAAAAGGUUAGGGGGUUAUUUGACCACGAAAUCUACUUUAGGGGGUGUUUAUGCAUUUAUCCCUUUGAAAAUAAAACUUAAAAAAAAAAUAGAAAAGUUGAAAAAGACUACUGCGCACUGAACACGGCCUGUUCCCUCCAUUUCAAAAACAGUGAUAUGAUAAAAAUGCAAAUAUAGUCCUUGUACUAUUCUGAUUUGCAUAUUGACCCUUGUCCUUUAUAUUUAAACAUUUUAAAUUUUUUUUUUUCAACACCUCACCCUUAAAUUUCUCAUCAUAAAAAAAUUAUUAUUUUUUAUUUUAGUUUCUGAAAGAAUUUAUAGUUUACUUAAACUUAGAUUACUCUAAUACAAUAAUCCAAUCAUUAAGAACUUUAAUUUCAUCAUCUUCUAAUUAACACUUAACACGUUAUUAAUUCAACUGUUCCGAGUUUGAGUAGAAAAUAUUAUAACUCAGUGGAAAAAGUUGAUUUAACAAUCAAAUAAAAAUAGACGUGAAGCAUGAACGUGCAAAUACAUUGGAUGUAAGUAAUAGUUUCAUAAAGCUACUAAAUUAUUCAACUUAAAGGAAUUGAAAGGCUAAAGAGUAAAAUUAAAAUUUUCAAACAACGCGUGUAUUUUUAUCUGCCUUUAACAUACAAGGACUCGAUUGGGUCUGAUAUACAUAAAAGAUUAUGAGUUAGCUUUUUGUGCUAUAGAAUCAUGGGACAUCUGAAUCGACGAUUGUUACUAUUAAGUAUAAUAUAAAAUAUUUGAACAUUUGAUCAAGUGGCCACAAAUUUAUUAUCUUAACUUCCUACAUAAGAAAUUUUCUUGUUUAACAAUUUAGAAUAUCUAGAAUCUUGUUCUUGAGCUCAAUAAUUCUAUUAUCUAUUUUUACAAAAAUUUUAGAUGUGAUUGCUUGAUGAAAUAGAAACAUUUCUAAAAAAUGAUAAAGCUUGAUUCCUAGAAGCGUCAGACGUUAUUAAACCAUAUUUAAUAACAUUGAUCGUGAAUUCAGAUGCUCUAUUAUCGAAAUAUGAUUUUAUAAGAAUUUGAUACUAUUUAGCAACUGGCCUCAAUGCAAUGAUUAGAUAGUACUAUCAAAAUCAUUUAAAAGCAAAUGAGAAACAUUACUUUUAUGUUAAUUCGGGUAAUGAUUACGAGUCAUGUGAAUCAACAGUCGACACUAUUAAGCAUGAUUCACAUUAUUUAAUUUUUUUAGAUUUCAUAUUUGAUGAUUUUUAAAUAUUAUUUAUCUAAUAUCUAAUUAGCUUCAAAAUUGAUAAUUUUUAAUAGCUAAUAUAAGAUAAACUUGAGUUCACUCGAUCACUAAGAAAAUAAAAUUUUUAAAAUUGUAAAAAUCAAACCAUACAAUAUUUAAAUAGCUUAGAUUACGUUUAAUCGCGAUGAUCAUUAAUUUAAAUAUUCUAUCACCAGACAUGAUGCAGAAGUUUUCGGUGAGAAAUGCGUAUAGUAAUAUUCUAGCUCUACACUCUAUUGUGUGUUCUUGUCAGGGAUUGGAAUGCAAAAUAUGUUUUAACUCGGGCAUAGGUGAAAAAUUACAAGAACCCUUUUACAAUAUACGUUUAGUACAGGGACUAGUACUAAAUUUUCCCCAACACUGAAACAGCGGUCUCAAACCUCUUCUUCUUCAUCCUCUCCUCUAUAUAUACUCCUACUACUGCUCUUCUCUCUCUCCUCCGACUCUUUGAGAGGAAUGGAGGGAGCUCUCGUUGGAUCGUCCCCUAGGGUUAGGGUUUCCACUCCGAGCGCCUCCUCCUUCGCGGGUUGCAAGGGAAACCUCCGCUUCAGUAGGGACCGUGCGGGGUUUGUUGUGGGUGGUGGAUCGCGGCGAUCGACUCCUCUCCGUUGCGAGAGAGCUGAGAAGGUAUUUGAGGUUUCAUACUAGUCAUCCUAGCUAGUGUUUUGCUUUUUCGGCUUAUUUUUGAUGAAUUUGUGGUAGUUUUAAGCUUAUCUAAUGUAAUUUGAAAUGAGGGGUUGUUGUGGGUGGUGGCCUUCGGAAAUUGAUUCCUCUCCGUUGCGUGAGAGCCGAAGAGGUGUUUGAGGCUUCAUAGUAGUUCCCUUAGCUAGGGUUUUGCUUUUUCUUUUUUGUUCGGGUUUAUUUCGGAUGGAUUUGUGAUAGUUUUAAGCUUAUAUGGUGUAAUUUGUAAUGGAGCAUCAUUUUGAUUCAGAGGUGAUCAAAUGGAUUAUGUUAAGAGAAUAUAAGAUGAUGAUUGCGUAUUCUUUUAUUCCAAUUUUGUUGGAGUUUGAUUGUCUUCUACAUAAUGUAGGCAAUUUGAGAUAAGUGAUUGUGUUGUUCUAUAUCAAGAUCAUUGCUUUCGGUGCAGUCAAUGUUAGGUGGAAAGUAGAAAUCAUUUGAGAUGAUUCGGAAUAUGAGAUGCUACAGAGAGUGGGAGAUUUUGAAUAGUAUUUUUUCGAUACAUCGAUUAAAAUUAGGAUUAGAUUAGUUUAUGAUAAUUUAUUAAGUUUAAAUUAUGGCAUCUCUAACAUGCUCAUAGUUUCUUACUUAUCUUGUUUGUUAAGAGGGUUUUGUAUGGUUGAUCAGUUCUGAAUGGUAGAAUCUUGCUCUCGGAUAUGAUUAGUUGUUAUGGAGGUUACAUGAAAUUGUAUGAUGGAAUUAUAGUAGAAUUUGAGGUCUUGACUGGAAUUUGGAAAUAUUUCGUUCUAUUCACAGUGUAAAAAUGGGGUUAAUACUGGAGAGAAUCUAUGCAAUACGAAGAUUGUAAAUGCUGUUCAUACUUGGCUGAACAAAUAAAUGCCGUUCAUAUUUGCAAAAUGCAUACAAAAUUUCAUGGUACAUAUGUUCCACCUAUAGAAAAGGGAUUGUAGUGUGCAGUUGACAGGUGCUGUCCAUAUUUGCAAAAUGCAUACAAAUAUCGUGGUCCACAUGCAGCCCACCUGCAUAGAAGAACCAAACAUGGCAUUGUGUUGCGCAGUCAAGGCAGCACCACCACCGCGUAUUCCGCUUACAUAUUGUUCUUCCAUAAUUGAUCUUAUUUAAGAUUUGAGGCAUUAAUACUGUAUCCUUGUUCAAUCAGUAAAAGCUUACUUACAUUUCAAGUAACUCUCCAUUUCUUUUCUUCUUUCAAUUUACUGUCCAUACAAUCCCAUUGAAGUAUGAAUACUAUUGUCAUAUUCUGUAUACAGUCGGACUAACAGACAGCUUAUAUAUGUAAUGGCAGAGCUAUAAUUUUAUGCUACUUUCUGUCUUGAAGAAAUAAAAUUUUCUUUAGUCUUUCUUCCAAUCACACUAUUUGUUUUUUAUUUUUUUUUAGAUCGCCUAAGUUAUCUAAAGUAUUGUUAUGAAUGGGUCCAGUACAUCCUAUUCUUAAUUUAUCCUUUGGUUCUUUGUUAGAUUCACAUAUCUAUAAUGUGUACUAUCGACAAUUCUCGUUAACACAUGAAUCAUGGUUAUGUACUUGCAGGACUGCAGUAAUGAACGCAUUGUUUUAUCAUACAAAAAUGACGACAUUGCAAACUCUGUCGAAGUUAAACAAUGGGAAAGUGGAAAAUCACUCAAUGAGAUAGCUGCAAAUCAGGGAAUUAGAAUUAGAAGAAGCUACCGAACGAAUAACUCCGAGAGCUUGGAGGGUGAGCAUGGCAGUCCUCGUAACAUUCUGGAAAAAAUCAUAUGGGACAAAGAAGUGGAGGUUUUACAGGCACUGCCUAAUUUUCUUUAUAGCAGAUCAGUAGAACUUUUUGGGUAAAUUGUAUGGACAGUCCCUGUAGGUCUGUCCUAUUCCUAAAUUAUAUGUUCCCUGAAGCUUCCCAUGCAUUUCCAUACCUAACGAUCAGGUAUCAGUUUUCCUGUAAAAUGAUCAUUUUGCUCCUUCUCCUGUAGAAAUGUCAUCCUUGUUUCAGUACAUGAGACAAGGUUAAAUUGUCAUUUUAGAGGUGAAAAAUCAUUUCUUCUUUUUUUUCUUUUCCCUUUAGUAGUCAGGCAUUUAAUUACAAUAUAAGACAGCUCAGGGACUACUCGUACAUUUUACUCAAUCUUUCCCUUAUUGGAUACAGGAAAAAAUGACAUUCUACAAUGCUUUCUUAUGUAGUUGAAAGAGAGAAAACCUCUGACCGUGUUGAACCAACUUAUAAAGGAAGCUCCUCUGGUUAGAGAUUUUGUUGGGGCUUUGAAGGCAUCUUAUGAGCGAACUGGACUCCCUGCUUUAAUAGCAGAGGUGAAGAAGGCUUCACCGAGCAAAGGUGUUCUAAGGGAGAAUUUUGAUCCUGUGAGUUUGCUAGUAAUCCUUUCUUGUGUUUAAGCUGAUUAACAGCCAAAAGGAAAAAUAACUCAACAUGGUUUUAGUGACUUCAUGUUAACAUUGUUUAGACGAUUCUUUUGGUGGCUAUUGACGUGCAUGUUAUUGCUGAUUCUGAUCUGCCAUUAAGUGCUAUCAAAUUAUGUUCAUUUGUAGAUAAACUUUGACAUGCUCCUAGAAGUAAUGUUUUCAGUGGGAUUAUCAGGUAAACUAUUUUUUUAUUUGUAUACAUUUUUAACUGCCACUUGACUUACUUUUAUUUUCCAGUUCUCCAGAUGUUAAGUUGGUUUAUUUUCUCAAUCCAUUCAAUCUUCGCUGCCUAAAUAAGCGGGUUCUCAUUGCAUUCAAGUUUUCUUAUUCAAUCUUCGGAACGAUGGCUACAUCUCUUUUUUAUCGCUCUUUUGGGCAUGCUUGGAAAUUCAUUUCCUUUGGACAUAGUUAGGUCACUAUUAUUAGAACAAUACUUUGUUGGGUUUGAUGGUGUAACCCAUAAUGAAAGCAAUGCUACUUUAGUUCCUUUUUGAACUGUCUUCCACUAAAUAUUGAUGGAACCACUUCAGUAAACAUUUUAAUUUUUUUUUUUCUUUGUAGAUUGUUAGUUCUGCGGCUUUCAUGACAUUCAAGGAUGUUUUGAGUUUUAUCAUUUUAGUUUUAUCAUUUGAUAAAACUGUAGCAUCCUGCAAUUUGAACAUAAGUUUAUGUGGGAACCAGUUAGAAGCUCCCUGAAUCAUAGAACAUUUGUCAUUUAGCUUUUUUUCUUGUGUUGUCUUUUAAAUAAUUUCUUGAUUUUCUUUCUUAUUCCUUUCUUCACAUGCAAACCGUUUUCAAUUUAUUUGAUCAACAUAGCACAAAAUCUCAUUAUAGGACAUUUUUGUUGCCUAACUUUUCAACUGGGAAGUCACCUACUCUUGUCAAAAAAUUAUUUGGGGAUUUCACAUAUAUAUCCCUGCAAAUUAUCUAUUUACAUAUGAAUCUCCAUAAAAUCUGAAUGGUCAUUUAUAUGAGAAUGGAGACUUUGCACAGUUAUGUUUGUAGAAAGAUACUUUUGCAGGUGUAUGCAUGCCAAGUCUCUUUAAUAUUCAUUCUUCCCUACAUAGAAUGUUGAACAGAUAUCUACUUUCUAUAGACUGAUCAAAGGAACUCAUCAACAUGCAUGUAUGUGUCUGUAGGGAGUUCUGGAGUGUUUUUCUUUCUCUGUUUAUCCAGUUCCGACAUAUAGGAUCAUACAAUGUGUUUGUGGAUUUUCGUAGAAUGAUGUAUUUCCUCAUGUUGAUGUUAUAAUGCAAUAAUUUCAUCUUUUGCUCUUCUGACAUCACUUUAUUCUUCUUUCUUUUGUGGCAAAAUUCUAAUCAAGAAUCAUAACAGGUUCAAAUAGCUCAAGCUUAUGAGAAAUAUGGUGCAGCAUGCUUAAGCAUCUUGACUGACGAAAAGUAUUUUCAGGUGAGUUUUAGCUCAGCGAGCUUCCAUAUUAUUAGUAGUAAAUUAAAUCUGUGUGAUAUCUCAAAAUAAUUUAGUUACUUUGACCACUUUUUUUCCCUUUUUUUUUAGGGAAGCUUUGAAAAUUUAGAGGCUGUCCGCAAAGCUGGAAUCAAGGUGAGUAUUUUGUGGAUAAAAUUCCAACUUCCUAGUCAAUUUCUAGACUCUAUCAUUUCUUUCACUUUUCAUUUUCUCUAUGAUUUAUGAGAUUUGUUAUGCCUAAAAUAAGUGAAACAUUGCAGUGCCCUCUUCUUUGCAAAGAGUUCAUCAUUGAUUCUUUGCAAAUAUAUUAUGCUCGUUCGAAGGGGGCGGAUGCAAUUCUUCUCAUUGCCGGGGUGUUGCCAGAUAUUGACAUCAAAUACAUGACCAUGAUUUGCAGAGAACUUGGCUUAGCAGCCCUUGUUGAGGUUCGAUCGAUCAUUCAAAUUAUUCAUAAAAAAAUUACAUUAUUAAUCGACUUUUGAAAUUUGAUUCUGUUUUUUGGAAUGACAAUAAAACGAUAGUCAAACAUUCUUCAAAUAUGGAAGCAGAGAAAUUGCAUAUACACAUAUUUAGCUGAUUAUUCUUCAGAAAUGUGUGUGUGGUGUUAAGACAAAUGGGCUUUUUGUUUUUUUUUUUUUUUUAAAAGAAACCUUUAGUCAUGUAUCUAGAAAGAAAGAAGCGACCGUAUACUAUAAAAGUAUCUUCGGCACUUGAAAUUAUUUUGCUUUCAAUUAUGGAUAACUAAGUUCUGGAUUAGUAUCCAUAAGUUCAUUCUAUUUAUCAAUAUUCCAGUUUAGUAAAAACUAAGUUCUGAUGAGUUGAAUGAAGAUAGAUUCAAUAGCAUCUUCCUGUUAUACUUGCUAAAGAAUUGUGAUGAGAUACUCUUGAAAGGGUCGAUUCUGGGUUCUAUUUUUCUUUGCUAUCGGUUAGCUCUAAAGUAUCUAAAAAUUAUUAUCAUUUUUGUUACAUUUAAGUAAAUUGAGUAUUUUUUUGUUUUGUUUAAUUGUGCACCACUAAGAAAGUGUUCACUUGAAACUUUAGGUGCACAACGAGAGGGAAAUGGAUCGUGUUCUGGGUAUAAAUGGGAUUCAACUCAUCGGUAUCAAUAAUCGUGGCUUAGGUAUGGUCUUGUAUCUUCUCUAAUUGAUUGGUUUCUGGAGCAAUCUUAUUUCAUCCUAACGUUGAAAGUAACUAGUAAUGCCUUACAUAGUUUCUAAAUGUUCGAGCUAGAGAUUAAACAUGUGAAAUAUACUUUUUUAACUGAUUAUGUCCAGUUGUCCACAAUGUUAUGCUUCGUGCACGAGCAAAUUUCAGAUUUCAAAGUACUUGCAUAGAUUCUACUUCUGUUAUCUGAUCAACCAACUUCUUGAUGAUUAUAUAUGAUUUUAAAACUAUAUGAUUUCUUUUCAGAACUUCCAUUCUCAGUGAAAUUAUAAAUAUAUUGCAGAGACAUUUGAAGUAGGCAUCUCCAAUACUAAGAAGCUUCUGGAGGGAGAGCGUGGUGAAAUCAUCCGCCAACGAGGCAUCAUUGUAAGUAGAUAAUUUUCUGUUGCGUAUUUAAUCAAGCCUUUAUCACAUGUUAGAUGAUUCUUCUAAUUCACUGCAUUGGUUAUGGUAAAAUUUUGAAGCUUAAUAGGAGGAAAAAAAUUGUCAAAACAAGUUGUAAUUUCUUAUUCUUGAGUUUUACGGAGUGUAAACUGAAAAAAAGAAAAUGUAGGUUCAACAGUUCAACUCAUCAACUUAUUAGAGGACAUACUUUUGUUCUAUAUGAUUAAUGAUUUUUGUUAAAUUGCCUUUCGCCUUGGAAAUUCAACAUUUCAGGUCGUGGGAGAAUCUGGGUUAUUCACCCCCGAAGACAUUUCAUAUGUACAAGAUGCCGGAGUUAGAGCGGUAAGUGUUACAAUCGCUGUAUACUAACAAUUCUUUAAUGUUUGUUACGUCCUUAAAUUAAAAGAUAGUUUUGAUUCGAUUAUUCGUGUGGAACAUUGCACAUUAUCCUAAAGGAGUUCCGUAACAAGCGAAUUGCCUGCUUAUAGAGCUUUUAACUGUCACGUUUCAGUAUAAUUGUUGGUGAAUAACAUGCAUUACGUUAAGUUACGGUCAAAGAUCUGAUACAUUUGAUGCUGAGUCUAUUAAAGGAGUAUAUUCCCAUAUAAAGCUAAUUGUUAGUAGUGCCGUAUCGUUGUAUGCUCAUGAUGAUCUGCAAUUGUUUCAAAUGAGUAUCUACAGGAUAAUCCAUUGAGGUUCCUGUUCUUCUGAAAACCAAUAUAUUACUUUAAUGCAUCGAUAUUAGUUUCUCCCGCAUGUAGUCAUUAGAAAUAAUGUGCUGAUACUGUGAUAUGUCCGAAAUUGUAGGUUUUGGUUGGGGAGUCCCUCGUCAAGCAGUGCGAUCCUGGGCGGGCGAUAUCAGGACUUUUCGGUAAAGACAUUUCCUAACUUAUAGUUAGCAGCAAAUAAAAUUUUGACCUGAAUUGCACUGUGAAAGAACUGCUUUGGUACAAUAAAAUGCAAUUCAAACUUACUGAUCACACAGGUGUCUUAAGCCUCCUCUCCUCUCCUCUCCUCUCCUCUCUCUCUCUCUCUCUCUCUCUCUCUCUCUCUCUCUCUCUCUCAGGGUAAUUCUCUCUAUUUCUCUCUCAAGUACACACAUACACAUACUCUGGGUGUGUUUGGUUCAAAGUCGAAAUCGGAAUAAGAGUAAGCUGGAAGCGAAUCGGAAUGCUUCAUUAUCUCAUUUUGUUUUGUUCGUCAUCUGAAUCAGAAUCAGAAUGAAUAAUUUUAAUUGUCGGUGUUUGGUUCAGAGAGAUAUCAGAAACGUAAUCAAAUUAAUAUGUCAAUUUUAUUUUUAUAAUAUAUAUUAGUUUAAAUUUAAACUGAAAAUUAAAUAUUAAAAAUUUAUGUCAAAAUUUUAAAAUAAUGUCAAAAUUUUAAAUAUAUUUUUUUAAAAAAUUAAAAUUUAAAAUUGAACGGAUAAUUUAAAAUAUAAAACUAAAUUUUGAUUUUUUGAAAUUCAAACUUAAAAUUAUAAUUUCAAUUUCAAUUUGAAUCCAUAAAUUUAAUUUAAAUUUUAAAUAAAAUUUGAAUAAAAUUUUAGAUUUUAAAUUAAAUUUACAUUUAAAUUCAAAUUUAUAAAUUAAAUUUGAAAUGCUUGAUUGAGUUUUAAUUUUUAAUUAAAGUUUAAAUUAAAAUUUAAAAUUAUAAAUAUAAUUUAAUCAAGUAAAUUUAUUUCAUCCGGAUUCAAUUUCAACCUGGCCUGAUUAGAAAAAGGAGUGCUGGGAGGGACUUUUAUUCAUUUGGAAAUCGGAAUCGGAAUGAAAGUUUCGCAUACCAAAUAUAGACAAACGGAUUCGUUCAUUUCGAUUUCGAUUUCAAGGUGUAAAAAGAGCGAAUCAAACAAACCCUCUUUGUCUCUAGUUAAUUCUACCAAUUGUCAUCACAGUAUAAGAGGUUGCUUUAUCCAUACUGAUUAUGCGUGAAUUUUAGAAGAGCCCCGAGGCGUAGCAUAUAAUUAGAUCAUGUGUCCUCUGGUUUUAUUCGAUAUAUCGCUUAAAUGUUUUGAAGUAACCAUUUCUUUUCUUCAAGAAAUUUUAGGCUUAGUUUGUGAAACUUCAAUUUGCUCCCCUAAGAUUUAGCGUAUUUUUACUCGGCCACCAUAUAGUUUUUCACUCUAAGUACUCGUAGACUUGCAUACAUGUAUUUUUAUUUAUUGCAAAAUGUAGGGUGGUGCAACAUGACUCUUUACCCUCCUGUAAUCUUUAUUUUCAUAGCCAUGCUUUUCAAAAAGUAUCAUUUACUAUCUUAUUUAAUGAUAGAAUUUUAAGUGGAAUAAAAAUAAAAUCAUAGGAUAGUUAAGUGCUAAACCUUUACGGGGCAAAUUGAAGUUUAUCCAAAAGAGUAAUUUUCGGCUCAUAACUUUGGAUAUUUGGUAAAUUACAGGGGGAGUGAUUUUUCGCUAGUGUUUGAAUAAGAGUCGGAAUCGAAAUAAAGGAGGUUUAAUAAUGUUUGACGAAGGUUAAUAGAGUCCACCUUGUGUAUUAUCAGUAGUACGGAGACUUUCGUUCUAUCAAGUUGUUCCCAUAAUAGGACAUCUGAAUUGAUAAUCGGCUUCGUCUUAUAUGAUCUACAUUAUUAAAAGUAUCUUGGAAGUAAAUUUUAUAUUUUUUUGAUAUAAUUUGAUUAGUGAUAAAAAAAGAUAUCUCAAAAUUAACAAUUCAAAUAGCCAAUGCGAUCAGUAUUUAUAAGUUCAAUAGUAUAGAAUAAUUCAUAUUCAGUGAAAUUUUAAUAAAAAAUUUAAUUUACUAUUUAAAACAAGAUCAGUGUCUAAUUUGAAAAUUUAAAUUUAUUAUUAUUAUUUUUUAUAAUAUUUUUAAUUUCAGUCGUUCAUUUUGAAAUUAUUUAUUUUAAAAGUAAACGAUAUUAAAAAAUUAAAAAAUUAAAAAAUUUAGUUUUUAAAUGCUUCUUACAGUAUAGUUNUUUAAAACAAGAUCAGUGUCUAAUUUGAAAAUUUAAAUUUAUUAUUAUUAUUUUUUAUAAUAUUUUUAAUUUCAGUCGUUCAUUUUGAAAUUAUUUAUUUUAAAAGUAAACGAUAUUAAAAAAUUAAAAAAUUAAAAAAUUUAGUUUUUAAAUGCUUCUUACAGUAUAGUUUAUAUCUAAUAGAACUAAUCGUGGAUUCAAACCUCCCGCCGUAAAAAAUAACUUAGUAGUGUCCUUAGGGCAGCUGCAAUACAAAAAAGUAGAUAUUUGGCAGCCAAAAUAUCUUAUAUUUUAAUUGUGCAUUGAAAAUUGAAAUCUGACCGAUUCAGCUGUAGUUUUCUUCCUUUCCUUUUUUUUCUCUCUUUCCAAGGAGAAAUUUUACACUGUCAUACUUGCACCACAUCAUCAAUAACAAGUCAAUCACAUUACUUUUUUUAAAAUAAAAGUACAAUAAAAAUACUUUUUUACAAUUAUGUUGGGACAUAUAUUCUUAAAAGGAUUAAUUUGAUUGGUUUGUUACGUCACGUCACUAAUAUACCCGUUGCAUUCUAGAAUUUUUCCUUUUCAAGGGGGAAAAAUGUACAAAGACGCCAUGCACUCUAGCCAUUUUUGGAAACAGGAUUUGAACUUUAAAUUUGGUGGUUAUAUAUUUUUUUAAAACUAUAUCAAACAGUUUAAUCAACUUCUCUGCUCAAUCAAAGUUACUAAUUAUGAACCCAUUUAGAUUUCAUGUAUUGUACAUAAUUUUGUAGGAUUUUGUAUUUUACAUAAUUUUGUAGGACUUCAAAAUGUAAAGAUUUUUUUUUUUUUUUUUUCGUCUCCAGUGUUCACAAUUAAACAUAAGAACUAAAGAAUAUGGUACAUCUAAUUUCAAUUUUUGUUAUUUAUUUUUAAUGUAUUGGAACAGAAGAAAUAUAUAUAUAUAUUUUUUGUAAAUUUAAAGGUUUACAAAGUUUGAUGUAUAGAAGAAGUGGGGUUGUUGAAUUAUUUAAUAAAAUUUAAUAUCUAAUUCUUUAAAAUUAAAAGUACAUAUAUUUAUUUGCAAAAGACAUGAUGUUUAGUGGAUUUUCAUAUAUUUUUUCCCCAUCCAGAGAGUUUGGAGAUUUGUGUUAGGUAUCACGGACACUUCUAUAAGUCUCACGUGUCUGUAUGAGACACACGCGUGUCUGUGUCGGAUACUUGUCUGAUGUGGACACUUUUCGGACGCCUGUUUAAUACUGAUUCAUAGCACAUGCAACUAAAAAAAAUAUAUACCUAUUUUUAUUAUACUUUUUCUAUGUAUAUAUAAUGUACGAUAAUAAAUAUUUUAGGUUUUUGUUGGAUGCAUGUAAUUUUUUUUGACAAUAUAAAUAAAUUAUGUAUGGUGGAGAAUUUUUUUUAAAAAUAUAUCAACUACUAAUGAAAAUUUUACUAACUUUUAUUCGUACGAAAAAUUUACCAAAAUUAAUAUUUUAUAUAUAAUAAAAAUAUAUUAUUGUAUUAAUAAUAUUAUAUUUUAUUAGCGGUGUUAAUGCCGUGUCCGUGUUCUAAUUUUUUUAAAGUUAUCGAGUCGCGGUGUCCUAGUCAUAUCGUGUCCCGUGUCACGUUUAGGAUUUGUGUCAUUCACGAUGCUAUUAAUAACUAUAUUAUACUGCACUAUAUUUUACAGAUUUUUUUGUAUUUUUAUAUUGUACUUUUUUUUUUCAAAGGCACCACUUAAUUAUAAUUAUUUUUUGAUUUCUACACUAUAACAAAUAUAUCUAUAGUUUAUAUAAAAAUUAUUAAAAAAUACUUAUUAAAAAUAAUUUAAUAAAAAUUUUUUAUGAGUCUAUUGUAGAGAUUUACUUUAUAUUUUUUCUAUUAUUUAAGCAGUGUCUUUUAAUAAACUUAUUAGAAUUUGUUUAAAAUAUAAGGAUUAAAGUGCAGUGGCACAGUAACGUGCCGCUGUUUACCUGACACGAUAUGGUACAUGUGCGCUUCUGUGCCGACAUAUGACACGCUUGCGUACCCGUAAAUAUGCAUGACUUUUUAUUGGCACGAUCUGGCACCAACUUAUUUUAUUUUUUUAAAUCCAAAUAAGCUCUUUUAAUUUUAUUUGAAAUGUUCAGUCAAAUAAUUAUGGAUAUUGGCUACACAAAUUAACAUAUUGAUAAGCUUAUUUAUACGUAACGUAAAAUUAUAUACCUUAUAAAAAAUAAAAAUUAAAAUACAAUAAUAAAAUUCACAAGUCUAAUAACUAUUUAAAUUUACAUCUUUAUAUAGAGAUGAUUACUUAAUUUCACAUAAAUUAAAAUACAAUAAUAAAAUUUAUAAGUAUAAUAAUUAUUUAAAUUAUUUUUAUUAAUAUUUUUAAAAAAUAAUUUUAGAUCUAUUCAUAAAAAAUUAGCAAUAAAUUAUAUAACAAGCAAAGUAAAUAAAUAUAAGUACCAAUUGAUUUAACUUGGUUUUUAAUUUUAUCAGUAGUUUUAAUCUUCUAACUUCAAAAAUAGAAUUUUAUAUUAAAUGUACCUCGAAAUUUGGUUAUCGAGUUCGAUUUUGUGCUCCUCAAAAUUUGGUUAUCAGUAUUUUUUUUAAGGAUAAACAUCAAAUACCCCCCCUGUGGUUUUGCACUUUUUCACUUCAGUACCUUGUGGUUUAAAGUGUAUCAAGUUAGUGUCAUGUGGUUUUAUUUUUACCUUUUCAUCAGUUUCUCCGUUAAUAUUUCGUUAAAUUAAAUACAAAAUAACUUCAGAUAUCCCAUCUAGGCUUAUUGAAUAUUCACUUUAGUACCCUUUAGUUUUUACUUCGUCACUGAUUUAAUGCGAACAAAAUUAGUGGAAUUGAUAAUAAAAAGAUAAAAAUGAAAUCAUAUGAUACUAAAUUGAUAUAAUUUAAAUCACAGAAUGCUAAAGUGAGAAAGUGUGAAACCACAUGGGCGGUGUCUGAAGUUUUCUCUUUUUUAACUUAACCUUUUUUAGUUGUACAGAACAGCAAUACCUAGAUGGUGAGCACAGGGACAGACCAGCUGCAGGCAAUAAUUUCUUCCAUGCUUACCUGACUCUCUCGUGUCAGUACAAACGGGAUUUUUUUUUUUUUUUUUUUUUUUUUUUUUUGCAUAUAUACCCCUCCAAAAUAGAUGUAUUUGCAUGCACAUCCUUUCAAAAGUUUCCAUGAUCUGGGGUUGAUGGAGCUUCCACCCCAAUCCACCCUAAAUGGAACGGUACGUAAGAGACAAUAAACGAAUUCGAGACGGUAAAUAAAAUUAUUUUUAUAAUUCAAGACGGAUUCAGGAGGCGAUAAAAAAUUUAAUCCGCUCCGCGGCCCAACUCUACUGAGAAUCCACCCCGAAAAAAUAUUUAAAUCAUAAAAUAAGUUUUAUCUUUUUUUAGUUCUCUCAAAAAAAAAAAAUUUUCUUUUUAGAAUAUUAUUCAGGUUUUAAAUGUUAUUUAUUUCUAACAUAAUACUUAAAAAUAAAAAUGGUAAUUUCAUUUUUAAUUUUUUUGAUUAAAAUGCUAAAAAUUUAAUAUAUUUAAUAAAAAUUUAAAUGAAAAAUAAAAAAAUUUUGGCAGGGUAGAUUUAGAAGGCGUGGUGGAUCAGGAAAAAACAUCCGACUCAGAUCCGCUCCAUUUACAUCCCUAGCCCAUAGAAAUAGCCAUAUUUGCAAACAUACCCCUCAACAGUUAAAUUUUACAUCCAACCUCUCAUAAUCUAUGUUUGCGUGCAUGCCCCUCCAAUUGUACAACUCUUUAAUAUAAAAAAAUCCUUUUAAAUAUUAUGCUGGUAAAAUCCGUGUUUGAAAAGAUGCAAAGCGCAAAAAGGCGCAAAGCUUUCUGGAGCCUAAGCACGAGACGCACCGCAAAACGCACGCCUCAAGAAGAUGAGGUGCACGUCUAAUAAAAAUAUAACGCUCUUAACAAACCUAAUUUAAAUCGAUAUUUUACGUUAGAAAAAUUUCAAAUUAGUCAUACAAAAACAAAAUUACUAUAAAAAGCAAGAAAAUCACAUUUAUAAAUAUUCUCAAAUUAAAAAGAAAAAAAAUUAUAUUUUAACUUUCAAUUUAAAAGUGCUUGCUUUCUUACUUCUUGCCACUGCUCCUUGCUUGUUGUCAUUAGAGGAUGAAAGAGUGAACGAACAAACGAAAAGAGAAAAAAAGCGUUCAAAUAAAAAAAAUUUUCAAUUCUUUAACAUUUUAAAAUAUAUUGAAAAAACUCAAAACCUGAAAAUCCAAACCCUAUACCCAUCAAACGUAAAAUAUCAUGAGGCACGUCUGAGACACACGCCUCGCCCCCUUAGGGGGCCACCAGGCAACACCAAGCUUAUGCUUGAGUCAUACACCGAAAAAUCUCACAAAAUAAGGCCUCAAAAUAACAGGAAUCUAGGAAUCAGUUAUCGGCAAAUAAGAUCAAACAUCAUACUCGCAGAUGCGGCGGAGUUCAUGUAAGAACAUACCCACCCGAACACCUGGCGAGUUACAAACAUCGUCGUUCGCACCGUAACAUUGAAGAAUCUUAUAAGCUAUUAUUCAAGUUCAACAAGUCAUAUUGGCCCUCUCAUGAUGACAUACAUUCUUCUUGCAAAUUUGUACUGGCUGAUUGAAAUUGCAGAGAGAACAAAAAAAAACAAAAAACAAACAACAACUACACUAUAAAGACGAGUAGUAGUUUAUGACAACUUACCGAAUACGUAAUCAUUUACAUUAAAUAGUCCGUCGAUCCUCCACGCUCUCCAUCGACCCCCCAUCUCGCAUCAUUUCACCUUCAACCACACUGACUCAAAAGCAAAUUUCAACCGCACAUGCUACCGCAUCAUAGAUAAUGUUUCUCUUUUUUUUUUUUUUUUUUUUCUUUUUAAACCCUUGAGAAAUAUCAUUAGUAUUAUAGUUUAAGGAAGCCCUUAACGUUUAGGAUUCCGCCUGAGUAGCUUGCAUGCAGCAAAACCACUUUUUCUGCAGAUCAGAGGAGUUUCAUAAUUUGCAACAGUCGAGAUAUAAAAGUAAGGAAAUGCGUACCAAAUUAUAUCCUUUAGGUUAAUUACUGCUUUAGUCUGCGAAGUUUGUCGAGAAUUUCAGACACGCUUUUCAGAGUUUCAACUUUAACAAUUUCAGUUUGGCAACUUGUUUCGAUGUGUGAGGACAUCAACCUCAGUUUUUGGCACGGGUUCCACUUAAUAUUGCUUGGGGUUUGGUGAAAGGAGGAAACAUAGUGGAAAGGUGGAGUUUUUCAGAUGUUGCUCAAUACGGCGUGAAACGACUUCCUCCCAGCUGGAGCGAAGUCAAUCUAUGGAGGAAUUAGAAUCGAAAAACAAAAACCAUGAAGCUGUCCGAUGUGAAAGGAGUCUCGAGGAAUCAAUUCAGUCACUUAAAGAACGAGGGAGUUGAUGGAAAGGCGGUUCAAGUGAAAGCCAAGUUUCGAUCAAACAAACACCCGAGUACAAGUCUAGUUCAGUGAAUCCAAGUUCUGCUAAAUUUGACUGCCAACUUAUUUUCAUACUGAUCAAAACAAAGAUGUCCUUGGUACCUAAAGUUUGUUCCGUGUAACAAUUAAGUCUCUUCCCUUGGUUCGCCAUUGGUCCUGGCAAUGAAUAAUAACAAGAUAGAAACGUACAAAACUUGCCUAAAUUAUAGACCAUUUUGAUUUGGCUACCAAAUCUUCGAGAUUUUUCAUUUACCGCCAAACCUUUUAAUUUGUUUAACUUGAGUUAGUCACCAAUACUUUGACUUCAAAAUUUAAGCUAAUUAUUUAUUUUAAUGAAUUUAUAAUUGCGAGAAUUGUAUGAAAUAUACUAACUAAAUGUAAAGAUAAAUGAUGCGUUCAAAUUUUGAAGUUAAAGUGCUGUGGACUGGCUCAAAUCAAACAAAUCGAAAGAUUAGAUAGUAAAAUCAAAAUUUUCAAAGGUUAGGUAGCCAAAUCAAAAUAGCCCAUAGUUUAAGUUCUAUACGUUUUUGCCUAAUAACAAUAAUGCUGAUGUGACAUCUUCUUUAGAUGGAAGACUAACAGGAGCAUUCAAAUUAUGACGAGCAAACUUCAAGGACUAAAUUGUUAAAAGUUAAAACUCUAAGACGUAAUUGAAAUUUACGUCAAACUUCAAAGAUUAUAUUUUGUAAUUAAUCCCAAAUUUUAUUGCAGACAUCUAGUGUGGUCAGACAAAUAUAUCAACUUCUAUUCUCCCCAAAGAAGAAAGAAAGAUGAAAGAAAAACAAGAGGUGGUUUGAUUCACAAAUCGUUAUCUUUACAAAAGAAGGCAUCCACCACAUAAUAUAAAGAAGUUUAGUUAUGAUUUCCAAGUCGAAGAUAGGCUGAAAAAAGAUGGUCAUUGAGCAACAACAAUUUUAGUUGAAGUUUUCAGGUUGAUAAAACCAACUUGGAAUCUCAAAAUAAGCAAGAAAUUACCGAAUUAGUCUUGGUAGCAUAUGGCCCAUUCUUCAAUGCGUGCUCCUCCUUCGCAGGUGAAUCUGGUCCUCGUGCGUUCCCACCGGUCUUCUUCUCAUCUCUAGCUUUAUUGAAAAUGACAGUAAAUCCUUCAGCAGAAGCAGGGUCAUUCACAUCCCACUCACCAAACUUUGGUAGAGGUGUGCCUUUUUCCUGCUCAGAAUCCAAAAAAACUAUUUUCAGCAAGACAAUAACAUUGAGCUAGAAAAAUUGGUCAGAUGAGCUUUCUUUUCUUGUUAAAUACUAAACAAGCAAAGUAAAAUAUAGCCUUAGAUACUAACAAAACAAAACUGACACAUUUGAAAGGUUGUAAAAUUUGAGACCCUUACUAUAUUAAAAUAUCUGUGGUAAUACAGUGAAUCCGGUACUGUCGAGUAGAAGAUCUGCAUAUUAUAAGAAUCUAUUCCUAUUUUUAGGACCAUCUACUAGAAAGGUUGCAGCGAUCCAGCACUAACAUUCUGAGGAGAACAUUUAUCAACGGUUUUAGUUUUACAAACAAAGUCGCCGGUCCCCAUUUACAUGUCUAUAACACAUACAAUUAUACUUGUUGUAGAAAUUUCAUCCGAAAAAAGCUGGAAAGUGCUCUUUCUAGGGAAAGCAAUUUCCAAGAAAAGAAAAGGAAUGAUGAUGUUUUUGGUGUUUAAAUGUUUUCACAAUUUUGGUUAGCAAGAAGAAUGAAACAGAAAAUAGCGAAUAACUUCAGUAAGUUUGUCGUUCUGCUUUCUGUUGUCCAGAAAAUUUAUUGGGAAAACAGAAAAAGCAAAUCCAUACAAUCUGGACAUUACUUUUACAGAGAAAUUAAAAUUAAGCACACACAAACACUUGGAAAAUAUUUUCCAAGCAUAAAACUAUAUAUCUAGUUCUAUCUAAUACAGAAACAAGCAGCAUUUCCCAUCAUCUGCAAGGUGCAAACAGAAUGAAUUGACAGUUUUGUAAAACUGCAGCUCAAGCACACAUCAGCAUCCAAAGAAGUAUCUUCAGGGAAUAAUGAAGUAAAUUAUUAUUCACCACCAUUCACAUCAGCGAUACUGAAGUUGUUUUAUCACUAUGCAUCAUGCUGUCUACAUGAUUUUAGUUAAAACAAAAGGCAGUAAUUGUAUCAAGAAACAAUAUGACAUAAAACGGCGUUCUACCAAAAUCAGAGGGAAGUUCCGACACAGCAAAACAACUCACGCAUAGUACCACAACCACAAUGAAACAAAUUUCACAAAUCCAACAACUAAGGCCGUGUUUGGCCAAGGAAUUACUAAUUAGGUGUGGAUACUAGUGAGAAAUCUCGCUCUCCCAUCAUACAGAGAAGGAAAUCGAGUCCCUGAUUCCAUCAAUCAAUUAGAUGGUGGAUUCAUCAACAGUAAAAUCGAGUCCCUGAUUAACUUAAUAGAAACAUCUCAAAUUAAAACUAAGGAGAAGUUAAGGAUUUAGGGGUUUAUUUCAGAAUUGGUUAUAAUUUAGGUGGUCACCAUGCAUUUAUACCAAAGAAAAAAACAAUAACAGAUAACACUAAACAACGGUAAAAAUGUACUAACACCCCGUUAACUACAGACUAUUUUAAAAUAUGCCCCUCAACUUUACUCCUUUUAAUUGGCACCCCCUUAAUUUCUAAUUUUUCUUAUUUGAGCAAUUCAAUUUUAUUGAAUUUAGAGGCUCUAUUUAGUUGUUAUUAGCGGUUAAUCGUUCCAGCUUCAUUUGCUAAUACUUGAUUAAAGCUAUUAAAUUCGAUGGAAUCACUAAUCAAUCUAAUAAAUCGCCAAUUUGAUUGACUAAAAUCAUUAAAUUCAAUAAACAAAAAAGAAAAAGUUGAGGGGGUCAUUUCAAAAUGGCUUAUAGCUGAGGGGUUCUCCAUACCUUUUUUUACCACCAAGCAACUACAAAAAAACCCUAGAAAAAAGAAUCAAAAACACCGCAAACAGAUCCAAACAAGCAAAACCCACACAAUCUCUUGAAUCUAAUCGACUUGUAAAGCAUAAUUAGCACACUCGUAUCCUUCUCCACAACCACAUAAUUAAAACACCAUUUCCGCAUCAAAACCCCACCAAAUCCUUACAACAAUCCAAGAAAUACCAAUCCGAAACUCAUUCAUAACCGCAUAAAUUUCAUGUUUAAUCACAAAAUCCCUAAGAAACGAUCCCACACAACCUAAAAUGAUCAAAAGAUUCAAAACCCUUCCUAAAUCAAUCAAAUCAAACAUUUCUAUACCAAACCGACCACGAAGAAUCCAAAUUUAUACUUUAAUUACGAGAAAAAGAAGAAUUUGAGGGGGAAUCGACGCUCACCGCCAUAAGAUUCCUCCGUAAGCAAAGCGAGAGAGAGAGAGAGAGAGAGAGAGAGAGAGAGGGAGAGGGAUUAGAGAGAGAUUCUAAAUUUAGUACUCGUUGGAAUAAUAAAUUAUUAUUAUUAUUAAAUGCGGGUAGAAAAUGUAUGUAACCCCCUUAAUUAUAUGGAGUUUUGAAAUGACUCCCUAAACAUUUCUUCUUUUUUUUGGGGGCGAUUAAAAGUUUGAAAUUCUUGUAGCUUUUGUGAAAAUGUACGUAAACUCACUCAACUAUAAAAAAUUUUAAAUUUGCCCUCUAGGUUUUGUAUUUUUGAUUGGAACCUUUUUAACUUCUAAUUUGAGUUGAGCAAGUGAAAAUGUACGUAACUCCCUCGGCUAUGCGCAGUUUUGAAAUGAGCCCCUUAACUUUUAUUUUUCUAAUUUAAACUCUUUUAUAGUUAAUCAACUUAAAAUUUUAUUUAAUUUCGUAAUAAAUAGCUAUUCGCAGUUCCACUCUAAAGUAGUUUAAACUGUUAAAUUUGAUAGAAUUAUCAAUAAAUGUGGUAAAAUUUUUAACUCAUUCGGCUAAAAUCAGUUAAUUUCAAAAUAUUAAAAGCUGAGGGGUGUCAAUAUAAAAAAUUUGAGGGAGCUUUUUUAGAAUUGCGUACAGUUGAGGGGGAGUCGUACAUUUUUAUUUCUAAGUUUACAACUCAAAAAUGUAUGGAGAACCCCUCAAGCUUAAUGUUUAAUGUUGGAAAGUGAAUUAAUUCUAAUUAUUUUAGCUAAUAUUUUUUUAAAAAUUUACAAUUAUACUAGCCAUAAAAAAUUUAUUAUUCUAUUUUUAAAUGCUAAAAAUUAAGUGUUUAUUUUGGUACAUAUGACAAAAUUAUCAAUGAAUUUGCUCAAAUCUCUAUAUUUUUACUAAAGUUAUUUUAAUUUUAAAAUUGAAGGUUAAGUAGUCUUAUUAAUGAACGAGUUCAAAGUUGAGGGGUAGUUUCAAAAUAACCGAUAAUUGAGGGAUCUCCGUACAUUUCUACCACAGUUGAGGGGUCUUUUUCAGAUUGGCCGAUAAAGUUGGGGGUCCCUACAUUCCUUAGAUUAGGGUGGUAGAGAUUUAGCUUUUCUCUCUAUUAUAUGUUGGUGAAAAUGCAAGGGACCCCCUUAACUUUACAAUUUCUUUUUUUUUUUUUUAAGAAACUUGACUCCCUUUUAGUUUCUAGUUUUAUUUUAUUUAAGUUAUUCUGGUUUAUUAAUUUAAAAUUUAAGCAAAUUCAAUGGUUUUGUUAGUUAUACAAAAAAAUUAUUUUAUUUUUAUAAAAUAACUAUAUUACAUGCGUAAAAUAGCUUAUCUAUUUUAGUUAAUUUUUUCAAAUGCAAAAUAUCCGUAAUAGUUUAGGGACUAAAAUAAUUGAAAAUAAAUAUAUUUAAUUCCUUGUGAAUUUUGGUGGCUGUUUGGCUGUUUGCAUUUCGACAACCAUAAUUAUUGCGUGCCUGAAAAAUACUGUUUGGUUGUUUGUAUUCACACGUGCAUUAUAUUCAGGACCUAUGACACCUUGAAAAACUUUAUCUAUCAGUUUGUUCGUAUUAGAUUUGGAACGCUGCGAAAGUUCGACGAACUUUUCACGCGCUACACUCUAUUAGAACCUUGUGGAAGUCUAUAUAUUCCACCUAAUCUUCUGAAAUUUAGGGUUAUAGAAAUGUAUUCUUGCACAUGUAAAAUUUUUUGUAGAAAUGCAUUCUUGCACAUGUAAAAUUUCUUGUACAUGCAAAGGUUGAGAAGUUGAAAAGGCAGUGGCAGCAUGGAGAAAGAAAAAGAUAAAAACACUCCUACGCAAACCUAUUUAGUAUAUCCUCAUAGAAAGUCAUCACAUAUCGAGUGUAUAUUCGUUUACUCAUAUGUUUGUAAUGAAUAGAUAGCACAGAACAUACAUGGGCAUAAUACUGUAAGAUGUGAAAUGCAAAUUCCAAAAAUCGUGAGAUGAUAUUUCCGGUUUAGUCAUCUAACUGUUAUCUAUAAUAGCAAAUAAAACUAAAAUAAAAACAAACUCGGCCUCAAUUUUUGUAUUUAUUACUAUUCCUAGUUUUGACCAUCCAAAUUUUAUUCCCACGCCGAGCUUGAAGUAAAUUAUUUUAUUUUAAAAAAAAUGACUUGAAGGCUGAAUCUAGUAUAUUUUUGUAUGUAUUUAAUCAUGCUAUUUAUCUACCAACCAUUGGAAUAAUAAACAAAAUAUGUACAAUUUUAUAUUUAUUCUUAUAAAGUUUUAAAAUUGCGCGUGUACACCUAAAAAGUUUUAAUAUAAAAAUUUUAGAAUUUAUAAUCUAGGUUUUCUGUACAAUGACAAUUGACAAGAUAGUUAAUGUAAAAACAUUACAAAUAAAAGAAUAUUGUUAAAUAUUAUAUUAAAAAAUUAAGAAUAAAAUGUUCACUUUAAAAAAAAAAAACUUUCAUUAAUUAAUGUUGUAACAUUCUAAUAAUUUCAUAUCGAAUGAAAAAGGGCUUUUGAUUGAGAAUAUAAAAGGCUGCGUGCGCACUUUAGUAAUAAUAACUAAAUUUAAGCAUUGUUGGCCGAUGGUUUGAGUCCCACGAGUUAUCAUUAUCAGAAUAUUUAUAAAAAUUAAGUGUUAUGCAGAUAUGUGAUCAGAUCUGGACUUGAGGAGGACAUACUUAAACAUAAAACAUUUUGGCCCAUAGAUGAUAGGGUUGAAAUAUGCGAUGGCAAAAAAACAUAAUAAUAACACUUUACACAUAAAUAUACAUAUAUAUUGAGAUAGUUUAUAGUAAAUGUGUAUAUAUAUAAGGAUUAAAGUAAAACACUUUCAAAAGUGUAGGGACCACUAACGUUGAACUUAAAAUUUUGUGGAUCAAAAUAAAAGUUGGUUGAAAUUUCGGGGACGAGCACUGCAGUUACAGGAGAAUAUAUGCAAAUUUCAUUCUUUCGUAGGAAUACACAUGCAAUUAACUCAAUAAAAUAAAAUAAAAAUAUCGUUCAAAAAAGGGUAGACUUUAAAUACCACCCUAUAGCUUCAUAUUUUCUCAUUUUAGAAUCUUAUAGUUUAAAGUGUAUCAAUUUAGUACCAUGUGGUUUCAUUUUUCUCUUUUCGUUAGCUUCCCCAUUAAUAUUUCAUUAAAUUAUAUACAAAAAAACUUUAGAUACCCCACCUAAAUUUAUCGAAUAUUCACUUUAAUAUUCUUUAGUUUUAACUUUGUCACUGAUUUAGCAAAAAAAUUUGUGAAAGAGAUAAUAAAAAGAAAAAAUUGAAACUACGGGGUGCUAAAUCGAUACACUUUAUACAUAAAGUACCAAAAUGAAAAAGUGCAAAACUACAUAGAUGGUAUUUGAAGUUUUUCCUACAUUUAACCUUGGACUGGAGCGAAGUAAAAUGAACAGGAAUUAAAUUAUAAUAUGUAAAAAGCACAGGGACUAUCAUUUAAAAAGAAUCUAUAAUGAGACAAAGGAGGGGUAUCUUAGCCGUGAUUGUGGGGGCGAGCGCGGGUUCCGAGGUCGCCGUUUAUGACAAUGAACGGCGUUAUCGUCGGCGCAAUUGGAGACGUGACGGCGUUAACAAGGAGCGACGGCCGUUAACUUCUCUGCUACAAAACUAACGGGUUGGGCAGUUAAUAAGAGAUUGGACUCAAUUAAAUUUAGGGUUUUUUUUUUCAAAUUUACUACCCCUAAAAAAAAAAAAAAAAAAAGAAAAACUUCAAGUACCAUCCCUAUAGUUUCGCACUUUCGCACUUUAGUACCCUGUGAUUUAAAGCGUAUUAAUUUAAUACCCUGUUGUUUCAAUUUUCUCUUUUUAUUAUCCAUUCCACUAAUUUUUUUUAUUAAAUUAGUGACAAAAUUAAAACUAAAGAGUACUAAAGUGAAUAUUCGAUAAACCUAGGUGGGGUACCUGAACUCUUUUGUAUAUAAUUUAACGAAAUAUUAAUAAAAGAGCAGACGAAAAAAGAAAAAUGAAACCACAGGAUAUUAACUUGGUACACUUUAAACCACGAGAUACUAAAGUGAAAAAGUGUGAAACCACAUAGAUGGUAUUUGAAGUUUACCGAAAAAAAAAUAUUCCAAUUAACCCUAGCAAAUUUGUAUUUACACUAUGACCUCUUCUUACCACGCGAGUACUUUGUUUGCAUUUUGAAAUUGAACACGGUGAAUAAAUUACUGUGUUCAUAUCCACACUUUAGCUUUUCUUUUUAACUUACGGGCGAAAAAAUAUAAAAAAAUAUAUAAAAAGGAGCACGGUGAUCUAAUUACCGUGUGUCCGUGUUUAAAUAAGAUGAUUGAAUCACCGUGGUCAACUUAAAAAUGCUACCUAGAUGCUCGUGUGGCAAAGAGAAAGCUAUUUAUGCAAAUAUAAAUUUGUUAAGAUCAUUUGUUACAAAAAAAAAUUUGAGAGGGCCAUGUGCAAAAAAAUUAAAUUUAAAUUGGCCCGUUUGUUUCAUGGAAAGUAAAGUUUAGGUUAAAAUAAAUUUUGGUUGAAGUAAAAAUUCGCGUAAAAAUUAUUUUUUCUCCGCUAUUUAUUUUUAUAGUUUUGGAACUUAAUUUUUCUCAGUCUGCUGUUGUUGUUGAAUUCGGCUCUUAUAUAAUUUUGUAAAGCAUAAAUAACAAUAUAAAAAAAGUAUAAACAUAAUAUAAUUAUAUCCCUAACAAGUAAAAUUUUUUUUAUACAUAUAUUAUAAUAAUACAAUAAUAAAAUUCUAAAGUAAACACCUUACCGCCCGGGAUACGGAAGCGAGAAUUGGAGAGGAGAGAAAUGAAAGGCAAUAGUAUUUUACUAAUUUUUUAUACUUUUUUUUUAUAAUUAAUUUUAGUUUACAUAGGCCGAAAUCAAUUGUGAUAUUUUGGAGAGUUCGAAUUACGAUGCAAUCACAUGACAAUGAACCAAACAAUAAAAAUGAGCAUUUACUGCACCUGUCUCCACUUCGGAUGAAACAAACACCUUCUACUUGGACAAACGAAAAUAGGCUAACUAAGAACAUUUUAAUUCUCAAACUUUAAUAUAUUAUAAUUUUAAUUCUAACUUUAUGAAAUGUAUGUUCACUUCUAAUAAUUUUCUUUUUUAUUAGAACCAAUUGCACCAAAUUAAAUUUUCUGCAACUUCAAAAAUCUUACUCUUUUUUUCGAGACUCGCAGCAUACGAUAACAACAGAAGCAAAAGCAUCAAAUCACCAAAAGAAAAAAAAUAUUUAUAAAGUUCAUUAUUGAAAAUAUCAGGAGGAAUUGGACACUCUUCAUCCAGCUAAUAAUAAGUUGGUUAAGAUAAAUAGAUCAAACCUAAAAAUUAAUCAAUUGUAACAUUUUUUUUUUUGCUUAAAAUGUAGUGCUUGGACAACUCAUCAUUACUAUAAAUAAAAUAUAGCUAUCCAAUAUAAUUAUCCACAUAUAAAUUUAUUUAGAUGAAAAAAUAAAAAACCCCGAAUACAUAUCCGUUUAUAAAAUGGCCAAUUUUGCCCUAAAUUUUAAAAUUAUAGUACUUAAUUAACUCAGCGUAGUUCCUAUUUCGUCAUUGCUCCGUACAUACAUUAUAUAUGUUACAAUUGAGUAACUAUUGAUAUACAUAUUUUACUCUUAGAAAUUAUAGGGAAAAAUAAGUUACUUAGCAAAUAGUAGGUCUCUUUCAUAAAGUUACCUAAUCUGAAAAACAAUAAAAUAGAACUCUUAUAUAUGCAUUUCUCAUAUUUCUAAUCCAACUAAAUUACUUCAUUGCAUCAACACAAUUAAUCAACAAAAUAAUUAGAAAAAUACCGAUGCUGGAUUAAGUGCUAUAAUUUUAAAUUUUAAGAGGGCAAAGAGAACAAAAAGGCAAAGAGCAAAAGCAAAUAGUAAUAAUGAAUAUUCUUUUUAGCAUUUUAGCCAACAAUUUAUACAACCCAUGUAUCUAUAAAAUUAUACAAUCUAGAACUUACAUAUCAAUGUUGUUGUUGCUAUAAUAUAGGACUUGUGAUAGCAUUAUAGGAGGCCCAAAAACUUUCCACAAUUUUUGUCUCUUUUGUAGGUAACAAAGAAACAUAUAUAUACAUCUUUCUUUUGUAAACAAAAAAAGAAAAAAGAAAAGUCUUGUAGCAAAUAUUUUGCAGUCCAGUACACAGAAAAUUUCUUAACAUUGUUAAUAUGGUGUCAUCCUGACCGUUUGCCAAAAAAAAGUAAAGAAGCUAAAUAUAACUCCGCCUCCAAUUUAAACAUAGUUUGUUAUCACAUCAACCGAUCAAGAAAUUGAGAUGGACUGAUCUAUUUUAGACGGAUAGUCGGAUCAACACAACGUCACUGGUGCGUAAAAAUUUUCUGAGAAAUUAAAAAAGAAAAGCAAUAAAAACAUGAAGAUAAAAUUCCUCAGUUCUAUUGCACUUGAGCCCCGUUGAUAUUAAAAGACCUCUAGGAAGCCCCUUCCAUCUUUUGUAUUGUCGUGAGGCCGAAAGAGGACGGCUUUGUGAAUGAUAAAAUUGUGUAUCCAAAAGAGUGUGUUGAUGAUCUCACAUGGAUUCCACAGUUGUUGAUAUUCGGAAGUGUUCGAUAUAGUAGAACCACAGCCCAUUGGACGGCCGUCGGGUGAAGUCGUCAUUCGUGCUGUACACAAACUGGGCAGCUCCUGAGACAAUACACGCAUAAAAAAAUUGUAUGACAACAAACGUGAAAUAAAAGUUGAAGAAAGAAAUUACCUAAGCAUACUUAUAGAGGCUAACAUGGCCUUGCAGGAAAUUUAGAAAAUGAAAAGGUAUUUCUUCUAUCUAUCAGCCCUUUAAACAUGGAUCAUAUUUUUUUCUUUUUGGAUAAUUGUUGUUCCUGCCAUACAUCUAAGCACAUCAAAAUAAGGUGUGCUUACCGACCGUCCUUAGAGCAAGUGGCAAAGGGUUUGGUGGUUGGUACCCGAGACGCAAGUUCGAAUCCUAGUUGAUUCACAUUUUCAGCUAAAUUUAUUUCUAAAAUGAAAUAAACGAAGCGGGUAGCAUGCUGCUACCUUUCUCUCUCUCUCUCUCUCAAAAAAAAAAAAAGUAUUCCUUCAACUUCUUUUCCUUUCUCGGAUACAACUGAGGGAACAAACUUUGGAGUUACAUGAUCGCGACUUCGCACCCUGCCAGCACUAAGUCGAGGUAGGCCUGCCAUACUGAAACUCCUCUCCUCGUCUCACAUUCAAGACCAAAACGGAGGCCAAUCUCCGAGUUUUAUCGUGGUUCUGAACGCGCUCUAUCAGACUUCCAUGGACGGCCGACAUUCUUGCAAGUUAUGCUCAUCCAAACAGGCCUUGAUGUCCUCAGAUAGUUCAAACUUCUGUCAACAUCAUAAAUCUAAACACAUGUUGGCUCUGAAUUCGACCUUAUUUAUCAAAACUGAUUCUUCUUCAGCAAUUCUUUAUACUAUUCAAUCUUUUCAUUGCACUUUCCAGUCCCUGAUGGAAACUUGUGGGAACAUUCUCUGAAGACAUUAAACCUCUAUUCUGUAUAUCUUGUAACAGUUUCUCUCCCUCCUCAACCCUGUUUUCCCUAUAAAAUGCUUCAAUUAGCACAGUGUAUGUCGUUAUAUGUAAGAACCGAGAUUUUGGCAAUAUAGCUAAACUCUCAGUCGACAAUGUUUUUGUGUGUAAUUUAAUUACAAAAUCACUCAUCAAGUUUCGGGCGAAAAUGAGUUAAAACGGAGAUUCUAUGCGAUUUUCAAGUUUCACUUAAAGUGAAUAGUAAUUUGGUUUUCCGGAGAGCUCAAUGCGUAGAGUUGGCUUCUGGCUCGUACCGGACUCCGUUCAUAGCAGUCCAAUAGCUCGUUUCGACCGGUUCAGCUAUUCUAGAACUGAUGGCACUGACGGAUUUUGGGUUUGAUGCACAGAUUUCGAGAAAAUCUGAAAAUACAUGUUUCUUAUGUAAUUGUGCGUUAUUUUGGCCUUUGGGAGUGAGAAUGGAUUUCGUCGCGAAUCCGUGACCGAUCGAGUUAAACCAAAAGUGUGACUUUAUUGUCUCCGUCGUGCUGAUCGUACUGGCGUGAUCCUUUCGCAAAUCUGACAGACGGAUCUGCGGAGAUCGCGCGUUGAUCGAGGAGAGGUCGGUGUUGGCAAAAGGGUAAUUUCGUAAAAGUCGCGACAUUUUAUGUAUCGUUUCGCGUGAAACAGGACGUGAAGGGGCAUUUGCACGUUUUACUCGCGCUGUAGAGGACUCAAUAUAAAAUAUUGAGUUUAGAUGGGCUUUUUCGCAAUUUGGAGCUAGGUACAAAUGUAGCUAUCUAGGGUUUUCUAUAUUGGAACCCUAACCCUAGCCACCCAGUUGACCCUAGCGGCCCCCCCUUUGCUUCCCCUGCCCUAGCCGCACGCCCCUUGACUGCCGCCGACUGAUCUCCGGUCAGCCACCACCACCUCAGCCUCUUUUUCUUUCUUUCCCUCUCUUGUUUCCACUUUCCUCUCCACCAUCUUGGACCCGAGCUAAGGGGGAGGACUCGAACCCACCACCUUGGCCGCCUCCACCCUUCCCUAACCUCAGGCAGCUGGUCGCCGCCGCCCCGAACGCCUACGCCGAAGCCACGGCGACCCUCGCACGCCGCGUCCGUCGCCCCCGUGAGCCGCCGUCGCCGCCUCGGCCAACCUGUGGCCGCUCAAGGUCUGCUUGGGCUGAGCAGACCUUGCGAGCCCUCCCUGGCGCCGCCGCCGCCCGGAGCCACCCGUGCCGCCUCCCGCCGACCGCAGGCGACUCCUUGUCGCCGUCCCUGAGGCCCCGGCCGUUGCCGUGGCUGCCUGUCACGCCCUGGGACCCAGCGGAAGCCCGCCCGGCGCGUGCCCAGACCCGCCAUAUGUCUAAAACAUAUAAGGUGUCUAAAACAAAACGAUAAAUAAAACAGUAGAAUAAAGGAAUCUAACGAUAUCAGAGCAAAGUAAAUAACUAAGUUCUACACAGAGGGGUAAGUAUAAAACUGAAAUCCACUAAUAAAGCCAUAAAGUAGUAUAAAGAAAAUUUCAAAUACAAAAGUUAAACGAAGUACACAGGUGGUCUCUAUACAUAGUACAAAACUCUCUCUCUCACAAAACCAAAAAGGAAGAGAGUGACCACCUAGGAGCAACAGCAAGCUCCGCUAUCUAGCUAUGCAACUCCCUUGCAGCGAUCCCGUGCCUCCGUCGGUGCCGAAGGCUCUGAAAGAAACCAUAAAACAGAGGGCGUGAGAACUAUUAAAUAAUAGUUUCCAGUGGGCAAUUACCGACUUCAGUGAAAUGUUCCACUAGGCCCAAAAGCUACAAAAGAGGGUCAGGAUAAGUAUAAACGAAAGCAAAAUAGUGAACAAGUAUGUAACCAUGAGUACUAUUCUACCAUGAUAUCUCUACUUAGCAUGAACUGCAUAAGUAAUAAAGCAACUACAACAUGUAUGUACAUGAAUGUGACUAACAUGUAUAAGCAUGAGUAUGCAACCAACACGAUAUCCUCAAUGCAAAUAGCAAAGAUGUCAUUAUUUACUAUUCUAGUCAAUGUCCACUUGUCACUUUAACUGUUGAAAAUUUAAUCUUAUAAGACCCACCUGAAGGCUGUCUGGCAUGAAGACCCACCCGAAGGCUGUCUGGCCUGUAAGACCCACCCGUAGGCUGUCUGGCUGGUGUCGUGCCUAAUGGCCCCGUGGUAGUCAACAUCCCCACUCUUAGGAAUGAGCCUUUCCUACGACAAUCCACUUUGGCGCCCAAUUCCGCACGGCGAAUAUGUAUCGCGAUGGCUAACUCCGGAGUACCGGCUUGUAGGGAGCGACCCUCACAAGCAUGUGCGAAUGAGCACAAUGGCAAGCAUGCGUAUAAGUCUAUCUCAAGUCUCAAGUCUCAAGUCCUCAUGUCUAUGAAUAUGGAAUAUAUCGAAUGUCACAAAGGCCUAUCACUAUGUCAUCAUGUCUCUAACAUGGAAUAUAGUCGAUGUCCAAUGGCUUAUCACUGUGUCUCUAUAUUGCAUUUUCAUAGUUUACUAGUUUCAAGUGCCCCUUUAUGCACUUUUGUUCAACGAGUCCAAGCAUGAUAAUUAAGUUCCCGAAUGUAUAAUAUGAGUCAUUUUAAACAUAGAAGACAAGUUUUUCACUUGCUAAUGCAAUUACUUUUCACAUACAUGCAGCAUACCCAUAAGACUCUACUAUAUAGAGUGAAAUUUUCAUCAUACAUAAUGCAUGGAUUUUAAGUGAUCUAAAAUUCACAUGAUUCAUAUUUAGUAUGGAUUUGCAUUCAAAAAUACUUUACGACAAGUAUAGAAAACAUAGGAGCCAUUUUGUCCCAUGUUCAUGAAGCCAAACCCACCGAAAAUCGAAACUCUUCGUUUCGCCGAACAGAGGUGUCUACUAGUCUCCUAGCACCCUAAAGAUAUAGGAACAAGAGUUACACAAUCGAAACGAGUAUCGAAAAGCUCAAUCUUAAACCAUCUAAGCAUAAAGGGCAUAACUCACCUCUGGUGAUGAAAUCCCUUCCCAAACUUUCAAAGAGAGCAAUAACCUUUCCAACCCAAUCUAGAGGAAGAUUCUAAACACAUCAAUUAGGUCUCCAAGCCCUCAAAUCAAAAAUUUCCAAAAUAAACCCUAAAAUCCAAAUCUAGGGUUUCAUCUCCCAAAAUCUACAAAAAAUAGGUCUAGAGGGGAGAAAUAAGCAACUAACCUCAAGAGAAGGUCUAAACCAAGCUCCAAAUGCUCUAGAGUUGUAGAUUGAUCCUCUAUCGAGCUCCUAGCCCCAGCCCAAAGCCUCCAAUGGUGAGCAAAAGGGAGAGGAAGAUGCUCCAAGCCUCAAGAUCUAGCUCUCCUCCAACUCCUUCUUCUUCUCCUUCUUCUCCUUCUCUUUCUCUCUCUAGAGUGAGUAUGAGCGAGAGGAAAUGAGGAUGAGAGGGAGAGGAGAGGCUCUAUAAGCCUUCAAAUGUAACAAAAUCCACUUAGGUCCCUUUAAAAAACAACCUGUGCACUGCCCGGUCUGGGCAAGUUUCGCGCUGAGGGACUGGUCUCCCCAAUACCUGGGACCGGUCUCUUAGUUCGUCCCACAAAACCAACGUUCGGGAACCGGUCUCUCCCUGCCAGGGACCGGUCUCUCGGGCCCUUCACGCAAAAUACGUGUUCAGGAACCGAUCUCUCCCAGCUAGGGAUCGGUUGCCUCAAGCCCCUCCGCAGCACUGUUCUGAGGGGACCAGUCUCUCCUAUCAGGGACCGGUCCCCGAGAGUGAAAACUCUCAGAACAAAGUCAAAACUCUAGAGAUCGAACUUUUAGGUCGGAACACCAUCUACGACCUUCCACCAAGUGUGGAAAAGUUCGGAAUAUAUAUCAAACACUCGAACCUCACAAUUUGCAAAGGUCCAGUGUGCUACACCGCCUGUGCCCGUGGAACCCGACUCAGCCCGCGCGGGCUUAAGUUGUCCACCGCCGCCGCCGCCGCCGCUCUCAGCCGCCACCCGAGAUGAGCCCCGUACUCCUCACCUCCCCCGCACCCAUCGCUGACCCCCGCGCGUGCCGCCGUGCCGCCGGAAGCCGGCCGGAGCAAGCUUGCUCCGGCCAAGCCCGAAAUAGGGCUUAUUUGAGUGGGUUUGUUGUUCUGAGCUUCCUGAGGCCUCUCGAUCAAUACGGAAGGGAGCACGAUGAUCAUGACUCAUUGCUGAUCAUUGUGCUCACCUUGGUUUCUGUCGGGAAGGCCCCAUUCCGCUGUUUCGGCGAUGUUAACCCUGUUAGAGCCUUGUUGGCUACUGUUUCUGGUUUGCGUGCGUUGUUCCGGCGAUCCGAGGCUAUUCCGAUGCCUCCGGAGGUGAGCACGGUGAUCGCUGGUCAGUGCUGAUCACAGUGCUCACCUUACUUUGGAUCAACAGAGUUCGGUUAGUCCUGUUCGGCGCGUUUUUCCCCGACUGCGCGCUGUUCGCAGAAUCUUUGGGUUGCGCCCGCGCCUCCCACAGUGAGUCGUUGUGAUCUAGAUUGUGAGCACGGCCUCCGGCACAUCGAGACCUGUCAGUACGUGUCUUGGCAGACCUUGGAAGUCCUCGGUUUGCGUGAACGAGCCACUUAAUCGCUCAAAAUUACAUGAAAUGAUAGGAUUUCAUAUAAUUAGAGGGACUUUUGUACAAUCGUGCACCCUAGGGCCACUGUGGACAGUGUGUAUGAGUGUGUUUGACCUCUGGACUAAUUGUCCAUGAUCCUGUAGCUUUUGCGGAAAUCGAAAAGUCGAUUUCGGUGCGUUUUUCGGCGAAAUUCGCCGAAAGAACGCGGUUUCAGUUCGGAUUUCUUCCGACGUGGUUUGGUUGCCCUGUGAGUUGUCGCUGAGCCUUGUCAGCUGGUCACCAUCAUCAUAUAGGGGGUUCGAUGAUGGCGGGUGAGUGACGGUGGGUUCCGGUGUCGAAAUAGACACUUCCGGGAACCCGAAUUUGUACAAUUAUCCGGCGAUAAUUGUAUAGUAGUGUUACCUUAUGUUUGCUGCCAAGACAUCCAAAUCGGAGUGAUUUGUGGCAGCGGGUGACUCGUGAUACGAGUUGGUGAGUUUCGGUACACUUAGUGGGUCCCGAUAGAGUUCCGGUGUGGUUUUUGGGACUUCCGGUGGGUUACGGUGAUCGGUUUUGGGAAACCGAUUACGGGGAUCUUGUGUGGGGGGUUUGUGAGUCUCGUGCUUUGGGUUAGUGGUUUGGAUACUGACCUGGUAGAUCUUCUUAGGUCCGGUAGACUCUGUGCGUAUCCAGUGUUCCGACGCAACAGUGACAGGUGGGUGCUUCGAGUUGGUAGUCGGUGAGAUCGUUUCACCCUUCCUCUAUUCUUUCAUAUCAGUAUCGUAGUCUCUACAUGUCAGUUGAUUGUUUAUUGUUUGUUCAUCUAUAUCUCGUUGAUUGUAUUAUGUUAGUUGUGGAUAGACAUGUAGAGCAGGUUGCAUGUGUAUUGUAUCUCUGUGGACCUUGGGUUCAGGCAACACAUCGACUCCUUUGUCGUGUGUUUUGAUUUGGUUGAUCGUGGUUCAGCAUUGUACGCCCUUGCACCUGGCUUCGGCUGUUAGUUUUAUGCCCUAGAAGCCUAUCAGGCUGACGCAUUUUAUUUUCUAUGGGACAUAUUUUUGUAUUUAAUCUUUAUUAUUUAUAUAAUUGACCCUUUUAUUCCAUUCAUGUUAAAUGUGUCCAUAAAUCGUCCUUUGAAUUAAUAAGAUGAUAAUAUGUAUUCUCAAGAGUUGAGAAUUUGAGAUACAUAUUAUUGGUGAUUAAUUCAUAAAUGCUCUCAAUCGGAGGAUCAUCAUGGGGACGAUGAUUGAUCCGGUAAGAUUGAUGUGUAUGUCGCUUCCCUUUGGGAUGACGAAUCUCGAGUCAUCAGUGUGGGGACACAGGAGCGAACAUGCAGGUGGUUGUUGGAGAACAAGGGUACUGAGCGUGACCAACUACGAAUAGUUACAUGGAUGUCUACUCAAUCGUCAGUAACUGGUUCGAUGUUGCAGUGGUACAACUGAUCCUUAGACCUGUGACACCACGGCCAUUCAAUAUAAGGCUACUGUAGUUUGACUAUGCAACAAACUCUGAUCCUAGCCAUGGGUCUUAGUAGUAUAUGUUGGCUGCAGUCGGUUCAUAUCAGGAAUGGGUGUGUGUUUAUAGGGGAUCUAUCGCUCUCGGUAGAGAGAUAAUUAGUUCUAUGCUAUUUGUAAGGCAAAGCUCAGAAAUCCUCGGCCGGGGUAAUAUGGUGUAUGGAAAGAUGUUUCCAAGAGUAACCAUAAGAGCUUCUGUCUGAUCAAAUUUGUCAUAUGACGUGUGAUGGGGUUUGACGAAUAUUCUAUGACCUCCACGCAGUUGGAACUAUUCGAUAGAAGGAUUGUAUUAUACGGUAACUGCACCUAGAGGUUCAAUCCGAUAUUCACUUCUGACUGGAUUGCCACUACAUGCUGCUAGGCGUCACUGGUGGAUUGUGGGAACCAAUAGAAAUAAUUAUUAAUAUUUAAUUAUUCUAUUAGGGUGGAAUCAAAAAAGUUUGAGCCAUCGAAAGGAGUUUCGAUGAUGAUAUAGAUGGGGAUCGCAUCAUAUCUCACUACCAGACAGAAUUGAACCUAUUAGGUCACACACAUAAAAACUUGCGCAUGAUCGAUAUUUAGGAGAAGAUAAAAGAAGUUUAUCAGAUGGAUUAAUUACAAUUAUAAUAUAGUUAAAUACUAAAGUUUACUAAUUUGUUAGUAAAAGGACUAAUUUGCAAUUAUUGUAAAUUAGAGGUAUUUAUGUGUAAAAGUUGCAUGGUGUAUUUACUAAUCGUUAGUAAAUAAUAUGAGGACUUAUGUGUAAACGUUACACACGAAUCGAAUUAGAAUUAGGAUUCGGAAUUCGGUUAAUAUCAUAACCAACUUGCGGGUUAAUGGAUAAUCAAAUCGGAAUAGGAUUUCGAUUAGGAUUAGGAUUAUGUUAGGGUUUUCUCAUUAUAAAUAUAUGUCAUAUGACAUAUUAAAAGAAGUGAAAAUUUAAUACAAGAGAAAUUGAAAACCCUAGCCGUCAAUCCUCUUUUUUCCUCUAGUCCUCCAUAAUUAAUCCAUAGGUUUUGAUAUUCAAAAGGUUGCUAGCACAUCUAGAAGAUCGAUUCAUCUUCCUCAAGUCGACACAAGAGUUAAUUCGUGAUCGGAUCAUGGAUCGAAGCGGUCGUUUAAUUCGAUCAAGGGCGUGAUUUCGUGUGGACGCGAGUAGAGGCCGGGCGCGUGCGCAGCUAAACAAGGACGAACAAUUUUACCAACGAUUGUCGACUUCGCGGUGAUCUCGACCCGCGCGAGGUAAAAUAAAAAUAUAGAUCCUAUUUGAUUAGAUCAAUUAGAUCUAUUAUUAAUGAUCUAAAACGAAACACGAGGUGGUCUUUGGUUUUCAAGAAAAUUUUUAAUUGUGUUUUUUUCUUCCGCUGCGUACAUAUGAUUUUCUUACAUCGGCCAUGGCACCGGUCUCUUUUUGCCGGUUUUCGUUUUGAGCAUAUCAGCAUGAUUUAGUCACAGCACUGUGUAUUCUAGACACCAGGUUGGUUUGGCCACCAACCAAGGGGUGUACGUAUCCGGAUAGGUCGUUGGUGAUGCAUGAAUAAGUUGAUAGUGUCUGCUCUGUGACAGGCAACGCUUGAGGUCUGUGGACCAAUAUAGCAGCAUCAGAUUGGGUUUGAUUUCGGACUAUUUACUCUUGAGGCAUCCGUUCAGUUGAGUUUUUAUUACAGUAGUAGUUUCAUUCUUGCUCAGUUAUUAUUAUGUUUCUAUUACUAUUGUAGUUGCUCUUAUAUCGUAUCAUGUUCAUAUCUGUUGUUCUAUCUCCUUUGAUUUUCGGUGAUUAUGGCUUACCUUCGUGGCUCUGUCGUACCUACUGGGAAACCAUGGUUGCGGUUUCUCACCCCCAUUCCCCCCAGGUGACAUGGACCAGGAGUUGGUAUUUGGGCUCGAAGGGAGGACGAUCUAGCUAGACGGCGGUAGCGACCGUCACCCUGGUUAUAUUUCUUCCCGCAUUUAGCAGUUGUUAAUAAUAUAUGAUUCAGUUAGAUGUUUGAAUGUUUGUGAUUUCCGUUAUGCAUGAUUAGAGAUUUUGUGGGUCACUGGUUUUGGUUUUAUGGAUAUUCAGUUCUCGGAUUUGUGUAUUUAUACAUAUUUACGCAUCGUGGUUUUCUAUCCCUCGAGAUAGUUGAUUUUCAAAAUAGAGUUUCCGUGUGGGAAACAGUUUUAAAAAGGUUUUCGAAUGGUUUUUAUGAAUGAAUAAAUUAGAGUUUAAAAACAAAAGCUUCCGUGUGGGGAGCACUUUUAAAUAGAAUGUUUGUUGUAUUGUGCAUUGCAUCAUCCAGCGCCUAAGGAGUGCUUAGAGGCAUGCAUCAUCUCUAAGGAUCAUUAGCUGUAUGGAAAUGUAUAUCAUGAAUUGGUUGUUGAUUGGUAAAUGUAGGUUGUGGUUGAAAUCCUCUUGUAUAGUUUGUACGCCGUGCAAAUACAAAGGAGACUCUGUCCGAGUGGACAGAGGAACUUUGUAUUUGUGGCGGAUCUGUAUGUCACGUGGGCCAGGUUGAAAAAAAAAAAAAAUUGGCACGUCUUCCGCAACUCUGUUUCAAAAUGGUAAUGAAUUUUAAAAAGGCUUUUAAAAUCGGCCCCGGGGCGUGACAUUAUAUUAGGCCAAAGCUCCCUUUGUAUUAUUUCUUCGUACAACUUUAGCGCAUCAGAAACAUGGCUAGUUUCGCAUAGUUCGGUGAUAAGAACAUUAAAAGUCACGAUAUCUACUUUCAGUCCAUACCGUUCCAUCACAUCCUUCAAGUACAAAGCAUCAUCAAUUUUAGCUUCUUUACAAAGCCCGUGCAUGUGGUUUAAAAUGUAUCAAUUUAGUACUAUAUGAUUUCAUUUUUCUCUUUUCGUCAGCUUAUCCGUUAAUAUUUCGUUAAAUUAUAUAAAAAAAAACUUCAGAUACCCCACCUAGGUUUAUCGAAUAUUCAUUUUAGUAUCUUUUAAUUUUAACUUUGCCAUUAAUUUAACGAAAAAAUAUUAGUGGAGGGGAUAAUAAAAAGAACAAAAUGAAACCAUAGGGUACUAAAUUGAUACACUUUAAACCACACGGUACUAAAAUAAAAAAUUACGAAAUUACAGGAGUUGUAUUUAAAGUUUUCUAAAAUUUUAAAAAAAAUCGGCCCGUUUGUUGAAAUAAAUUUUGGUUGAUGUAAAAUUCAUGUAAAAAUUAUUUUUUCUUCACUGUUUAUUUUUAUAGAAUUUUUUUUAUUUCUGCGGUUGUUGUUGAAUUUGGCUCUUAUAUAAUUUUUAUAAAGCAUAGAUAACAACAAAAAAAAGUAUAAACAUAAUAUAAUUAUAUCCCCAACAAGUAAAUUAUUUUUCUUCAUACAUAUAUAUAUUAUAAUAAUACAACAAUAAAACUUUAAAGUAAACACCUUACUGCCGGCGAAAUCAAUUGUGAUAUUUUAGAGAGUUCGAAUUACGACGCAAUUCAGAUAACGGUGAACCGAACAAUAAAAAUGAGCAUUUACUGCAUCCCUCUCCACUUCGCAUGAAACAAACACCCUCUAAUCGGACAAAGAAAAUAGGCUAACUAAGAAGAACAUUUUAAUUCUCAAACUUUAAUGUAUAGUAAUUUUAAUUCUAACUUUAUGAAUUAUAUAUUCACUUUCAAUAAAUUUCUUCUUUUACCAGAACCACGUGCACUAAGUUAAUUUUUUUGCAUUUGAGACUUCAAAAAUCUUACUUUUGGUUUCGAGAAUGACAGCAUUCAAUAACAGCAGAAGCAAAAGCAUCACAUCGCUGAAAGAAAAAAAAAAUAUUUAUAAAACUCAUUAUUGGAAAUAACAGAAGGAAUUGGAUAUUCUUCAUCCAGCUAAUAAUAAGUUGGUUUAGAUAAAUAGAUCAAACCUAGAAAUUAAUCAAUUGUAGCAUUUUUUUUGCUUAAAGAGUAGUACUUGGACAAGCCUAGGCGUGUAAACGAGCUGAACACGAGCGAGCUGGGGCCGACUCGUGUUCGGCUCAUUUAAUAAACGAGCCGAACACGAGCUAGCUCAUUAAAGUAUCGAUCCAAAAAAUUUAGCUCAUGUUCGGCUCGUUAACAAAAGAACCGAACACGAGCUGGCUCACAAGCUGGCCAACGAACAAUAAAUUAAAAAAGAAUUAAAUUAAAUAUAUAUAAAAAAUAAAUAUAUAAAAUCUUAUCCAUUAAACUUGAUCUAAUAGUUGAACUUUAAUAUAAAUGAGUUAUUUUUGAUAAGAGCUUGCCUGUUAUAUUUUUAUUUUUUUGCUUAAAAAUUAAAUAAUUAAAAUACGUAUAUAUAUAUAUAAUUAUUAUAUAUAUAUAUAUGAUAUAAAUUAAUAUUAAAUGAUAAAAUAUAUGUAUUUCGAGUCGUUAUCGAGCCGAAAUGACUGAGCGAGCUGACCCUUCAGGUUGUUUUUCCCGUAUUUGCUCGUUAUUAAAAAGAGCGAAAAAUUAGCUCCUGUUUGGUUCAAUAUAACUUUGAACCAAACGCGCUUUAUAGUAAUGGGUGAUUAUCUUAGGGUGGCAAAUCAGUUUUCUCGUGUUUUCGCGAGCAGCUCGUCAGGCUCGUUGUGACUAAAUGAUGCGAUUCGAUUCGAGUUCAUUUCGAGACGAAACGAGUUGGCCGCGAACGGCGAUUUGGCUGGGAUUGCCACCUAAUAGUCAUUCUUUAUUAAAGGGGGUGUUUGGUUAAUUUAUUAUAUUAAGAGGGGAUUCAAAUAUAUCUAAUGAUCUUGGAUUUUUAAAAGAGGAUAUAUAUUAUGUUGCGAUUAGCACGUUUGGUUUUAUCAGAGUAUGUAAGCUGGAUGCAGUGUCUAGUGAAAUUAUAUUUGGUCGCUAAUAAUCAUAAUGUAGAAAAUAAAGUGUGUUAGUCGAUUAUCAAAGUUUGUCCUUUAACAUUAUUUUUGUAAAACUAUUGUUAUUACUAUUAUUACAAAAUUAAUAUUUUUUUACGUAAAUUUUUUAUUGUUGAUAUAAAUUUAAUUUUUAAAAUUUUAAAUUUAAAUUUUAAAUGUUUAAAUUGAAACAAAAAUUAAAUUUAGUAUAUUUUAAAUUAAGAAGUAUAAUAUAUUGAUAAUUUAUGAAAAUUUAAUUCCAAAAUAUAAUUUAUAAAAUUAAAAAUACUUAAAAAAUCUUAAAUUUUAAAUUUCAGAAUAUUAAGAUAUACAUUUGAGUUUUAAAUUUAUAAUUGGUAUUAUUUUUUUUAAAUUUUUGGGGCGGAGAAAGGUGGGUGGUGGGUGGGGAUAUUUAAAGAUUCUUAAAAAUUUGAAAUUUAAAAUCUAAAAUUUAAAUUCAAAUUUAAAAUUUAAAAUUUAAAUUUGAAUUUUAAAAAUUUAAAAAUUAAAAAUUAAAAAUUAAAAAUUUAAAUUUUAAAUUUAAAAUUUAAAAGUUGACAAUUCAAAAUUUAAAAUUAAAUUUUUAAAAAUGACGUAUUGAAACGGUUUCGGGAGUUAGAGGAGUAAAAUUGUCAUUUUACAUAAUAUGUAGUAUUAUCGGUUUUCAGUAAUGCAAGAUACACGAUCCCCUUCUCGUUAAUAUUUUCGGUGUAAUCCUGCUCGAUUUGUAAUGCUACAUUAACGACUAGAUUACAUAGCAGAUAAACCGCACAGUAAUCUUGACAGGAUUGUCUGUAAUCCUGUCAGGAUAACUCGAACCAAACGCACCCUAAAUAAAAUAUAGCUAUACAAUAUGAUUAUCCACAUAUAAAUUUAUUUAGGUGAAAAAAAUAAAAAAUCUCCCAUAAAUAUCCGCUUUUGAAAUGGCCAAUUUUGCCCUAAAUUUUAAAAUUGUAGUACUUAACUCAGCAUAGUUCUUAUUUCAUCAUUGCAUUGUAUAUAUAUUACAAUUGAGUAACUAUUGAUAUACAUAUUUUACUCUCAAAAAUUAUGGAAAAAAAAAAGUUAAUUAGCAAAUAGUAGGUCUCUUUUAUAAAGUUACCUAAUCUGAAAAAAUAAAAUAAAAUUCUUAUGCAUUUCUCAUAUUUUUAAUCCAACUAAAUUACUUCGUUGUAUCACACAAUUAAUCAACAAAAUAAUUAGAAAAGUACCGAUGCUGGAUUAAGUGUUAUAAUUUUAAAUUUUAAGAGGGCGAAGAAGAUAAAAAAGGCAAAGUGCAAAAGCGGAUAUUAAUAAUGAAUAUUCUUUUUAGCAUUUUAGCCAAUAGUUUAUACAACCGAUAUAUUUAUAAAAUUAUACAAUCUAGAGUUUACACAUCAAUGUUGUUGUUGUUAUAAGGGUUAAUUUCAUAGGUACCCUCUCACCAACCCCUAAUUACAUGGAUACCCUUCAAAAAUUAUUAAUAUCAAAAUUACCCUCCAAAUUUAGUAAAAUUAUCAAAACUACCCAUGUUACUUGAAUUUCAGAAAAAAUAUGGCCAAAAUACCAGUUUUACCCCUCUCACUCUUACAACAAUUAUAAUACAUAUUUUUUUAUAAGUAUUUUUUAGUUUAAUUUAAUUUGUUUUUUAUUUACAGUUUAAUUUGAUUAUUUUUUCAAAAAAAUUAUGACUAUGAGUUUUUUUUCAUAUUUGUCUUUUUAUAGUUUACUUUGAUUAUUUUAAUUAUUUUUUCAUUUAAAAUAGAAAACUAUCAAAAAAAAUUUUCAAAGAUAAAAUAGAAAACUAUCAAACUAUAUAUAACAUAAUAUAAAGAUUUAAAAAAUAAUCAAAGUAAACUAUAAAAAGACAAAUAUGAAAAAAAACUCAUAGUAAUAUAAAUUAAAGCUACAAUAAAGAAUUUUCAAACUACAUCUAAAACAAUAUAAAAAUCUUAAAAUAAAUCUAACAAAAAGUAUCUAAUUAUUCCAUUUGUAAUUAAACAAAUAAAAUGAAUAUAUACUAGUUAAAUGAAAUAAAAUAUAGACAUAUUAAACUAGUUAAAAUGAAGACAUAUUAAAUUAAUUAAAUUAAACUAGAAAAAUACUUAUAGUAAAAGUAUAUUAUCUUGGUAAUAAAAUAUAUAUUAUAAUUGUUGUAAGAGUGAGAGGGGUAAAAUGGCUAUUUUAGCCAUAUUUUUUUUAAAAUAUAGGUAAUAAGGGUAGUUUUGAUAAUUUUACUAAAUUUGAAGGGUAUUUUUGAUAUUAAUAAUUUUUGGAGGGUAUCCAUGUAAUUAGGGGUUGGUGUGAGGGCACCUAUGAAAUUAACCCUUGUUAUAAUAUAGGACUUGUGAUAGCAUUAUAUGAGGCCCAAAAAGUUUCCCCAAUUUUUGGCUCUUUUGUAAGUAACAAAGAAACAUAUAUACAUCUUUCUUUUAUAACCAAAAAAAGAAAAAAAAAAAAAAGACUUUAAACAAAUACUUUGCAAUUCAGUGCACAGAAAAUUUCUUAACAUUGCUAAUGUGGUGUCAUCCUAAGCGUUUGCCGAAAAAAAGUAAAGAAGCUAAAUAUAACUCCGCCUCCAAAACAUAGUUAUCAUAUCAACCAAUCAAGAAAUUGUGAUGGAUUGAUCUAUUUUAGACGAAUAAUCAGAUCAAUGCCAUGUCACUGGUGCGUAAGAAUUUUCUGAGAAAUAAGAAAAGAAAAGCAAUAACAACAUGCAGAUAAAAUCCCUCAGUUCUAUCGCACUUGAGCCCCUUUGAUAUUAAAAGACCUCUAGGAAGCCCCUUCCAUCUUUGCAUUAUUGCGAGGCCGAAAGAGGAUGGCUCUGUGAAUGAUAAAAUUAUGUAUCCAAAAGAGUGUGUCCAUGAUCUCACAUGAAUUCGGCAGUUGUUGAUCUUCGGGCGUGUUUGGUACUGUAGAACCACAGCCCACUGGGCGGCUGUCUGGUGAAGUAGUCAUUCGUUCUGUACACAAAACUAGGCAGCUCUUGAGACAAUACACACGUGAAUCAUGUUGGAUCGUUGACGCUAACCAUUAAUCUCAAAAGCUCGAGCUGUUAGAAAUACGCAACCAAUUCACUUAAAGCAUAUAGAUACAAUGCCCACGGGUCUCGAUUGUGACUCGGCCCAAUCAGCCUCACGGCACUUCAAACAUGACUCGACGCACUCAGUCUCACGCCAUUUCGAACAUGAUUCGCCCAACAUGGCCUCCCGCGACAGGGCAGAAUACUGGCCCAUUUAAGCCAGCAAAUCCUAACAACAGACCGACUUCAAAUGCUCCCUCCAAAAGUGUCACGUCCUGGACUUCAGCGGAAGCUUACUAGUCGCGUGCACAGAUCCGCCGUGUACAUCACAACCACAAGUAUAUACCAGGCGUCUACAAUUCACAUAGUAAAAACGUUCGAUUCUAACUAGGUAAUCAGAGCAUAACUUACUAAUAUAGUAAACUCAUACAAAACAAAACCUUAUUACAAUUUAAAAGUAAAAUGCAUUCUACAUAAAUCCAACAUACAACAUUGAGCUAAACUCAAAAUAAACUAGUAGAGGUUCAUCUAUAUAACAUCGAGAAGGUUCUAAUUAGCCGCUGACCCCUCGCCAGGAAUUUCUAGUCUUUUCCGCUGUGGAAGGCUCUGUAAAAACAACAACAAAGAGGGCAUGAGAACUAUUAAACAAUAGUUUCCAGUGGGUAAGCCGCCGAGAGUGGCGAAGUACACCACUAGGUCAACUAAGGCAUAAGUAUAUAGCAAUGAGUAAACAAAGUAACAGUAACAAUUAAAGAAAUAAUUUAAUUAUACUAUGCCUCCAAAAGAUAUGUAUGAUAAUAAGUCCAUAUACUUGCUCAUACAAAUGCAUUUUAUUAGUCAUGCUUUAUGCAGAAUAUUAUCAUGUUCAUUAGUUAAUGAUAUCAUGUAGCCAUUUCCUACACUAACAAGAGUGUAAACAUUCAACUAUUGUUACAAAACUAUUAAUCAACAACGAUGUCAACCUCUUUGGAUAUUCAUUACUAGAUAUACUUAACCAAUGACAUAAAGUGUCCUUAUUACUAUGUUCAUCUAAGGUUAAGGUAACUCAUCAUAACCUGACUCAUAAUAGACUUACACAGGAUAAAGUCAUAGCCGCGCCGUGCCUAGUGGCCCCGUGGAAGUCAACACUACCCAUGGCAAUCCACUUCGACGCUCAAAUCGUACAUAUGCGAGCAAUCUGUCACUAAGCCACUCCGGAGCGCUGGCUUAGGGUGCGCGACCCCUACAAGCGUGUGCGAAAGAGCACAAUGGCAUGCAAACUGUAAUCCAUAGCACAAGUAUCAUGAUGUCAUCAUGUCUCAAACAUGGAAUUUCAACUCGACCCAAGGUCGACACUAUAGUACUAAAUCGUAAGCCACUAUCAACUAUUUGUUGACAUAUUUCUACUAAUAGCUAGUAUAACUCAAGCUAGUAUAUACUUUACCUCAUAGUGGGCUAUACCCACACCCACUCACAUAAAGUUCUCUUACUACUCCCUAUACAUAAGGAAAGUGGGUUUCUAAGGUCAUGUCUAAUGACUCGUGGCACAUAUUCUAUAGUUCAAUAUAAUCCUUUACUACUUGGAGUAAACAAGUAAUAUACGAUUACAUCUACUUGAUCAUACAAGUAAAUCAUCAUGUCCAUUUCUAUUUAUUCUAUUAGAACAUAUUCAGUAGUAUAACAUACAAGUUAUGUCAUAAUGCUAAAUUCUAAUUACUUAACUGGAUCAUACAUCAAUGUGAAGUUCAUGCCAGUACUAUUAGAUGAAAACAUUAACCAACUUGUCAAUUCAAGUAUGCAAGAAAGCAUCUAUAGUACUCUUUACAUGUUUUUCAGAUGAAUGUAUAAGUAACCUUACUAUGCAUGAUAUACUGCCAGUUCCAUCAUCAUAUCACUAACAUGGAAUUGCAUAUUUUAACUCGAGAUAUCAUAUCAUACUAUCUCCUUCCCUGAAUUAUCCAACUGAACCACAUGUCAUUCUCAUGGUUCUACAGUUAACUCUAUUGACUAGUGUCAAAUUUAACUUGUCUACACAAGUUUACUAGUAUCAGAAAUAAACGCUAACAGAGCAAGUACGCUGUAUAAACUAAAUGGUUUCUUAACCUUUCCUCUACUACAUAGAGGUUUUAUUCUAUUCCAAUCAUAUGCAUACUGAUACAUGCUCCAAUCCAUUCAAAUAUACAUAGGUUCACAUAGAUAAGCAAUAAUUCCAGUUUUAUAAUGUCAAGAAGACAUAGAGGGAAUUCACCCAUUUUGGAAAGGUCAGACCUACAAGUAGUCGUCAACUCAUGUCGACCCCACGAACAAGGGUAAUCCGCAGCUUCCAAGUACCCUAGCAAUUAAAUCGAAAAUCAGCUAAAGUUGACUUUAUACCUGUAAUAAAACCUCACGUAAUCAUCUUAUCUAGGUAAAUUCUUACCUAGUAGAGUGUUAAUACUUGAACCCUCACUUCGGAUCAAGGUAGAACACCAAUUCCAACCUUUGAAAGCUUCCCAAAUUAACUCGAAAAGAUCAAGUGGUCCACUGUGAACCUGCUACAAUCUGCUUCAAAAACAGUAGUAAUACACUUGCAUGAUCACUUAAUAUAGGUUAACGUCACACCUAGGUUUAGACCUAUGUUAAACCCUUACUUCCCUGCAGGUUAGGGUACCCUAAACUCACCUUUGAUGACCACAAGCUCAGCCCAAAAGGGUCUAAUUCUCUGCUGCGAAUCUGCGGCGAAUUACAUAAAACUGCAUUAGAGAUACAACCAAUCCCUUCAACCAGCAAGUUAGUAAACAAUUUACCUUCCAAUAAGUUUAGUUCAGCUCAACCCCUGAUUGAAACACCUCAAAUUAAAUCAGCUCAUAAGAGUCCCAAUAUUCAGUUCAAAAUAAAUUCCAAGGCUGCUGUAAACAUAAACCAAAAUCUGCAUCACUACUUCACCAAUAGGCCUACUAUAACAUCAAAGAUAGGAGAAGUAGCUAGCUAAUCACCUUUCAAGCUUCACUUUAGCUUUUUCUCUGGUUUAGGGUUGAAGAACUACAGCCCAACUCUGCUUUUUCAGCUGCUGGGACCUCCCCUCAAACAAGCUCGCAACAAGAAACCCAAAUUAUCAUCAACUUCACUACUAUGGCUAAUAACUUGAGAGAAGUUGUGUAUCUCACCUUAUCAAACUUCAACUUAGUUUCCUACUGAGUUAGGGCUGCGAAAAUACCUUUCUCAAGAUUCCUUCUCACCUUCCCACAGCUGCUCCAAGUCACUCAAACCAGCAAGCACCAAAAAGAAGGAUUAACUAAGCUCAAAUCUAUCAAUCCUUGCUUCAACAUAGUAAUCCUAGAGAGAGAAAGAGAGGAAAGGGUUUAAACCUUAUCCUCUGAGCUCUAGCAAGCCUUAGUCAUCUACUGGGGUCGUGCUGGGCUUUAGGGAUAAGCUUAAGAAGUGAAAAGACCAAAAAAACCCUGCUGCCUCGCAGCUGUUUGCACUUGUACCGGUACACAAUGAAGGUUGUACCGGUACACUAUACAAAAAUACAGAAUCUGCAUUUUGCAAUGCACUUCUGCUCUUCCGACCACUUGAUCACUCUUUUAACUUAUCAAAAACCUUACUACCACUCUUUAAAAGAUGUAGGUUAGCUCCCAUUACCAAUCCCACUCAUCAAACUUCAUAAUUGGCCAAAUUCGGAAUACUACAUUUGAAUAGUACAUUUACAAUGCACUUUUCCACUUUCAAUUGUCAGUUUGCUCCAGUAACUUGCUGCAACUUCACGACAGCCCUUCAAAAGUUGUAGAUAGUUCCAAUUUCUAUUCCAACACUCGAACUUCGCAAUUUGCCAAAGUUCAGUGUAUUACAAAAAGUCCUAACUUCGAAGUUUUGUGGGCGGCCGUCGAGUGAAGCCGUCAAUUCGUGCUACACACGAACUGGGCAGCUCUUGAGACAAUACGCACAUGAGUCCCAAUGACAGACUGACUACAAACGCCCCCUCAAAACGCCCUAACCUUGGAGUUUCAUGCGCACAUCACUUCAGCAGGCGACUUCAUCCUUGCUUUUCAUCCCACUUUUCGGCAAUCCUGCUGAUAAAGCAUGGUAUUAUUUCUCUGCAAGGAGAGGAAACAUUGAAGAGUAGAUAGAGAACUAAAAAAACUUCUUUCUGUAGAAAGAGAUCCAAAUCAUCUAACUAUAAAAAUUUAGAGCACUGAAGCUUAUCUCAGGGAUAAAGAAAUUAGUUUAAUAAAGUUUACUGAGGAAAAAUAUGAGUAUCUACGGCAAAAAAUUCUAGGUUUUUUCACUAGCAAUACUUAGUGUUUGCCAAUUUAUUGCCUUAAGCUGUGAGUGAUUACUCUGCUGUUAGAUUCAUAAGUACAAAUGAGUUUACCUAUUCAGCUAGUAAGGUGCUUUCAAUUGACAGGGGUAAACUACAGUUUUGGUCCUCAAACUAUCAGUUGUGUGACACUUUGGUUCUUAAAUUUUAUUUUGUUACAAUCUCUAGCUCGAACUGUAGAGUACCGGACCUUAGCAAACAGGCAAUGUUGCAUUAUAGGUUGCUAGUUAGCAUGUUUUUAGAAUGCUGGACUAAGUUGGAACAGUUUUGGCGUGAAAUAAAUAUGAAAACGGACUCAAAACCGAAAUAAGCUCAAAAUGUGCGGUUGGUUGCACUUUCGGAUGCCCAAAAGUGGUUUAGGGCGCCCAAAUAUAGUGAGCUGAGGACUUUGGAGGUUUCGGACCCUGUUUGGGAUGCCCGAUUUGGGCACUGUAGCAAUCUGAAAGUUUUGUCAUAUGUGUGAUAUAACUAGGGCGGUGCAUACGAAUACCUGGUGACUCACGAUGAUUUAGGGUGCAGGUUUCAGGCGCCCAAAUUGAUUCGGGCACAAUUACCGCAGGUUUUGGACUGUCGAAAGUGGUGAAGGAACACCCAAAAGGCAUGUCGUAGGGGUUUUGAACGCCGGAAUGAUGAUUCCGGGCUCCCAAAACUCGGAUUUUGGUUGAAUGUGGGAUUUUCUGAAUUUGGAGACCUUUCAUGUAAUUGUUACUUUAUAUAGUGGGUGACAAAUAGACUUCUCUUUCAUUCUUGCUUCUUCUUCUUCUUCCUUGUACGUGUUUUAGAGAGAGAGGGAGAGAGAGAGAGAAUGUUGGAGAUCCAGGAGGCGAUCGACGACGCGCACGCGCGCACGAUUUUCUGUCGCAUCGGAUUGAAGGUUAGUAUCUAUAACAUAUUAUAAAUUCUCAGUUUAUGUAUAGGUGACACGACUUGGGGUGGGCCCCACCCCAUUUUUUGGUUGGGCAUGGGUUCGGACCUGGCCUACUUUUUUCUUUUUUUUUAAUUUUGAUUUCUUUCUCUCUCUAUUGAUUGGAACAUGAGGGAUUAAAGUUUUUUUAAUUCAAUUUAAUACUCUUCUCUUUUAUUAUAAAAAUUUUAAAAUAUAUAAUUUUUUACACAUAACUUUUAAAUAAUUUAGUUACAUGCAUUACAUAUAAAUUUUUAUAAUAUUGAUCACGUAGUAUUGAUUGUACAAUUAAAAAUGAAAGAGAGAUUGAUUGAUGAAUUACUUAUUUUAAUAAAUUUAGUUGUAAAAAUUGUAUAAAAUAUACUAAUUAAAUCUGUAAAACUAAACGACGCAUUCAAAAUUUUGAAGUCCAAGUAUCAUUGAUUAACUCAAAUCUAACAUAUUGAAAGGUUGGAUAGUAAAAAACAAAAUUUUGAAAAUUUAGAUUGCUUAUUCAAAAUGGUUCAUAAUUCAAGAAAGUACCAUACAUUUUUAAUUUUAUUUUAAUAUCAAACUUCAAUGUCAUAUUUAUAAUCUGAGGAGCAAUCAAUUUCGCAUUUAAAAUCUUUUGAAAUAUCCGAAGUAUGAUUGGUCGAAUUUUAAUUUUAACAAGUAGGCAUUCUAAAAUAUAUUAGAUAGUUUAAUAGCUUUUUUUCCUUAAACGAAAUUAAUAAUUGAAUAAAACCAAUCGAUAAUCAACUCUAUCUCUGUCUGGAAUAAAAAUAAAAUAUAAAAAUACUGAAUUACAUUUUUGGUCCUCAAACUAUAUGACGCGUGAUACUUUAGUUCUUAAACUUUAAUGCAUUAUAAUUUUUGGCUCAAACUAUAAGACACAUGAUACUUUAAUUCUCAAACUUUAAUUAGUUGUAAUUUCUGAUUCAAACUAUGAAGUAUACGAUAUUUUAGUCCUUAACUUUUACUGAUAUUAUAAAUAUAAUUUAUUAUUCUUAUGAUUUUGUCCUUAUUAUUUUCUUACUCUUCUUAUACUUUUAUUUUUAUGCUUUUACUGCAACAGCUGCAGUUUCUUUUUUAGUUUUUUUUAUUUUAUUCUUUUUUAUUCUUUGACUCUUCUUUUAUUAUUUUUUGCUAUUUUUUUCUUUAGCUUUAUUUAUUUAUUUGUUUCUGCAAAAUCGAUCUGCCACAACGCGCAUGUGCCUUCACUAGUUAAAAUAUUAUAUUUUCGUGAUUAGAAUUUUUGAGGUGAUUUUAGGAUGUUUUUAGGAGUACAAAUUGGAUGGAUUUUUGUGGAAUUGGAUUAAGAAAUCAUGUUAUAUGUGAUUUAGGACCCGGAUUAUCGCAAAUUUUGCCAUGGGUUUUUCCGAGCUAUUUGUUGGUGUUGUGGUAGCCGUGGGAGACCGUAGUUUGGAGUACCUCGUGGGUUCCAACGUCCUUUCCUUUCCGGGAAUAGCAACCUAAGUGGGUUCCUUGUCGUCGAAAACGGCGCAUUACCUUUUAUGUCUAUUAUUUUGCAUGCUUGAUUUUGAUGUCAUCAAAUUCUUGGCCUCCGUUUGGUUGGGGGUUAAGGGGUGGAAUAAUCCCUUAACCCCCAUUUUAUUUCCAAACACUUCUAAAAAUGGGUGGGGUUAGCUAACCCCACCUCAAAUGGGUUAUUCCGGAUUAGCUAAACCCACCAAACCCCAACCAAAUACUAUUUUCUAUUCAUAAUAACCCACUAUCCUUCUUAUCCCACCUACUCCAACCAAACACUAUUUUUCACUAUCCUCAACUAACUCCAAUCCCCAACCAAACACAAAAAUACUCUAACCCUACCUUAACCCUAAACUUAACCCUAUCCCUGGAAUAACUAGUUUUUCCUUAACCCCGAACCAAACGGUAGCUGAGGGUAUUACAGUGUUAGUAAAAGCAUGUGGAUAUUUCACUGAACAUGAUAAAUUAUGCUUAUGUAUGAUAUAAUGUUUUGGUCUUUACCGGUAUAAAGAUUGUUGGGUUCGUUUGAUUAUUUACAUGUAGGUUCAUUUGAUUAUUUGGUUGGAAUAAUAGUAGUUGGGUUGCAUGCAUGUAUGGACUUAGGCUUUAUAUUAUGGUAUUUUAACAGUGCGGCAUAUGGCUAGAUAAUUGAUGUGUUAUAGUCAGGGGACCUACGUGGUAUAAUUAUGGUUAGUCUAUGUGGUGCUUGAUGGCAGGUGGGUUUAAAAGUUUAUGCAUGUAUAUAUGUGGGUUUGUGGUUUUACAAUGCUAUAGGGUUGCGUGAGGUUAUUUAUGUUGUGUUGGGAUAUGUCUAUAGAUGUGGUUUUUAUAAUAUGGUACAUGCUAGUAUGUGCUCAUAUGAGGAUAUGUAUAUUGUGUUGAGAAUUGUCAAUAUGGUGGGACGUGCAUAUGUUAUGGAAUAGUAUUAUUAUGCCAGAGACAAUGGGAUAGUGUAUUGUGCCUGGGACAACGUUACUGUGUAUUGUGAUCUUUUUUAUCAUAGUGUUGACCACAGCCUGCAAGCCACAUUGAGCUUAACAGUUGUUGUACUACUAUUCGGUGGGUCGCGCCCUACAAGUGCCCCUCCGGAGGUGUGGCGAUUGGCAUAGGCAAGCCAGACAGACAUACAGUAGCCUCGUGCAGUGGGCUUCAACCUUGGCGGUAGUGGUGGCUGGCACGAGGCGGCGCAGGCUUGACCGAAUUAUUGAGUCGGUUAGUUUAUGAUUGGGUUAGUAUAUGAUUGGGUUAUAUGGUACAUUUAGUAUGGUUACUUUAGUUGAUACAAGAGAACCAUUGAUUGUUAUACAUUGAUUCACAUAGAGACAAAUUACUUUUACUGCUUAUGUUGACCUUACUGGAAGUAUGAUAGUAUUUAUCUUUCUAUUCAUAUUAUGCUCUGUGACUCAUUCAAUUAUAGCUUUGUAGUAUCCGGGUAGAGGGGCAUGAUAGACAUGGUGAGUCUACAGUUUAGUGUUUUUCUAUUCAUUCUCUAUUUUGCCUCUGGUAGACCUAGUGGGUAGGUUGUGGUUGUUGCCGAUCAUACCCACUGGGAUCUACUGUCUAAUAGUUCUUUUGCCCUCUUAUGUUUUACGUUUUAGCACCUUCUAAGCCAGUGUUGGAUCGAGGUAAAAGGAUACGCCAUAGUUAGCAUCUCCUACCAUAUUCAAGUGUGAUAGAGGAGACCACCAGCUAGUUAGUUUUAAAUAAUAUACUAUACAUCCAGACUGGCAAGAUUAGGGCCUUUUAUUUGUAGCUAUGUUUUGGGAGUUGACUAUUGAUUACUUGUACAGUGAUAGUUAGUAGAUUCAGUUUCUAUCUUGCUCUGAUACAUGAAUAUUUAGUUGUGAACUCCUAGGAAUUGAUUGUAUGCUAGUAGCAGACUCCUAGGAUUGCUUCUAGUUUUGUGGGACGCUUCGUAUGUACAAGAAAUUUUUAUAUAUACGACGGUCUGUUAACAUAUCGGGAGGCUUCCGCUGUGAAUUCAAGACGUGACACGAACCUUCUAAAUUACUACAAUCAAUCCCACAAUUCAAAUUAAUCGACUAAAUAUUGAUGUAGCAUUAAUAUGAAAAAGAUAUAGCAACGUGGUGAGUGAUAAAGCGACAACAAUUAAUAUGCCACAUCACUUCCACCUUAGUGACACGUCAACAUUUAGUCAACUAAAUUUGAUUAUGAGAUUAGAUUGCAACUAUUUACAAAGUUUGAACCGAAAAUUCCAAUAAGCUAAAAGUUAAGUGUCAUGUACCUCAUAGUUUGAGGACCAAGAGUGUAAUUUAGCCUAUUGACUUUACAUGAAAAACAAAGAAAAGAUGAGUAACACUUGGUAAAAUCUAUCUAUCUAUACGAGUAUAUAAUUCAUGAGUCUGUCGGUGCCACGUGUCAUUCUCUCGGCUUCUUUCACUCCUGACUCUUCCUCUCCCUCUCAACACCACUCCUUCCUAUUUCGUUAAUUAAUCUUCUCUCCCUCUCACAUCUCCACAGAAGGUCACCCGUCUUUUUAAGAACAGGCAUCUCUCUUUUUCCCUCUCCUCUGACCUCUCUACAACCUCCCUAACCCCACCCCUACUUCCCCUCCCUUAAAAUCUAAUUAUUACCAUCCUCCUCCCGGACCCAAUUAUUACUUAGACACUCAAUACUUCUCCCACCCUCUCACGCCUCCCACUCCGGCAGUUCACGGGGGCCUUUCAAAUCGUCUCCAAGCUUAAUGGUUAUUUGAUUCAUGAAAUCAAGGUCCAAAUGACACACAGAGAAGGGUCACCGGAGGUGGCGGUGGUGGUGACGGAGGUGUAGAAGGCGGCGACGGGGAGGAGGAAAAAGAGGAGCAUCGGAAGUUGGGGAUGGAUCUGACUCGUAAGGAUUGUAUCGUCAAGCGCAGGCUGCUCUACUCAGCUGCAACCCUCAUCCUCUGUGUCACUGUGUGUUAAUGCUGUGUUCUCCUUUUGUUUAUUUUUAUUUUUUAAUUUUUUAUUUAGUAGAGAGAGCAGAGGGAUCAUUUAGAGGCGAUGGAAGGUGCGGAUAGCACACGCGAGCGCGACAAGAUUAAGACUUCGUUCGUUUGAGAUUGCGAAAAGAUUACGUUACGUGCGGUGAGAAAGUACGUCAGAAAAAAUACCAUAUUUAUUUCCGUACGUAAUAUUACGUUGUUCCGCAUAUCGCGAUGAGUCGGUUACGAUAUAUUUUCUACGAUCUCACCGGAAAAUGCAAAAACAUAUUCCUAUAUGCUUUUUCCUCAACUCCAUUUUAUCUAAUAGCGUUAGAUAGAGAGUUCACCCAUGCAUUGCAAAGAAGAAUUUGGGGUAUGAGGUGGAAUAUUCAAGAUAUUUCUUUUUCAAAAAAAAGAUUAUAAAAUUUUUAUAAAAUACGUUGGCAAUUAUUUUUUCUAAAAAAAGUUAUUGUGCCUAAUUUGGAUUUAAUAAUUCAGACAAGUUUUGUACAUUUUAAUUAUUUUUUCCCAAUGUCUUUUUCUUACCAAACAAAUAAUCUGCCCAUAGGAGUCUUUGAAAAAUAACAAAAGUCAAGAUAUCGAAAUUUGAAUUCAAAAUCUAAAAUUAUAAGCUGAAAUUUGAAUUUAAAUUUAAGUUUGCAUUUUGGAUUUAAUUUCGAUAUUUAUUUUCAGUUUGAACUGUGAAUUUGAAUUAUAAUUCCAAAUGUCCACUUUGAAUUGUGAUUUAAACUCAAACUGAAAUUUAAAUUUAAAUUUCAAUUCAAAUUUUGAAUUCACAUUCGAAUUCAAAAUUUACAAUCAAAUAGUAAAUCAAAUUUUGAUUCAAAUCAUGAAUUCAAAUUUUAAGUUGAAACUUGGAAUUAGAAUUUACUAUCAGUUGUAAGUUACAAAACUAGCACUUUAAAUUUAAAUUACAAAUUUAAUUGUGUGUCUUUAGUUCUAAUUAUAAAUUUAACUCAGAUUUAGUUUAUAUUUGAAAUUUAAAAUUAAAUUUUGAAUUUCAAAUGUAGAUUUAAAUUUAAAUUAUGAGCAAUCAAAUAUCAAGCAAUCGAAAUAACAAAACUUCUUUGUAAUUUCGAUUGUUUGUUAGUGGAAGUGGACAACAAUAAUAUUCAAUCACAUGUCCAAAAUUAGAACAAAAGCAGUUGAUCUAUAGAGUUGUAUCAAGAUCAUUAUUUGAAAUUAAGAAAGUAAAAAAGUGCUGGCAUUGGAGAUUUUAAUAGUGUCUACCAGCUGCGAAGCGCAGGCUCUUAACUAGUACUAUCCAAACCGGAGCCAACAAUUAUAAUAAUCAAAACAAGAGGCUUAAUUGUUUGUACCGUAAGCGCUCAACAUGAAAACCUACGGCAAUUCUGAAUUCCAACAGUAUAGGUGUGGUUAUUAUCAAAUAUAAUUUGUAAAAUAUGAAAUAUCGAUCAUAUAGAUGAUUUAUUCGGAACUUUUGUCUACUUACGCAUCUAGAAUGCAACAUUAACCAUGUGUAGGACAAUUCAUGAAGUGUGCCUUUCGGUUAUUUUGUUGCUAUAGUAGCAGGCGUUUUAGAAAAGUAAAUGUUUCCAUGGACAAGUGUAAGUUAAAAUUAAGUAUAUCCAUAAAAUAAACAGAAAUAAAAAAAAAAAGAAAAUCAAAUAAUCUAAUUAGUGACAAACAUCAUAUAACCUUGUAAAAUAGUUAUUUCGACCAAAUAUAUGCCCGGAGAAGAGCCUUAAAGUGAACAUCCGACUUAUGGCAUCGGAUUGAAAAGCUGUUAUGUUUGAGAAAGCGAAAAAGCUAAGAAUUGUGUUAUUUAUUCGAAUAUUCGCUACUGAAAAUAAAAAUAAAGCUCGUUCGCAAAUAUGAUACCUUGAAAAUAGUUGAUCCUUUUCCUCGCUUAAACCACCAGCAUCAUUUCCACUGGAUCAGGAUUGCUUUGUUUAGGUCAAUGGGCAAUUCUAUGCAAUGUUAUCUCAAAAUUCGGCUUGUUUAUUUCUGUGGGCACAGAUAGAUUGACCUGCAGGUGCACAUACGAAACAUGAAAAAAAUGAACAGUAAAAGCGUAAAGAAUAUGAAAGAAAUAAAAGGGUAUGGCAUAAAAAAUUCGAGAAAAAGGAAAACAAUAAAAAAUUUGGCAGACCUACGUAAGUUUACUACAAAAUCUGUAGCAUAAUAAAGUUCAUGCCAAAGUUUCAAGUAAUCCAAUCCAAGAAACAUAUAGUGAUAAAACAAUAAUAAAGAAUGAAAUUAAACCACAACGUUUAUUAACGAAAUUUGAUUGCAAAGUGCAUCAUCCUAUGUUGUCGAGUCACUUAUAUCUAUAAAACAAUGAGUAGCACUAAGGAGGCUUGCUCACGUACCGAUUUGAUGGCACUUAGUCUUCUGGCAGCUGCAACCUAUGCAGGAUUAUCAAAGGACUGCAUCUGCACAAGCAACCAAAUAUCCACAGGUCUUUAGAACAAAGAAGAAAAUCUGAAGAUUUUAGGUUGAAAAUAUCUAAAACUGAGUAGAUGGAUUGUAACUUUAGUAAAUCUACACUUCAUAACAAAGAAGUUUGGUUCAGUUAGGUACAGCACCAGUAGCAGAUUUGUAUGAAAACCAAUGAACAAUAGAACUCAUGUAAUGGAAAGAUUUUAGAUCUUGUUCAUGUACAAUAUAUUAUGAUACGGAGGGAAAAAACAAAAUUGACAUCAACAAAGUAUCUUGCCGCACAGAAAUGCUAAACAGGGGGGGGGGGAAGAAACAGGUUGCUUGUUCCUGCUAUUGCAGUUGUAGAUCAACUUAAAUGCUCUUAUCAUGAAAAUCUUUACAAAUUAAUCCACAGCGGACCUAUGUUCCCCACUUUGUUGAUGAUAUAAUAUUAUGGUGACAAAAGGACAGUAUGAAGAUCAUAAUUAAACAAGGAUUUCAUUGCCCUGGGACGGGGUUAUGCCGAGAACUUGCUGGUACGGUACAUUAUACUGCAUGAUGUACCAUACUGGUUCGUGCCGGUCACAAAAAUACGUGUGCCGAGACAUUAUGGUAUUAAAUAUUUAUUUUCUUUGGUACUCUAAUUGCCUAUUAUAUAUUUCUAUCAAAUCUUUUGCCUUUUAUUGAGAUAACUACUUCUAAUUUCACAUAAAAGAGAGUUUGAGUGGUGCUAUCGGCACAGGAGUCAUAUCAUGCCGAUAUCUUGUCAGCACCGUACGGCAUGGUGGGCACGUCCACGUCGCUUGCCGAUGGGCACUUAAAUCCUUGUACAUAUAUUUUUAAACAUGUCAAGAAGGAACUUCAAGCAAGAAUAUAUUUUCAGCCAUAGAUACACAAUCAUACUAGAUCUAGUUAAUCCAUAACAAGUGAGAAAACAAUUCAAGAAACAACAUUAGAUUUCUCGAUGAAACUUUCAACGACAUGACUAACAGGUUUCUAUUAAUCUUAUCAUACAUAUACAUAUAUACAGUACUUACCUGUCCAUAUAAAACAGCAUAGGAAGAAAUUAACCUUUUGCAUGUAAUGCACAAGCCAAUUAUUAUAAGUAUAUGCAGCUAUAUGAAAAUAUGUUUGCUAGCAAAUUGAAAGAGAUUCUGUAGAAGUCGACCUUGUAUAUACUGAGUGACUCGAACUAACAUCUAAUUUAGCAAAAUAAGGAACAAUUCAAAAAUAAAUUACGAUUUGAAUGUCUAAGUUACAUGUAAGAUUAUUAGCGAAAUUCAAGAAAUGGUGUACUUCUGUUUCAUUAUGGGUUACAUUGAAGAGAAAACUAAUCAGUAAGCACAGCUUUUUUUCUUUUUUUUUUAAGCAGGUUAAACAAAAUAUAUGACAACAAAUGUGAAAUAAAAGUUGAAGAAAGAAAUUACCUAAGCAUACUUACAGAGGCUAACAUGGCCUUGCAGGAAAUUCAGAAAAUGAAAAGGUUUUUCUCCUAUCUAUCAGCCCUUCAAACAUGGAUCACAUUUUCCUUUUUGAAUAAUUGUUGAUCCUGCCAUACAUCUAAGCACAUCAAGAUAAGGUAUUGCUUCAACUUAUUUUCUAUUUUGGGAUACAACUGAGGCCGCAUAUCUUCAGCACACAAACUUUGGAAUUACAUGGCCGCAACUUCACACCCCGCCAGUGCUAAGUUGAGGUAGGCCUGCCAUAUUGAAACUCCCCUCCUCAUCUCACAUUCCGAACCAAAGCAAAGGCCAAUCUAGAGUUUCAUCGUGGUUCUAAAUGCGCUCUAUCAGACUUCCAUGGACAGCCGGCAUUCUUGCAAGUUAUGCUUAUCCAAACAGGCCUUGAUGUCCUCAAAUAGUUCAAACUUCUGUCAACGUCAUAAAUCUAAACACAUGUUGCCUCUGAAUUCGACCUUAUUUAUCAACACUGAUUCUUCUUCGGCAAUUCCUUAUACUAUUCAAUCUUUUCAUUGCACUUUCCAGUCCCUGAUGGAAACUUGUGGGAACAUUCUCUGAAGACAUUAAACCUCUAUUCUGUAUAUCUUGUAACAGUUUCUCUCCCUCCUCAACCCUGUUUUCCCUAUAAAAUGCUUCAAUUAGCACAGUGUAUGUCGUUAUAUUAGGCCAAAGCUCCCUUUGUAUUAUUUCUUCGUACAGCUUUAGCGCAUCAGAAACACGACUAGUUUCGCAUAGUCCGGUGAUAAGAACAUUAUAAGUCACGAUAUCUACUUUCAAUCCAUACCGUUCCAUCACAUCCUUCAAGUACAAAGCAUCAUCAAUUUUAGCUUCUUUACAAAGCCCAUGCAUGAGUGUGGUGAAAGUUGCCAUAGUCGGCACCCUUCCUGCCCUAAUUAUGCUACUAAAAACCAAUAUAGCCUCCUCGAUCUUCCCACAUUUACAAAGCCCUCUAACCAUCGAGCUCUCUGCAACUUCAUGCGGCACAAUCCCCAAUGCCUCCAUCUCAUCUUUCAGUCUAAAUGCUCCCCAUACGUCGCCAACCCUAAUUUUCCCAUUAAUUAAUGUGAUGUAAUGAUUGUGCCUUGGAGUAAACCCUUUCUCCAUCAUUUCAUGCAAAACUUCAUAGCUUUGUCGAAAACAAUUUUUUCUAUUUAACCCAUUGAUAAGCGCACUAUAGGCGUCGCUGCUUGGUGACAUUUGUAAAUUUUUCAUACAACUAACAAGCUUUAAAGCAUUAUCCAUCUGGGUUUUCUCACUAUACUCCACGAUAAGCAUAUCAAAGGUCAAGUUAUCAGGAAUAAUUCCAUCGAGCAUCAUCUUCUCCAAAAACUUCACAGCAAUAUCUAUCAUAUUAGACUUACAAAGCCCAAGGAUUAGUGCUUGAUAAGUUAUUCUAUCUGGGAUAAACCCUCUCUGCACUAUACUACUGUACAAUCUGAAUGAUUUCAAGGCCUGUUGGUUUUUGAUGUAACCACGAAUAAGAAUAUUAUAAGUGGCUACAUUUGGAAAUAUACCUUUAUUUUGCAUCAUACGAAUCAUCUUCUCCAUUUCUUGUACCAUACCUGCCUUCGAGUAGCCGUAGAUUAUUCCAUUAAAAGUAAUAGCGUCUGGAUCGAGGCUUUUGUUGCUAAUCAUCUCUUCGAACAAGUAUGACGCAGCCUUUAUUUGGCGUUCUCUUAUCAAUCCAUUUAUUAAACAAGUAUAAGCAACACGAUUAGGAAACAUACCCUUCUCCAACAUCUUGUCAAAGAGCACAAGUGCAGGAACAAUCUUCCCUUUUCUGCAAAAACCGCAUAGAAGAAUAGUAUAACUGUAGAUAUCAGGUGCUAAAUUAUUCUCAAUCAUUUUAUCCAGCAAGGACAAAGCACCAUUCAAGUCCCCAUAUUUACAAACUGCCGCAAGUAGUGUAUUAUAAGUGCGAGUAUCAAUAGCAAAAGGGAUAUUUACAAGUUGGGUCAGAAACUUCUUUGCCUCAGUUAAGUUUCCUCCUUUGCAUAAUCCUUUAAGUAGAUUUGCAUAUGUACAAAUAUCUGGAGAAAGACCCAAUCUAACCAUUUCAUCAUAAAAAGAAAAGCCUUUUAAGGCAUCACCUUUACUACAAUAACCAUCUAUCAUACAGUUGAAGGUAGUGGAGUUUACGGCUAGUUUCAUCCUAAUCAUGUGUUGUAUGAAAUGCUCAGCUUCUUUUAACAUUCCCUUUCUAUAAAGCGUAGAAAGUAAGGUAUUACAGAUAAAUGGACUGACUAAUUGACCAAUUCGCUGCAACUCGACAUAAAACUUCAAUGCUUCGACAAUAUCUCCUUUCUUACAAAAAUGGUAAAUUAGUGUCGAAUACACUAUUUCAUUAGGCAAAACUCCCGUUUUGUACAUCAUCGACAAAAUCUCUUUGGUUUGGUCCGUCUUAUCCACUUUGCACAAACCAUUUAUAAGUGCAGAAUAAGUAAUAACAUCGGGACCGAUGCCGGCCUCAAUCAUAGUGUAGAGAAAUUUCACCGCUUUAUGAAUUUUUCUCUCUCUACAAAACCCGUCAAUCAAAAUUGUGUACAUCACAUGGUUGAUAUUAAAGCCCUUUGAUCUCAACUGUUGCAGAAGUUGCAUUGCAGAGUCCAAUUUUGAAGCCUUGCAAUAGCCGUUUAGUAGAGCACCGUAAGUGAACUCGUUAGUGGUUACGCCCCUAGUUUCCAUCUCAUCCAAAACUCCCAAAGCUUCACUAAUUUUUCCACUUCGAGAAUACCCGUCAAUUAAAGUAUUAUAGGUGACUACACUUGGUCUUACACUGAACUUCAACAUGCCAUCGAAAAUACGAGUAGCAAUAUCCAUCUUGCCUUCUUUAGAAAACCCAUUUAUAAGAGUAUUGUAUGUGCUUUCGGUGGGGCAUACCUUCCUCUCUCUCAUCCUUUUUAGUAACAAAUAAGCUCGAGCGCUUCUCUUCGUCUUACAUAACUUGUCAAUAAUUACAUUAAAUGUAUAUACAUCCGCCUCAACGCCUUUGCUCUCCAUACUAUCUAGUAUCUUCGAAGCGUUUUUGAACCUCCCCUUCUUGCAAUACCAAGAUAGCAUAGUAUUAUAAGUAACAACGUUGAAAGAAAAACCACUCUCUUCCAUCUUCUUGAAGAUAUAACUAGCCUUUCCAUAUUUUCCCUGAGAACAAAGAGAAUUCAAAAUUAUAUUGAAAGUGCUCGCAUUCGGAUUAAUCCUCCUUAUGAGCAUUUGUUCGAAAAACGGCCAAACGGAAUCCAAUUUACCCUCCUUCAUAAGAGCUUUGAGGAUGGAAUUACAAGUGAAAAUCGAAGCUUUGAAUCCUCGAGCACUAAUUAAUUGGAACACCUCCACAGCAAAUCCAAUCAUCCCUUCUUCCACAUAAAUUUUAAUCCAAAAGUCAAAAACCGACUGAUUUGAAUUGCACUGGCGAUAGUUCUCCAUGAGAGAAUGAAAGGUAGAGGUACAUGAACGGCGCAUACGAGAGAGAUGUUUCAAUAUGGACUUUGCCGAAUAGAACAUGCGAGCCCGAAUAAGCAAGUGAAUGGUAAUGCAAUAAGUACAAGUAAUUUGAUCGAAACCGGGUUGACGUUUGAUCUAAUUGAGAAUCCUCAAUGCCAUCCGACUGAGAACCUUUCUUAGUGCCGCCAAAUUGCAGUUCAUGCGAUUCAGCGAUUCCCGUCGACGAAAUGUGAGUAUAUCGCUGAUGCUGUUUUUGAUCUCCUGGACUGUUCCGAAAAGCCACGAACUUGAGAAGAAAUGGCAAAUAAGCAUUUGCAAUAGCACAUGAAAUACUCAUAUUAAUCAAAUUAGUCAUGAACAAGUACAAAGAAACAUUGCUAAUGUUACCAAAAAAAGAGAAGAAGAAAAAAGUCUCAAAAAAUCAUAGAAAGACUACAAGAAACCCAACUUUGCAAAAUAGAAAAUCAGAAAAACAACUGUAAAUAUGUGACAAACUAACUAGAAAAAAGAAAUCAAUCAGCAUAGUCAAUAAAAGCAACAAAACAGGAAACAUGGAUUUGUACGAACACAUAAAUUACUCAUGCUAAUCACUUAAGAACGACGAAAAUUGGAAAUAUUAGGAUUGAAAUCCUCCAGAAUGACAAGUAUAUAUAUAUAUGCCACAAAUUGCAGUAAAGGUAAGAAAUCAACAAGCAUAGUAGAUAAAAAGCAUCAAAAUUAGUGUCAAAAUAAGAAAUUUUAUCAACUUUAGAGGGUAAAUAAAUUGCAUCUCAAAGAAGAAUAAAAGCAAACAGGUUUAUGUGCAAAAGGAAAGGACUACUCAAAUGCAUUACUAUAAAUAAAAAUUGAUAAUAGAUUUCCACCUUGCAGUACAAAAUCAUAGUAACUAGAUAAACAAAGUUAUAAUUUUGAAGGGUAAAAUGUACAGAUAGUCCCGUUAUUAUCCCAAUAUUGCAUUCUCAAUCUUUAUAUUUUUCACUUAAGUACUUUAGCCUUAAAAGAAUUGGACGUAGUUAGAAAUGCAACAGUUGGGGAGAAUAAUUAUAGGGGAAAUUGCAUGUUUGGUCCUCAAACUAUGAGACAAGUGACACUUUGGUCCUCAAACUAUAAUUUAUCACAACUUUUGGCUCGAACUUUUAGAAUUGUUGCAAUCAAGUCCCACAACCUAAUUUAGUUGAAAAUAUUGACGCAUCGUUGAUGUAUUGUCACAUCAUCAAUCACAAUACUUCGACAUCACAUCUACAUCAACAAUUUAUCAAUAUUUAGCAAACAAGAUUAGAUUGUGGGACUCGAUUGCAACAAUUUAAAAAGUUCGUGCCAGAAAGUACAACAAAUUAAAGUUUGAUGACCAAUGUGUAACCGACUCAUAGUAUGAGGACCAAACAUGCAAUUUACCCAUAAUUAUCUCUUAAACAAAAAAUAAUUUUUUUUUACCCUUAUAGAGAUGAUAUCACCAUUCAUAUUGAUCUUCAAAUGCACCUCCCAAUUAUAAGCAAAUAUAUAUAUAUAUAUAUAUAUAUAUAUAUAUAUAUAUAUAUAUAUAUAGUCCGGCUACUGAGUAUGAUCGCCCUCGUACUCAUAAGUUGUUUUUGAUGAUAGAGAUUCCGAAUUGACGAUCCACACCGGUAAACGUUAUCUAGAGCAUUUAAAACUUCUAGAAAUCAAAUUUUAUAAUUUUUCAACAUCAUUUACCUUACGAUCAAAAGGUCACAAAAUUGACAAUUUUUAACGACCGGUAUGGGAUAUUUGCUAGUUUAACAGUGUAAAAAAAUCGGAAUUGGUUGAAUUUUUGAUAGAAAAUUCUAUUCACUACCUAGAUAAAGAUCAAUAACUCCGAUCUUAAAUUGAAGGAUCUGAUCAUCCAUUUUUAGGACGUCGUUCGAUUUCGACCGUUCAUUUUAUACCCACUUGAUGGACUUUAUUAUGAUUUCGAAAAAUUACGAAAUUUAUUUUCUAGAAAUUUCAAAUACUCUAGAUCAUAUUUAAUGGAGUGGAUCGUCGAUUCAGAAGCUCCAUCAUCGAAAACAACUUAUGAGUACGAAGGACCCUAUACUCAUAAGAGUAUAGUAGCCCUACUUUAUAUAUAUAUAUAUAUAUAUUUGUGACAUUUUCAAAUCAAUACUACAAAAUAAACAAAAUACAAAUGUGGCUGCAGCAUUUCCAAACUACAUGCAUCUCUAACUACAUUAUAUUUAUAACUAGUCCAAUCAAACAAACAAGACUCCUAUUUAGUCAUAAUUAAAUAAGGUUAAAAAAUAAUUUUACAGCAAAAACAAAGAAACCUGUAAUGGUACAACACUAAAAUAUCCAACGGAAAAAGUUCAGGGAUCAAAAUGCAAUAUUGGUAUUUUCCUAUACAGAAACUAGUGAAUUACCCACACAAUUUAACCUAAUUUUUUAGCAAUAAAGAAGAGAACACUCACCACGGAGCACAAAACCCAAGCAUUACAAUACGAAAUUUGAAUUCAAAAUUCGAUUUUUAAGCGAAAAAAAGGGAGCGAAAAAAGAUUAAAAAAGGGGGGAGAAAUUGGAUUAAACCUGAGGCGGGGUUCUCGGCGUUUCCCCUCGUAGAGCUCGAGUUUCCUGGGAAGCGGGUGCGGGGAAACGAAGUGGAAGAGCACGGGGUUUUGAAUUUGGGGCGGAGGGGAAACGCCCUCGUCGUCGCCAUGAAAGCGGAGAGGGAGAAGAUGAAGGCGAAGGGGAGAGAGAGAUUAAAUUUUGGGGCUGGGAGAGAAAAUGCAUGGGUACACCCUCGACUAUUUCAAUAUUGCGAAUCACUCUCUAACCUUUUUCUGGAAAAAUAUGUCAAUGAUUUAAACAUCGGGUCCAACUGCUAGUUCGACCGGUCCAACCACGAUCUAGUCUAUAAAGUAGUUCGAUUCAAAUCUGUGAAGUGAACCAUUCGAACCGGUUGUUCUACCAUCGAACUAGUGAAUCAAUCCGGUUUUAAUCAAACAGGUCAGAUUUUUUUGAUCAAAUGAUAUCAAAAGCUAACGGCUAAAAAUAUACUAAGCUGAUUUUAUUUUCUAUUAGCACAUAUUAGUCUUAUAAAAUACGAAACUUAAAAAUUUAUAUUUACUUAGGCAGUUUGGUAUUGAGGCCUAUCUGACGUUAUUAGAUAAAAUAGAGUUGUGAUAAAAACAUAUAGGGAUAUGUUUCUUCGUUUUUCGGGGGGAUCGCAGAAAAUAUAUCGUAACCGACUCAUCGCAAUAUACGGAACGCAAUACUAUGUACGAAAACAUACAGGGUAUUUUUUCAUCGUAUUUUCUCACCGCACAUAAUACAAUCUCCUCGCAAUUCCAAACGAAGCAUUAGUUUAGUCUAGAAAUCAGUAUUUUAUAAUUAAGUAUGAUACUAAAAUAAUAAUAAAUCUACAUUUUUAUACAAUAAAAUUAAAAAUAAGAAUUAAAUACUUAUAAUGUCAUAUUGACGGUUCAAAUAAUGGUUGACUCACUUGUUAAACCAGUGCCUCUGGACUUACUAAUAUUUUCGAGUCGCUAUUCGGCCUGAUAUUUAGAACAUUAAAAUAUACUUAGUAAUAUUUUCGAGUCGCUAUUCCGCCUGAUAUUUAGAACAUUAAACUAUGUACAUAAGCGCCCUCAACUCUUUUCCAAAUGGCCCCAGAACUUUUAGGCCUUAGCAGCAGCAACAUUGUUAUUUUUUAAAAAAACUAUUUUUUAUAUUUAUUUUAUAUAAUUUAAUAUAUCAAUAGUAGGACUUUUUUUAUCAUUGUCAUGCAUGAUUAGCUUGCAAUGAAUCCUAACCUAACAAUGAACGAUAAUUUUUUUUUAAAAAAAACUUAGAAGUAAAAAAAAAAAUUUAUUUUGUGUUGUCAAACCGCAAAUCGGAGGGAUAAUCAGUACCUAAUAUUGAGGUGAGGGGCCCACUGAAAUAUUUGAUAAAAUAAAGAUGGUGUAAUUACUAAAAUUAAGCUGACAUGGUUUGUUUGCAAAAGUGUUAACAGUUUCGGAAUCGUUGCAUCUCUUUUAUGUUAAAACUUACAAUUAAUUGAAAUUUUGAAGAAUGUACCAUGCAUGGUAAUGUAAUUAAGAAUUGAAAAACUUAAAUUAAGAAUUCUAAACGCAUAAAUGUAUCUUUAUGGAAAAAAAAAAAAUCAUACAUGUAUCAACCCGUUUGCUAGGGCACUCGACCAGCAUGUUUGUUUUGAAAAAAGCGGAGAGGGUGAUGUCGUAAAUCAUUAUUUGGUUCACGGUAGUCUGUUGCGAGUCGAAAUUCUGGACCGUUAACCUGGUCAAGACUCUCUUUCGGGGAGCGAGUCUGAAGAAGGGUCGGCUCCUGAUUAUGAUCCUCGAAUGCACCCAAGACGUAGUCAAGCGGUCGGCUGAGGAUGGAUCCACUCAGCCGAGUCCCAACACUCAAGUAUAUAUUACUGCCUCGGCUGAAUGAGUUCAGCGACUUUAAUAUAUUUUAAGAGAAUGCAGAUGUACAGGGAGAUAAGUACUAACGCUAACGUACUAACCUCUUAACUACAAGAAAAUUAAUAAAAAUCCACUAUAAAUGAAAAGAAAAUCUAACUUAACAAACUACUCCAGAAAAGUGAUAAGAGCGAAAAAUAAAGAAAUUAAAAUUGCAGUGGUCUCUUGUACGCGAAAAAGACUCUCUAUGCAGGCGAUUUCUAUUUAUUUAUAAUCCUUCGCAAUUAUUUAGUUAAUCCUUAUCGUGGGGUGUACUUCGGCCAUAUUCUUAUUUUUUUUCUGAUUGUGCCUUGGUCAUUCCUCCCCAUAUCUUUGACUGUGCCAAAAACUACUUUUUCAUUUCAGGCAUACUUCUGUCAAUUCUAGGUGUAUCAUGUGUGGCUUUAUAUGUGGUUCUUUUGCUUCGCCCACAUGGCUCAAUAUAUUCUUCCAUGACAAAACUUGUUAGAUCAAAUACCGCAACGAAUAACCUGAUUGUGAUUUAAAACUAACUAAAUUUUGUGAUAAAAAUAAAUAAAUCAACUUACAAAUAAUUGCUAAAUCCAAAUAGAAAAUUUGAUUGAUCCGGAAGCGUGCGAGGCACUGCCUUAAGGCGUAUUCUCAUCCUUACGUGCUGGAUUAACCGGAAACACCGCCCCAAGGUACAACCGGAAUUCCUCCUCCUGCGAGCACGAACGCGGAAGAGGUUGACGGAGACUCUUUCAACACCCGACGAUAAAAGAAUAAAAAACCAAGUAAAUCAAAACUAUAAAAGAAGGGUUAUUUGCAUACAGGUCCCUGCAAAUAUAGUGAAUUGCAGAAAUAUCCCUGCAAAUUGGAAACUCCAUAAGUUGUCCCUGCAAAAGUGCAAUGUUAUGCAGAUAUGUCCCUACUGUUAGAGUUUGUUAGAGAAAUUUAUUUAACCACAGUUAAACUACUUAACCAUGAUUAGUUAAUAGUGUGAAUUGACUAGUUUGCCCCUCUUAUGUUAUAUCCUAUUAACUUACCUAACUACUAUGGUGGGCCCUUAACCCUAGUUGAGUGGAACCAAACCGUAAGGAGAGCCCUCAGGUGUUCCGCCUGAGAGCGCGAGGAGAGCGACCACGAUGUAAGGAGAGCGCCCGCGAUCGAGGAGGUUUAGUGCUCGUCUUCCUCGCGCAACAACGAGGUUCAGAUCAACGAGGUUUAUUGCUCGUCUUCCUCUUCCUCUUCCUAUUCCUCUUCCUCUAGCUUCAGAUCUAGCAUUACUAGGGUUUUUUCCAUCAUAUUCAUCAAUGAGGUGUAUUGCUCCUCUGAUUGUUAGUUUUUUUCAUUACUAGAGCAAGGUUAGUGCACUACAUACUAUAAAUCAAAAACUUGAUUUAUCUGAUUGUUAAUUUUGGAAAAAAAAAUCCUAGUAUUUUAGGUUAAUUUUUUAAAAUAAUUUUGGUCUUAAGAAGUAGGCUUGAAUCAUCCAAGUUAGAUCUAUAUAAUUAUUGUCAUAUUUUCAUAGAGCAUACGAGUAUAGAACCUAGUCAUUUUUAUUUUUUUUUUGUUUCUACAGUGACAGUUUGAUAAUAGAUAGGGAGGAGCAUGAUUUUUUCCAAGUGAAGUUCAAUUAUGCUGGGUAUUUUAAAACAAUAAAAACUGUAUGUGGACUGAGAUAUUGUGAUGGUAUGGGUCAAUAUGAGGUGCUAUGGAGUGAUGAAUUUUCAGCAGAAGUGAUUGGACCUCAAUCAAGGUUUAACAGAUCAAAAUGAGAGAAGAAGGAAAAUAGUGGAUCAAUAAAGGAGAAAAGAGCAAAAAAAGAGUUAUAUGAUAUAUUGCAAUGGAGUGAUGAAUUUAUAGAGGAAGAAGAUGACCGUUAGGGUCAUUUUUGGGGACAUUUAUGUACAACUUUAUUACUUUGGGUUUUGGAGGGAUAUAUUUAUGAGGGCAAAAUGGACGUUUCACUUAUAAAGAACAAAAAUGACCGUUGGCAUUUUUGCGAGGAUAUUUUUGCAAAUGUUUAUCAGUUAGGGCUUUUGGAGGGAUAUAUUUGCAAGNAUAAAGAACAAAAAUGACCGUUGGCAUUUUUGCGAGGAUAUUUUUGCAAAUGUUUAUCAGUUAGGGCUUUUGGAGGGAUAUAUUUGCAAGGGCAAGAAUGUCAUUUCACGCUUCAACUGUUAAAAAAUAAACAGUUCACUAACGGUUGUUGACCGCAGGGACAUAUCUGCAUAACUUUGGAUUUUUGCAGGGACAACUUAUAGAAUUUCGAUUUUGCAGGGAUAUAUCCGCAAUUCACUAUAUUUGCAGAGACGUGUAUGCAAAUACCCCAUAAAAGAAAAUAUAUAACUCUCCAAAAUUUCACUCAGUCAUGUUCUACUAUGAUGAACAGUAGACAGGAGGUAGUAUAAAUGGGAAUGGGAUGUAAAUGGAUACAUUGAGCCCCCCCCCCCCCCCACCCAACGUUCUAUCUCAUAAUCCCAUUUAAUUCCAUACGUUUCCCUCUAUUAAUUAAAAUAAUAAAUAAUAAUAAAAAUAUUGAUAAAAGAGAAUAAAAGAAUUAAUAAAUAAAGAAUAAAAUAAUAAUAAUAAUAAUUAAGAAAAUUGAAUAGUAAUAAUAAUGAUUAAGGGAUUUUGAAUUUUCCUCCAACAAUCUCCCACAAAAUUCAAAAUCUCGAAAUAGGAAUUAAACUCGAAAACAAAAACUAAUAAAUAAAUAAAUCACCGGGAGUUUAUACUAUGCAAUAGGUAAGGUGUCUUUAAGAGACUUAACCUCACUCAGUGUAAAUAGUUUCCAUCAGAAGGAAUCGGAGUGAACUAGGUCUUGAACUACGUUCCUUUGUCCCUAACUUCAACUAUCACACACACAGUACAGAAUUCUCCGUCGUGGGUCUGUGCGUUAAUGGCCAUGCACAGUACCUCGAUUUUUCAUAAGAGUUUCUAUGGAUAGCCCAUUCAUAUAGCCGCGGCCACAUACGGAUACUCUUAUAUAGAUGGUUUCCUCCGGGUAUGUGUGUAGAGUCACAUCUCGCGAAAAUUAUCGCAUUGGAUUCCAUUAAGAGCUAUCAGCUCAACCUAAUCCACUACACAGAGCACUACUCACCAUAGGGAUGGAAUUGGAGCGAAAUGUCACGGACAAAACUUUUUUCUUCGUAAAGCUCGUGCGGCGCCCCCUUCCUGCUCGAAGAUGGACAAGCCUACCCCAAGUCCUAAUACGGACAAGUCUCCCAAACUUAACAGCGGAAUAUCAAUCCAAGCAUUUGCCAAGCUUGCUCCUGCGCGAGACUGAUAGCUUAACCAAUCGCCUGCAAUCGAACCCCUUAUCGGACUCCACGAGUUCCCAACGAGCAACCUUAAUACUAAGGCUGGCCACCAAGCUAGGCCAUAUUUUCCACCAUUGUACCUCAUGCGCCCGACAGCAUCCACGGCCAUACCGCCUACGCGCGGCCUGCUCACUCGGUCCACUGACACAUGUCAAAGCAGCCACCCAAGUGUGCGCCACAAGCUCGUCUGUCUUCCAACGCCAGCGACCAACGCGACACCCCGCACGCCCAUGCUCCGCACAUCCGUGCUUCGCAUGCGUCCCGUACGGCACACGUGCCCACCACGGUCCUGGUAAGGAAGCCAACAAGCCCACACCGUGCUUCACGACUGUCCCCACGACCUCGCAUUGCCAUGGCGCUCCGCACCCUUGAUUCCCAUAGUUUCGCCACAUAAGGCCCCAUACAAACGAGCCGGCCUCACUCCGCACUGCAACCCAUCUGACCCCUCCAUGGCUCGACCACAUCUGGCCGCACACCAAUGGUCCGGUCUCUCAAGGUUCACCAUACGGAUACCGAUACUGCUUGCCUCACUGGGUUUCGCCCCUCUCGAGUCUCCAAGACCUACGCGCCUCAUGAGUCUCCUUCGACGUGCCUCCCUUUGGCGAUCCUACAGAGAUCCAUCUCCUUAAGCGUUCACAGGCACCGUGCCCUGCGAAUCCCCACUCAGCACACUUGCCUUCGUGAGCCUUGCCUUCUACAGCGGGCCAUCCGUCGCAAGACUAACCCUCAUCCACUCGCGCGCUCCCCCACAGAGAUCCGAGACGGCAUAAGGUAGUGCAAGCGAUCCUAGGAGCAAAGCCUCCCGAGUGCUUCCCGCUCCACAAUGUCGUCGACCUCUGUCUCCGACAUUGCCCUAGGCCCGUGACCCUUCAACCAUCCAUUGCACAGUCACACGAAACACUAGGCUUGGCUACUCCGCUAGCCAAGGGACGACCGAUGUCCUAUGAGUCGGCGGGGGAGUCGGGGCCACUCUACGCAGUGUCCACCCCUCCUCCUAUAUACCAUGCAAGACAUCCAGCCAUUUGGCACCCCGGGGGUACAAAGGUGCCCACCGAGGGGUACGUUUUGAAACCCCGCAUGCUGUACCAAAAUUCUUGCCAUGGCAUGGGCCAUUGCUAGAGAAUUGUCUCCGUAGACUUGACAGCGGCUCCAACCUGACGGAACACUUCAACUCCUCAACUCCAUAGCUUCGUCAACUCAAUGACUACCAAAUGUGGCCCCCAAAAGCGUCACGGUCGAGCCCCAACGAUUGAUCCGUGACAUCCUUCCCCACUUGAACCAUUGACACCCUCGUCGAUGCUCCAACUUCGUUGUCAACAGAACUACUCAUCCUAGACCUCUGAUCAGAGCCACCCAUGGCCUUGGCAUUUCAUGCCAUACUGACCUGCCUUCGAGUUCGUCCACUCAACAACGCUUCUGUAAAGCCCAUCGUCGUCCGCGACAAAACGCCUCACACACAUACAUUCUGUCCCAUCCUGAGUUAGAGCUCUUCAGCCUUGGCGCCUUGCUCGCACCACACUAACUCCUUUGCGGAACCAAAACUCAUCAUCCAUCGGAUUGCAAGAUUGCACUGACACUCCGCCACGUUGCAGAAUGCCUCCAAGUGUGUAUGUCCUCCGCGACACGUACGCGAACUCUGCCAAGCUGCAGAACACGCCGGGUGUGUAUGUCCUCCACGACACACACGCGAACUCCGCCACGCUGCAGAACGCCACCGAGUGUGCAUGUCCUCCGCGACACGCACACGCGCUCCGCCGAGCCGUCGAACGCCUGGAGUGUGCAUGUCCUUUGCGACACGCACGAGCACCCUGCUAAGCAGCAGAACUCCCUUUUCGUCCCCUGGAUCGUGGUGCUCCCCCACCUUUGGCCUCACUCGCCUCUGAUGGUUCACCUCGAUUGCCCUCGGUCCGAUCAGGUAGUGCCAAACCUGUGCCCACUGCAAACCACUUUCGCCACCCCAAUGCCUCCACAAUCGCACAACGUCGAGCACCCCCAUGGUCACACCAAGCUUUCAAGUCUUUUUGUCGGAAAAAACUGGCCUCGACUACUCUGCACUCUACUGACUUUACCAUGGACUCUAGUCAUAACACCUGACUGCUUUGCAUUUCGGCUACUUGCUGAUGCACGGCACCUCUAGUCUUCGGCCAAGUUUGAGCCCACUGGACGCCUUGUCUCAAUUCGCUCACAACUUGCCAAAUCCCAAUUCUAGGGAAAACACUCUCAUGAUGAUCGCUGAACGGAACACAGUUCACCCUCGGAUUAGUCUGAACCGCAAGUCUGAUUGCCACGGUAAUGCCACACCCAGUGCGCACCAUCCCUACAGAACUCCGAUACCACGACUUCCCCGCAGUCGCAAACUGUCCAUACUCCAACCAACACCAUGGGUCACGCUCCUCUGAGCAAAUGCACCAGCGAGUUUGCUGUGCGAAGAAUCCGCCGGAUGUGCAUGUCCUUCGCGACACGCACGCAUACUCCUCCAAGCAGCAGAACUUACCGAAUGUGCAUGUCCUCCGCGACACGCACGCGUGCUCCACCAAGUCACAGAACACUCGGAGUGUGCAUGUCCUCCGCGACACGCCCGCGCACUCCGCCAAACUGUGAAACUCAACAGGUGUGUAUGUCCUCCGCGACACACACGCGCACUCUGUUGAAUCGCCGAACUCCCUGAGUGUGCAUGUCCUCCGCGAUACGCACGUGCACUCCACCAAACUGCAGAACGCACCGCCCUUGGACUCCUCGGACUUUUGCUUGACAGAAUGACUUGCACCUUGAUUGGGCUGGCUGCCCCAACGCCGCAUGAGACUCAACAGUCUCCCCACUGCCCAGGCCCUCCUCCUCGAGGUCCUCAGCUUUCCCGCGCUUCACCUCCUCGUAAAGCUGCAGGGCUGUCACUGUUGAACUUUCGCUGCGCUCCUUUGCGUCCCCUGUAUCACGGUGCACUCCCCCACCUUUGGCCUAGCUCGCCUUUGGGGUUUGCCAUGAUCACUCUCGGUCCGCUCAGGUAGUGCCCCCUCGUCGUGAGGUCUUGACCUACCUGACCUGGGCACUGAUGUCCUGAAGCAGCACAUCUCGCGCAUCUCGCUCGUCGUUGCAACGAACAAGAGUCAUCCCGAACUGUUCUUCCAUUCUCGUCGUAGCAUCCUUCUGCCGCCCCCAUGGUACUUCAAGGAUGAGGGACUCCUACUGUCACGCCCCGACCCCAAAACCAAUUCGGUCCGGUUCGGGCGCGUCAAAUAGACACCGAACGGACAGCGCCUCCCCUGUCCGCCCAAGGCUAAGCAAACUGAUCAUGUAUAAGAAUUUACCCAGGAAUCAAUUCAUACAUACACGAUCACAAGGAGCACCACCAGUGCUUACAGAUGAGAGCAAGAUACGAGUAUGAGACAUACCAGUAAGUAAAGAGAGAAGAUUCUAUCUAUUACAUCCAUUCAACUUAAUACAUUAAUUUCAUCUUUUACAUUCCUCCAGAACAUAUGUACAAGCACUCUCAAACCUCACCCUAUACAACAUCUACUCUCAAACAUAAGUACAGGGUAGAGCUAAUGCAAAAGGAAGUAAAGCUAGCUAUGUACAUAUACCCCUAGGGCGCUAUGCCUUUGCCACGAUCCUCGCGCUCGCCGGGGACACUCGAACUCGGACCUGUAAAGAGUCGGGUGAGAACUAUCUUCCAUAGUUCCCAGUGGGUUCGGCCGCCGACUCCGCCAGUCUCCCCACUAGGUCCAAAUGGGCACAAGUAGAUAAACAGAUAGAUAGAUAUGUAAAGCUGUGAUAACAGAAUAGUAAAGCUACACUACUAUGCCCGAAUCAUAUAUAUGUAAAAUGCAUGCACAAUGAAGUAGGUAAUCAAAUAGUUCGUCAUAUGUUCAAGAAGUAAAGCUAUUUACUUGUUCAUUAAUCUCGUGGGUCACCCGAGGGUUCACCUACUACUCACAUAGCCAUCUCGACACGUAGGGAGACUCAACUCAAACUACGAAUCUGAGACCGUCUUCGGGACCCCACAUAGUCUAUCCCUCGGGACCCCAACUAGGCUAUCCCUAUCCCACGGGACCCCAAAUAGGCUAUCCCACGUGACCAACUCCGAAGUGCACUACUCGUGUGGAGUGACCAUCACAAGUCAAGAACAGACAGUGAGUAUGAUCCAAUCCUCUCAACUCGAGGAUACCCUAUCAGCUAAGGAUAGUAUCAACAUAGAACCAAUGGGUUUCUAUACUCAUCAACCUAGUGUUUCAGCUACACUAAGAUUCACAUAUGCCACUCGUUCUCUGGUUCAUUAUCAACUAGAUGCCACUCGUUCUCUUAUUUCAACCAUUAAGUCAUUCUUUCAUCUCUGCACUAUAGGAUUACAAUCCUCGACCCAAUCCUGAUCAAUCCACUAUAUCAAGUAACUAAUGCAUAAUAUGAUAUCAUCUAGGAAAGCAUAAGGAAAGGCAAUGCACAAUUAUCCUACAAUGCAUGUAAACACAAGAUGCAAGAUCUUAAAGUAGUAAGACAUAAAUAGGAGUCCAGUUGCUUCGGGAUGGUCACCACCUACCUUUUUGGUGAUGCCACGAUGGUAGGAACUCGACUUCGUAGUCCUUGGUCGACGCUUCGGCUCCUCGGGCCGAUUCAAACUCUUAAGCGCUUGAUUCGGCGAUAUCUUCGCACCCACUCGUCGUAUCGACGAACAGUCUUCGCCGACGCGUUCCGCGACCUAGCAUUUAGGUUCACAACCCGUCGAAAUAGAUCAGGACCUCACAUUUCCAAAAAAUCCCAAAACGUGCCCUAGAAUGGCAACGAGGAAGAAAUCUAUGGUUCGAGCUUCGAAUCCGCUGCUAGAACCAUCUAUUUAUCCCCUCUAGGUUCCAUUCGAACCACCUCUAAGCAAUAAAACCCAAUCUCAAGAAAUCCACUAUGGAUGUGUUUGGAGCUUACCUCUAUACCAAGCUCCAAGCUUGCUCUAGCUUGAGGGAGGGAGAGAGAAAGAUGAUCUCCUUCCUCUUCUUAGUCUUCUCUUUCUUCUUUCUCUACUUCUUCUUCUUUCCCUUCUUCUCCUUCUUCUCUUCUUCUUUUCCUUUCUUUUCCUUCUUCUCUUCUUCUUUUCCUUUCGUUCUAGAGAGAGAGAGGGAGAGAAAGAGAGGCUAAUGAGACAACUGAGAGAGAGAGAGAGAGGUCCCCCACCUCUCAUAUAGGCCAAUUUGCAAAUAAGCCCAUCAACUUUCCAUUUAUUAAACAGCCUUUCACUGGGCAUUUUCGCAGUGAGGGACCGGUCCUAGCUCGAGGAGACCGGUCCCCGAGAGCCUCACAUUCUAGCAGAGGGGAUUUCGCGUUCGGGAACCGGUCCCCGCCCGGGAGACCGGUCCCCGGGAGACCGGUCCUUGUCCGAGAGACCGGUUCCCGAGAGUUGAAUUUUCGGGACUUAGCCAAAUUUCGGCCUUUCUCGCUGGAUUAACGUUCGGGGACCGGUCCUUCCCUACCAGAGACCGGUUGCAUCAAGGAUCCCCACCAGCCCAGCCUAAUGGGACCGGUCCCUCCCUGCCAGGGACCGGUCCUCGAGAGCAAUUCUGCUCCAGUGCAGAUUUGCACUGCUGCUCUUGCGGACCCUUCCUUAAUGCACUUCAUGCAUUUUAAUCACCUCCGGACUUCCUGAAGCUUAUUUCCUCGACAAUUAGUCGAUUCUAAACGAAGUCUAAUUCUCAAAUUUCGAGAAUUUACUUCCUUACAUCCUCCCUACCUUAAAAGAGUUUCGUCCUCGAAACGAACUCAAUAUUACAAAACUUACUUAGAACUUUAAAUUCUAUGCUCAUACCUUGAUUUAAUCCCUGAACAAGUGAAGGUGAUGCAUCAUCAUCUCGCUCUCGAGCUCCCAAGUGGCUUCGCGAUUGUCGUGAUUGCUCCACCGGACCCUAACAUAUGGAAUUUUUCGAUUCCUUAACUUGAGCACUUCACGAGCUAUAAUUGCCACCGGAAACUCCUCGUAGCUCAAGUCCUCCUGAAGCUCCGGCGGUUCAUACAACAUUGCAUGCUCGGGAUUAGGUAUGUACUUGCGAAGAUUGGAGACGUGGAAUACAUUGUGUACAUCUGCAAGCUUCGGCGGCAAUGCGAGUCGAUAAGCCACCGUCCCAAUCCGCUCCAAGAUCUCAUAGGGGCCAAUAUAUCGGGGACUUAGCUUUCCCCGAACUCCAAAUCGCUUAACGCCCCUCAUAGGCGAAACCUUCAAGAAAACGCGGUCGCCCACCGCAAACUCCAAAUCUCGUCGGCGCCUAUCCGCAUAGCUUUGCUGUCGAGACUGCGCCGUGAGUAACCGUUUGCGAGCAAGGCGGACCUUCUCUUCCGCCUCUCGCAACACAUCGGGGCCGAAUUCCGUGCGCUCACCCACAUCGCUCCAAUAAAUGGAAGAUCGACACUUCCGCCCAUAAAGAGCCUCGAACGGUGCCAUCUCCACACUAGCAUGAUAACUGUUGUUGUAGGCGAACUCGGCUAUUGGUAAAUACUUACACCAACCUCCUUUGUAGUCGAUGACACAAGCUCGCAACAUAUCCUCCAGAGUCUGAAUGGUCCUUUCAGUUUGCCCGUCUGUCUGGAGAUGAAAUGCAGUGCUGAAGUCAAGCCGUGUGCCAAGGGCCUCCUGCAGGCUUUUUCAGAAAUGUGAAGUGAACUUGGGGUCUCUAUCCGAUACAAUUGACUUCGGUACCCGUGUAACCUCACUACUUCGUCAAGAUAUACCUGCGCCAACUUAUCUCCCUCCCAGGUGGUGUGGACCGGCAAAAAGUGCGCUGACUUCGUCAAGCGGUCCACAAUCACCCAUAUUGCGUCGUGGCCCCCUGUCGAGCGAGGCAAGCCGACGACAAAAUCCAUAGAUAUAUCUUUCUAUUUCCAGACGGGGAUAUGUAGGCUUUGAAGCUUUCCUACUGGAAACCGGCGCUCCGCUUUCACUUGCUGACAAGUCAAACACUUCGCCACGAAGCGCCCAAUAUCAACUUUCAUCCCCGGCCACCAAUAGAGUGAUCUCAUACAUCUUGGUGCCACCCGGGUGAUCAGCGUAUGGAGACCGGUGGGCUUCUUGCAAAAUCAGCUUGCGAAGCUCUUCACUUUCGGGCACACACCACCGGUUUUGAAACCGAAGCGCGCCACAGGCGUCCACACUAAAAUCGCCGCCUCGACCUUCCUUGAUGUUGCGCCGCACCUUUUGGAGACUAGGAUCUGCAAGUUGCAAAUUCUUGAUCCUCUCCAGUAAGGUCGGUUGAACAACGAGUGCCAUCAACUGAGUCGGAAUCUCGGGAGCGACCACUUCAAGGUCCAGUCGCUCCAUAUCCAACCAUAGGGGUGUUUGCUUAGUAACAUCAAAAGCGAGGUUCUUCACCGACUUUCUACUAAGCGCAUCCGCGACCACAUUUGCUUUGCCGGGGUGGUAGAGAAUAUCAACAUCGUAAUCCUUUAAUAGCUCUAACCACCGCCUCUGCCGCAUGUUUAACUCCUUCUGGGUAAAAAAAUAUUUCAAACUCUUAUGGUCGGUAUAGAUCUCGCAGUGCGCACCAUAUAGGUAGUGCCUCCAUAGCUUCAACGCAAAGAUCACCACCGCCAACUCCAAGUCAUGAAUGGGGUAAUUCUUCUCAUAGUCCUUUAACUGACGGGAUGCAUAAGCUAUCACUCUCCCGCCUUGCAUCAGGACACACUCCAAACCCAGAUAGGAUGCAUCACUAUAGACCGCAAAGUCCUCGCCCUGCACCGGUAAGGUGAGUAUCGGAGCCGACGUUAAUCUUUUCUUCAACUCAUUGAAGCUUUGGUCGCAUUCAUCGCUCCAAAUAAACUUGACGCCCUUCUGCGUCAGACAGGUAAGCGGAGUCACAAUCUUUGAAAAACCCUCCACAAACCGUCGAUAGUAGCCCGCUAAGCCUAUAAAGCUUCGGACCUCCGUGACGUUCGUUGGACGCGGCCAAUUCUCGACUGCUUCGACUUUCCUCGGGUCAACCGAAACACCGCCCUCGGAAAUCACGUGCCCCAGGAAGGCGACCUCUCGAAGCCAGAAGUCACAUUUCUUAAACUUUGCGAAUAGCUUCUCCUCCCGAAGGAUUUGAAGCACCAUCCGCAAAUGCUCUGCAUGCUCUUCGUCGCUCCGCGAAUAGACCAAGAUGUCGUCUAUGAAGACCACGACAAAUCGGUCCAAGCACGCUUUGAAUACACGGUUCAUUAGAUCCAUGAAUGCUACCGGGGCAUUAGUGAGCCCGAAAGGCAUAACCGUGUAUUCGUAGUGUCCAUACCGCGUGCGAAACGCGGUCUUCUGAACAUCAUUCGACUUAAUCUUUAACUGAUGAUAGCCGGAUUGUAGGUCUAUCUUCGAGUACACUCGUGAUCCCUGUAACUGAUCAAAUAAGUCGUCGAUUCGGGGCAACGGGUACUUAUUCUUUAUCGUGACCCUAUUCAACUCUCGAUAAUCCACGCAGAGUCGAAACGAGCCAUCCUUCUUGCGCACGAACAACGCCGGGGCUCCCCACGGCGACACGCUCGGCCUAAUAAACCCCUUGUCGAGGAGAUCUUGCAACUGAUCCCUCAGUUCCCUUAGCUCCGCCGACGCCAUGCGGUAUGGGGCCUUUGAGAUCGGCGCCGUCCCGGGGACCAAGUCUAUAACGAACUCGAUCUCCCGAUCCGGCGGCAUCCCCGGUAACUCCGCGGGAAAUACAUCCGGGAAUUCCCGCACCACCGAUAAUUCUUCUAAAUUCGGAACCACUCGGUCCACUUCCACGACGGUCGCCAAAAAUGCUACGCAGCCGCCGUUGACCAACUUUCUAGCUCUCGUCGCCGAUAUCGUCGCGACGAAGCAAGAGCUUCGACAAGCUCGAUAAAUGAACUCCUCCUGUCCUGGCUCCCGAAAGGUGAUCAAUUUAUUCUUACAAUCGAUCGUGGCGUAAUACUUUGAGAGCCAGUCCAUGCCCAAAAUGACGUCAUACGCCUCCAGUUUAUUGAGUUCCAACAUCCAGAUGGGCAUUAUCCAGUCGCCUACUUGUACUGGGCACGAAGAGCACUCCGUGUAGGUAUUGAACGACGACUCAGGGCCUUCAACUCGCCACUUGCCACUUGCUUCUAUGUGUAUGUUGUGCAUGCGUGCAAAUGCUCUACUAAUGAACGAAUGCGUGGCACCUGUAUCAAACAUAGCCCUGGAGCGAACUCCGUUAAUUAAAACCAUACCUGCCACAACGUUAGGCUCCUCGGCUUGGGUAGACUCCUCGGCUUGGGCCUGAGCGGCGAAUACCCGUCCGCUCGGCGCUGAUCGAGUCACCUCCGGCUGACGCGGCAUCAUCGCGCGCCCUGCCGAGACGGGAACAUAAGGAGCUCCUCCAUAAUGAGGUGGGGUCGCUGGAGUCGAUGCGACUGACGGGGUAGGCGGGGCCCUUGCUGGACAGUCACGGCUUAUGUGCCCUUCUUGUCCACAAUUGAAGCAUUUGCCCUGUCGUUGCCUACACUGCGGCGCUCGAUGGCCCCCAGCACCGCAGAUAGCACACUGCUGCGGCCCACAACUCCACGGCUGCGACCCACGACUCCACGGCUGCGACCGCAGGUGCUUCGGGGGUCUCUUGGAACUCGACUGACCCCCCGAACCACCGCCCGAUCGCUUCUUCCCCUUGUCUUGGGGUCCAACCAGCAGCUCACGUUCCUCCCGCACGUGGGCAUCUCCAUGCUUUACCCACAUCGCUCUGUCAAAAACUUCGGCGAAAGUUGUGAGCUUGAACAGUUGUACCGCCCGAUAUAUCCAUGGCCGAAGUUCCCUCAAGAACCAUUCGGCCCUGUCCCCGUCAUCUUUAACAACGUCUGGGACACAAUCUGUAAUAUGGGAGAACUCCUGCUCGUAGUCUGCCACCGAACGAUCUCCCUGUCUUAAUCUGCGAAACUUCUCCUUCAACUUCCGCUUCUUGGUGUCGGGGAAGUAAUUUCCAAACAUUGCCCUCUUAAACUCCUCCCAGAGCAUUGGUGGAAGGUCAGAAGGCCCAUUCCGCUUCAACCGCUUCCACCACACCUUCGCCGCCUUCUCGAGGCAAUGGGUGGCGAGGGGUACCUUGUUCUUCUCCGAGGUAUAUAGGUCCUCGAAGAGGGUCUCCAUAGAGUCAAUCCAGGACUUCACCAUCGACGGCUCCACCUUCCCCACCUCGAAGGUUGGUGGCUUAAACUUCAUGAAUUUAAUUAGAGUCGUCAGCGCACGCUCCCGCUCCACUUCAUCGGCCGUUGUGUCGGGUGUCACCGAACCCGAAGCUGUCGGAGGCGCACUUGCCGGCGGGGGACAGGCCGCCAACGGAACUGCCGCUAUGCCCUCACCCUCAGCCGCUAUCGGCGCGCGCGCCGAAGGUGCGGGUGGGUCACGGCCCUCUGUCGCUGUCGCGGCCGCUGCCGCCGCUUGCUGCUCCACGAAUCCCUAGAGCUGCUCGAACCGAGCCUCCUCGCGCUGCAUCGCGCCCAAUAUCACAGCGACCUGCUCAUGCAGUUCCUGCACUUCCUCCGAUCUUGGCUACUCGGGCACCGCAGAAGGCAGUACCGGAACAGACCUACGUACGUAACGUCUUGGGGACAUCUGCUCCUGAAAAGAAACAACUUAGUUAGUUAUCUUAAUCUGAUAACUUUUUAGCGUUCGCGAAAUUAAAUGACUCGACAAUAAAAUCGGGCGGAAGCACGCAAGUGUUCUAGUGCUGGAUCCUUAGCGUCGCGUCGUCGGCCGCCGACACAACCGCUACGAGCCAAGAAACUAGUGUCACCUGGAUCCGUCUCUAUUCAUAGCUAGAGACAUAACAUCAACUCCGACCCAAUCGAUUAACCUCCUCCACCGUCAUGGGUUCGCGUUCACUCACGCCCCUAUAAUCUUAGGGUUUACCAACCUGGGAUCUCCUAGGUCGUCCUAGACUCUCUCUUUACUUGCUCUUAACUGCUCUGAUACCACUUUAUCUGUCACGCCCCGACCCCAAAACCAAUUCGGCCCGGAUCGGGCGCGUUAAACAAACGCCGAAGGGACAGCGCAUCCCCUGUCCGCCCAAGGCUAAACAAACUGAUCAUGUAUAAGAAUUUACCCAAGAAUCAAUUCAUACAUACACGAUCACAAGGAGCACCACCAGUGCUAACAGAUGAGAGCAAGAUACGAGUAUGAGACAUACCAGUAAGUAAAGAGAGAAGAUUCUAUCUAUUACAUCCAUUCAACUUAAUACAUUAAUUUCAUCUUUUACAUUCUUCCAGAACAUAUGUAUAAGCACUCUCAAACCUCAUCCUAUACAACAUCUACUCUCAAACAUAAGUAUAGGGUAGAGCUAAUGCAAAAGAAAGUAAAGCUAGCUAUGUACAUAUACCACUAGGGCGCUAUGCUCUUGCCACGAUCUUCGCGCUCGCCGGGGACACUCGAACUCGGACCUGUAAAGAGUCGGGUGAGAACUAUCUUCCAUAGUUCCCAGUGGGUUCGGCCGCCGACUUCGCCGGUCUCCCCACUAGGUCCAAGUGGGCACAAGUAGAUAAACAGAUUGAUAGAUAUGUAAAGCUGUGAUGACAGAAUAGUAAAGCUACACUACUAUGCCCGAAUCAUGUAUAUGUAAAAUGCAUGCACAAUGAAGUAGGUAAUCACCUAGUUCGUCAUAUGUCCAAGAAGUAAAGCUAUUUACUUGUUCAUUAAUCUUAUGGCUCACCCGAGGGUUCACCUACUACUCACAUAGCCAUCUCGACGCGUAGGGAGACUCAACUCAAACUACGAAUCCGAGGCCGUCUGCGGGACCCCACAUAGGCUAUCUCUCGGGACCCUAACUAGGCUAUCCCUAUCCCACGGGACCCCAAAUAGGCUAUCCCACGUGACCAACUCCGGAGCGCACUACUUGUGUGGAGCGACCAUCACAAGUUAGGAACAGACAGUGAGUAUGAUCCAAUCCUCUCAACUCGAUGACACCCUAUCAGCUAAGGAUAGUAUCAACAUAGAACCAAUGAGUUUCUAUACUCAUCAAUCUAGUGUUUCAGCUACACUAAGAUUCACAUAUGCCACUCGUUCUCUGGUUCAUUAUCAACUAGAUGCCACUUGUUCUCUUAUUUCAACCAUUGCGUCAUUCUUUCCGCUCUGCACUAUAGGAUUACAAGCCUUGACCCAAUCCUGAUCAAUCCACUAUAUCAAGUAACUAAUGCAUAAUAUGAUAUCAUCUAGGAAAGCAUAAGGAAAGGCAAUGUACAAUCAUCCUACAAUGCAUGUAAACACAAGAUGCAAGAUCUUAAGGUACUAAGACAUAAAGGGGAGACCAGUUGCUUCGGGAUGGUCACCACCCACCUUUUUGGUGAUGCCGCGAUGGUAGAAACUCGACUUCGUAGUCCUUGGUUAACGCUUCGGCUCCUCGGGCCGAUUUGAAUCCUUAAGCGCUUGAUUCGGCGAUAUUUUCGCACCUGCUCGUCGUAUCGAUGAACCGUCUUCGUCGACGCGUUCCACGACCUAGCAAUUAGGUUCACAACCCGUCGAAAUAGAUCAAGACCUCACAUUUCCAAAAAUCCCAAAAUGUGCCCUAGAAUGGCAAUGAGGGAGAAAUUUAUGGUUCGAGCUUCGAAUCCGCUGCUAGAACCAUCUAUUUAUCCCCUCUAGAUUCCAUUCGAACCACUUCUAAGCAAUAAAACCCAAUCUCAAGAAAUCCACUAUGGAUGGGUUUGUAGCUUACCUCUAUACCAAGCUCCAAGCUUGCUCUAGCUCGAGGGAGAGGGAGAGAAAGAUGAUCUCCUUCCUCUUCUUAGUCUUCUCCUUCUUCCUUCUCAACUUCUUCUUCUUUCCCUUCUUCUCCUUCUUCUCUUCUUCUUUUCCUUUCGUUCUAGAGAGAGAGAGGGAAAGAAAAAGAGGCUAAUGAGACAACUGUGAGAGAGAGAGAGGUCCCCCACCUCUCAUAUAGGCUAAUUUGCAAAUAAGCCCAUCAACUUUCCAUCUAUUAAACAGCCUCUCACUAGGCAUUUUCGCAGUGAGGGACCGGUUCUAGCUCGAGGAGACCGGUCCCCGAGAGCCUCACAUUCUAGCAGAGGAGAUUUCACGUUCGGGAACCGAUCCCCGCCUGAGAGACCGGUCCCCGGGAGACCGGUCCUUGUCCGAGAGACCGGUUCCCGAGAGUUGGAUUUUCGGGACUUAGCCAAAUUUCGGCCUUUCUCGCUGGGUUAACGUUCGGGAACCGGUCCUUCCCUACCAGAGACCGGUUGCACCAAGGAUCCUCGCCAGCCCAGCCUGAUGGGACGGUCCCUCCCUGCCAGAGACCGGUCCCCGAGAGCAAUUCUGCUCCAGUGCAGAUUUUGCACUGCUGCUCUCGUGGACCCUUCCUUAAUGCAUGCAUUUUAAUCACCUCCGGACUUUCCGAAGCUUAUUCCCUCGACAAUUAGUCGAUUCUAAAUGAAGUCUAAUCCUCGGAUUUCGAGAAUUUACUUCCUUACAUUCAUGAUACUAAAAUCAUUGAAAACAAAAGAUGAUGUAUAAGUAGAGGGUAUGCGACUACAAAAUGAUAACCACUCGGGAGGUCUCUAGCUAGGGCGCGAUGCCCUUACCGCGAUCGUCAGCCGGCUCGCUCGGUCCCGGCUCUGUGGACAUAGGGGUGUGAGAAUUACAACAAAGUUUCCAGUGGGUUCGGCAACCAACCACGCCGACUAUCCCACUAGGUCUAAUCAGGCAUAAUAGAAUAGAGGAAAGAAAGUAACCAACUAAUAAAUGCAACUAAUAUGUCUGAACAAUAUAAAAUGCGAUGCUCGAUAUAAUGCUCAUGAUGAAUGCAGGAUCAUAAUUUCUUUACCCAAUCUCUUGGCUAAUCCGUAGGUUUCGCCCUCAACAAACUCACCAACCUAAAAUUCUAAUAACCGGGGAGAUACCCGCUACAACCCGAUAGGACCGUCCUCUGGGGAGAUACCCGCUACAACCCAGUGAUGUCAACUCCGAAGCACAUCGCCCAAGGGGGAGCUACCGCCCUCAAGUAAGGACUAAAGGUGAGUACGAUCAAUCCUACAUUGAGGAUUCCAAGUUCAAUCCAUUCCUUAACUUUAAGAAAAACCAUGCUCAAUGACCCUUAACUCUAAGGUUGAAAUGUCAUAAUAUCUAAAUCAUUCUUUUCUUUGCAUUCUUUACCAUCACUUGUGUCAUAUACACUUUCUACUAUAUUUUUGGACUCAUGCCACACUUGUUUUCUAAGUGUUAUGUUCUUGACUCAUGCCACACUUGUUUCUAAGUUUUUGAGACUCAUAAAUGUCGCUCACUAGAUCUAUGUCCAUGUCUUACUUUUGUUCACUAACCCUUCUAGGUUCUUGUCACCUGUUAUGCAUAAAUAGGGCUUACAAUUCUCACAUUCUUACAAGUAUUUCAUACGAAAUUAAAUUCAUAAUCAUGCCAUAAAAGCUCACAAUUAACCCUGCUAUACAACAUGCUCAAUAUAUACAUAUAUGUUCAAAUAUGACACUUUAGACAUAAAGGGAUUUCCAAGGUCCUUGGAAUGUACCACCCACCUUAAAAAGUUAAGAGGUGGCUACGGUGAAUUUUUUGGAAUUUUUGAAGCUUUACUUUCUCGCCUGCGGCAAAACGAAGCCGAAUUAGGCUUUUUAUCAAUUACUCCAUCUAAACCUUUGCGUAACGUUAAACGGAGUUGUCCCAUGCGUCGAGGACACCCCCAAUUAGGUUUUUACGGGGUCAAUUCGCCCCCGAAAAAUUCUAGGGCAAAAGCCUCAAAUUUGAGCCCUAAUAAUGUCAUCUAGGGUUUCCACCUAGAUCGAUCUUUUUGCAAAGUAAAGAAUAGCUUAGAAUCACUUUGGAAGGUCUCUAAUAAGGUUUCUAAGCUCUUGAACCAACCCUAGGCCCUCUACUUUGAGCCCUAGCGACCCACCAUGAGAGCUCUACAAGAAAACCAUGGAUUUCAUAGCUUCUAGCUCAACAAGGUUUCUAAAGCUCACAAAGAGCCCAAAACUCCAAGACUUAAUGAUCAAAAUCAAACCCUAGACUCAAAAGGUAAGUAAACUCACCUUUACCCAAGCCCUAGCAAGCUCCUUCUUGUUGGAGAGCUCCUUGGACCACCAAAAUCCACCAAGGAUCUUCCUCCAAGCCUCUCCUUCUUCUUCUCCAAGCUCUAAGGUUAGCUCUCUAGAGAGAGAAAAGAGAGAAAGUGAGAGAGAGAGGUGUGAAUGACUGUAAAGGGAGAGGAGGUUGGGUGUAUAAUGUGUUGUAACAAUUAUAACAAAGCCCCUCCACUUCACUGCCCAGACUGGGCAUUUUUCACAGUCAGGGACCAGUCUCCCCGACCUGGGACCGGUCCCCGAGAGCUUCUCCCGUGGACUGCGCAGGCUGCGCGCGAUGCAACCGGUCUCCCUCAAUGGAACCGAUCUCUGGGGACCGGUCUCUCUUCGCAGGGACCGAUUCCCGAGAGCUGGUUUUUCAGGACUUAGCCGAUUUCACAGCCCCCCCCCCCCGCCGCUGCCUAAGCAUUCGGGGACCGGUCUCUCCCACUAGGGACUGGUCCCCGAGAGCACAAAAUCUGCAGUUUGAACUGCAGAUUUUGAUUUCCAAAAGCUCUCGAAGAUCCCCAGUAAUGCAUUUUUGCAUUAUUUGACGCUCUCGGCCUCUCCGAAGUGUACCAACCUCGCACUUUGGUCAAUUUGACCAAGGUUCAAAUUUAAUUACCGAGGUUUUGGUAUGUUACAGCCGACGUAUAGGGAGUGGAACAAAAUUCCAUUCUCUGUCUUUUUGACAUAUACAGAGUGGUCCUCUAUUAUGGACAUGCCGAUAGAAGUGAUGGUUUCAUGAAAUCUGAAAUACCACUGUCUCGACGAUUGCUUGAGACCAUAAAUAGAUCUUUUAAGACGACAAACCUUAUCUUCUUGACCUUUGAGUACAAAACCUUUAGGUUGGUCUAUGUAGAUCUCCUCCGCUAAUUCUCCAUUGAGAAAAGCUGUCUUGACAUCCAUUUAGAACAAUUUCAAAUCUAGAUGUGCCACUAAGGCUAGAAUCAAACGUAUAGAGGCAAAUCGCACAACGGAAGCAAACGUCUUGUUGUAAUCUACCCCUUGCCUCUGAGUAUAACUCUUGGCCACGAGCCGAGCCUUGUAUUUAUCGAUUGAUCCAUCCGCCUUACGCUUAAAUUUUAAAAACCAUUUAUUUCCAAUAUACUUGCAUCCAGGCGGAAGGUCAACCAACUCCCAUUCUUGGUUCUUGCUCACGGAGUCCAUCUCAUCUCUUAUAACAGCCAUCUACUCACUGUAAGCUGACGUCUGUAGUGCUUCUUUAUAAAAAGCAGGUUCAUCAUUAUCGAGAGGAGUGCACAUGAAAAUAUCCCCUUCGAUCUCAAAAAUGUCGACGGAGAAUAUGUCCACGUUCAUUUCUACGCAAUUAAGGGUCUAAACUGCCGACUUCCAAGGGUAUGCACUUAAUCAAAGAAGCACUCCCACUAGCUGGAGGAUCGCUACCACUUCCUUCAGCGACUUCGGGAAGUGAUCGAUCACUCUCAAUAGUAGAUGGGGUAGCGUCGUCCUAUAACUCAUACAAUCCGACGUCUCUCGUAUUUCGCCAAUGCUUGAAAAUCACGAGACUCAAUCUCGGUCAUACCACCAUCUGGGUGUUCAUCAUAUAUCACAUAGCCCUUUAAAUUUUUUAGGGUACAUGAUGAACACAUGUUUGCUCGCUCUAGGGCCAAGUUUUCUAAUCUAUGUGAGGGGCUAUGAACAUAUCCAGUCGAACCCCAAGGGCGUAAGUAGUGUAAACUCGGCUUUCUACCACUACACAACUCAUAUGGGGUAGAAGGCACUGAUUUGCUAGGGACUCGAUUAAGGAUGUAGGCUGUAGUCAAAAGUGCAUCUCCUCAAAAAAUUUAUGGGAAGAUGCGCUUGCGCCAUCAUCGACCUAACCAUGUCUAAUAGAGUAUGAUUCCUUCGCUCUGCAACACCAUUUUGUUGCAGAGUAUCAGGAAUAGUGAGCUGUCUACUAAUACCCUUUUACUCACAAUGUCAUGAACUGAUCAGAUAAGUACUCACGACCUCGGUCAGUGCGAAGCACCUUUACACUUCUUUCUAUUUGAUUCUCAGCUUCCGCAACGAAGCGCUUAAAGCAAUCUAAAGCUUCAGAUUGGCGAGAAAGCAAAUACAUAUAUUCAUAAUGGGAAUAAUCAUCAAUGAAUGUGAGAAAAUAGCACGCACAAUGCCAGACCCUCACAUUCAUUGGCCCACAAAUGUUUGAGUGGAUUAGCUCCAAAAGAUGAGAGGCAGAAGUAGCCUUACCAAAAGACUUUCUACAUGCCUUCCCAGCCUGACAAGACUUGCUCACAGAUAGGUCAACUUUAGCAAGAGAUCCCAAAAGGCCUUCUCGAGCCAGUCUAUUCAUUCUUUUUUGACCUAUAUGGCAUAUCUGGCAUACCUCUUAACGGAUACAUCAUAGAGAUUAGAAAAAAAAAAUCAAAUGCAAACGAAUAUCCUCCAAAUCUAAUUUAAAAAAACCAUCCGCUAAUGUACCAUAUCCAAAUAAAGUGCCGGCCUAUGUCAAAAUGGCUCUAUAAAGAUUUCCAACUCCACCACAGGGAGUUUGAUUUUGUCUUUUCUACGCUCCAUUAUUGUGACGCUUUUUGCGCUUGGGUGUGAUCCCACCUCGUUUCUCAGAGCAUGCAACAAGAGCAACAGAACUUCCAAACACUCUGCCUCGAGAUCGAGAUGGCGCGAGAUGUAAUUAAACGUUUUAAUACUCUCGCCGUACGUCAUCAGGAGCUUCAUCUGGGACCAUUCAGGAUCAGGCAGUGAACGAAUCACCGCUAGAACUUGUUGCUCAUUAGUGAGCAUGUUUUCAACAGCCUUAAGGUGCCGAAUUAUGGCGCUCAUUAUAAGAAGGUGCUCAACCAUUAAAUAUUUUGGGUCCUCAGUGUAUUGCUGGAAUAUCAAAUUUAAGGUAUGUAGCCUCGUGGCUGAAGUUUGCCCAAAAGCAAUCUUCAGAUUGUCCCACAUGUCCUUGGCAGUCUCGUAGGUCUCAAACUGUCCAAUGAGGCCGUCUUGUAUGGCACACAACAUAGUGUACCGAGCAAUUUCGAUCCUCCUUGAACCAUUUGUUAUAAACCUCUUUUCAUGCUCAGAAGUUGUACCUUCGGCAUGCAUGACUCUUUUGACAGAAAGAAUUUCGAGAACCCCUUAUUCAUUAAGCAGGUAUUGUAUUUUUCUAUGCCAAAUAUCAUAGUUCUUUCUAUCUAGCUUAUCACUCUUGGUGAGAUCAGGUAUGAUAUUUUUGGAAACCAUGUACUGCAAUCAAAAAAUAGGUUUGGACAUUAGGCGCAUUUACAAAAAAUUAACAAGAUUGAAACACUAUUCUCGACACAACGGGAUUGAAAACUUCACUAUGCUCGUAAUCAUCACUUAGUGUCGGUUAAAAUAUUACAAUCUUAUUAAUUUUUCUAUUAAUUUUGAAACUUAUUCGAAAGUUGGAACUUAUCCAUUUUGAAAGAACACAUAUUUUUCUUUGGAAAAAAAAAUAUUUAUAUAUUGAGAACUUAUCUCAUAAUAUCAUCACACAGAUAAAAAAAAAUAAGGGCAAUUGCUUAUAUACCCCUGAAAAGUUCCCGACUUUCCGAUUUACCCCUCUUAGAAGGCUAAUAUUGAAAAAUACCCUUUCUACGUUCCAACCUAUUUCUAAUAUACCCCUAAAGUUAAAAUCUGUUAAUUACCUCUGUUAUCUUUGUAAAAUUACUAUUUUACCCUUUCAAUUAUACCCUUCAACCAUCACUGACUUUCUUAUUUGCCCUUAAAGUCAGGGGCACAAAAAGUAUUUUAACUUUUGGUCUUUUCCAAUAUACCCCUCUACCGUCACCAAUAUUUUUUAUUUGCCCUUAAGUUAAGGGCAAAAUUGGCAUUUUAAUUUAUUUUAACUGCGGUAGAUAUUUAACUCACGUUUAACCUAAGUUAACCUAAUAGGAGAUAACUGCGUGGGUAGUUUGCAAUAAUGGUGGAACAUAUGAGGGGUAUUUUAGAAAGAAAAAAAAAAGUAGGGGUAAAUCGGAUAUUUUCAAACGUACGAGGGAUAUAUAGGCAAUUAUCCCAAAAAAAUAAAUACUUAUGUCAAAAUUUAAUUUGAAAAACGUCGACGCUGCGCAAAACACAUUCCUUUACAUGGCCUUAAUUAUUACAUCACUUUUGGAGAAUAAAACCUUCUACAUCACUAAAAAGAUGUACAUCUGAAAAAAAAAAGCAAUGUACAACCGUACUGCACACGUUGAACCCAUUUUUUUUAAAUUAAAAUUUGUUGAAAAAAAAGAAUAUAACUAUUUAUGUGCCAAAAACACACAAUCAGGCAAUCAUAAUAUGUAACACAACCAUCAACAUUUGCACCCACAUAGGAUAAGCAGCACAUGCAUGUUACACAAACAUAAAAAUUAUGUACCACACAAGAACCUUUUUGUGUGUGUGUGCGCGCGCUGUUGUGCAGGAAUUUCCACACAGGAAAGAAAAAAUCAUCACACAAAAAUAUUACCACACAAGUAUUUAAAAAAAAAAAAAAUUUUUACCACACAGAAAAUAAUUUUUUUAAUAAAAAAUUAGCAAAAAUAAAAUAAAUAAAAAAUGACUGAGCACAGUAAGGCCGAAAGGACCGCGUCCGUGUACGCACCGGGCCGGGCCGGUCCACAAACCCCGCCCGUCGCGCAUCAGCUGGGCCGGGGCCAGAAGCCUGCAAGCCCGCCCGCAGCGUGCUGUUCUUCCCGCGCGGGUGGUGGGCUGGGCCUGGCCCGUAAGCCCCAGCCCGUUUCUGUGGGGCGUUCGCCCGAGACCCUGCCGGAAUCGACGAGACACGCACCCCACGGUUGAUCUCCACAUUUGCUCGGCUUGUGUUCACUCGAUGCCGGCCGAGCAUAAGCCGAGCAAAUUAUUUGCUCGGCUUGUGCUCGAUCGAGCAAUUUCAUAUCUCGGCUUUUUAAGUCGAGCACAAGCCGAGCAAUUAUUUGCUCGCCUUGUGCUCGACCGAGUGCAAUAAAUAUUAUUUUUUAUUUAAUUAUUUAAUAUAUUUAUAUUUUAUAUACAUAAGCUCGACAAUAGCUCGGCUUGUGUUCGCUCGACUGAGGCUGAGCACAAGCCGAACAAAUAAUUUGCUCGGUUUUUUAAGCCGACUACAAGCCGAGCAAAUGAUUUGUUCACUAAGCUAAAACUCGAGUAAAGCUCGACUUGUGCGCAACCGAGCGCUUGUUGCUUGACUUAACGGUGGGGAUUACGGCUGGGUGUACGGCGCCCGCCGAGGGCACGGGGCGGGCCGAGAUGUGCACGCGCCCACCCGCUUGGGCAACCGACGUCCGGGCCGGGCCGGACGGUGCUCGCGCAUCACGUCUGCGCGUCGCGACGCCCUCGAGUGCUCCGGGCCGGGCCGGGUGUCCUUUCCUCGCCCGUGCGUGGGCGCGCGACGCCCGCUGGUUCGCCCGCGCUGGGCUGGGCGACACCCGCGCCCCAUCAUGGGCGCGCGUCGCGCGUCCGGGCCGGGCGACGCCCGAGCCCGCGCGUGGGCGCACGUCGGCGCGCCCGAAUGCCCGGUCCGGGUCGGGUGGUGGGCGCGCCCUUCUUGUCGUGCGACGCCCGCCCGAACGUCCGAAGACCGGGGCCGGGUCGACUACGCGCUGCCCGCCCCAAACACCUGGCCGGGCCGGGCCACGCAUGUGCCUGCGCCAGGAAAGCCGGAAUGACACGAGUCAGUAAAGUCCAAAAAAAAUACAACUAAUGUAAAAAAUUUUGCAUAUUUCGUGAUCAACUUUAAGAGAAAACUAAAACUAAUUUAGUUUUUCUUUUCUUUCUUUUCAAUCGAUUUCCCAUAGAAAACGAAAAAAUAUUGUAGAACCAAUCUAGAAAGAAAAAAUUGAUCAAUGAAUGCGAUCUAAAAAACAUCACAUGCAUGAUCAUAAGGCGAAAAAAAGCACAUCUGCUCUGAUACCAAUUGUUGGAAAUUCGAGGGCAGCGAAAACUGGAUAGCCAACGUAUUCAAGAACCGGAAUCAGAUCGAAUUGCUUGUUUUACAAGCCUUCUUGGAUCGUCCUUGUCUCGAUGCUUCUAAAUGUCCCACGUUUCUCGCCUUCUCCCACGUGUAUGCCUUGCAUCACGAAUCGGAUGCAACGGAUGCCAAUAGAAGAGGGCUACUAGAGUCCUCUUUUAUGUCCACACUCCAAAACUCAGGGAACGUAGGUGAAAAUCCCAGAGAUCUAGAAAGAAGAGAGAGAAGAAGGACGAUAUAGAUCGUGAAUUAUCUUAGAUCGAAUUAGAUCGUAUUAGAUUGUAUACUACGGGAGAGGAAAAAUGGACGUAUUUAUAGAAUAACGAAACCCCCUAAAUAUCCUGAAUCUCACAAAGAGAUUAGGAUAAGAAUUAGAAUUGGGAUAUCCGGAAUAGAUAUCCAAUAGGAGAUAUGUUUUUUAACUAAUAAGAAACAUAUAAUUUAUUCUUAUCCUUAACUUAUUAGGAUAAAUCCCAAUCCACGUCCUAUAUGAAUCGGCUUAAAUUAAGACCCGCCAAUGUGGACACACCACAUGGCAACAGAUCUAACGAUGAAAAACUUACAAGCACCAAGUGCUUUGUGCUUUUUUAGUUAGACUCUCUCUCUAUAUAUAAGUAGGGUUGUUGGGCUUUUAAGGCACAACAGUCCAUGUGCUGUUAAACCAUCCAUUUUCCAUCCAUAGAGAUAGAUAGCUGGGGUUAAAGGCUAUUUAAGUGGGAAUCUACUGUUAGAUAGGGUUAGACUUAAUGGUGUUGUUUUCUCUUUUCCUUUUUCUCCAUCUCUCCUCUAUAUCUCUCUUUCCUUCUCUCUCUCUCAUGUAGAUUUGAGCUUCUAUUGCAUACCUCUCUGCUAUACUCCUCCGUUCGUCUAUUCAUUGCCGCCGGAGUUUAUCGGCCUUCGUAAGGUACGCACCCUACCUCCCUAAAACCUAUUGGGAAUCUAGUGCUCACCAUGAUAUCAGAUUUUGAGAAUCUGCAACUUGCUCUAAUACCAACUGCUAUUGAUCUGGUACUCAUUCCAAUAUCAGUUGUUGGGAUUCUGUAACAGAAACAUCACAUUGGAUUUUUACCAUGAACCUAUUUUCUCAGAAAAAAGCUAUUGCUGGCAUAACCAUAAAAGAGAAAAAACUAAACAGAAAAAUAUAUAAGUGAAAUAAGAUUCACUAAACUAGAGAAAAUUAUACCUGACUUCUCUUCAAUGUAGAGUAGCUUCAACUCUAGCCUUCUUUUUGAAUCUCUCUCACCUCUCUCUCGUCUUCUAUUAACCCAAAAGAAGACUACUCACUUUUCUCUCUCAUAUGCACCCGUGCAUAAGGUGUAUGCAACCCGACCUAAGCUCUCUCCCUAGUACGGACACCACCAAUCAUUCAGCCGUAUAUCCCUUAAAGAGCACUCCACAUGAUAUAUAUAAUGCAUCCACAAGAACAUGCCCAGUCCUAAUAUAAUUAAAAAUCCUACUUUAAUUAAUUUUGAAUUGAAAUUAAUUUAUCUACAAUGGAUUUAAAUAUUUAACAUAAUCCAACUAGGAAUCAACUACAAAUCUAAUCAAAUUCUAACAAAACCCUCUUCUAUCUUCCUCCACUAUACUCCUGUGGUGCUCCCUGAACUUAUUUUCCCCUUCCCUCUUGUGGUGGUGCAUCACCUUCUCUCUGAAGCCACCCCCACACAUCGCCCCCUAAACUCCCCCUCCCUAUUCUCCUUCUAUGCGUUGCUCUCUCCCUGAAGCUGUUUCUUCUCUCUAUAGCCCUCCCUUCUCACUUUAAUCACCUCUCCUAAACACCCAACCAAAUAUUAAUACUCUAUUUAAUUAUUAUUUAUUAGUUGGUUGAUUCAUAUCUAAUAUAUUGUAGAUGGAGAUUAACAAUUCAUUGAAGUUAGAUAAUCAACUGGAGAAUAUGCCUACUGAAGGUGCCUCUUAGAUUGGUCCAACAUUCACCAUCUUUGGUACUGGCAAUACUCAAGCCAUUAAUAAUACUUUCGACAUCGAAAAUGGAAUUCAAUGGAAUCAUGAAAGAAAAAUUAGUGAUUUUGUUGGAGAAAAUAAAAUUAGUGAUUUGAUGGAGAAAAUGAAAUUCAAUAUGAUAAUUGAAGAUGGACUGAUAAUCAAUGAGUCAUAUAUUGGAAUAGAGUUUGCCGGUGCUGAUGAAGCAAAGAAUUUUAUAAUAUUUAUGCCUUCAAAAUAGGUUUUAGUAUUAGAAAUUUUACUAACUACAAAUCUAAAGAGUUUGACAAUAUGAUCUCAACAGUUGUUUUCACUUGCUCAAAGGAAGAACAACCAAACCAAUCAACUUAUCAACUUAUAAGGAGAUGAAAGUACAGCUUCACAAGUAAAGAGCAUGCCUUAAAAAAAAAAAAAAAAAGCCUUACAGAAGAAUAGGUUGUAAGGCGCAUAUAAGGGUACUAAUGGUUGAGCAAGGGAAAUGGGUGGCAUCGAAGUUUCACGAGGUGCACAAUUAUGAGUUAAUCACGAGUCCUUCAAAAAGCCAUUUUGGUGGAUCGCUUCACAGAAGAUCAAAGAGGAAUAACUUGUCUAUUAAGUGAGCAAAAUGUUUCAAUCUCUCAAAUAAUAUCCUAUCUGGCAGCAGAAGAUGGAGGGCGACAAAAUAUUCACUUCACAUGUAAAGAUUUAAUUAAUAAGGUUUUGAAAAAAAAGGUGACUCUUUGGAAUUGAUGUGCCUAGUCCCCUAAGUGACUAUAAAGUAAAAAUUCAUCGUUCUUGUAUUCUAUUAAUGUUGACAAUCAAUACAUGACCCGCAACAUAUUUUGGGUCGAUGGGAGGUUAAGAAUGACGCACAAUCAUUUCAAUGAAGUGGUGACUUCGACAUGACGUAUAUGACAAACAAAUAUAGUAUACCAUUUUCUUUAUUUAUUGGAGUGAAUCAUCCCAGACAAUCAACCUUUUUUGAAUGUGCACUAAUUAGAGAUUAAACAGCUAAUACAUGUUAUUGGCUCUUUCAUUCUUGGUUAGAGCUAUAUUUACUGAUCAAGACCCUGCAAUGAAGAAGGCGAUUGAGAUUGUAUUUCCAAACAUGUACAUAAGUGUUGCCAGUGGCAUGUAAUGAGGAAGCCAACGGAGCAUUUGGGAGUAUUAUAUAGCACCAAAUUAGGAUUUGAAAAAGAAUUAAAAGAUUGUAUAAACGUUAUAGCUUGACAGUUGAAGAAUUUGAGAAUGGGUGAGCAACGGUGAUCGAAAAGUACAAGUUGAAUGAUAACAAUCAUUUUAUUUUGCUAUGGUGCAUGAAACAUCAAUGAGUCCCUACAUAUUUUCGAGACACAUUUUUUUUUCAAACAUGUUAACCUCACAACGCAGUGAUAGUAUAAAUGCUUGGUUGAAACUAUUAUUGGACUCUAAUACAUCUAUAUAUAAGUUCAUUAUGUAAUUUGAGAAAAUUACAACAACUCGUUAUGAAAAAGAGCAUGAGAAAGAUUUCAAGAAUAAAGAUAGGGGGCACACUUAUGGCCUUAUGAUCCAAUUGAGAGGCAAGCCCGUGAUAUCUACACAAAGGUUAUUUUCUUCGAGUUUAGAAAGCAUUUAAGGGCUGCUAUAGCUUACUCUAUAUUAGAGUUAGAAAAAAAUGCAUUAUAAAAAAUCAAUCCGCUAGCCCAACUAAUAUCCAAAAGCAACAACUCUGCUCUUAUAUGGUUUCUGUAUAUGUGCCUAAUCAGAAGGUCAAUUAUAAUUGUAAAUUAUUUGAAUUCUCCAAAAUUUUGUGCUCAUAUUGUCUAAAGGUGUUGCCAUACAUAUAUGUGUAUUCCAUUCCUUCACACUACAUCUUAAAAAGAUGAACGAAAGAUGCCAAGAAAGGGACAUCACCACACAAAGUAGGAGUUGUUGCAAAUAAUAAGACUACAUGCACACCGACAGUUCCUAACGCAAGUGGCAAAGGGCUUUUUGGUUGGUAUCCAAGAUCCCAAAUUUGAAUCCUAGUUGAUUUAUAUUUCUAACUAAGUUUAUUUCUAAAAAUAAAUAAAUGAAGCGGGUAGCGUGCUACCUUUCUCACUACAAAAAAAAUAGACUACAUACACGAAAGAAUAUGAUAUAGGAUGAAUGUAAACAUGAAAUAUUGCAUGCAAUCAAAUCCUAUUAUUAAAGGGUUCUUUAAUGCAACUCAAAUGCAACACAGCGGGACCCACAAUCUGGACUCACCAAAAAGGGAAAAAAAAUAGUUCUAGAAAAAAAAAACCAAAGAAAGGGCUAAUAGAUGACGCAAAGCUAAAAUUAAUUAAGAAACUAGGGAUAGUCGAUCUAACCUUUCAACGCUCCGCAGGCGAUAUUAGUAACUCCAAACGAAAUAGAACCACCCGUUCUUAAUCAAUCGGAUCCAAGCCUUUCCUUGGGCACCAUCUAUGGACACAAAACAAUGGGUGAUUAUUUGAGAGAUAGGAGUCGGGAAGAGAAAGAAAAAGUAAACAUGAAAAUUAAGACAAGAUUAUUAAAAGGUUAUAAAGAAAAGACGAUUGUGUUCGGUAGACAAGCUAGAUGGCAUCGAUUGAUCUUGACAUCGAAAUGAUCGAGAGGUGGCUCGAGCGCAGCAAUCAGUAGUGGCAUGGCAAGACUGGUGGAGAUGACGUCGAUGGUGGGUGACUAUGGCAGUGAUGAAUGCAGGUGGCAGAAAAAAGAAAGAUAAAGGGACUCGCUCCUCACAGACUUACUCCAGUUGAUGCAUAAAUGCGAAGGAAUUUAGAGAACACACCUCAAUGACUAUAACAAUAUUCAUCUUCAUUCUUUUCAUCAUUUGCAUAGGCUUAUUUAACGAGCUUUCCUAACAGAUGGAUAAGCUCAAACUAAAUAUCAACUUAAAAACCAUUCUAACAAGAUAAAAAUAUGAUAACAAAAUCUCAACCUAUCCUAAUAGAAUAAAAAUCUCAUAAGAUCUCAACCUAUCCUAACAAAAUAAUUAAAUCUCAACUUAUCCAAAGAAACAAAUUUUUAAAUAAAAUCACAUAAUCUUAGAUACUUCUAGAAACUAAUGGGUGCUACUCAAUCCGAACCCAAUCCGGAUCUCAAGUUACAUUUGCGGUGUCGACGGCGCUCGUACACUCGAAAGGUGACCCGAUCCGCAUCAACUUUCCCCGCCUUCGAGAAAUUUGACUCUGUCGAAUUGUUCGAGAUGUACUUCUCAUAUAGAUUUUAAUCUAGUUGUUGAAGCUCAUCCUGUGAAAUCUAUAUUGCAUCUUCUUCCGGUCGAUAUAACCACUUAACCAAAAAGCUAUGCUCUCCGCCAUCCUUUGUCGACACAAUCAAAUCAUCAAGGAUCGCCUCGAUGUCAUCUCGCUUUUCCUGUAAUGGGAUACUCGAAACAAGUAGAGGUAAGGACUUGGGACAUAAAUUUUGCGUAUCUGGAUGGUAUAAGGUAAGGUCUUCAGCAUUAAAAGUAGGGUUAGUUCCUAAUAUUAUACGGUAAAUCCAAUAGAUAAGCAUUAGAACCAAUUUUCUUAAGAAUUGUAAAUAGACCUAUAUUUCUUGCAUGUAGUUUUCUAAUAGCACAAUAUGGAAGCCUUUCGGGUCUAAUCCGCACCAUCACCAAGUCUCCAUGAAAUUCAAUAUCACGCCCCGGGACCGAGCGGAAGCCCUCCUGGUGCGUGUCCAGACCCGCCGUAUGCCUAUAACAUAUAAGGCGUCUACAACAAAGCGAUAAAUAAAAUAAUAAUAAAUGAGCAUUUAGGAGUAUCAAAGCAUACAACAACUAGAUUCUAGAAUAAGGAGGUAAAUAAAAGAACUAAUCCACUAACAUAAACAUAAAGUAGUACAACGAUAAAACUCCAAAUGCAAGUGCUAUAAUAACCAAAAAUGGUGGUCUCUAUACAUGGGUACCAAAAACUCCCAUCCUCUCCAAAAGGGAACAAAAAGAGAGGUGAACCACCUAUCGUAAAAUCCCUCGCUAACUAGCUCGAGGCGAUUCCUUUCCCGCGAUCCUGAGCCUCUCCCGGAGUGGAAGGCUCUGUAAGAAAAACAACAAAACAGGGGGCGUGAGAACUAUUAAACAAUAGUUUUCAGUGAGCAAUUGCUGAUCUCAGUGAAAAUGCACCACUAUGCUAAAAAGCAAAAGUAGUAAGUUCUAACAAUUAAUUGAAAGGAAUAGCAUGAAUAUUUAACAUGAAUUGAACUUACUAAAUACUAUGCCUCUACUUUAGCAUGAAUUUUCACAAUUAUAAAUGCUAUUCUAACAUGAAUAUGCAUAAGUAAAACCAACAUGAUGUCCACAAUGUAACUAGUAAAUGUCAUUAUUUACUAAUUUAUCUAAUAUCCACUUUGCAUUUUAGUUCAUUAGUAUCCCAAUCAUGUAGGACCUACCCGUGGGUAGUCCGGCUUGUGCCGUGCCUAAUGGCCCCGUGGUAGUCAACAUUCCCACCCUAGGAAUGAGCCUCCCCUACGGCAACCCAUUUCGGCGCCCAAUCACGCACGGGCGAGCUUAUGUCGCGAUAGCUAUCUCCGGAGUGCCGGCUUGUAGAGAGCAACCCUCACAAGCAUGUGCGAAUGAGAACAAUGGCAAGCAAGCGUAAAUAUCCGUCUCUAGUCCAAUGUCAUCAUCUCUAAAACAUGGUAUAAGCACUAGCGACCACAAAGGUCUAGUUUUAUGUCAUAAGGUAGAGUUCAAACCAUUUACUUAAUCUAAUGCCACUUCAUGACAUUAGGUUUGCUAUGUCAAACAUAAUCCAAGUCUAAUGCCCCUUUAUGACAUUAUGUUUUCUCCUAUGUCAAACAUGAGUUCUAAGUCCGAGAGCAUAUCAUACAUGUCAUUUUCACUACAUGAACCAUGAUCCCAAGCCAUAUACAAGAAUGCUAUUCAUAUGCAUAAUCACAAUGCACUAAUCUCUCUACUACAUAGAGGUAAAAUUUUAUUAUACAUAACAUAUGCAUUUUAAGCAUUCUAUAUUUCACAUAUGCCCUAUCUAGCAUGAAUAUGCAUGAUUUUCUAUUUUACAAUAAUUAAAAAGACAUAGAUGGAAUUUUUCUCAUUCGGUAAGGUCAAACCCACCGAGACUCCUCGAAUCCCCUUCGUUCACGCCGACGAAGGUGCCCACACGUCUCCUAACUCCCUAGAGAAAAUUCUAGGAGGGUUAGACAAAACAAACGAACACCCCACGUGUUCAACUCAAUUCAACCCAAGAAUAAGGCAAAACUAACCUAAAGUGUAGAAAAACCCUCUCAAAUUCCAAAAGGAGGCUAGAUCACUUCAAAUCUACCCCAACGAGUUAUUCUGCACCUAUCAAUUAAGCCCCAAGAGCUACAAAUCAAAAAUUUCUAAAAUAAAUCCUAGAUUUCACAUUCUAGGUUUUCAUCUCAUAAAAUCUACUAAAACAUGUAUUAAAGAGUAGAUUUAAGGUACUAACCUCUCCAAAGCUUCAAAUCAAGCUAGAAAGUGAGCUAGGGUUGAAGAUCUCUCCUCCAUCUCAAUCCUUCACUUCAAGGCUUCUUCAAUGGUCCAGAAGCAAAACCCAUGAAGAAGAAACCAAAGGAGGAGAUCAAACCUCUAAAAAUCCCAAUAAAAGAGAGGAAAAACCAUGGGAAAUGAGAGGGAACUCACCUCUCCUCCUUCUCUAUUGUAGCACAAGAGCCCCAACCAAGAGGUGUGGGAGAAUAUAAGGUGUUGCUACAAUUACAAAAAGAUCCCUCAAAUACUAUCAGACUGCAGUCUGCACUGCGUACCGGUACACGAAAAAGAGUACCGGUACCAGGCUACAGUACGCGCAAAUCCGAGCCUCGGGUUCGCAGAAAAACACACUCGGUACCGGUACCAGCCCAAUGCUGUACUGGUACCACCUCCAGUUCCGGUACAAGCCCGAUGCUGUACCGGUACUCUACUCUGCAGAGUCCAACCCGAGAGCAGCCUAAAAUCUUCACUUUAGAGAUUUUAGUGCUAAGUUCUAAACUGUGCUCAGGUCUUGCCAAGGAGAAUGUGGUACGGGUAAAGGUGUGCAUAAUCUUCGUUCUUUCGACCGCCUCUGGCCUUUUGACGCAUCCCACAUCGUGCCAUGAUGUGAGCAACAUCUCACUUGAGGCUCAACCAAAAGAAUCAAUCCGCAACCAUAGAGAUGGCUUUGUCUCGACCAAAAUGUCCGGCUAAACCUCUUGCGUGUAAUUCCCAAACAAUGAAAUCACGCAACAAGCUUUGCAGGCGAAAUAGAUAGCCAUCCCGAAUAACAAAAUCUAGGUCAGCAGAUUUGUUCUCUAAAGCUAAGAAGUAGAUUUCGCUAAAAUCCGGACAUGAGGAAUAUUCUCCUUUAAUACUGUCAAAACCGAUUACACUCCUGCCAACUUUAUGCAAGGUUGUUACGAUUCGACUCAAUGCGUCAGCAACUUUAUUAUCUACCCUAGCUCGAUGUUUCAAAUUGAAAGUAUAUUCUUGAAUAAACUCAACCCACUUUGCAUGCCGAAAAUUUAAAUGCUUUUGUGAGUUCAAGCACCUAAGAGCUUGGUGAUAGAAAAUAAAACAAAUUCUUUUGGUAACAAAUACUGUCGCCAAUAUCUCAGAGCUUGAACCACAACAUAUAAUUCUUUGUCGUAAGUAGAAUACUUUUGUUUAGCCUCAUUUAAUUUUUUACUAAAAUAAGCUAUGGGAUGACCUUCUUGGGUUAAUACUCCACUAAUUCCCACCCCAGAGGCAUCACAAGAAACUUCAAAAAUCUUUUCAAAAUUUGGUGGUUCAAAAUAGGGGCCUUUAUCAUCAUUUUCUUAAUUUCUUGAAAAGCUUUUGUGGCUGAUUUUGUCUAUUUAAAUUCACCAUUCUUUAAAUAGUUUGUAAUAGGGGGGCCAUUAUUGUACUCAAACCCUUAAAUGAAUCGUCGAUAAAAAGUUGCUAGGCCAUGAAAGCUCCUAGCAUCAUAUAUAUUUUUUAGUUCUGGCCAUUCUUUAGCUUCGUUUGGUUCGAAUAUAACCAAGAACUAUUUAUUCCAGGAAUGGAUGAAAAUUGAGUUGUUCCUGAGAAUAAGAAAAAUAGUGUUUGGAUAGAUAAGAUGGAAUAAAAAGAAUAGUGGGUAAUUAUAAAUAGAAAAUAAUGAUAUUGCCCCUUAUAUUAUAUUUGAAUUUAAAAUUUUAAAUAUUAUAUCUAAAUUUUUAAACUUAACUAUAUAAUUUUUUAAUUUUAAAAAUUCAAAAUUUAAAUUUAAAUUUUUAAAUCUCAAAUUAACAAAUUCAAAAUUUUAAAUUUUAAAUUUUAAAUUUCAAAUUUUAAAUUUAAGAUUAAAUCUAAAUUUAAAAAAAUCAAAUAUCAAAUUAUAAAUUCAAAAAAUUUAAAAUAUCAAUUUAAAAUUUAAAAUUUAAAAUUUAAAAUUUAAAAAUAAAAUUAUAAAUUUUAAUUUUAAAAUCAUAAAUUAUAAAUUUUAAAAUUUUAAAAUUAAAAUUUAAUUUUAAAAAUUAAAUAGGGGUGGGAACAACUGUUCCUACCCCUAUUCCUAUAGGGGUGGGAACAACAAUCCCACCCCUUAACGGGUUAUCUUUAUUUUAGGAUAUCUCGUUAAGGGAUGAGAUUGUUGUCCAACCCCCCUUUUUUUCAUUUGGAUAUAAAAAGAGGGAUAACCCCUUAUUAUCCCUUUAUGCCCCAACCAAACGGCCUCUAAUAGCCUUGACUUUUUCUAGGUCAGCCGAUAUUCCAUCUUUGGAUACAUGCAUAAAAGAACAUUUCUUCAUAUGUAUAAAAAAUUUUCCUUUUCUCAAGAUUUCAAAAACCUGUCGGAUGUGAAUUAAGUGCUCAUUUUCGGCAUGACUAUAGAUUAAAAUAUCAUCAAAAUAUACUGCAACAAACUUGACAAUAAAUGGUCGAAAAACUUGGUUCAUUACCCUUAUAAAAGUACUCGGGGCAUUUAUCAAACUAAAUGGCAUAACCAGUCACUCGUACAACCCUUCUUUCGUUUUAAAAGCAGUUUUCCACGCAUCCCCAGGCCUAAGCCGAAUUUGGUGGUAACCGCAACGAAGAUCAAACUUUGUGAAAAUAGUUGCCCCUGCCAUUAUGUCCAACAUAUUAUCUAAGUGAGAAAUUUUGAUGCUUAAUUGUGAUUUUAUUAAUAGCAUGACUGUCCACACGCAUGCACCAACUUUCGUCCUUCUUUGGUGUAAGAAGUGCUGGUACUGUGCAGGGACCAUGUGCCACGCUCCGCAACUGCCAAUUUGGUCAGUUCGGGUACGCCAAACAGACGCCGAACGGACAGCACCUCCCCUGUCGGUCCAAGGCUAACAACAACAAUCAUGUACAUAUAGUUGCCCAGGAAAAACAUCAACCAUAUAUAUAAUUCAUUGCAAGUAUAAACAAGCAAGCGCAAAAAAGAGAAAACUAUCUAGUACAUUCAUCAUUCAACAUUUACAUCAUUAGUUUACAUUUCCAUCUCCAAAAUACAUAUAUGUUCAUCUCAUGACAUAUACAACUCUCCAAAGCAACCACACCAAAUAUACAUCAUCAUCUCUCAAGUACAUAAGGUGCUCUAAUGCAAAAAGGAAAGCUGCUAACUACUAGGGCGCUAUGCCCUUACCACGAUCCUCGCCCGAUGUGCUCAAGCUCGGCCCUACAACAAAGUGGGAUGAGAACUAAUAANCAAAGGAGGCUACUAUUUAGGGCGCUAUGCCCUUAUCGCGAUUCUCGACCGCUCCGCUCGUGCUAGGCCCUACAACAAAGUGGGAUGAGAACUAAUAAUAGUUCCCAGUGGGUUCGGCCGCCGACUCAGCCGAUCUUCCCAUUAGGUCUAAGCAGACAUAAGUAGAUAGAUAUAUGGAAAUAAACUGCUAACAUAGUAUGAAUUCUACUAUCAUGCUACUAUGCCUCAAUCAAUAGCAAAUGAAUGAAAUCUACAUAAUAAUGAAGUCAACUAUCAUGCUACUAUGCUCAAGAAAGUAUAUCAUUCAUGUGUUCGUCACCCAAUCCACUUGGCUAUUCCGAAGGUUUCCCCCCGACUCACAGUGCAAUCCCAUAGGUAAAGGGACCCUCCCACUCGCAAACCCGAGGCCGUCUGUUGGACAAGUACGUUAGUCCAUCGUGUGAUGACUUCGGAGCUCACUACUUGGGUAGAGCGACCACGUCAAGCGAAAACAGACUAUAUGAGUAUGAUCCAAUCCUCUCCAACUAAGGAUACCCUGCCAACUAGGGCUAACAAAUACACGGGAAACCCUCUAUCCCUAUGUUCAUGUUUAAGUGUCACAACUAUACUGAGUUCACAUGCAACAUAUUCACAAUUCGGAAAAAUCAUCUAUCCCUAUGUUCAUCAUGUCAUAAGUGUUUCAACUACACUAGUUCACAUGCCACUCGUCUAUGUCAUCAUAUAUAGUUUAUAUGCCACUCGUUAUGUCAUUACAUAUACAUCAAGCUCAUCACUUGUUUUGGCACUAUAGGAUUCAAUGUUAAGACCCAAUUCCUUACAUAUCCACUAUGUCAUGUGUCCAACUCACAACGCAAUAUCAACUAUGGAAGCAUAUAAGGAAUGAAAAUACAACUAACAACAUCCUACGAUGCAUAUAUAAUAUGAGAGAUGCAUGGUUAAUACUGUAACUUGGAUAUAGAAAGAAGCUCGAUUGCUUCGGAUAGCACCCCCUACCUCUAAAUAAUGCCGAGGUGCGAGAAUACGAAGCUCGGAAUUUUUAGACGUUGCUUCGGCUCUCUCCGACGAAAACAAAGCAAAAAACGGUCCUUUUCCUACACGCCCGUAGGAACUCCCGUUUGAGUUGCCCACAACGUCGAUUUUAUCUUCAAUUAGGUUUACAAAGGGUCAAUUUAACCAUAAACCUUCUAUCUAUGAAAACCCCAAUUUCAACCCUAGGGUUUUCAUAGCACAAGCUACAUGAGUUCAUUAUGUGAUCCCAAGGUUUCCUCUAGAUUUCCCUUCAUGUAAGAAGAUCAAAACUAAGUGUUCUAGGCUAUAAAACCAAACCCUAACCAAGAUCCUAUAAGAAAUCUCACCUUAGCCUAUGAACACCACAAGCUCCACCUUGUAGGAGAGUUCUUCACCUUCAAAAGCCUCAAAUCUCCUUUAAAUCCUCCUCCAAUCUCCUCCAAUCCAUUUUGGGAGAGAGUUUCUAGAGAGAGAGGGAGAGAAAUGAGAAGAGAGGGUGUUCUCAGCUUGUGAACAAGAAAGGAGGAUAUCGAGUCCUUUUAUAUGUCCCCAUAAUUGCAAAUAAGCCCUCCAUUUAUUUCUAUUUGCAGCAGAUCAACCCUACUGUUUGUGGCGCAGGGUACCGGUACGCAGGUUGGCGUCACCGGUACGCCGCUUCGCAGAGGCCAAACCCGAGAGCUACUGUUCUCGGGUUGCUGCGGGGUACCGGUACUAACCAGGGGUGUCACCGAUACGCAGACCCCUAUUGUCCAAACCCGAGAGCUGCAGUUUUAGCAAUGCUUUAGCUCCAUUUCGCACCGAGCAAUGCUAAAACCAACUAAUCGCAUCCGGAACUCAAUUUUGACCCUUCCAACACUGUUGGGAUAACAUAUGGACUAUGCUCAACCAUCCCUCUCACCACGCUUUGGUCAUUUUGACCAAAAGUGGUUUAACUCGACGACGAUUCAAUAUCUUACACCAUGCUCUCUCGUACAAAGCCCUUCUUAAUCAACUCUCCUACUUGACGCUUUAAUUCAGCAUGUUCGUUAGGGUUCAUUCUAUAAUGUGGUAGAUUAGGUAAGGAUGACCCUGGACCAAAUCUAUAGUAUGUUGUAUGUCUCUAAGUGGGGGAAAUUUUUUAGGUAAUUCUUCUGGCGCGACUUCACUAAAUUCAGCAAGAAGUUCCUUAAUUACUAAAGGGGUUUCAAAGGAAUCAGUCAACUGAGCAGUGUCCUUCACAAUUAAAGCGUGCAUAAUUUUUUAAUCAAUUUCUUUGCAAAACUCUCUUUUGUUUAAAAUAUGAAGGGGUUUUGUUUUCGUAAUCUCUAAUGGUGGAUUUUUAAAUCUUCGGUAGGAUUCGAGUUUUUUGAUGAAAUUUUUUGUGAAGAAGGGAUUACUCGGCUCAAAAUAAUUUUCUUGCCAUUGUGAGCAAAAACAUAGGUAUUAGGUCGUUGAUAAUGAACGACGGACAUAUCAUAUAGCCAUAGUCUUCCUAAAACAACAUGAGCAACAUCCAUAAGGAGGACAUCGCACCAAAUAUGGUUAGAGUAGGUGGCAAAAUGAAGCAGAACCAAGCAACGCCGUUUUAUCGGCACAGUGGUCUUGUCUACCUAUACAACACUAUAAGGGUUAGGGUGAGGCUCUGUUUUCAGGUAUAAACAACCUACGGCAGCUUUUGAUAUUAUAUUAAUGCAACUACCACCAUCAAUGAUAACCUUGCAACUCUUGUCUACAUAUUUCGUAUAGGUGUGAAAUAUGGAAGUGCACUUUCAAUCAUUCUCUUUCCUCGGUUGGGUCAAAAUACAACGCAUGACUUGCAAGGUGACGUUUUCUUCAAACUCCUCGUUCGAUUCCAAUACCUCUUCAUCACUAGGAAUUUCAUCGGCUGUGUGUGCGACUUCCUCUAAGUUUUCCAACUCAUUACCAUCCGGCUGAACAAACAUGUUUCGCUUGGGGCAUUCAUAAGCAUAAUGACCUAUCUAGCGACAGUUAUAACACAUACGCUGUAUGUUCCCGUGUUUAGUGUCGUUUAUAGCUAAACCCUUGCCCUUAGAAUCAGAAUUUUGAUGAUUUUGAUCAUUAUUCGCUUUAUUAAAAUUUGAAUUUGCGUUAGGUGUAUUGAAUUUUCCAACAAAUCAUCGAGCCGGUGUUUUUAAAUAUUUCUCAUAUUCUAAGGUGAGUUGAAAAGCUUGCUCAACAGUUGCGACCCUGGCGGUGCAAUUUCGCGCUGCAACUCCUCGCACAACCCGUGGCAGAAUCGCGAGACAGUCUGUUUUUCUUUUUCUUGAAUAUCACAACGGACGUUUAUCUCGUCAAACUUGGUCAUAUAAUCAGCAACUAAUAGAGAACCUUGCUGUACAGUGUUCAAUUGAUCGUACAUUUAUUGUUUGUGCAUAGAUGACAAGUACUUCUCUCUCUGUUUAACCUCCAUCUCUGCCCACAAAGUGAUGGGCUCCUGGCCAAUCCGCUCUAAGUGUAUUUCAACGCCAAUCCAAUAUUGCUUGGCGGUGCUGGUGAGUUUUAUUUUAGCAAAACGAACCUGUUGACUAUCAGACAUUUCAUACGAGUCGAAAUACUAGUCCAUGUCGACGAGCCAGUUUGUGAAUAAUUUCAUAUCAUGUUUUCCGUCAAAACUGGGUGCAUCGAUUUUAACCCUUUUUGUGAUGUCAUCUUGAAAAUUAAAUUUUUUGUUUCCUUGAAAGAGAGGAUUGAAUCUUGGGGCCAUUUUUUGAAAGACAUUUCGAACGUUGAUAUCACAUGGUUGUGCAAUGUGUGCAGCAGAUCCUUGUUGUUCAACUCCUAUAGUGUCAUUGUUUUGUGUUGUGACUCUAUCAGGAUUCAUUUCCAAGUUGGUAACAUGGUUCCCUAUGUUGUCUAGUUUAGUGUUCAGAGCAACUAAUUGCUGUAAAAUUUGUUCUAUUGUUGCGGGGUCUAAGGGCAUCAGUAAAGGUUGAUAAAUCCUACCACUUCGAAGGUCAUUCAUUAACCUAAUGCUUUGAUACCAAAUCUGAUGUAGGAUGAAUAUAAACAUGAAAUAUUGCAUGUAAUCAAAUCCUAUUAUUAAAGGUUUCUUUAAUGCAACUCAAAUGCAACACAGCGGGACCCACAAUCCGGACUUGCCAAAAAAUAAAAAAAUAGUUCUAGAAAAAUAACAAAGAAGGGGCCGAUAGAUGACGCAAAGAUAAAAUUAAUUAAGAAACUAGGGAUGGUCGAUCAAACCUUUCAACGCUCCACAAAUGAUAUUAGUAACUCCAAACGAAAUAGAACCGCCCGUUCUUAAUCAAUUUGAUCCAAGCCUCUUAUUGGGCACUAUCUAUGGACACAAAGCAACAGGUGGUUAUUUGAGAGAUGGGAGUCGGAAAGAGAAAAAAAAGUAAACAUGAAAAUUAAGGCAAGAUAAUUAAAAGGUUAAAAGAGAAAAAUGAUUGUGUUUGGUGGACAAGCUAGAUGGCAUCGGUUGAUCUUGACGUCAAAAUGUAGUGUCCCUAGGGUUUAGUUGACGGAAUGACUACAGUAUCAGCGACUAGUCGACACAUCUGGAGAGUGUCGGAUUGAGUAAGAAUCGUUUUUGCACAAAAUGGAUGCAGAAAUGGUCUUGGCACACUCAAAUAAGCAAAACUGGAGUUUGUUAGGUCCUAUGUGUUGGCAAGUUUCGUGGGUCGAGUCGGAGUCUUGAAGAAGUUCGGAGCGGAGUAUUGAAGAUCGAAGAAUCCAAGAUUUCGAAUAAUCGGAAAGGACGCAAAACACGUAAAACAUGAAUCAUGAUGCGUAGGUAAGCUUUAAAUCUUGUUUAUGGUGAUUCAUACUUAAUUAUAGAUCUUAGAAUCAUGUUUUCAAGUUGUAAUUGAUUAAAAAGUUUCUAAGAGUUUGUAAAAUCCAAAACAAUGCAUUUUCAGCGAAAAUUGCAUUGUUGUACCGGUACAAGGCUUUUCUGUCCAGGGUACAGCCAUCAUAGUUUGCGCAGGAAGUUUGAUGGUUGUUCCGGUACAAGCUUCAUGCUGUACCGGUACAAGCCCUGUUCCGGAACAAGCAAUAGCCUAUCCAGGGUACAGAAGCUUCGCAGAAAAAUCUUCCGUCAUGGUGUACCCUGGACAACAUUCCUUGUUCCGGUAUAAGGUGCUGUUUUUGGAAAGAAACUUUCUAAUUCGACUCCAAUUGAUUCUAAAGUCUAUAAAUAAGCUAUUGGGCUUCUCUAACAUAUUAAGUAUUAUGAAAAUACAUAUUUGAGAAACCCUAGAGGCUCGGAUUUCAUCUUAAACCUAUUUUCUACAAAAAGCCUCUUUUAGAUCAAAUCGAGAUAUUGAAAUUUGAUAUUAAUAUGUCGAUUUGAUCUCCGCUUCGCUUGGAGUUCUAUUCCCUGGUUUUCUACGAUACUCCUAAGUGAAAGAUUACCAUACACAUGAUGCUCUUCAUGAACGGCGUCGUGGAUUCGGCGUGAACGAACACGGUUCGUGGAUUCGGAUCGUGAGCUCGUGGAUUCGAGUGGGCGUCGUGGAUUCGACGUGAUCGAGGCUUCGUGGAUUCGAAGUGGUGACGUUUCGUGGAUUCGGGACGUGGCGUUCGUGGAUUCGGACGUGGGCCGUGGACAACCCGUUGGUAUGCGCGAGAUCCGCAGAAGAUAGAAGAGAGGUUUGAGUCCGUGGAUUCGGUAAAUCACCUUGUAAUCUUUUAUUCUUAGUGGAUUGUUAUCGCGUGUUGGUUCCGUGGGUUUUUUACUCCGAGUUUGGAGUUUUCCCACGUAAAUCUCGGUGUGCUUUUUAUUUUUCGCAUUUAUUUUUAUUGCAUCGAGAUUUGUGAUUUUUUGGCCUUUCACCUAUUCACCCCCCCUCUAGGUGAUAGAUACAAUCUAGAUAGAUCCUUGGGCUCCUCAAAACUUUCAGAGUUUUGCCAGUUUAGGGCGCCCAGAAAUGAGUUUAGGGCGCCUAGAUCUUGAGUGCUGUUUUGUAUUAGAUGCUGCAGCCAUUUCGGAUUCUGUUUAGGGCGCCCGAAAAUUGGACCCGAAAAUUCACAUCGUGAAUAUCGAUUAUGUUGACACGCGGGUGUGGUAGGUGAGAUCCGCCGGAACCGGAUAGCGGUGUAGCUGACCGUCGGACGGAGGAACCGAGGUACUGUUUGUGCAGGCUGGAGGUUCUGGGCGCCCAGAACUGGAUUUUGGGCACCCAGAACUGGGUUUAGGGCGCCCAGAUCUUGGUUUUUCUGCAGGAAUGCAGGUUAGUAAAGGUUAUCCUUGAGGCUCAAUGCACCUAACCCCUACUUCUAUAAAAAGCUGUGGACCACCUCAGUGAAUCCUUUUCACCUUUUCUUCACAGAAAGCCUGCAAUUUUGCAUUCUAGCCCCUCAAUUACUCCAAAUUUCUCAAUUCCACCUUGAGGAUUGUUGAUUUGGCAGAAUUCCAGCAGCGAUCUUCGGCGUUUUGGAUCGUGUGCGACGUAGGAAGCUCCGUUUGCCACGAAACUUGGUAUUGGUGGAUUCUGGACUUCAAGAGGAAUUCAUGGAGCCUAUUUUGAUAAAAUUUGGUUGAGGUUAGUUUGGUCAAUUCUACAUUUUUCUCUGCUGUUGGUAGUUUUAAGCUGAAAUUAGGAGUUUUGGGUUUUCUUGAUGCUAUCUUUGGAGGAAGCUGGAUCUUGGACUUGAGGGUGAUUCUUCAUCACUGUACACUAGUUUUGGGACCCUCCUCACCUGAUUUGAAGAUUGUUAGGUGAGUUUUGAAAUUGGAAUUGGAGGAAUGAGCUUAAGUGCUGAAAUUUGAGGGUAAUAAUGCAAGUUUUGGUGUUUUUGGUGUUUUGAUCCUUGAAGGAGUUUGGUUGCUGGUUCUAAGUGAUUUCGGAUAGUUUCAGCAGUGGUUCCAGCAACUUCGCGACCUCGUGCUACCGCGGAUUAGUGCUAGAGGUAGGUUAAUCAUCGGAUUCUCCUCCUAAGUGUAUACAUAAUCAACAUGUAUAUUUUCAGCCUUUGUAUAUCAUGUUUUUAGCUCAAAUUUAUCAAUUAGCAUGUUAAAUGAAAUCUGAAUUUAGAGCAUGGUAUAGUGAGUUAGAUAAAUUAUACAUAUUGGACUUGAAAUUGACUUAGGAGAAAACUAGCGAUUCUACACUGUCAUAUAUUAAACUAUCAGAUUUAUCUCUAGGAGUCGUAGUUUGUUUGUAUCACCGCAGUUUGUGGGCGGUGGAUACUCAUAUUAGUGUAGAAUGCAUUUACGCUCGUGCUGGGAUGCCGAGCUUGAGUAAUAUUCAACUGUAGCUUCUAUACUAUCAUUUAUAAAAACUAUCAGAUAGCUCCUUAAGCUAUUGUGCUUCGUAUCCACGCCGUUAGUGCACAUUUGAUACACAGAUAGCUUCUCAAGCUGUUGUGUUUCGUAUUCACGCUGUUAGUGCGCAUUUGAUACUCAGAUAACUUCUGAAGCUGUUGCGGUUCGUAUCUAUGCUGUUAGUGCGCAUUUGAUACGCGGAUAGCUUAGGAGCUGUAGUUUAUUUGUAUCGCCGCAGUUUAUUGGCGGUGGAUACCCAGGAUAGUGUAGAAUGCAUUUACGCUCGUGCUGGGAUGCCGAGCUUAUUUUUACAGCAGUGUUUAGGCUGUUUCGGACUGUCGAGUGCCAUUGAGGUCGACGGUGGACCCAGUUUGCUAUUUUUACAUCAGAUUGUGCCGAGGGCACGUGAGUUUGGUUGUUAGACCAGUUAGACCCUGUUUACUUAACUAUAACCUGUGAGAGCCUGAUUGAGCUCGGCAGAGAUAUGCUUGUAUACUCGGUUGGGUUGCGCCCACGAGUGCCACUCCGGAGUCGGGCUUUGUGCGUUUGUGUUGGUGUCGUUGUCCUGGUUAGACUUGCUCUCCAUGGACGGCUUAGCGUGGGGGUAGCAGUAUAGUUUCGACAGGCGGGACGGGUGUAUUCACAGUCCCUGGGACGGGUGCAUUCACAGUCCCUAGUGAGAUUGGGUUAGAGAUUGCAUUAUUCUACGGAUAGUUAGUGUUGGAUCAUGAUAGUAUAGUGACAUAUAGCUGUAGAUUAUUUCCAGUUCCUUUACUAUCAUUUGUGCAUACUUUUUGUAGACUUGGUGGGUGAGCCGAUGAGAUUGAGGGUGGUACCUACUAAGGACUACUUCUUUGCAGUAGUUCUCGCGCCCAAUUGUUACCCCUCUUUUUGCAGAGCCUUUUUCUUCGGCUGCUGCUGUCGUGGAUAUCGAUCGUGGAAAGGGAGUCGCGAGUUAGAUCCCUUUCCAUUUUGCUGCUGACUUAGAGAUAUACCGGCUACAUGUAGUUGUAGUUUUUGGUUCUUGUACAUACUGAUGUUAAAUCCUCGCUGGAGCGAGUGUUUUUAUACCAGGAUGCUAUGUAUGUAUAGUGACCAGUUUUAUUUAUAUAUUGUUCUUUUUAGCAGCUCUAUACUACUGGCUGUAGUGUUGUAUGAUUACAGGUACAGGUAUAGCUAUCGCUUCGUAUACAGAAAAAAUUCCUAUGUAUACAGCGGGUCCUAUGUAUACGGCGGGUCUGUUGGCAUGUCCGGGGAAACGAGUAAUCCGGGGUGCGACACAAAAUGAUCGGGAGAUGGCUUGAGCACAGUAAUCGGUAGUGGCGUGGCAAGACCGUGGUGGAGAUGACGUCGAUGUGGGUGAUGAUGGCGGCGAUGAAUGCAGGCUGCAGAAAAAAAAAGAAUGAAGGGAUUCGCUCCCCACGAACUCAUUCCGAUCGACGCAUGAAUGUGAAUGAAUUUAGGUAUCGUUUGGUUCNGCUCUAUACUACUGGCUGUAGUGUUGUAUGAUUACAGGUACAGGUAUAGCUAUCGCUUCGUAUACAGAAAAAAUUCCUAUGUAUACAGCGGGUCCGAUGAAUGCAGGCUGCAGAAAAAAAAAGAAUGAAGGGAUUCGCUCCCCACGAACUCAUUCCGAUCGACGCAUGAAUGUGAAUGAAUUUAGGUAUCGUUUGGUUCGGGGAUAAGCAAAAAGUGGCUAUUCCAGUUAUAGAUAUAAAUUGAGCUAUAAGUGGGGAUUAAAUCAAUUUUAUGUUUAGAUGAAAAUUGGGUUAUUUCUAGGAAUAAAAAAAUAGCGUUUGGUUAGUUAAGAUGUAAUAAGAAUUAAAGUGGAUAGUUAUAAAUAAAAAAUAAUAAUAUUAUCCCUUUCUUUAUAUUAGAAUUUGAAUUUUUAUAUUUUAGAAUUUAAAUAUAAUUUACUAUAAAAUUUAUUAUAAUAUUUAAAUAUAAAUAAUAUGAAUUAAUAUAGUGCAAUUAAUAAUUUUAUAAUAAAAGUAAUGUGUUAUAAUAUAUAACAUAUUAUAUUUAUACAAUUUACUUUUAAUUCAAUUUAUAAUUUAAAUUUGAAAUUAAGCAUUGGAAUAGUACUAUUCCUCCAAAAUGAUGGAAUAGUAAAUCUCAAGCUAUUCUGGGAUAACCGGGAAUAGCAAAGUUCGACCGAGAUAAAAUAUCCUGACAAAAAAUUACCCCGUUUGGCGGAAUAGCGGGGAUAACUGUAAGGGAAGUGAAUUCUCGAAGUACGGGAGCUAAACUACGUUUAAAAUCAACUAAUUGUCGAGUUGGUGUCCUUCGGAAAGUCCGAGAACAUCAAAAACACAAAAAGUGCAUUGAGGAUGGACCCACGAGGGCUUGGAGUCAUGCUCUCAGGGACCGGUCCCUCUGGGAGGGGACCGGUUCCCGUAGCCCUGUUUUCGGAGAAAGCUCUCGGGGACCGGUCCCUCAGGGUGAGGGCCGGUUCCCGUACGCGUAUUUUUUGGACAGCUCUCGGGGGACCGGUCCUCCCCUUCGAGGGACCGGUCCCCUUACCCGAAAAUGGCCCAGUGAAGACUGCUUCAUAGAAGGAAAGUUGAGGGGCUUAUUUGCAAAGUGCCUAUAUGAGAGGCUUGGGGGACCCUUCCUCUCACUCACACCCUCUCAUUUUCCCCUCUCCCACACCCUCACACUCUUUCCCUCUCUCUCUCUAGAAAGAAGAGGAAGGAGAAGGAGUAGAAAAAGAAGAAGAUCAUCUUCUUCCUCUUGUUGGAGCAAGCUUGGAGAGGUAAGCUUCUAGCCCUACAAUGGUGGAUUUCUUGUGAUAGGGUUUUAUAGCUUAGAAACGGUUCGAAUGGAACCUAAUGGAGUUAAAUAGAUGGUUCUAGCAUAGAUUUGAGGCUUGAACCAUGGAUUUCUCCAUUGUUGCGAACCUAGGGCACGUUUUGGGAUUUUUGGAAAUCUAGGGUUUUGAUCUAUUUUGAUAGGUCGGAAACCUAAUUGCUAGGUCUCUAAAUGCGCAGGCGAAGACGGUUCGAGGAUCCAUCGAGUGAGUGCGAAGUUAUCGUCAAAAGGAGACCCUCGGAGCUUCGUUCCCGCCUAGAAGGCCAACGAGGCGUCGUAAAGUCGGCGAAUCGUGUUUGAAGAGUCGCGACAUCGCCACGAUGUGGGUGGUGACCAUCCCGAAGCAGUUGAACUACUCCCUAUGUCUAAGUCUGUCAAGUCGAUCAAAUUGCAUAUUGUAAUGUUGCAUUAUAGGGUGCUAAAUGUAAUUGUUACACAUUCUUGCAUUCUAGUAGAGUAGUGUAGAGAUGAGUUGCUUAACACCUAAGUCUAGUAUGCUUAAGAUAGUGUCAAAUGAUUUGAGGCCCUAUAAUGAAAGGAUAGUUGAUAAAGAAUGAACAUGCUCGUGGAUGAGAACCUAGUAAAGUGCAAACUAGUGUAUUGAGAACUUGUCAAAGGAACGAGUGGCAUUUAGUUAACCAUAAAUACAGAACGAGUGACAUCUAGUGACAUUAAACAUGAGAAUCUUAGUGUGGUCAGAACACUAUGAAAUUAAGUACUAGAAUACUUUGAUUCCGUGAUAACACCAACCUUAGUUGGUAGGAUGUUCCCAGUUCAUAAGAUUGGAUCGAGCUCACGUAGCCUGUCUACACUUGUAGUGGUAGCUCCACACAAGUUGUGCACUCCGGAGUAUUUGUCACUUGAGGGGUAGCCGCUAACUGCCCGGACAGCCGCUAGCUGUCCACAGGCGGUCUCGGGGGUUGUUGAGUAGUUGACCUCCUCCCCUAGGAGACUUAUACGCGUGAGGCUGAGAGAGAGCCUCGGUUUAGCCGAGAGAUUGGGUGAUCUAACGAAUAGCUUCAUUGUUGAACAUAGUAGUACGGUAGCUAACCUUUUACUAUGAGUUUCAUGCAUUCAUUAUAUUGGAUUGAGGCAUUGAUAGAUCUUGAUUUCAUGUCUGCUUAUCACCGUUAGUGCUUUCAAUUCCAUAUACCUAUCUACCUGCAUAUCUAUCUGUGCCUGCUUAGACCUAGUGGGGAGAUCGGCGGAGUCGGCGGCCGAACCCACUGGGAACUAUUUGUAGUUCUCACCCCACCUUGUUGCACGUCCGAGCUCGAGCGCCCCUGGUGAGGAUCACGGUAAGGGCGUAGCGCCCUAGAGGUGGUAGCAGUUUACUUUCCUAUUUGCACUAGAGUUACCCUGUACCUAUUUUGAGAGUAGAUGAUGUAUAGGGUGAGGUUUUGAGAGGAUGGUAUAUAUUUGUACAGGUUUGGAAGAAUGCAAAUUGUAAUACAUGUGUUAAAGUUUAAUGAAUUCAGUAGUUAAGUAUAUCUCUCUUUUAUUCACUUGUAUGUUUUACUCGUGUUGCUUGCUCUUGGAUUGUGUAGCACUGUUUGUGCUUCGUUGUCGUUGUUUGAUUAUGUGUGCAAUCAAGUGUAUUUCCUGGGAACUUGUGUACAUGAUCUCGUCGUUUGAGCCUUGGGCGGACAGGGGAGGUGCUGUCCGUUCGGCGUCUGUUCGUCGCGCCCGAAUCGGACCAAAUUGGUAGCGGCCUCGGGGCGGGGGUGUGACAUUUCGUUAUCCCCGUUUAUCCCCCGAACCAAACGAGGCCUUAGAGAACACUUCUUAAUGACUAUAUCAAUAUUCAUCUUCUUUUUUUUCAUUGUUCCAUACAUAGACUUAUUUAAAGAGCUUUCCUAACAGAUGAAUGAGCUCAAAAUAAAAUAUCAACUUAAACAACCAGUCUAACAAGAUAAAAAUCUGAUAACAAAAUGUCAACCUAUCCAAUAGAAUAAAAAUCUCAUAAGAUCUCAACCUAUCCUAACAAAAUAACUAAAUCUCAUUUUAUCCAAAGAAACAAAUUUUAAACAAGAUCACAUAAUCUUAGAUACUUUAGAAACUAAUGGGUGCGACUCAAUUCGAAGCCAAUCCGGAUUGAUCGAGCCACAUGCUCAAGUUCCGUUUGCGGCGUUGACAUUGUUCGUAAACUCGAAAGAGGACCCGGUCCACGUCAGAGUAAAUGCUAGAAGUUCUUCAACAUGUAGUGGAAGUUAUACUAUUUGGAAGUACAAAAUAUAUGGUAGUAUUUGAGGUUGUACGUCGUCAAGUUGAGAUAGUUGUUGAUAAGCUUAACUCACUUGAAUAAGAAACUGUUCAAAACAAGAGGAGAGGGUGGAUGAUGUUGCAUGUGAUCAUAAUUUGACUAUGAUUUCUCAAUCAAGUCAAAUAAAUCAACAUGUAGGAGAAUAUGUGCUAAAAGACCCCUCGCAGUCGCAAUGAAAAGGCAAAAGGAGGCCGCAAAGAUUAAAGGAACCUCUUGAAUAGAAAGCUAAGAAAUUUAGAACAUACCAAAUAUACAAAAAGAAAGGCCAUAAUAGACGAAUUUAUAAACAGGCUUCCAAUAUAUCCAGUGACAAUGCUCCACACUCUGAUGUAGAAAGCUACUGAAAAGUAUUGAAGACAAUGAAGAUACUCAAGAGUGAAAUUAUAAUAUUGAUACUUUAUUGGAUGUUUAAUGUACUUUAAUUGUUUAAUGCACUUUGGAUGUUCAAAUAUUAUAUUUUAAAUGUUUAAUAUAUUUUAUAUGUUUUAUUUAGAAUGUUGAAUGUUUAAUAUACCUUGGAUAUUUUAUUUUGAAUGUUAGAUAUUUAAUGCAUUUUGGAUGUUUCAAAAAUUUUGAAUAUUGUUCAAAUACUAUUUGUUUGCUUGUAUUGUUGAUAUUCUACACUACAUUUUUUACCAAGUCAACUAAAAGAUUGACUCUCUUUAACAUGUAGAAAUUGUGCAUGCUGCUAAAAUAUUUUGUAGAACAUCAACAAAAUCAAAUAAAAAGAAAAUAAUAUAUUUAUAAAAUAAAAUAAAAAAAGAAAUACUUCUCUCUUUCAAGUUCAACAUCAUUCAUUUGACUUUACAGAAAUAGAAAGAAAAUUUACCACUCAUUCAUAUCUAGAAAUAGAAUCUAGAUUAAAUAAAGUCUUAACAAUUAACCAAAAAAAAAGGAACAAAGGAAAUUACAUCUUCUUCUCAUAAUCUCUUUUAUUUGCAUUACCAUUGCUGAUAGUUCUUCAAAUUUGGCUUUCAAGAUUUGAAUUUUUUCAUGCAUUUCGUUUACUUGCUCCAAUAUUUGUUGUUUUAAAGAUCACUUAGAUGUUACUUUUAAUGCGUGAUCUAAACAUUUAUCAGUCUUUGAAUAACUUAAACUACUAAUUUUGGAGCUAUUUUUCUCUUUUAGAUCACGUCACAUGAAAAAAAUUAGAAUAAUUUUCAGAGACCUUUCCAUAGUUUGGACAUCCAAAAAAUUUCUUUUCUUUGGUCUUAGAUUGUUGUGAAACUCAAAUAACAGUAGCUUUAUUAUAGUUGCAAUGAACAACUCUACUUUUAUAAAAGAAUUUUGUUAACCAGCCCAUUGUAUGGAACACUUAAUUCGUGUAAUUAAAUUAUCAGAUAACCUGCAUUCAGAUUGUUGUUAAUUAGUACAUUAAGUUGAAAAAACCUUACAUUAAGUUAAUUAGUACAUUUGGUUUUUAUUUCCCCUUCUUCUUUAGAACAAAGAAGAUAUUUUUUAUUUUUGGAGGAGAGGAAGGAAUGAGGGUUUGCUGUAUUUAGGGGGCUGUAGGAAGCAGAGAAAGUGCUGUGGGUUUGCUUCAAGGAGAUGUUUUGUCCUAUUAUACUUUAUAUAUAUGACUAUUUCAAAUUUCAGAGUCUCACAUUUUGUCUUCCUUUAAGUCCUAACGUCGUUGUCAAACUCAAACACACUCACAAGUAUUAGGCGAUAUGAGACUUGUCUUGCUAGUAUUAGCUGACCUUGUGGGGUGCGUCGCUUUAUCCACAACAGUCAUCAGUCAUAGAGCUUCGCUCUACCCACUGUAUAACUCAAUAGAGACUCAUCUUAUACUUUGGGUUGGUAAUUAUUUCUAAUACCAACUGUUUCGCCCCACUUUUUAGUGGAGUACGCAUAACUUUUUUAACCUCUUAGGUCUAAUCACCGCCCAAAAUGCUAUAGUUGGAUUCAGGGGUUUAAUCCUAUUAUUAUACCUUACAUAUAGAAUUAUUCCAAAUCUCGGGGUCUUACAACUCUUUGCUUGUGGAUUAACAAGUCAUCGAAGGUGCAGGGAGGUCGUAGGAGAAGUUAUCCAGCAACAAGAUCUCGCAUGGUGAUCGACCAAAAAUAAAUCCGUAGAGAGAAAGAGAGAGGCCGUACAAAGGAGAUCGAAAGUCUCGUUUAGGGUGAAAAUGCUGGCUAGGGUUAAUGUGACCAAUCUAGGGACUUGAGUCAUGCCAAAAUUGCACAACAGCCCUCAGAUUUGUCCUGUGUUGCGAAAUUUCACAAGCAAGCCCCUCAUCCAGUCAUCCUGUGGCAAAGAUUUAUAAAAGCCUUUGAAAUUUAUCAAUUUUCCACUGUAGUCCUCCAUAUUGCAUGCGAAGGGUCAAAUUCAGGAUGUCCCUAUCACAACCAUAAGUCCAAUUUCAAUAAAACUUAGUUUAACACGUUCAUCUGGGAGUGUAGAUGCUCAUAGAAUCCUUAAUUUUUGAAUUAUGUGGAAUAAUCUAUAAGAAUUUACAUUUUGUAUUCGAAAUGGUUAGUUUUCUGUAACAGACUGUGUGGGUAGUACCCAACUAAGGAAACCCAUAAUUUCGUGCUUGGAAUUACAAUUUCAAAGAAACUUGACUUCAAACGUUUACCUUUGGUUGUACUCACAUAUAAGAAAUUUUAUUUUCAAAAAUUCAUAUAAAAUAAUAACUUGAUUGCGAGAUGGUCGUUUUUUUUUUAAAUUUUCUCGAUUUGAUCGGAAAACUUCAAAACCACUAAAAUCCACCAGAUCAACCCCUGGACCUCACGAAUAAGUGGUCACAAGCACUAGAGACCCUCAAAGACCAAGAAAACUUAAAUCGUUGAAUUUGACUUACUUUUAUUAAAUAAUUAGUAAAAUUAUAAUUUGGUCCUUUAUUAUUGCAUGCUAUUUAUUAUUUUUAAAUUUUUGUGUAUGAUGAGAGUUUUCAUCUUUCGAGAAAAAAGUAUAUGUAAUUAUAUCUAUCAGUAAUACUUUUCGAGAAAAAAAAGUUAAUAGGGCGAGAGAAAGAUAAGAGAGAGAGAGGAAGGAGAGGGGUAUUUUUGUCUUUUUUUUGAAAAUCUAAUCUUUAUAUGCAAAAUAAAAAAAAGUGACAAUUUUUUGCAAAAAUGCAAAAUAGUAGAUUUUUAUGCAAAAUAGACUUCGAAGAAAUAUAUUAUAUACAUACUUUAUAUUUUGAACGAGGAACAAUUUGGCCGUAUUUCUAAUCCACAUAUGCAUUCUUAUUUUGAAAAUCAAGGACUUAAGUGUCCAUCGGCAUGGGCCGUAUCUACUGUGCCAACAAGAUAUCGGCACGAUAGAGCACCCGUGCCGAUGACACAACUAGGGCGUGUUUGGUUCAAAAAAUCUAAUAAAAAUACAAAAUAAACAGUUAGGGCGUGUUUAGUUUGAAGUCGGAGUCGGAAUCGGAAUCGGAAUCAAAAUAAGAUGGAAUCGGAAUCGGAAUUGGAAUGACUCAUUACUUAAUUAUGUUUGGUUCAUCACCUGAAUCGGAAUCGGAAUAAAUCAAUCCCAUUGUCGGUGUUUGGUUCAGGUGGAUAUAAAAAACGUAAUCAAAUUAAUAUACUAACAUUAUCUUUAUAAUAUAUUAAUUUAAAUUCAAAUUAAAUAUUAAAUAUUAAAAAUUUACAUCAAAAUUUUGAAAUAAUGUCAAAAUUUUAAAUCUGUUUUUUUUUUAAAAUAAACUUUGAAGUUGAGUGGAUAAUUCAAAAUAUGAAACUAAAUUUUGAUUUAUUCAAAUUCAAACUUAAAAUUAUAAUUUAAAAUUUAAUUUGAAUCCAUAAAUUUAAUUUAAGUUUGAAAUAAAAUUUGAAUAAAACUUAUAUAAAUUAAAAUUUAAUUUAAAUUCAAAUUCAUAAGUUAGAUUCAAAAUACUUGAUUAAAUUUUAAUUUUUAAUUUAAGUUCAAAUUAAAAUUUAAAAUUAUAUAUUUAAUUUUUAAAUUUUAACUCAUAUUUUAAUUAAAAAAAUUGAAAAAAUAAAUUUAAUCGGAAUAAAUAUCCACUCCGUCCGGAUUCAACUUCCAAUUCUAGGCUGGAUUGAAAAAAAAGGUGAUUGGGGGAUUUCUAUUCCACUCGGGAAUCGGAAUCGGAAUGGGACUCCUGCGUACCAAACACCCACAAACGGAUUCACCGAUUCUGAUUUCGAUUCCAGGGUGAAAAAGAAGCAAACCAAACACGCCCUUAGAAUAUUUUGUUGCUAUAGAAAAUAAAUAUUUCAUACUAUUAUGUGUUGGCACAUAUUAAUUUUUUGUAACUGACACACAUUGGCAUGCUCUGGCACGCACCGUGUCGUACUAUGAUGGCAAGUUUCUGGCACGAUCUCAUUCCACGGAGUUUAAAACCUUAUUGAAAAGUGGCAAAACCAGUAAAUUUUUUUUAUUAAAAGAGGCCCAAAAAAAAAAAAAAUACUGGUCCAUGAUGGACCAGGUCCAGGAAAACGUUUCUCUUUCUCUCUCUCCACCUCUGGAAACAAAGCCGUGACCUUUUCUCUCCUUAUUAACCCUUUUCACAUUUUGGAAUUUUUGUUUUUUGUUUUUUUUUUAAACCCCUCACAAUAAACAAAGCAUAUUCACCUGUGCUCCUCUCUCUCUCUCUCUCUCUCUCUCUCUCGGUCUCGCUUUCGCUCCCUCUCACGGCGACGUCGCAUAGCUCUCCUCCACCGAGGUAAGAGAUCUCUCUCGCGCGCGCGAUCACGCUCUCUCUCUCUUUCCCAUGUCGUUUUCUCCUUCUUUUAACUUUGCGCAAGAACCCUACGCCCGUAUCACGGAUCUCUUUUUGUUUGAAGCUUUUUGGUGUUGUAUUCGAGAUUCUACUUUUAUCUUGGUGUUAUUUUGGUUUCUGAUGAGGAAUUAGGGUUUUGGGACGCUGUAGAUGUGCCUUUUCUGCUGCAUUAGGGUGGAUGGAUCGGGAAUUGGGGCGAAUUGGUGUUUUAGGAGGUGCCUAGAUCUAGAAUCUGUGGAUUUUAGGCGCGGAUCUGCGAAAGUUUGAAGCUUGAUCGGAUCCUUUUGGUUUAGGUUGAUUGUUUCCCAGUUGAGAUUUAAGUGCUUAUUUUUCCUACUUGCGAUUUAAGUGCUUAUUUGAUGCAUUUCAAAUGGAUUUGGGGUUCAAUUGCAGAAAUGAUCACUAGGGUAAAAUGAAUUGGGUUCAGUUGAGGUUGUUGGGCUUUGGAGACUAGUGAAUAAACCCUAUGUUUUAUUGUAGAGAGGAAGACAUCAGGUGGGCAUCUUACGUAGUUUGAAUUUCUUGAAGCAAGUUGAUCAGGAACUUAAAUAUAGUUGUCAACUAGAUAGAGGAAGAGUAAACUUUGAUGUCAAAAAAAGAUCUGCGUAAAUGCUAAUUACAAGGGAAGUUCACUUCGUAACUUGAAAGGUAAGUAGAGGAAAGAGGAGUAAUAGAGAAAGAAAUGAGGAAUGGCAGAGAGAAAAUGGAGAUGAGGGGCCGUAAUGACUUGUUGCCCAAUUUUAUGUUCUGUACAGCAAACCACGACUACUAAAUGCACACUCAGCCUUUUAAGAGCUUUGUAUUAGUUACUCUCUCUCUCUUCGUCGGUUGAAAUAUAUGGUUGGGAUUUUGGUACAUGGCAAGGGAAAGCUGAAGCCGAUCAGAAAACAUUUUGGAUUUUGCUAUUUUGCUGGAAAACUGAAACCCUAAUUCUGAUUCACCCACAGGAAAAGACCCUAUGUAGUCUACACGAUAUCCUGCUACCUCUAACUCAAGUUAAGAGUUAGAAAGAAUUAUAUCUUUAACCAAUGGGAUUUUUAGUAAUUGUCAAAGGCAAUCUUAACUUUUUUCCUUCCACAUCGCCCGCAUGAAGAAGUUAAAAUGGUGUUAAUAUUUUCAUCUUUGGAAUUUUUUUGCCUGAUAGUUGGUGGCGUAGUCUAAUCAACUUAGGUAUAAGCGGAGUUAGCAUGGAUAGUCAUAAAAGUUGCUAUAUCAAUUGCCUUGCACGUGAAAAUGCAUAGAACCAAGCCAGUUUGCAAUGUUGCUUGAGGUUGGGCCUUUUCAUCCAUGAGAGGAUAUCUCUGAGUUUUUUUUUUUAUGUUUGGUCUAUGUAUGAUCAUGUAAUGGUGAAGAAUAUUUUUUUGCAACGAUAAAAGUGCUAUUCAUAAUGUUCAUGUAUUAUGUUCAUAUUUCAUCAAUAGAUCAUGCUUUCCUGCUUAUGACUUUCUUUUUCUUUCAUGUUGCAGCUGUAAGAAGUUUGUGAAACCGAAUGGCUACAAUCGAUGAGCCACUUUAUCCAAUUGCUAUUUUGAUAGACGAGUUGAAAAAUGAAGACAUUCAACUACGCCUGAAUUCUAUUCGGAGACUAUCCACAAUAGCAAGGGCACUUGGUGAGGAAAGAACCAGGAAGGAACUAAUUCCAUUCCUUAGUGAGAACAAUGACGACGACGAUGAAGUACUUCUUGCAAUGGCAGAAGAAUUGGGCGUCUUUAUUCCCUAUGUUGGAGGUGUGGAGCAUGCUCAUGUUCUUCUCCCGCCACUGGAGACAUUGUGCUCUGUCGAGGAAACUUGUGUUAGGGACAAGGCAGUUGAAUCUUUAUGUAGAAUUGGAGCACAGAUGAGGGAAAGUGAUCUAGUUGACUACUUUGUCCCAUUAGUAAAGGUUAGAGAAGUCUGUCUUUUUUCUCUUUUUGUUUUCUCUGUUGUUAAUUGGUUUGUUAAAUUCUGACAAACAUCUGCAUUGGUUUUUUUGUUGUGUCCAUUUGUUUUUAUACCAUUGCAGUUGGAAGCUUAAAAUGUUUUCAACAUAUUGAUGCAUGUUUACUAUAUCAUGUAUCAUCUGCUUAAUAUCCAACUUCUAUGUAAGAACCUAUAACUCAUCACAAUAAGUACAUCACCUAAAUGUAGAUAGACAUAUAACGAUGAACAAAAUUGAAUUAUACUUAUUACAUAUAUCUUUUUCUCUUCUAUUUUUGAGAAAACCAUUGAUAUGGAUGGGGGGUUGGCAUACCCGUACCUUUAGCUCACAAAAGAACGGCGAGUCUACUAACCCAGCAGGGGACAAUUAACCCUCCCACUGCAUUCCCACCUAAGUGCCUGUCUGCUCACGUUUUUGCUUCUGAUAUUAGCUUCAGUCACCUCUAAUAGACACUGCAAGAUUUGGUAUAUAGAGAAGUCCUAGAAUUUUUGUGUGGAGGAAUCUUAAAUGAGUUUGAAAACACCAAAAGGCCAAAGCUCUAAUUUAGAGCUUCUGUCUCUACUGUAUUGAGAUCCUUUUGGGAGGAUUUUUUAUAUAGAUCUCCUAUAAUACUAAUCAAACAGCACUUCAUCUAAUUGGUGCUGCACUAUACAGCAGGGCCACACAGCUUGUAAGUAAUUCUUCCCCAAAACAUAUCAGACUAUCUUCUACUAGAAAACAAAUGAAAUAACCUACUACUAAUAAGCACAGUAUGGCUAGUUACAAAAUGAUAUACAGAGCCAAAAUGUGGUUUUAUAAUUAUGACAUUCCAUAUUCAUCUUGUCAGCAGCCACCUUUAAGUUUGAACAUCUUCUAUCCUGAACGUUACACAGCAUAGUGAUUUAUGAUAUCAACUUCCAAGAAGGAUCAACUUAAUGAUAUUAACUUCCAAGGAGGAUCAACUUCAUUGGGAAACACUUCUCUUAGAUAUAACAUGAUAGUUUAGUUAGUUUUCAGCUUCUGAACAUGAUCGGCCCGUCCUAACUGGAGGUGUAUUGUAGUCUAUAAAUAUCCAUGUCCCUUGUGACUUAGUCUAUGAGAUGACUUUUAUGUUCAUUCGUGCAGAAUGAUUCCUCGUAAUUAAAUUUCUUUUCUUCCCUCUUGCCUAUAGACUUUCUUUUCCACAUGUUAUUUAGGUUUUGGUUUAUAUAUAAUUUACAUACAUCUAUACUCAUUUGUUCAUGCUCUGACCCUUUGCUUUCAGAGAUUAGCAGCUGGUGAGUGGUUCACAGCUCGAGUUUCCUCAUGUGGUCUUUUUCAUAUUGCCUAUCCAAGUGCAUCCGAUCAAUUGAAGGCAGAAUUAAGGACCAUCUAUGGCCAGCUCUGUCAAGAUGACAUGCCUAUGGUUAGAAGAGCCGCCGCAUCGAACCUAGGAAAAUUUGCCGCUACAGUGGAAUCCGCUCAUUUAAAGUCGGACAUCAUGUCGAUUUUCGAGGAUCUCACACAAGAUGGUACUUUUAAUUUGCGAACUAUGCCGAAUUAUUAAUUGCCAUUUGCAAGCUAUUCUUUAUUAGAUAAAAUGCAGGUUCUCUAUGUUUUUCAAUUUGCCAUAUUUAAAUACUGAAAACUGUAAUAUGAACUCCAUAAAUAAUAGUUAUUUAAGUGUAGUGUCGUCUGUUUAUAAUUUUAGUCUUUCCUUCCUAUGCUAUUUUCUUUAUUUCCUAAGUUUGAAUGAAGUACUCUUUCCUGAUGAACCACUGAGAAGCAAGAUAAAAGACCAAUUUCAAUUAUGAUUUGCUUUCUCAUACAUGAUCUUCAGGAGUCUAAAUUGUAUUCUAUGCAGACUUAACGAGCUAAUUAAAUUUGCCAAAAACACUAGUGAAUAGCUAACUGUGAUCUUUGCGCCAGUAUUACUAGUACGAAAAAAAUGAUUGAGAAAGCUCCGAUCAAACUAUCACCAACAGUAACAAAACUAGCAAAAAAAGUUGAGCAAUUCAGUGUUAACCAAAACUUAAGAGUUAUUUUUAAUUCAUCUAGUCGUCACUGUCUUCAUCAAGGUUUCUUAUCACUUCAUAGAGCCAGCAGGAGCAGAUAAGAUUGAGAAUAUGGUCGGCUGCAGAUAAAAGGGAUAAGCUAGGAGUCAAAGAGAAAAAUAGGAGGCUAGAUGCAGAGAAAGACAAAAAAGGGUUGGUUCUGCAACGUAUAAAGGAAAAUAGCAAAUAUUUAGUCAAACAAAUAUAAACUGCAGUGAAAACAUCGAAUGAUUAAUCAACUAAUCUAAUCAUGAAAUACAACUGAUCAAAGCCCUGUAAAGAUUUUGAAGGGUCGCCGAGAGAUUUGAAAUCUCCGUCAUAUCUGAAGUUAGAACAUGUCACAAUCGUUCCAAACCAUAGUUCAAUCAAAACUAACCUACCUAAUUAGCCCCAAGUACUUUUAAUUUAAACGUGGACAACCCAUGUUAUAGGUGACUAAAAGUAUGCAGACGUAAUUAUGAAUUCAAUUCAGUAUUGCAUCACCUAUUCAUUUGUAAUGUCUGUGUAUUCCUUUUACUUCUGUUGUACUCAUUUAUGGAUUUGAAUUUACUGCUUCAGAUUUUCCUUUCUGUGGUUUAUUUGUUGACUCUUUGUAGUUAUCUAUCCACAAACUGUUGUCCUGCUGAGUUGAUAAAUUGACAAAUGUACAUUGCAGAUCAAGAUUCAGUUCGUCUGUUGGCUGUUGAGGGUUGUGCCGCACUUGGAAAGCUGUUGGAACCCCAGGAUUGUGUUGCUCAUAUCCUUCCUGUAAUUGUCAACUUCUCACAGGUAUGCUGGGUGACCUCCAUGAGUUGUACAAUCAAUUUUGAUAGACAUGUCUCUGCUCAUACAUGAUGAUGCAAUUGUCUAUGCCCAUACAUGAUGAUGCAAUUGUUGGAAUCUCUUUUGUUGAGAUAAUAUUUUACCUAUAUACCCCUGCAAAUUUGUCUACUAAUAUAAAUAUUCAUGCAUAAUCUGAAUUGCUACAUGUAUCCGUAUGAACUUUGAUUAACGUACAGUAGCUGACCUAUAUGUUUUUUAGGGGUAUCAAUUGAACCCACUAACCCAAAAAAAAAAAAAUUCUCCAAAAAGUGGGGCCCACCUUGUAGUUGAUCCCACAACUCUGCGAUUCCCAAUACUAUAAACUUGAAUUCCAAGUCAAAAAAAAUCUAUUAAAAUACAAGAAAAAUUGUAAUGUAAAAUGAUGCCUUUUUUUUUUUUUAAUGCAAUAUUUCUUAACAAUUAUAUUUAUUGAUUUUUUCUUGUAUUUUUUCAUAUUUGCUCUUUGUUCUAUAAUUGACCUCUAGAAAAAUUUUUAGAUCCACCACUGUUUAUGAUUUAUUGUUGUUUCAUGCUUGAAGGACGCAUAAUGAAUCUCUGUGAAGUGUUACUUAAUGUUUUGAUUUUGAGAUUCCAAUUUAUUGUCUUUGGCUGAUAGGAUAAAUCCUGGCGUGUGCGAUAUAUGGUUGCAAAUCAAUUAUAUGAGCUUUGUGAAGCUGUUGGUCCAGAGCCUACCAGGUAUUAUUCUAUAUAAUUCUAUGGUUAGACAGCACUUUAGAUGUUGUGAUUAGCCUACGGUAAAUAAGAUAUUGAACUUGUAAAACUGAAAGCUUUAUUUCCUACAUCCACCUUUUUGACCAUCUUUAAUCUUGUUCAACUGCAUCUCAAUUUUUGGGAUUGUUGUACUGUUCCAGGACGGAUUUGGUGCCUGCGUAUGUUCGCCUUCUUCGUGACAAUGAGGCUGAGGUUCGCAUAGCAGCUGCAGGAAAGGUCACAAAGUUUUGCCGUAUAUUGAGCCCACAACUUGCAAUCCAACACAUUCUUCCUUGUGUAAAGGUACUUAUGGUAGCAUGUUUUCAACUCUUGAGAACAUACGUAUUGCCUUACCGAAUAGCUUCUCUACUCUGAGAAGCAAUAGCCAAGAAUACGGCAGAGGAGAAGUCCAGAACUUUUACUAGCGGAAAGCCAAAAUGAGCUUGUGAUGCCAAGGAAGCAAUAGGCAAGUACUUGCAAACAGGAAGUCUAGAGCUAUGAUUAAGAAUUUGAAAUAAGCUUAUGGGCUUAAAAAGUAGAAGCUUCAAUUUGAAACUUUUGGUUAUACUGUAGCAAGAAGCUGUUGGCUUGAUAUUAAUGAAAAUAGUGGACAACACUACUCAAACAACACUUUCUGUUGAAUCUCCAGCUAGACAGACAAAGCAUUACUGGCUCUUCUAAUGAAAACCUUUUUCUCUGUUGUUAUGAACGCUGUUUAAUUACGUACUAUCUACAGGAAUUAUCGACAGAUUCUUCGCAACACGUUCGUUCAGCAUUGGCUUCAGUUAUCAUGGGCAUGGCUCCAGUCUUGGGGAAGGUAUGAACAAUAUUUUUAGCUCUUAAUGGUAGAUAAGAAACUAAGCAGUUUUCAUUUUGCAUUUAUAAAAUUAUGUUUAGAAGUUCCAUUCUUUCCUGUUUCUCUUUGCAAACUAAAGGUUCUGAGGAAGUUAUUAUUUAUUUAACACAUUAAUAACUAAGAUACCUAGGAGAACCUGUUCAAUGAAGGUUUUUUCUUUUAUCCUCAUUUCUUCCUCCUCCAAAUCAUCUGCACUUGUUGUCUUUUUAUUGGUCGGUGUUUCUUUUCAUUUUAUGUUUUGAUAUGAAAUGAUUUCCUUCAUUAACCCAUGGUAUACUUUUCUUUGUUUAAUGUUAGUAAGCUUAGUUGUUGUAUAGAUAUAAUUGCAACUACUGCUCCACAGCGGGGCGUUUCAUUUAGAUAAUUGCAUUUGAUAGGAGAUGCAAUUGCAUGCUUUUGAAUGAAUAAUAUGUUGUCCUUAGCUUCAAUAUUUGUGUAUCAGAAUAAUGUGGCUUCGACAAAUAGUUAUUGUAGAAUUUUGUUUCUCCGCAUUUCUGCUUCACAACCCUUUUGCAUAUAUAUAUAUAUAUAUAUAUAUAUAGGCCGUGGCUACUAUACUAUUAUGAGUAUUGGAGCUCUCGUACUCAUAAGUUGUUUUCAAUGAUAGAGCUUCCGAAUCGACGAUCCACUCCGUUAAAUAUGAUCUAGAGUAUUUGAAACUUCUAGAAAAUAAAUUUCGUAAAUUUUCGAAAUCAUAAUAAAGUCUAUCAAGUGGGUAUAAAAUGAACGGUCAAAAUUGACUGACUGCCUAAAAAAGGAUGAUCGGAUUCUUCAAUUCAAGAUCGGAGUUAUUGAUCUUUAUCUAUGUAGUGAAUAGAAUUUUCUAUCAAAAAUUCAACAAAUUCCGAUUCUUUUACACCGUUAAACUAGCAAGUAUCCCAUACCGGCCGUUAAAAAUUGUCAAAUUUGUGACCUCUUUGAUCGUAAAGUAAAUGAUGUCGAAAAUUAUAAAAUUUGAUUUCUAGAGUUUUAAUGUUGUAAAUAAUGUUUAACGGUGUGGAUCGUCGAUUCGGAAGCUCUAUCAUCGAAAACAACUUAUGAGUACGAGGCAAUCGUACUCAUAAUAGUAUAGUAGCUGGACCCUAUAUAUAUAUAUUAUAUAUAUAUAUAUAGAGCUAGGCUGGUAUACUAUUGUAGCACGGAGGCUCCGUGCUACCGAUAGUAUACCAGCCUAGCUCUAUAUUAUAUUAAUAUUAUAUAUAUAUAUAGAGUGAGGCUACUAUGCUAUCGGAAGCACGAGCUUCCGUGCUUCCAGCUCGUUUUCGAUGUGCGACUUUCGAAUUAUCGAUCGGCUCGUUAAACUUGAUCUAGAGUAUUUGGAGUACUAGAAAAUAAAUUUUAUUAUUUUUCGAUAUCAUUUGCCUAGUGAUCGAAUGAGCUCAAAAUCAAUAAAUUUUAAUGGCGUAGUGAGCGCUUUGCAAGUUUAACGGUGUAGAAAUAUCCAAAUCACGUGAAUUUUGAUAGAAAUUCUUUAUACUUUAUAAAACAAAUCAAUAUCUUUGAUUUAAAUUUUAAUGUCAUAUUAUUACAUUUGUAAGAUUUUUAUUUUCAGCCGUUGAUUUGAGCCCCUUCGUUCACUAGCAAAGAUAUCGUAAAAUCAUAAAAUUAUUUUCUAGUACUUCAAAUAUACUCUAGAUCAGUUUAAUGGACGAUCGACGAUUCGAAAGCCGCACAUCGAAAACGAGCUGGAAGCACGGAAGGCUCGUGCUUCGAUAGCAUAGUAGCCUACUCUAUAUAUAUAUGUAUAUGUAUAUAUGUAUAUGUAUAUGUAUAUGUAUAUAUGUAUAUGGUGUAUUGUGUAUUUAUAUAUAUAUAUUAUAUAUAUAUAUAUAUAUAUAUAUUAUAUAUAUAUAUAUACAUAUAUUAUAUAUAUAUAUGAUAUUAUGUAUGUGGUGUGUGUAUAUACAUACAUACAUAUAUAUAUUAUACAUAUAUAUAUAUUAAAUUAUAUAUAAUAUAUAUAUAUAUUAUACUAUAUAUAGAUAUAUGUAUGGGUGGUGUGUGUGUGUGUGUAUGUAUGUAUAUUCUAUUGUACCAGUUAGUUAUUCUUUUCUUGAUAUAGUUCUUUGUUCUGAUCUUUUAUAUGUAGUUAUAUAAAACAAUAUGCAAGCUUAUGGUUAUCUUGUAACUAGAUGCUCCUAAGGUUCUUUUUUUCUCCUUUUGUUAAAAUUUUCCUUUCAGAUCGAGAUAUGUAAUGUCUGUCACCUGUUAAGCUUAAAGAACUUGCUUCCGAUUUGCAUCUUCUUUCUUAGUUUACAGGCAGCCAGAUGACUGGUUUUGUUUUCUCUUUUGUUUUCUUUUUUUUACCCUCAGGAUGUGUUGUGUGUGUGUGUGUGCGUGUGUGUGUGUGUGUGUAUGUAUGUAUAUUCUAUUGUACCAGUUAGUUAUUCUUUUCUUGAUGUAGUUCUUUGUUCUGAUCUUUUAUAUGUAGUUAUAUAAAACAAUAUGCAAGCUUAUGGUUAUCUUGUAACUAGAUGCUCCUAAGGUUCUUUUUUUCUCCUUUUGUUAAAAUUUUCCUUUCAGAUCGAGAUAUGUAAUGUCUGUCACCUGUUAAGCUUAAAGAACUUGCUUCCGAUUUGCAUCUUCUUUCUUAGUUUACAGGCAGCCAGAUGACUGGUUUUGUUUUCUCUUUUGUUUUCUUUUUUUUCCCCUCAGGAUGCUACAAUUGAGCAACUUCUUCCAAUUUUUCUCUCCUUGCUAAAGGAUGAGUUUCCAGAUGUUAGACUCAAUAUAAUCAGUAAACUCGAUCAGGUUAACCAGGUUAGUACCAGCUAGAGAGGCUUCUUUUACAUUUUCAUUUAUUAUUGAUUUCUCCACUACUUACAGAGACUUAAUUUAGAUUCCUAUUUAUUUGUCAUUGAUCCCUUGCACUGUUGCUGUCUUUUAUCAUUUUUUGUACUUCUGCUUGAAAUAUUUUUCAGUUUUUGUGUACGGAAAAAUGGAUAACUAUUUUGGCACUGAUGUGUUAGGCAUUGAACAAGGAGAAAUGAUUUUUAAUUGGAACUUCUAUUGUUCUUUUGGUGGGUUAAUAUCGCAUAAAUCCACAAUCUGUUUUCUAAUUGUAAUUUGAUCUAAUGACUUAUAUUUGGUGGCAAAAAGAUCUACUGUAUACUAAUUGUAAUUUGCACACAAAGUUUGAUCGUUGUAAGAAAUCAUUUUUUAUCUAAUGUUACAUAGUUUCGUUUGAUGCAAGUAACUAAAUUUGGCCCACAAAGUUUAAUCUGGUGCGAAAAGUCUCAUUGGUGGAUUGGCUAACCAAUUAAUAUUGGAUAAUCAGUAACUUUUUGCAUCACAAGCUUUGUGGGUAAAAUUGAGGUGGGUAAUAAGAUAGUGUGUUAUUUUGUAUCAGAUAAAGGUAAGUUACAUUGCAUUUGUUAUUUUACUUUUCUCAUUUUAAGCAUUCAUUCCUCAUUUUUUAAGUUUUUUUUUUUUUUUUUUUUUUUUUUUUUUUUUUUUUUUUUUUUUUUUUUUUUCCUUCUGAGGACGAUUUUCUCGAAAGCUGAUUUCUGUCAAAGAACAUAGGUAUUUUGACAUGUGUAUGGCUACAUCUGGGAAAUUCUUGUAGUUACUGAGGGUUGCCAAGUACUAGUUCUUUAGUGUUGUUUUAUCAGCAUGUUGGCUGAACACAUCCUAUGCUCUACUUGUAUUUAAUCUGGUCACCUGCUUGACUUCUCAAGAUGUUAUCUAGUACAUAUCGUAUAUUUUGGAUUUUCCAAUGUUGCAUUUUCUAUUAGUUUUGCUUUACUUUGUGGAGUUUUAUUAAGGGAAAACUUCAAAAACUCCCCUUGUGGUUUCGUAGUUUCUCACUUUGCCCCCCUAUGAUUUAAAAUGUAUCAAAUUGCCCCCCUGUGGUUUCGUUUUUAUCUUUUCGGUAGCUUUUUCGUUAAUAUUUCAUUAAAUUAUAUACAAAAAACUUCAGAUACCUAUCUAGAUUUAUCAAAUAUUCACUUUAGUACCCUUUAAUUUUAACUUUAUCACUGAUUUAAGAAAAAAAAAUAAUGAAAUUGAUAAGAAAAAGAGAAAAAAGAAACCACAGGAGGGCAAAUUGAUGCAUUUUAAACCACAGGGGGGCAAAGUGAGAAACUACGAAACCACAGGGGGGGUUUUUGAAGUUUUCCCUUUUAUUAAUGAAGUAGGAGCUGGGAUGAUAGGUUGAGAUCAUCAUUGAAUGGUUUAUUCAUCGUAUUUGUUAGUUUGGAUGGAUGGAUUUGUGAUGUAGCUAAUGUUGGUUACCUGAUUAGGUAAUCGGAAUUGACUUGUUGUCGCAAUCAUUGCUUCCUGCAAUUGUGGAGCUGGCAGAGGACAGACACUGGAGGGUUCGUCUGGCCAUAAUUGAGUACAUUCCUCUUUUGGCUAGUCAGUUAGGCGUUGGAUUUUUUGAUGAUAAACUGGGUGCUCUUUGCAUGCAAUGGUUGGAAGAUAAGGUAUAUGCGCAUACUUCUAUGAUCUUACAAGUAUGUUCUAGAUGACUUUCUUUUGUUAACCAUUGUAAAGCAUCUUGUUAUUGAACAUGUUGAACCACAUAUCUGUUUCCAGUCGUUAGCUUAACUCCAUAUGUACUUGUUAUUUAUUUGGAAUUAGUUGUUGUCGGAGUAGCGAUAAUUUUUGGAAACUCUUGAAAGUUGAUUCCUUAAUGAAUCUCUCUGGGAUCUUAGAGUAUGCAAUUACUUUUAGAGAUACAUACGUCGUAACCCUGCAGAAUAAUAUAUUUACACAUCUAUGUUUUGUUACUAAAUUUGAUAUGCCCUCUUACUUAAGAAUAUAUCUGAGUUUGGAAAACCUUUUCUACUACAAGACUAAUCUCCCCCAUGAAUUGGAUGAUUGUCCAACUGAAUACUGGGGUAUUUUGUUAGGGGCUGUAAUUUUGAGGAGUUAGGCAUAGAUAGUAGAUUACUUCACUGGGUCAUGUUUGUAAAUUCUCUAUAAUUCAUGCAUGAGGUUGUGCAUCUCUUCCAGUAACCGAAUCUGGGAAAGUGCGUGGGUAUGGGAGUUCGCAUCCAGUUGCUCCUUUCUUUUGUUCCAUAACAAAUUAUUUAGUCUAAUAUGAAUCAUGCUUUGUUCAAAAUUAUUUUUUUCUGGCGUUUGCUGAUAUCGAAAGCCAUUAAACUAAUCUUGAGGAUUAUCCAUCAAUUGACUACAAAACAUGGUUAUUUUCAGGUUUUCUCAAUUAGAGAUGCAGCUGCUAAUAACUUGAAGCGACUUGCUGAAGAAUUUGGACCAGAAUGGGCAAUGCAGCAUAUAGUUCCGCAGGUUUGCCUCCAAAUUCUUGAUUUGAACUUGAAAACUAAGUGUUAUUUAAUUAAUCAUUUCUGGUUUCUUUGGUUGUCCUUGUGUGACUCAAAUAUGUGCAAGGUUUGCAAAAGUGGUUUCUGUACUCCUAAUUUCUUGGUUCAUGCUUAUCACAUGGAUUUAUUAGAGCAGUACUUUGUAGAUGGCAAUGCAAUAUGGUCUUGAAUCUCUUUAGUCGCAUCAUGGUAUGUGCCUAUAUAUUCAUGAUUCUGACCUUAUAUAGCCGUUUUAGGUUGAAGUGUCGAUCCUUAAGUCAGUGAAAGGAGCUUAAAAGUAGGUAUACUUGAUAUUUAAUUACAUUUGCAUCUUGUGCUAUAUGGAUGCAUAUGCAAUAUAUAGGUAGCAUCGUAAUUCAUAUGCAGUAAAUACAGUGAGAUAGUGCCUUAUUAUCUUGAUAUAUGUGAGUAUAUCAAUGAUACCUUAGUAUGAUCCUUCUCUUUUACUUUGUGGGUUACUUGUGCAUUGGUUUUUCAACUGGGCCCUGAAUGUUCUCUUCGUGUUCUUUUGGUUGUUUUGGGCGGAGGGGGUUUUGAUUUCUCGUCGUAUUGAGCAAUCACAACCGUCAUUUGUUCCACACAAGAUGGGGUUUAAUUAUCAUGAUCUUGAUUGAGCUUCUCUUGGUGUAUGUGAUGAAUGCUAUAAAUAACUAUUUACCUCCUAAUGACACAAACAAUGGUUGAUUUAAUAGUUAUAAUCUUGGCGUUUUCAUGUAUGUAUCUGCCAGUUGCUUUGAAAGUUGGAAUUAAUAUCUUGCUAUGAUGGAUUAUGACUUAAAGUUUGUGUUUGUCUUUUUUUCUUUGCUCUGUAUUGAUGAUCGAAAUUUUUCAAACAUUUUCUCGAUGCAAUAAUUGCUUCUUUCUUCUUUCUUGGUUAUUUUGGGACCUUCAGCAUAUAUGUAUUUAAAUCAUCCGUGUAAUAUUUAUUUAUGUAUGUGAUUCUUCAUUAAUUAGAAUAGACUUGCUGUCGAAGUUUUUCAUACUCAGGUGUAUCCCACAAACUUUUGUUUAAAUGAUAAAAGAUCAUAAUUAUCUCUAGGCUGUUGUGGAAGGUAUCAGGGAAGAGGCUUCUUUAAAGGUUUUCCUUUGCAUAGUGGUGACUUAAAUCUUUAUAAUUCUCUCAAUUGUUAUUUAGAUGAUACUCCCUUAAAACCAUUCCCUAAUCGUAGCUUAGUUUGUAGCAAGGCUGUGCAGUUAUUGGUUUUUGAUUAUUUUUUCUGAAGGUGCUGGAGAAGAUCAACAAUUCACAUUAUUUGUACCGUAUGACCAUUCUACAUGCAAUUUCCUUACUAGCCCCCGUCAUGGGUGCGGAUAUCACGUGCCAAAAGUUACUUCCUGUUGUCAUCGCUUCCUCCAAGGACAGGUAACUACUAUUAUCUAUCAAGAAAACAGGUUGGCUAAAAUGCUAACAAAUAUUGUGAUUCUCCUUUUGCCCCUUGAAAUAUUUAUGCUACAAUUUGCGGUUACAUUGCCUCUCUUUUCGAUAGUAUACCUUUGGGAAUAAUAUAACUUUGCUUAGAAGCAUAUGAGGUAGAAUGUAGAUUUUAAUACAUCAGGGGCCAAUGUUAAACAAACAGUAUUUAGAGGAGACAUCCUGAAUUUUAGCCAAAAAUGAACCAUCCUAUUAGGCAUCUGACAUGGAUGUUUUGACACUGCAACAGGGUACCCAACAUCAAAUUCAAUGUGGCAAAGGUUCUGCAGUCUCUCAUACCCAUACUUGAUCAUACUGUGAGUAACUUAAAUUCCUCUGGUGAUUGUAUAUUUCAUACCCUAUUUUUAGUGCCUGUUUGGCUCAGUUUCUUGAGCAGUUUCUCUGCUCUGAAAAGUGGUAGGCAAGCAUUUGGCAAUAAAAAAUCCCUGAGCUUUUCUGUAGCGGCAAGCUAUAACGAGCUUUUAGCCCUCCUAGAAGUGGUUGCUCCAAUUUGAAGCUUUUGCUCCGUUGUAGUCAGAGAAGCUCUUGGGGUGAUUAUAAUUGAAGAGCAAUUAACGCCUCCACAAAAAGCUCUACUUGAACAGUACUUCGUACUUCUAUAGCAGCUCCAGCUGUCAAAGUAAGUGUUCUUACAAGUUUAUGAUUGCUUGAAAUUUUUCGUACCUCAGGUGGUGGACAACACGAUUAAGCCGUGUCUCCUCGAGCUCAACGAGGACCCGGAUGUGGAUGUUAGAUUCUUCGCUGGCCAAGCACUUCAAGCGUGCGAUCAAGUCAUGAUGUCGACCUAGAUCGCUUGGUCGGGGCGUUUCGGUUCGUCUUAUUUUCUCUCGCGUCUUCUAUGUAAGCCAUGUUGUAUGUUUUCACUGAUGAAGUUUGAGCUUCAAGCUUCUUAAAUUUGAAUGGUUUAAUUUUAAGAGAUGCUAAUAUAUAGGUUUUUUUUUUUUUCCUUUUUGACUACCUUCUUUAUAUCUACUAUAAAUGAAGGUGCAACCAUUUUAUGUAGGCUUUUUUUUGUCAUUUAAUUUAUUCUGGUGCUUGCAGGGUUCUAUUUCUUUUGAUCUUUAUCAUGAAAGCCUUAUUGUAAUUUGUUUUAGGAUAAAUUACAGUUUUGGUCCCCAAACUAUGAGGCACAUGACACUUUCAUCCUCUAGUUUUAAUUUGUUGCAAUUUGUAGCUCCGAUUUUGAAAAUUGUUGCAAUCAAGUUCCAUGAUUCGAGUGGUUAACCAAAUGGUGAUGUGCUGCUGAUAUGAAGAUGAUAUGGCAUUUAAUUUAUUGCUGUAUUAUUAAUUACAACACACAUUAUUUUCAUAUCAGCUACAAGAUAAUAUUUUGUCUAAUAAAUUGGGUCGUGGGAUUUGAUUGUAGCAAUUUAAAGAAUUUGUGCGUCUCACAGGUUGGGGACCAAAAGUGUGAUUUAUUGUGUUGCUUAUUCUCUAUUCUACACGAUUAUGAUUUUCAUUGGUUUAAUGCGCAGUUUGAUUUAAAGUUUUUUGAGAAAUUUAAAAUUCAGUAAAAUGAGAAACUCAAGUCUCAAUUUGGGAAUAAAAAAUACAAAUUUUUUUUAUUUCCCCCCCAAUAUUUUUGGUUUUUAGGAAGUAGUCUUAGAUCAUCAUAACAUAAAAAGUUAAUAAUAAUAAUUUUUUUUAAAAACCCCAAAAACCUAUAAGUAGCCACAAGAGGCCUUUUGAUUUGUAAUGUUUGUGUCUUUCGGUUGAGUCUGAAUUUUUAUAUUUGGAAUUUGGUUUGCACUAUCCAAAUAUAUUUGAGGCGAAACAAAGAUUUGAAUGUACGGAUGCCAGUGAAUUUGAUAAUCCAAAAUUUUAUCCAAAUGCGGACGGGUAUAGAUUUAUUUGAUGCAAAAUAAAUAUAAUUUCGAAUAUGAGUAUAAAAAAUAAAAAUUCGAUGUAUUUGAGUUUAGAUAUGAAUCUUGUCUAUACCCGAUCUAAAACCAAAUUAGAUCCAAACUCGAAUAGAUAUAAUUCCAAGCGUUUAAUGCUAUUGAGUUUUGAGUUUUUUAUUUUUAAAUUUACCAUUGUGAGCAUUUUUAUCCGUUAGAUCAUACUAUUCAAUCAACUAUUCACUAAACUGUAGGGACUAUCCUCAUUAGUGAGCUUUAAUACAAAGGCGAACCACCCGAGCUCUACACCCCGAAAAUAUGGAGAGAGCUUUUUCAGGGUUUGCAAUUCAUUCGUUCCAUGUGAUGUUUUGAAGUGCGAUAAAAAAAAUUUUAAAAAAAGUUUGGGGUUCAGGUUCAGGUUCAGGUUUGUAAUCCGGUUCGGCUUUGAAUGCAAAAUUUCAAAGUCGAGACAACUUAACUCUAACUGACUAAUAUCAUCUGACCCUAUAAUUUUUCAUCAAAAAAUUAUAAUAUAUAUAUAUAUAUAUAUAAUAUAUAUAUAUAGAACUAGCUAGCAUACUAUCGUAAGCACGGAGAGCUCCGUGCUACCAAGUUGUUUUCGAUGAUGCGCUUCCAAAUCGACGACGCUCCGUUAGAUCUUGAUCUACACUAUUGAAAGUAUUAGAAAACUUAAAUUUCAUAAUUUUUCGAUAUCAUUUACCUAUCAAACAACUAGUCUAAAAAUGAACGCUGAAAAUAAAAAUUCCAUAAAAAAUGAGAUAAAAGAUUUAAAUUCAAGAUCAAAUAUACUGAUCUUACUCUAAAUAGUGAAAAGAUUUUCUAUAAAAUUUUCAUCACCAUUGAAUUGUUUUACACCGUUAAACUCAUAAACACAACACAUCGGCCAUCUUAAAAUUGUAAAUUUUGAGAUCGUUUUGAUCACUAGUCAAAUGAUAUCGAAAAAAUCUGAAAUUUAGUUUCCAAAUACUUUCAAUAGUGUAGAUCAAGUUUAACGAGCCGAUGUCGAUUUGGAAGCGCAUCAUCGAAAACACUUGGUAGCACGGAGCGCUCCAUGCUACCGAGAUAGCAUAGUAGCGGACUCCUCUCUCCUCUCUCUAUAUAUAUAUAUAUAUCUAAUUAAUUAAUCUGUUCAUACUUAAACUGAUAACUACCACACCAACGAUUCUCAAACGCCUUUUGCGCCGCGAGCCUUUUUCUCUUUUUUUUUCUUUUUUUUUUUUUUUUUCCAAUUUGGUUCCUCCUUUUCUUGGAAUUAAAGCGCCGCCGCCACGAUCACCGCUGCGAGAGACUCAUAGUUUCAAUGAGGAACCACGGCGGCCCUCCGGGGGGCUGGGGGGCCCAGUCGUCUCUCCGCUCCCUCCGCAGCCGCCGCCGCCUACCGGCAGCUGCCGCGCCUCGCCCACAGGCAGCUGCGCUGCCGUCCGCUCACCCGCAGCUGCCCGCGCCGUCGCCCACCGCGACUGCCGCCGCCGUCGCCCCACCCGCAGCUGCUGCCGCCGUCGCCCCACCUCGCAGCUGCCGCCGCCGCCCCCUACCCGCAGCUGCCGCCGCUGCGCAGCCCCCUCGGAAUCCUUAUCAUUACUCGGGGUGGGAUGGUUGGCCCCCGUAAUCAACCGCCGCCGACGACGGCAGGGGGGUCGGGUUAUCGUGUUUGUAUCACGUCGCGCAAUUCAGGGUUCCCGGUCCGGUAUCAGCGCCCGACCGACGGGGCGGCAGACAGUACCAGCUACAUCCGGACAACACAGGCGGGAGCAAGGGUUGGGGAGAGGGACGGCGAGGGCGAGAGAGAGCGAAAGGGAGCCAAGGACGGAGAGCCGAGGGUGUCGUGGCGAGGGGGAAGGGAGAUGGGAAGGAAAUGAAAGGAGAGGAGGAGAGGAAGGAGAGAGAGAGAGGGAACAAGAAAGGAGGAGGAGGAAGAGAGAGAGAGGACGAAAAGAAAGAGAGAGGGAGAGAGAGAGAGGGACAGGGAACAAGAAAGGAAGUGAGAGGAGAGAAAGAGAGAGGGAGCAAGAAAGAGAGAGGGAGAGAGAGAGAGAGAGAGGGAGCAGGAAGAGGAGGACGAGGGAGAGAGAGAGAGAGGAGAGGGAGAGAGAAAGAACGAGGGAGAGAGAAAGAGAGGAGGAGGAGGAAAGAACAAGGGACAGGGAGAGAGAGGAGAGGGAGAGAGAAAGAACAAGGGAGAGAGAGAGAGAGGAGGAGGAGGAAAGAACAAGGGAGAGAGAGAGAGAGGAGGAGAGGAGGAGAGGGAAAGGUAGAGGUAGAGGGAGAGGGAGGAGCGGUGGCUGUGGGGAGCGAGAGGCAGGAACGAGGGAAAGCGAGAGAGAGCGGGAGCGGGCGAGGGGGAGGGAGGAGGGGUUGGGAACGAGGGCGGCCACAACGAGGCCUAGCAUCGACCAUGACAGACGGCGGGGGCAGCAGCCGCGACUAUGGCCUGGCCCUUGGGACUUAACGCGGCUGCCUAUGUUUGGUGCUAUUGGGCUGGGGGGACGGCAGCAGCCGCCGCGGCCAACUAUGCCCCCGGUUGGUAGGGUGGGGCUCAUUACUAUUCCUAAGGCUCCCCCGACGCCGUCGCCGCCGUCGACGCCCAUCCCGCCGCCGCCGGGAGAGGAGGAGGAGGAGAGAGAAAGAGAAGGAGGAGGAAGAAGAAGAGGAAGGAGAUAGAAGGGGUGAUGGACAUGGUGAUUAUAGUUCUCUCCUCUCCUCCUCUAAGGAGAGGGACCGAAGCCGAAGCGGUCCGUCGCUGGAGAAGGAGAGGGACCAGAGGAGAGAGAAAGAAAGAGAUAGAAGGAGAGAGAAAGAGAAGGAAGAAGAAGAAGAAGAAGGAGAUAGUAGGGCUGAUAAAGUACAUGGUGAUGAUCGUAGAUAUCUCCGCUCCUCUUCCUCCUCUAAGAAGAGGGAUCGAAGCCGAAGCGGUUCAUCGUCGCAGCAAACCAAGGACGCGAAGAGCCGCUUCCGCUGCCGCCGAUCACCGGAAUGAUCAUCUUUCUUGCAUGGUUUGUGUGUUUCCUUCUCAUCCAUUACUAUGAAGAUGUUAAUCUCUUGUUGUUUGUUUAGCUCUCGGAUCAUAAAAUGAAGGAACGUGAGAGUUGAGCCUGAUACUGUAAAUAGUAGUAGUAGUAGUAGUGCUCUUUAAUUCCAUCCUUUGAUGUACGUAUAAGGAGUUAAAAACUUGUUGCGUUGGAAUAAUAUGAUUGCAAUGCAUGGUAUACACAUAGUUGAUUUCUAGUCUCAGUUUCUCAUAUAUAACAAUUAGGUUUUUGAUAAGAAUUAAUUUGUUUGAGGUUUCAUUUUUCUUUUUUGUGAAAUAUAUAUAUAUAUAUAUAUAUAUAUAUAUAUAAAAUAUAAGUUGAGUAUUUAAUAUCAUCAGGCUUUUUUUCAUAUAUAGCAUUUUAUAUGGUUUCUUUUUAUAUCUAUAUAUAGAUACACCUAAUUAACUAAUUUCUGAUCCUGUUUUUGUUGAUUUUGACCUUAAUGUCAUGGAUUCUCUAUAUUUUUUUUUUUCUUUUUCUUUUUAAUUUCAUAAUGUUUGUGUAGCAUCAUAAGCAGUCCUGCAUUUUGGUGUAUGGCAUCUUUACAUUCUUUUAUUUUUCUACUCAUUUUUUAAGCAAUAAAGUUUAAAGAUUUGUGACAACCUCAUGAAUUAAGUUUUAAUCUUAUUCUAGCACCAAUAAAUGUAAAGGAACUUGGUAUUUAAAUUAUACUGCAUGUUUGGUUUGGUAUUUAAUUUAUGCAAAAAUAAGUUGUGUAUUAUACUUAUUUAGAAAUUAAUGGCCCUUAUUGCAGCUCCUUAGUAAAUUAAGGGCCCUUUUAUUGCAAAAAUAAUUAAGUUGUGGAUAUAUGUAUUCUUAUUUAGAAAUUAAGGGCCAUUAUUUAAACUUAUCUGUCACUAUAUAUUUUAAUUAAGUUUCGAUUAUUAUUUCCAACAUUAAUGCAUGCAUGCAUGCCCAUAUAUAAAUAUUUUUUGGUGGAAUAGCUAAUUAAAUUGAGUUAAUUAAUCUAUAUAUAUGAAUAUUUUGAUACUACAGUGGCAUGUAAUUAAUAAAACUAGUUUUAAAGGGGCACAUAUGGAAUAUGAAUUUUGCAUGCAUGGGAAUAAAUGUACGCAAAUGGAUGAUUUUAAAGGCCAGGUGCUUAAUUUAAUUUGUAUAUACGCCACCACAAGAAAGCUUAUAACUAUUUUCUAUAUAUAAACUUGAGAGUGAAAAUUAUAAAUUAUAAAUUUUAAAUUUGGAAUUUUCUAUUUUUUUAAAAAGGGAUAAUUGCUGAUUAAAUAACCAUCUUUGCAUUGAAUUAAUGAUAUUGACAAUUAAUAAUUGCUGAUUAUUUUUUAUCUUAAUCAUAUUAAGGGGCAGUUUGGUUUUUUGAAAAAGUAUGAAAAAAUUUAUUUAAAAAAAGAUUUCAUGAAAACCAUCUUUUUCAAUUUUUCAUCUGUUUAGUUCUUAAAAAUUAAAACUUGUUUUUUUGAAAACCCGAAUAUGAACGAGACAAGUUUAAAAAAUGAGAACCCAACGAAUUUGAGUUUGGAUAUGGAUUUUGUUGGUACCUUAUCCGGAUCCCCAAUCUGACUCAAAUCUUAAUAGAUUUUAUAGUAUAUAAUAUAUAUUAAUGCUUUAAGUUAUAUUUUAAAACGGUAAAAAAUGUAUAUAAACUGUGUACCAUCCUAAAUUAGCUAUUCAAUCCUUCAAAGUUUUAAUUUUACUAUCUAAUAUUUCAAUUUAUUUGAUUUGAAUUAGUUAAUGGCACUUUGACUUAAAAAUUCAAGCC
rnacentral:lncRNA from 1 species